AGGCUUACAACAGCAGUUAUGUGAAGCAUUAUUUUGAUUGUCACGCUUGGGUUCCAGGGACUUAUCCGUAUGAUGCUGACCAAAUGUUAGAUAUCGUUAUUAAGUUUCUGAUGCCUUCAUCUAGGUUGAGUGAAAUAAUGGAUAAAAAUUAUGAAAUGAAAAAAAUAAUUCUUCAUGAAUAUCUAAUGACCAAGCGGUAUUUGAUUGUGAUUGAUGAUGUGUGGAACAUUGAAGUAUGCGAUAUUAUUCGAGAAAUACUCCCGGAUAAUCAGAAUAGAAGUAGAGUAUUAAUAACACUCACUGAAAUUAAGAUGGUCACCUCAUUUCAGCUCGAAGACAGAGAGAACAUUCGGCUUGAUUUAGUGCCUACUGGAGGACCAUUGAGAGCUACAUAUAAAGGAUGGCCUUUCCUCAUCUUAUAUCAUGGAAGCAUCUCAUUUGAAGAAAAUAUAGAGGAAGCAGUGGAGAUACCCCUUGUGUUUCGGUACUUCAAAUGUUGCAGUUUACCUUUUUGCUUGAAACUUUGUUUUCUCUACUUAUCUGUGUUUCCCGCACACCUAGAGAUAUCCACCAGGCAGUUAUAUCAGUUGUGGAUAGCUGAAGGUUUCAUCCCAGACAAUAGUGAGGCAACUGCUGAGAAUUACUUAGAACAACUAAUCAAGGGAGGCUUUGUUGAAGCAAAUAAGAGAAAAGCCGGAGGCACUAUCAACACAUGCUCUAUUCCUGGUCGUUGGCGUCCCAUGUUGUUCACGGUUCCUUCUGAUGUGGAAUUCAUCUUUUCCCCUUUCGUGGAUGGUAAAUCAGGAAAAAAAGCCAAACGGUUAAACGCUGUUGAAAGAUGGGAUGAUUUUGUUUGCUUAGAUGAUUAUGACUCGCAACUGCAUUCUUUCUUGUGCUGCUCUCCAGAAAGCCGCCACAUUGACCCCAUAGAUUGGGAGAAAAUUUGUGGAAUGUUCAAACUUCUCAGAGUGUUGGACUUGGGAUCUCUUGUUCUCAUCCAGUAUCCAUCCGGAAUUGAAAAUUUAUUUCUUUUGAGAUAUUUGAAGUUGAAUAUCCCUUCCCUCAAAAGCCUGCCUUCCUCAUUAUUAAGCAAUCUUCUGAACCUCUACACCCUAGACAUGCCCUUUAGCUAUAUAGAUCAUACGGCAGAUGAAUUUUGGAAGAUGAACAAACUCAGACAUCUAAAUUUUGGGUCAAUCACACUUCCUGCGCAUCCAGGAAAAUACUGUGGCUCUCUGGAAAAUCUAAAUUUCAUUUCACCCUUGCACCCUUGCUGCUGUACUGAAGAUAUAUUGGGCAGGCUACCUAAUCUUCAAAAUCUCCGAAUACAGGGAGAUUUAAGUUAUGAUCAAUCUUUGCUGUCGAAAAGUCUCUGCAGAUUGAGCUGUCUCGAGUCAUUGAAGCUGGCGAAUGAAAGCAAGAUGCCACGGCUCUCCAAAAUCGUCCUUGCUGAAUACCUAUUUCCUCAUAGUCUAACCCACUUGAGUUUUUCUAAUACUGACCUAAUGGAUGAUCCCAUGCCGACACUAGAAAAGCUGCCGCUUCUUCAAGUGCUCAAACUGAAGCAAAAUUCGUAUUCAGGUGGUAAGCUGACUUGUGGCUCUGAUGGUUUUCCAAAUCUCAAGGUAUUGCACCUGAAAUCAAUGUUAUGGCUAGGGGAGUGGACUAUUGGGAUUGGAGCCAUGCCAAAACUGGAAUGCUUGAUUAUCAACCCUUGUGCUUACUUGAAAAAGAUGCCUGAACAGCUCUGGGGCAUAAAGAGCUUAAACAAGUUCGAUUGCUGGUGGCCUCAGCCAGAGCUAAGACAAAAGCUACGGGAAUUUGAGGAUAAGGAACAGUGCGGCAUUCAACUAUAUCCUUGCGGAAUUUGAUUAGCCCCUAUUGAAUUUGAUGUAUGUUUCUCGUUUUACCCAAUUUCUUCAAAUUUUAAUUAUUUAUCCAAUUGCAUAUACUUUUUUUUUCCCCUUCUCUUCAAUACAAAAAAGGUUUUACAAAUUGUUUUCUUCUAAUUUGUCUCAACAUUAAGUACCCUUUAGAGUUUCCAAUGCUCACCCCAAUCAUCAAGCCCUCUUUAGCAGCAGUGGAGACAUAAGUAUAUUCAACCAUGAGCCUAGAAGACUUCGGCGUUCAUUUGUUUUAAUAGUUAAGGAAAAAAAUGUAAUUUAAAAUUCUUAUUUUUCACAAUUUCUUCAAUGAUUUGUGUAGGUGAAAUCAGAGCAGAAAACAUCAUAACUGCAGCCCGAGCUUCAAUUUCAACCAGAAUCCUUUCUGUCUUCACUUCUGCUGUCUACACAAAUAAAUAAGAAGUUUCGUUUCGGAUUUUUCAGUUGAGAGUUCAUUGAUUUGUGCUUCAGCCUCGGUUCGUUAAUUGUGUACAAAAAAUAAAUAAUAUUUGUGAUGCUUUCUAGUGUUUGGGUUGAGUUGAAUGUGUUUUCUGUCUUUUGUUCUGUUGCUUGCUCUGAAAUCCUGUUUCAGAGGCUGGGCAAGUCUGGCACUCAAUAUGUUUCGUUUAUUUCGAGAAAAGAUUGAUUAUUGAUGAACUUCACACUUGGCUGAAUAUCUUAGUAAACGUUCUUGUGGAGAAAUCCUAAUACCCGCUUAGGCACUACAAUAAGGCAGAAAUACUAAUACUGCUUUACAUUUGUUGAUUGAUUAACAGCUUUGUUCUCUGCUGCUCUUUCUUUAUCUGAUACAGAAAAUUCCUUCAAUAUGAUUGCUAGUUGCUACUAACUAUCGAAGUAUUCCUCCUUUGGCUCAUUCAAUGGAAUAUGAGGGACAUAUUACUGAGACUGAGCCACGCUUCAUUGCCUUCCCGGAGAAAGUUGAAGUUUGGGCCGUGUACUUGGGACUGGAAUGAAGAGCGGCAGCGAAAUGAUUACAAGAAUUGCCAUUUAGAGGGGCUUUUUUGUGACUACUGAUGUGUCCCUCUAAUGGUUCAAUAAAUUGAAACCACGUCUAAUAAAAGGCUAGAAAAAAGCCGUGUAUAGUAAGCAGCGACUUUCAAUAAUAGAAUUUUGCGUGCAAGUGUGUGCAUUCGAGAAAGCAAAGUAUAAGUUUUUGUAUAGCUAUAGCCUACGGUAUAUGUGCGAGCACCUAAGAUAUAUUUUGCAGUGAGCAUUGACACGACAUCAAAUAUUUUUUCCUAGAGCAUGCAUGAAAACAUCUAUAAAAUUCAAGAAGGUAUAACUGCAAUCCCUCGUUCAAAUUUAUAACAAAUCAAUUAUAAAAAUAUUCGGAGCGAAAUUAUGUUUUAUAUUAGAUCACAUGUUAAAAUAGUUAUCAAGAUAUGCAUGUAUAUACUAUUUGCAUAAAUAAAAUGUACUGCGACAUUAUGUAAUGCAUUUGAGUGGGCAAAGGAGGAACUUUAUCACUUGCAAGGCUUUUUUGUUUGUCGUUACCCAAACCAAUUUGCUUGAAUAUAUCCUGCAAGAGCCUUUUUCAUUGCUACCAUAUGCCAUGGUUGUGAACUAAAAGUUUCUUAAACGCAAGAUUUAUGUUAAAAGAUUUUUCAUAACCAGUCUUUUAACACCAUUUUCAUCCACAUCUGUUUAACAACCGGUCUUAAUAACCUGUCUUUAUUGCUUUACCCGUACGUAAAUAGAAAGCAGUUAUAAUGUAUUUGCUGUAUUUAAUUAAAUCAAUUGUAUUAAAUUAAAUCAAGUGAUGAAAUUUGGUACAGGCCAAAGAAAAAAAAAUAAAUGUAGAAAUUUAAUUUGGUUUGUUAGCAUUCCAUUACUUGGCCAAUUUCCUUAACACUGAAUGAUUGAAUAAAUUUUUAAUUUUUCGUUUUCAAGAGUUUAUUGGAUUUGUUUGGAGGUAAAUUUGGAAGGAUAUUUAUGGACUAAUUGAAAGCUGACAUGUGGUAUAAGAGUAAUAAAUAACAAGUUUGAACGGUGAAACAAAAAAAAGACACCUCGACUGUCCUACACAAGCUAAUCAAGGAAAAGAAUAAAGUUUGGUAAAAUUAGCGUGAAAAGCAAGCUCAUUUGAUAUUUGAGUAAAGAGGUGCCAUGCAGUAGAAAAGAUUAAACUACCCUGUGGUACCCAAUCUAAAUAUAUUCACUUAAAAGGGGCAAGAGAAGGACUCAAUUUUUCUUUUUCUUUCUCUGCGACUCUCUUGAGCUCGAAUCACAACUAGAAAUUGAUUCAAUUCAAAUAAAAAAAUCAAUGAAAAAAACAACCAACCAUUAGUUAAAGUAUUGGAUAUGACUAUUUGCACUCAUCUAUUAAAUUUAAAAAAUUAAGUUAUACUUUGUACAAUCUUUAAAAUACUAAAAAUUUUUAAGCAUAUUAAAUUAAUUACAUUUAUUUACUCAAAACAAUACUCAAAGAAAAUUCUUUAAAAAAAUUUAGCAUAUCAUACUGAAGUUUUUAUUGACAAAUCGGCAAAUCCUAAUUGUGCAUAAAUAUGUAGCGUGCUUAUUACGUGUCUUGUAGCAUGCUUAUUACGUGUCUUUUCGCGUGCCAUGCUUUGGCCCAUCUCUAAUUGUACCGUGCUUUUAAGGCCCGCGUGCCUAAAAUUUUAGGCCCGACACGACCCACAUGCGUGCUGUGCCGUACCGCGUGCUCUACCGAAACAUGCUCGUGUCAUGCCGUGCUAUACAGACAUGUGCCGUGCCUCGUGCUGCCCAACCCAUUGGCCAUCACUAAACACACCCUCCACCACAAAUUACAGAUCCUCAGAAAAUAGAUUCUCCAAUAGAGGUGGUGAUGAACUUAUAGGUGCAAGCCAUGUAGCGGAGCGGAGCAGCGCUUCGGCUGAUCUUUCAAUAAAUAAUGACAAGAUUCCUAUCAGAAAUGAUAAUGGCAAUAAUAAUGAUAAGGAAACUAAAAACUCUGAAUAGCGAUUUGGCAAUGGCAAUCAAUCAGAGCAUAGGUUGCUUACUUAAAUAGGUGAGAACUUUGUACCACUCACGGAUCUCCAAUCAUCCAUCUCUGACACUAAUAUGUCUUCUAAGAACUCUGAAUAGCGAUUAAUGAUACGUGGAAGCUGCGUAAAAGUUAUGACAACAACAAAAUCAGCUUCAUGUUGCCUAAAAUACAAUUAAAUAUAACUAUAAAGAACUUUGUUGGGAAAUAUAAAUAGCAGCUACUUCAUCGUGAUCUUGGAAAUAAUAUUUUGAAUAAUAACAUUUUCCAGAAAAAGACAAGGAACAAUAGAAAAUAUUGAAGAAGCAAAAAAUACUGUACACUGUAGAGACCUCUCCUCAAAACUUUACUGUAAUUACCAAUUGUGACCGAGGAACUCAUUGCCACUCAUCAUCUAUAGUAUACAUAUAACUUUUAACACCUUAGCAAGGAAGUUACCUGCUCAGAUAGAAUACCGGAGAUGCCCACAACUGCUCCUGGCUUAGCAUAAGAAACAAUAUGAUCUGCUAAUUGCGGCAGAGGAUUAAGAAGAAUAUUUGCAAUAACUACAUCAUACUCCUCUGUCUCAGAAAUCCCUCUAAUUUCGUGUGAGCUCAAAUAUUCCACUACUCCGUCUACCCUUUCAUUCAUGGAGGCCGUGAAGGUUCUGUCUGGAACCAAGUGUAGUUUUAUUUUCUUAGGUCCUAUGUUGUUUAAAGCAGCAUUUUGAUGGGCAGAUUUGAUUACCUGGGGAUCUAUAUCAACUCCAACAAACAUGGCAGCACCGAACUAAAUUCACAAAAGAAUUGACUUUGUUUCACAUUGUACAACAGAAAGAAAAUUAUGCUACAGUAAUGGGUCGAUAUUUAUAGCUGCAGUAGCAAAGUUAAUAGUUGAUUACCUUGAUUGCUGCAAUUCCAAGAAUUCCUGAACCCGUGCCAUAGUCCAAGAAGAGUUCUCCUCCUUUUAUCAAGCUUCGUAACAACAAAAGACACAACUUAGUGGUGGCGUGCUCGCAAGUUCCAAAUGCCAAUCCAGGAUUCAAAAUUAUAUUUGUUGCUUGAACAUCCUGUAGCGAGCAAAAAAAUAAAAUUAUUGAUAAGAUGUGUUAACCAUUGCUCAAAGCUAAAAUUUUUCUUUGUAAAGAAUUAAAAGAAGUAAAAAUGCAAGGGAGACUAUUCCAGCAGUCAAACGGAUUUGCAAUGAGAAUGCCAAGUCGGUGUGUUUGGAUUACUCUUCCUAAUUUUAGAAUUUCCGCGUAAACUAUCAGGCAAAUUCACUAGAACCUUAGGUCAUUAGGCAGAGGGGCCCAAUAAUAAAUAAGCAGCUAUAUUGAAGACUUAACUAAUGUGGGAUUAAAUCAACAUUAUGAUUUUGCAAAUGAAAGUUCCUCAUUGAUGAAAUUUAAAGACUUGGAAGCAAUUAGCUCAUAAGACUUCUGCAGAAGCAAUGAAGAAGAGGGUACCCUAUAAAAGAUGAGAAAUUACUGCAACAAAACCUCCAAAGAGAGUGAGAUAAUCAUACUGGUGGUGUACUCCACUCGGGCACAAUCCAUAGUCCUUUUGUCACCUCAACGGGAUGAAAUGAUUCCUGCAACAUGUAAGAAAAUAGAAUCAAAUUAACAUAACAUAAUUCCAUUUAUACCAUUGUGAUAGAGAGAAAAAGGAGAGCAAACAAACCUGAGCUUUCUUUAUCCAGUUGCAUUGCUCUCCCAUUUUAACUUCAUAACGUGGUAUCUCUUUCAAGCCUAUGGAAUUAGCAGCAUUUAAUAUGCACUCAUCCACGUCUUUGCAUUCAGGAAAUAUGGAAUCAAUAUAGAUCUGCAUAAAACAAAUCUGUAAGUAAUAUUUAAAACAACUGUAGUUUUUAUUCAGAAGCCACUCUACAUUCAACAAAAUCUAAGACCAACUAGUAACAUUAUAAUGGCGUCUUAGAGGCACUCUUUUAACACAGAAAGAAGCCAAUUUUCAAUUCCAUACCAAACAUUGAAAAUUUUGUACUUAUUUAGUAUUAUUAUUAUUAAUUUUUUCCUCUGGCUACCUUUCUAGCAAGUGAGCCAACAAAGUCAACAAAAAUCUAAGGCCAACUGGUAACAUUACAUUGGAAUUUACAUUUGCAAAUGGGAUAUGAGUUUCAUUUCUUGUUUAUUGUUACUCUCAACAUCCUUUACAAGAUAUGAAUCAAUAAUAUAAAAAAAAAAGAAAAGAAAAAAAAGAAGGCAGAAAUUAAAAUACAAAGUUUCAACCUUAUCAGAAUUCUCAUCAGCAUCAUUAUCAUGUUCAUCCACGCUUGUAGAACUUGCACCGAAACAUAGAAGAGCUUCAGAAAACAUAUCCUGACAACACAAGUUAAGGCACCUCAAUUUUAAUGCCAAAUAAUUACUAAUUCAAAAUGCUUAAAAACACAGACAAGUGAAAAAAGUGAAACAAACUAAGGCAAGUUUUUGACAGCAAAUGCGAACUGAGAGAUAAGGAGAUUCCGCUAACGGAGGGUAGAUAGAGGAUAAGGAUGUGCAUGGAGAAGAAGAAGAAGAAGAAGAACAGGCUGAAACUUUUAUGAGAACGGAAGAGAGUGUUGUUGACUGGGUUCUGGGUUUUUGUUUUAUGAGCGUAAAUAGAUUCUGAUGGCGGGUGAGCUGUUUGUACGGAAGACGUUUGAAGAAAUGACCCAAUGAGAAGAAUGACAUCGCCGCCCUGCUUUAUUAAGAUAGUUGUUUAUCUCAAGGUGCGUCUUCGAUUCGCAGAGGACUCAAAUAAUUUAUUUUCUAUCACAAUUUAUUUCCGCUCCCUUCUGAGUAGGAAGUAGUGCUGAUUUCCGAGCUAUCUUCUCAAUAAAACUUUCAACUAUUAUAACAAUUCAAAGAAAAUAUAAUUAUAUACUAACAUAAAGUGGAAAGUCAAUUAAAUUGGAUUGUUUGAUUAGAUUGGAUCAAAUACGGGACGGUUAACUUCUAAAUUCUGUAAGAUAUCCCUUUCAAAAUAAGUAAAAUAGAGGUGGUCCUAAGUGGACCACACUCCAUUCUCAUUAAAGGGUUGUAUUUAUAGAAAUUGUACAUAAAAGAAAGCUAUCGACACCCUCUAAGACUUUCAUAGAACCCUGCGCCUAGAACAAUAGAACUUACAAAAAGAGAAUAGAGCGGAGCUAUUGGCACCUCUAAAAGAAUUCUUAUAUCUUAAAUUUAUAUUUUUAACUUUAAUCAAAUCACAUUUGACAAUUCAUCUCUCUUCCGCUAACCCCACAUGGGUUUUAUUUUUAUUAAAUAAGAAAUAAUUUUGUUGUUAUAGUGAAAUUAUUUUUUAUUUUUAUUCUUAAAUUAGUGGUUUCUGUUGGACUAAAAUUUUUAGUUCAUUAUUUUCAAAUUAUGAAAGACUUAUUGUCUUUUACUAUUUUGGCUACUUGUUCUCUUGAUUUUAUCGAUUUAUGUGUUCAUAUAAAAACAUGUGAAUUGUCCCAUUCAGAGUAUAAAAUGAUAUUGGAUUAGUUUCUAGCAAUCUUUUUUAGCAUAAAAGAAAUAUUUAUUUAAUUCUUUUUUUUCUCUCUCGUAUAGUAAAGUUAGUGAGAAAGAAGUGUACAAGGACGUUUGUGGAAUUAAAAUAGCUCCACUUAAGAGGAUGGCCUUGAGUAUUUCUUAUCUAGUUUUUAGAUUCUAUUUUCUACUAGUUCAACUUACUUCAUAGUAAUAUUUUGAUAUAUUUUCCCAUGGAAUGAUAAAAUUAAGUUAAGUAAUAAUAUAAAUUCUAUAUUAUAAGAAUCUUAUACACAUAUAAGAAUAAGAAUAAAAAGUUGGAAAAAGAAGUUCAAAGAAUUUUAAAUUGAAAAGUUGAUUCUCAUGUGCCGAACAAGGGCUUCAGAUUAAAUUGUUGAAAAAGUUUUGUAAUAAAAGAUUUUUGUUUUCAUAUGAUUUUUUAACAAAAAAGAAUAUAUAAGGUUAUUUGCGGAAUUAACAUAGGUGUUGUUAAAAGUAGUGUGAUUUACAUAUGUCAUUAACGGAGUAAUUUUAGAAGAGAUGUUUUAUGAAGAGUUUAAAGUGGUGCUAAUAGUUUCAUUUAUUGACAAAUGGGUCAAAAAAACAUCCAAAAGCUUCAAAGGCCUUUCAUAAUACUCAUAAUGGAACACAAAAUAGUUAAUUAUACUUUACAACUCAAAUUUUUUUUUAACAUUUUACAACUCAAAACACGCUAGAAGAUUUUUAAUAUUUCUUAGUUAACUAUAAGAUACUAUAUAAGUAUAUAUAACAAAACAAGAAUAUAUUGAUUGAUACCAUAUAUUUGAUACAAAUGAAUAGAAAAUCUCUCACUUGAUAGAAUAUAUAUAACAUAUGACAAGUUACAUACAUCUAAUUUGUCAAAAAAAUGGGCUAUCUAGAUGGUCAACACCAUCUUUCGUUGGAAAAGAAAACAAAAGAAGAAUGGAGAAUGAGGAGCCGCAAUCUAGAAGCUGUAAAUGUUUGAAGAAGAAAUAAGAGGCACACGGCUUUGACAAAAGAAAGAAGGAAAAUAUAUAUAUAUAUAAUUGAUGAAUAGUGCCAAAGCUUUCUCUAUAAAUAGAAACGAAGAGAAUGAGCAAAUUAAUUUCAUUCAGAAAGCAAUUUAGGGAGUUGAGAGAGAGUUUAAGAGCUUGCAUUUAUAAGCUCUUGUUACAGUGAUUGAGAGAGUUUGGGUGUAUUGGGGUUUUAGGUAGUGAGCUAAAAUACUACAAUACUUGUAACUCCUUUUCACUAGUAAAAUAUUUCCUUCUGUCUUCACCCGUGGAUGUAGGCUAAAAGCCGAACCACGUAAUUUCUGGUGUCCUCUAUUGUGCUUGUUCUUUAUUUUAUUUCCAAUUUCAUUUUAGCUGCGGUCCUGCUUCACCCACCAAUUUCCUAACAUAAUUUUCUGCAUGCAUAUGGAAAAAAAAUUAAUUGUUUAAAUUUCUAAUUUGUCAAAUCGAGGUUUGAUUUCUGAAUUUUUUUAGUUGUCAAGUGGAUUAAAUUCCCCCCCAUAUACACUGUCUAGAGAAACUCAUGAAUCUAAACAAACCAAACCUAUAUUAAAUUUAAUAAUAUCAUUAUCCUCAGACUCUUAGUUUUGCACUUUUGCUUGCAUAAACAUUAUGGAAUUUAAACUUAAAUCCACAUUAAGAUAAUAACAAUUAACAUGUGAAACAAUUUAUUGCUGCUCUGCUAUAUUAAGAUAGUUGUUUAUCUAAGGGUGCGUCUUCGAUUCGCAGAGGACUCAAACAAUUUAUUUUCGAUUACAAUUUAUUUCCCCUCCCAUCUGUAGGAAUUAGUGCCGAUUUUCGAGCAAUCUUCUCGAUAAUAACAAUUAACAUUUCAAAGAAAAUAUAAUUAUAUAUGAACAUAAAGCGGUGAGUCAUUGGAUUAGAUCAAAUAAGGAGAUGGUUACCUUAUAAAUUCUUUAAGGUACACCCAUCUAAAAUAAGUAAAAUAGAGAUGGUCGACAUGUAAAAUAUAUAAGGUGGCGAGGUCCAUCUAAUAAUUCGAUAUUGUUUAACCUACACGCAUAUUAAUGAAAGUUAUUGACACCCUCUAAGACUCUCAGCCUAAAACUUGCAGAACUACAAAAAGAGACUAGAGUGGAACUAUUGGCACAUCAAAAAGAAUUCUUAUAUAUUAAAUUUAUAUUUUUAACUUUAAUCAAAUCACGUUUGACAAUCCAUGUCUCUUCUUCUAACCCCACAUGGGUUUUAUUUUUAUUAAAUAAAAUAUAGUUUUGUUGUUGUAUGGAAAAUGUUUUUUAUUUUAUUUUUAUUCUUAAAUUAGUGGUUUCUGUUGGAUUGAAAAUUUUAGUUCAUUAUUUUCAAAUUAUGAAAGGCUUACCAUUUUGGCUUCUUGUUCUCUUGAUUUUUUUCAAUUUAUGCGUUCAUAUAAAAGCACGUGAAUUGUCACAUUCAGCGUGUAAAAUGAUAUUGGAUUAGCUUCUAGCAAUCUUUUUUAGUAUAAAAGAAAUAUAUAUUUAAUUCUUUUUUCUCUCUCUCAUAGUAAAGUUAAUGAGAAAGAAGUGUACAAGGACGUUUGUGGAAUUAAAAUAGCUCCACUCAAGAGGAUGGCCUACAGUAUUUCUUACCUAGUUUUUAGAUUUUAUUUUCUACUAGUUUAACUUACUUCAUAGUAAUAUUUUGAUAUCUUUUCCCAUGGAAUGAUAAAAAAAACUAAUAAUAUGAAUUCUUUAUUAUAAAAUUCGUAUAUACAUAUAAUAAUAAGAAUAAAAAGUUGGAAAACAAAGCUCAAAAAAUUUUAAAUUGAAAAGUUGAUUCUCAUGUGCCGAACAAGGGCUUCAAAUUAAAUUGGUGAAAAAGUUUCGUAAUAAAAGAUUUUUGUUUUCAUAUGAUUUUUUAAGAAAAAAGAAUAUAUAAAGUUAUUUCUGAAAUUAACAUAGGUGUUGUUAAAAGUAGAAUAUAUAUAGCAUAUGACAAGUUACAUACAUCUAAUUUUCUGCAUGCAUAUGGAACAAAUUCAAUUGUUUAAAUUUCUAAUUUGUCAAAUCAAGGUUUGAUUUCUGAAAUUUUUAGCUGUCAAAUGGAUUAAAUUUCCCCCCAUACAUACUGUCUAGAGAAACUCAUGAAUCUAAACGAACCAAACCCAUAUUAAAUUUAAUAAUAUCACUUUCCUCAGACUCUCAGUUUUGCACUUCUGUUUACAUAAACAUUAUGGAACUUAAACUUAAAUCCACAUUUUUCAUCACUCUCUUCGUGGCCUCAUGUGUGUUCCAUAAUGUUCUCUUCCUCAUCUUUUUGGUGCAUGCAUAAUUAACUAUAAUAUGACAACCAAUUGGUUGGCAUUUAUAUACGCAGGUGUGUUGUUUUAUAUUUCCAUGCCGGCAGUUGAUGCUCAACCGGAAUCAAAAGCAGUCACUUGUAAAAGCAAUGCCGACUGUGACAAUCCCUGUCAGCAACCGGAAUCAAAAGCAGUCACUUGUAAAAGCAAUGCCGACUGCGACAAUCCCUGUCAGUCGUUUCGAAUGCGAUCUUGAUACCCAUCUCUGCAUUUGUGUUCCUGCCCGCAAUUCGAUGACGUGUUGUUGAGGAGAUUAAAGCUUGUAUUGCAAGUUCUAGUGAUAUUUUGGAUGCUGAAUUGCAAAGUUUGUAACGUUACAAUCUUUGUUUCAUUUCUUACAUCACAUGUCAAAUAAAAGUAUCAACUAACUAAGAAUUGCUGCCUCUCUUCUGAUAUGCAUAUUAAAAUUGUGGUAAAAAAUUUACAAAUCAUCUCCAUGUGAUUGGUCCUAUUAUACAAUGUUGUACCAUACAUUUGUUGAAGUCUUUAAGGCUUGGAAUUAUACAAUUUUUAAAAUUUUCAGUAUUUUUUUGACUUUCGAGCUGGGUUCGGACUUUUUAGCCGGAGCCCAAGACCAGCCAGAAUACUUAGAAAACUUGCUCUAGCUAGACUUGAUUUUUCUGCCAUUCCUACUUAGAAUUCUAUUAUCAUUGAUUUCAUUGAUGGAUUGUUAUAUUUUUAACACUAAGGGCUCAAAUGAAAAUAAUUAUAAAUAGUGUCUUAUGAUGUAAUACUUUCAAAAAGGUGAGAGCUCAUAUAAUACUGAUAUUUGAAUCAAAAAAUGAUACAGUAGUGAGAAAACAACUAUAGAUUUUAUUUAUAAUGUUAAAUAAAAAAUUAUAACUAUUUUUCAAUUAACAUUAUAACAUUGCACAAUUUACUAUUAUUUUUGUCAUCCGUUGUUAGAACUCUUUAUCAUUUUUCAUUUCUUAAAAAAGAAUGCUAAAAAGAAAAUUGAACAUAUAUUAACUAUAAAAUUUUACAAACUAUUUAGUACUUGCUCUAAAUCUGGUCGAAGAAAUAAGACAGCAUCACACAUGAUUAAGAAUGCAUAUUUAUUUGAGUAAUUUUACAUUUAUAACCCUGGGAUACAAAUUUUAUUUGUGAUAUAAAUACAUGCAAGUCUCGCAAAAAAUUUAACAACGAACACCCGACAAUAUAUCUUCUUUUUAGACAAGCUUUUACAGGCCCAGUGGAAUUGUUUUUACCCUUUCUUUCUUUCUUUCUUUCUUAAAAGUGGAUGUAUAAAACAAAUUGGUCUUGAUCGAUACUUGACGAUGUCCUGUUUAUUUUUCUCUGAUUUAUUCUUUUUUCAUCAUAUGGAAGACGAGAUUAUUGUAAGAUUCUGCCUUGAUCUGUUCUAAUUUUAGAGUCAACGAUCUUGAUUCAACUUCUUGACUGGAGAACUAGCUAAGAGAAGGGAGGUAUGGGAGCCAGCACUACUGUUUGAAUUGAGAGCUUUAAAGCAUAGUUUCUUUUCAACUCUCUGUCUACUUACUUUAAAGCAUGCCACAGGACUGAUUACAGGGUGGUACCGAGAGAGGAGGAGAUAUGGACAUCAACUUCAGACUAUUUUCAGAGAGGCUGAGAAGGGUGUUAGCUGGUGAAGAAGUCACGUUGCCUGAUGCUGCAAAACAACCUAUUCACAACUUUCAUGCCGAGAUUGAAAUCGUUACUUCUUUGCUGAGGGACUUUGAAGAUGAUAUCUCCUGCCUUCUGGUGCAAAAAAUAGGAGACCUUGAAAUUGACAACCCAGAUCUGGCGACCGUUAUGGACGAAAUCAACUGUUUUACGUAUGAAUCUGAGAAGGUGAUUGACACAUUCAUCAACAGCAUCAGUGAACAGAAGAGUCAAAGCAGCUGCAGCGAGGAUAUUUUUGAUGCUCUGCAAGGACUCCAAAGCAGAAUCACUGAUAUUAAGCAACGGAUGCAACAACUUAAGCACAUGGAUUCCGAAAUCAUUGAUCGCAUCAAAACUUUUGAAGCUGAAGCCGCUAUAUCUUCAUCUUCUAAAAGUAGGGACACCGUGGGUCUAGAUGAUAGAAUGGAGGAGUUGUUAGAUCUAUUGAUCGAGGGACCACCUCAGCUUUCAGUGGUGGCCAUACUUGAUAGCAUUGGGUUGGACAAGGCGGCUUUCGCCGGAGAGGCUUACACCAGCAGUUAUGCGAAGCAUUAUUUUGAUUGUCACGCUUGGGUUCCAGGGACUUAUCCGUAUGAUGCUGACCAAAUGUUAGAUAUCGUUAUUAAGUUUCUGAUGCCUUCAUCUAGGUUGAGUGAAAUAAUGGAUAAAAAUUAUGAAAUGAAAAAAAUAAUUCUUAAUGAAUAUCUAAUGACUAAGCGGUAUUUGAUUGUGCUUGAUGAUGUGUGGAGCACAGAUGAAUUGGAUGCUAUUCGAGAAACCCUUCCGGAUAAUCAGAAUGGAAGUAGAGUAUUAAUAACACUCACUGAAAUUAAGCUGGUCACCUCAUUUCAGCUCGAAGACGGAGAGAACAUUCGGCUUGAUUUAGUGCCCACUGGAGGACCAUUGAGAGCUACAUACCAAGAAUGGCCUUUCCUCAUCUUAUAUCAUGGAAGCAUCUCAUUAGAAGAAAAUAUAACGGAAGCAGUGGAGAUACCCCUUGUGCUUCGGUACUUCAAAUGUUGCAGUUUACCUUUUUGCUUGAAACUUUGUUUUCUCUACUUAUCUGUGUUUGCCGCACACCUAGAGAUAUCCACCAGGCAGUUAUAUCAGUUGUGGAUAGCUGAAGGUUUCAUUCCAGACAAUAGUGAGGCAACUGCUGAGAGUUACUUAGAACAACUAAUCAAGGAAGGCUUUGUUGAAGCUACUAUAAGUAUAUAUAACAAAACAAGAAUUUAUUGAUCGAUAACAUACAUUUGAUACAAAUGAAGUAGAAAAUCUUCCACCUAAUAGAAUAUAUAUAGUAUAUGAGAAGUUACAUGCACCUAAUUUUCUGCAUGCAUAUGGAAAAAAAAAAUUAAUUGUUUAAAUUUCUAAUUUGUCAAAUCGAGGUUUGAUUUCUGAAAUUUUUAGCUGUCAAAUGGAUUAAAUUUCCCCCCAUAUAUACUGUCUAGAGAAACUCAUGAAUCUAAACGAACCAAACCAAUAUUAAAUUUAAUAAUAUCACUAUCCUCAGAUUGCACUUCUGUUUACGUAAACAUUAUGGAACUUAAACUUAAACCCACAUUUUUCAUCACUCUCUUGGUGGGCUCAUGUUUGUUCCUUAAUCUUCUCUUCCUCAUCUUUUUAAUGCAUGCAUAAUUAGCUAUAAUAUGACAACUAAUUGGUUGGCAUUUAUAUUUGCAGUUGUGUUAUUAGCAUUAGGCUAAUUAAUUGUUUGGCAGGUGAAUUGUUUUAUAUUUCCACGCCGGCAGUUGAUGCUCAACUGGAAUCAAAAGCAGUCACUUGUAAAAGCAAUGCUGACUGUGACAAUCCCUGUCAUUCGUUCGAAUAUGAUCUUAAUACCCAUCUCUGCGUUUGUGUUCCUGGCCGCAAUUCGACGUGUUGUUGAAGAGAUUAAAGCUUGUAUUGCAAGUUCUAGUGAUAUUUGGGAUGCUGAAUUGCAAAGUUUGUAACGUUACAAUCUUUGUUUCAUUUCUUACAUCAUAUGUCAAAUAAAAGUAUCAACUAAGAAUUGCUGCCUCUCUUCUAUUAUGCAUAUUAAAAUCGUGUACAAAAAUUUACAAAUCAUCUCCAUGUACUAUACAUUUGGAGAAGUCAUUGAGUUUUUUUUUUUUUGGUUAAAGCCAAGCCAAAAAGCCUGAAGUAUGCAUUCUAUAUUUUUUUAAAAACUUUUUUCAUUAUAUUUUACAAAUUUAUAGUUUAUAAAAUUUAGUUUUUUCUUUGUUAGAUUAGGCUUUAAAAGUUGGGCGACUUAAAACUUUAAAUAUAUGCUGUGAGUGGAUUAAAUAUAUGUUAAAAGUUAUGUUUUAAUUACAAUAAUAUAUAUUUUCAAAAUUUUUAAUAUUUUUUGGGCUUUCGAGCUGGAUUUGGGCUUUUUAGCCGAAGCCCAAGUCUAACCAGAAUACUUAGAAAACAUGCUCUAGCUGGAUCGGAUUUUUCUGCUACUCCUACUUAGAAUUCAAUUACCAUUGAUUUCAUUGAUGGAUUGUUAUUAUAAAUAGUGUCUUAAGAUUUAAUCCUUUAAAAAAGGUGAGGGUUCAUAUAAUACUGAUAUUUGAAUCAUUGAAUGAUACAAUGAUGACAAAAGAGCUAUAAAUUUUAUUUAUAGUGUUAAAUAAAUAUUAUAAUUAUUUUUCAAUUAACUUUGUAACAUUACAAAAUUUACUAUUAUUUUUGUCACCCUUAUGUCGCUGUUAGAACUCUUUAUUGUUUUUAGUUUCUUAAAAAAGAAUGCUAAAAAGAUCUCCAAAUUUCUACGGGAUAUGUAUGUAGUUUUAAAAUAAACAUGUAUUAAAUAUAAAAUUUUACAAACGAUUUAGUACUUUCUCCGAAUCUCGUUGAAGAAAUAAGGCAGCAUCGUACAUGAUUAAGAAUGCAUAUUUAUUUGAGUAAUUUUACAUUUUUAACCAUGGGAUACAAAUUUUAUUUGUGAUAUACAUACAUGCAAGUCUCGCAAUAAAUUUAACACACCAUACAUGAUUUUGCAUUUUUCCACAGCAUAAAUUAUUAAAUAAUUGAUGUCCUGUUUAUUUUUCUCUGCUUUAUUCUUUUUACAACAUAUGGAAGACGAGAGUAUUGUAAGAUUAUGCCUUGAUCUAUUCUAAUUUGAGAGUCAACGAUCUUGAUUCAACUUCUUGACUGGAGAACUAGCUAAGAGAAGGGAGGUAUUGGAGCCAGCACUAAUGUUUGAAUUGAGAGCUUUAAAGCAUAUUUUCCUUUUAAUUAUUUCUUUGCAUGCUCUUGGACAGAUUUCAGGGUGGAUCUGAGGGAGGAGGAGAUAUGGACAUCAACUUUAGACUAUUUUCAGAGAGGCUGAGAAGGGUGUUAGCUGGUGAAGAAGUCACGUUGCUUAAUGCUGCGAAACAACCUAUUCAGAACCUUCAUGCCCAGACCGAAAUCGUUACUUCUUGGCUGAGGGAAUUUGAAUAUGAUAUCUCCUGCCUUCUGUUCGAAAAAAUGGCGGAGGAGGAAAUUGAAAACCCAGAUCUGGCGACCGUGAAUCUGAGAAGGUGAUUGACACAUUCAUCAACAGCAUCACUCAACAAAAGAGUCAAAGCAGAUACAGCAAGGACAUUUGUGAUGCUCUGCAAGGACUCCAAAGCAGAAUCACUGAGAUUAAGCAACGAGUUUAACAACUUAAGCACAUCGAUUCCGAAAUGAUUGAUGAGUUCAGAAGUGUUGAAGCUGAAUCAUGUUAUUUUCCUGCAUCUUCAUCUUAUAAGAAUAGGAAUACGGUGGGCCUAGAUGAUAGAAUGGAGGAGUUGUUAGAUCUAUUGAUCGAGGGACCAACUCAGCUUUCGGUGGUGGCCAUACUCGAUAGCAUUGGGUUGGACAAGACGGCUUUCACUGCGGAGGCAUACAAUAGCAGUUAUAUGAAGCAUUAUUUUGAUUAUCUCGCUUGGAUUCCAGCGCCUUAUCACUAUGACCCUGACCAAAUAUUAGAUAUCGUUGCUGUGAUUCUUUUGCCUUUUUCUAUGUUUAGUAAAAUAAAGGAUAAAGAUUACGAAAUGAAAAAAAUUAUUCUUGGUGAAUAUCUAAUGACUAAGCGGUAUUUGAUUGUGCUUGAUGAUGUGUGGAGCACAAAUGUAUUGGAUGUUGUUCAAGAAAUCCUUCCGGAUAAUCAGAAUGGAAGUAGAGUAUUAAUAACACUCACUCAAAUUAAGAUGAUCACCUCAUUUCAGCUCGAAGACAGAGAGAACAUUCGGCUUGAUUUAGUGCCCACUGGAGGACCAUUGAGAGCUACAUACCAAGGAUGGCCUUUCCUCAUCUUAUAUCAUGGAAGCAUCUCAUUAGAAGAAAAUAUAGAGGAAGUAUUCAAUAUACCCACUGGGAAUCUAACCUUCGUAUGUUGCAAGCUACCUUUUCACUUGAAACUUUGUUUUCUCUACUUAUCAUUGUUUCCCGCACACCUAGAGAUAUCCACCAGGCAGUUAUAUCAGUUGUGGAUAGCUGAAGGUUUUGUUUGUGGGAUAUGCUUCGACGAAGACCAGCAGUGAUGAGCAGACAUCUGAUAACAGGGUUCCUCGAGCAGGUAUAUCUUGUAAGAGUCUGGUAUCCGGGGGAGCAGGAGCAGGAAAAUCCUGCUCAUCCACGAGCACGUCAUCCACGAGGCCAAUCUCUUGUUGGAAGCAUAGAGCCAUUCCUGCUUCAUUCCUGCUAAAGGUUGAGUCGAGGAGACCCGGUCAACGACAGUUGGCGAGGCGUGCUCUCCAGUCCGAGAAUCAAGGCACGGAGGUCACGCAACCACCCACGACUACGGAAAUAGGGCAUCCACUUUCGAGAGGUGGGAGGAUAACGAGCGCGAAUGGAGGGAAGGCCCGAGUUCAGAAGUGGCCUAUAAAAAGGUAGCCAACGAAGGUAAAAUGGUUAGAUUUUUUGAGAUUGCAACUAAGAAAAGAGAGCUUUAAGAAUUGAAACUAAAGAGAAGCCAUAAGAUUCGUGGCAAACAUUCCUAGAACCUUCAUAUCUGAUUUGAGCGUCGGAGGGUUUACGCCGGGAAAACAACCGGCGUACUCUGACCUGCUUCUGUGUACGCAGGAACUUUUAGAGAAGAAACCUUACGAGGAGAGAUCCUGGUCGUGGUAGAGUUGGUCGAGCAGAGGUCCUGGUCUUGGUAGAGAAGACAACCAGAAUCUCGCAUCAACAUUUUGGCGCCGUCUGUGGGGAGCUGAUAAAAAAGCUUCUGUUAAUAACAAGAAGAGGAGUGAAGCAAGUGGAAAGGCAAUGGAGACAGGAGGAAGUAGUGCACAAGGGGGUGAUAUGAGUAUUAAUGAUUUCGUGACGCUGAGGGAGAUAGCUAGUGAAGCACGGGAAAAAGCCAUGUUCGACCGGAUGGAACGAAUGGAAAAGCAGAUGGAGACCCUGACAACCAUCCUACAUGAGUUGCGGAGUGAACGAAGGGGAACCCAGGAGGAAAGGGUGAGAGGUGGUGGAGUGACACCAGGUCCCGGUAGUACGAGGAGAAGUCAAACCACCGGAAGAUUUGGUGGUGAGAGAGGUAACAUACCUCUGCGGGGGGAAUUUCAUAAAGAGGAAGAGCAAUCCCCGGCAAGACAGAUUUUUGACGAGGACGACGGGGUGACGAAUGCAGAGGAAACUGAGUUGAGGCGACACGUGCAUGAUGUAGAGCAAGAGCGGGAUCAAGUUGCAGCAUGUGACCCUGGGCGUGCAGUGCAGCUGGAGGAGGAAGUGCGCAGACUAGCGCAGAUAAUUGACGACAUGCAAGGAAGGAGCAGAGCUCCUGGUUGGAGGAUAAUGCUGGACGGAGAAUCACCACUCGCAGCAGAGAUCAUGAGGCCAGUUAUUCCGAGAGAUUUCCGCCUCCCAGACCUUAGAUAUUCGGGACGAAUUGAUCCGCUGGUGCACAUAGAGCGCUUCAACGACAUAACCGGGGUACAAGGAUUAUCUCAAUCCCAAAGGUGCAGGGUGUUCCCACUAUCCCUUGAGGGAGGUGCACGCGAGUGGUACAGGAAACUUCCUCGGGGGAGCAUUAAAACCUUCGAGCAGAUGUGCCAGGAAUUUGCAGAGCAGUUUCGUGGGGCAAUGGCACCAGAAGAUGACAUGAUGAAGUUGAAAAACAUGAAGCAGGGGGAACAAGAAACCCUUCGGGAAUUCAUCAAGAGGUUUCAUCGUGUUGUCCUCGAUUUGGGAGCCUUCAACCAUCCUCAGGCAUUAAAGGGACUGAAAGAAAGGGUGAAGAUAGGAAGACUGUGGUACAAUUUGAGAAGCCCAGUUAUUCAGACGUAUGCAGCCGCAUACGAGCAGGCUAAGAAGGACAUUGAGAUUGAAGAGGAAAAGGCAGCACGGAUCAAGACAGACCAGUUAUAAGGGUUAGGAAAGAAAGAGAAGAAAGCAUUACCAGGGAAUGAGCCGAUAAGGAGGAGGGACCACCAUGCCUCAGGUAGUGGAGCAGAAGGUCGGGUAACUGCUUACCAGCCUCAUCAGAGGCCACCACAGUAUCAACGCAGUAGGGUGCAACCUCCUCGUUCCCCAGCUAGGGAGCCUUGGAGAAGGCAUGACUCGGCAUAUGGUGGUCUUCAUCAACACCCCCACGGUAAUAGAGGGAGUAGACCAGAAGUGCUGCCACCGCCUCCAGCUCAGAACGGAGCAAAUAGAGAAAUGGCAGUGCACCUGAUCGACCAGAACCAGGACUAUGGGCGGUAUACUUCCUUGAAGAUGUCCCUGGACGAGGUGUACGAGGCCAUAAAGGACCGAGGGUUGCUGUAUCUCCGUGUCCCAAUAAUAAAACUACGCAGCAGGAGAGAUAGGGGACGCUAUUGUAAGUUCCAUGGCACUCAUGACCAUACCACAGCAGAAUGCCGAGAUCUCAAGACCCAGGUUGAAGAUUUGGUGAGAAAUCGGUACCUGGAUGAGUUUAUAGAUGGGACCUUCCCAAUGGUAGCCUCGACAAGUGAAGGGGAGCAGAGUGACAUGAACUUGAGGCGUGAGCAGCCUACAGUAAGGGUGAUAGCUGGGGGCCCAACAUUGGCCGGAGAUUCCAACAGAUUGAGGAAGAAUUAUGCUAGAUACGCCAUGACCAGUAAAGAGGUAUUCUUUAACAUCCCAGCAGCCAAACGAGCAAGGGUCAGGCAAGUGCCAAUCAUGUGGACGGAUGAAGAUGAGGAAGGGAUUCUAUACCCCCACGAGGAUGCUUUAGUCAUCAAGGCUACUGUCGCUAGCAAGAAGUUUGACCGAAUAUUGAUUGAUACAGGGAGCUCAGUUGAUGUGUUAUUUAAGUCAACUUUGGAGGAGAUGGGAAUAGCAGACCAGAAGUUGGAGUACACCAAUACCUCCUUGAAGGGGUUCGGAGGAGGAAAACUAGUCCCUCUGGGCGUGGUCGAGCUGCCUAUCACGAUUGGGAGCUCCCCGACAGAAAGGACAAUGAUACUGGACUUUGUGGUGGUGGAUGAAGAAGGUCCUUACCAGAUGAUCCUAGGUCGGCCAUUUCUAAGGAUGAGCAAAGCGGUACUGUCCAACCAUUAUUUGGGUCUCAAGUACCGGGUGAAUGGGGUAGUUGGAGUGGUACGAGGAGACCAGAGAAUCGCAAGAAGCUGCUACUCCUCGGCAGCAAGGGAAACAAUGCAGAUAACAUCCCUGGAUACCUGAGUGGAAAACAAGAAUAGCAGACAAGAACCUGUAGAGGAGCUGGAGACAGUAAGCUUGGGACUAGAGAAUCCGGGAAAGAUGAUCAGAAUCGGGUCGAGACUUAAGGAAGAGCUGAAGCAGGAGUUGGUGAAAUGCUUACAGGCUCAUGCAGAUGUGUUUGCUUGGACACAUGAAGACAUGCCAGGGAUUGAUCCUGAGGUAGCAUGCCAUAAGCUGGCAAUAAAGAAAGGUGCUCGAGCAGUAAGGCAGAAAAGGAGGUGCUUCAACCAGGAGAGAUAUGAGGCUAUAAAUGGCGAGGUGGAGAAGCUCUUGAGAGCAGGGUUCAUUCGGGAAGUCAAUUACCCUGAGUGGAUAUCGAAUGUGGUGUUGGUAAAGAAGGCAAAUGGCAAGUGGAGGAUGUGUGUAGAUUUCACAGAUUUUAAUAAGGCGUGCCCAAAAGACAGCUUUCCUUUACCAAAGAUCGAUCAGCUAGUAGAUUCAACUGCUGGACACGGCCUGCUUAGCUUCAUGGAUGCAUUCUCGAGAUAUAACCAGAUCCCCAUGUACGAGCAGGAUCAGGAGACCACGACUUUCAUUACUAACCAGGGCUUGUUCUGUUACAGGGUAAUGCCAUUUGGUCUUAAAAAUGCUGGGGCCACAUGCCAGAGGCUGGUGAACAAAGUCUUUAAGCCAUUGAUCGGGAGAACCAUGGAGGUGUACGUGGACGACAUGAUAACCAAGUCGAAAAUCCCGAAGGAACAUGUCGGACACCUCGAGGAGACAUUCGGGCUUUUGAGGAAGUAUAAGAUGAAGCUCAACCCGGAAAAGUGUGCUUUUGGGGUCGAGUCAGGGAAAUUCCUUGGAUUCAUGGUGAGCCAUAGGGGGAUUGAAGCAAAUCCCGAGAAGAUCCAGGCGAUCGUGCAGAUGAGGUCUCCUCGUAGCCUGAAGAAGGUGCAAAGCCUCACGGGGAGGUUGGCGGUGUUGAGCAGAUUCAUAUCCAAGGCUACAGAUAAGUGUCAACCAUUCUUUCAAGUGAUAAGGAGGGGAAAGAAAACAGAGUGGACCCCAGAAUGCGAGGACGCCUUCCAGAACUUGAAGCAGUACUUGCAGCUAGCACCUCUGCUGUCCACACCGAGGGAUGGGGAUAAGUUAUUUUGUAUUUGGCGAUAUCAGAUCGGGCCACAAGUUCUGUUCUGGCGAGAGAGGAAGAAGGGGUUUAGUAUCCAAUAUACUACACCAGCAAGGCCCUGCUCGACGCUGAGACCAGAUACCCACCGUUGGAAAAAUGGGCGCUUGCCCUUGUGGUUGCUGCUCGGAAGCUGAGGCCAUACUUUCAAGCAUUCCCAGUCUCGGUAAUAACAAACCAGCCAUUGCGUCAAACUUUGCACAAGCCAGAUGCUUCUGGUCAGCUCGUCUAGUGGGCUAUAGAGCUGAGUGAGUUCGACAUAGACUACAAACCUCGAGCAGCGAUAAAGGCUCAGGCAAUGGACGAUUUCGUAGCAGAAUUCACAGAGCCCGAAGUAUGUUUGGACCAACGAGAUGUAGUUACAGACAGUAGCGAAGCUCAAGUAUGGCAAAGGUCUGUAGAUGGGUCAUCAAGGGAGUAGGGAUCAGGAACAGGGAUUGUCUUAGAAGGCCCAAGGGGGAGGAGAUCUCUUAUGCUGUAAAGUUAGAAUUCACAGCCACAAAUAACCAGGCAGAGUAUGAAGCCUUGAUAGCAGGUUUGGAAUUGGCUAAGGUCGUGAAAGCAGAUAGAGUGAAGAUCAGAACUGAUUCCCAGCUGGUUGCGAAUCAUGUCAGUGAAAAAUUUCAACUGAGAGAGGAGAAGAUGAAGCAGUACCUGAAGAUAGUCAGGCAGAUGAUGGGGAAAUUUGAAGUUGUGGAGGUGGUACAAAUCCCCAAGGAGCAGAAUAGUCGAGCAAAUAUUUUGGCCAGGAUGGCAGCGGUAGCAGACCCAAAAAUGCCAAAGUCGAUCCCUCUGGAGGUGAAGUCCAGCCCGAGUAUCGAGCAGAAUUUGGGGGUGCUGCGGAUAGAAAAAAAAUGCUCGUGGAUGGACCCGAUAAUUUCAUACCUUAAAGACGGGGUAUUGCCACCAGAUAAGCUGCGAGCUCAGAAGAUUAGAGCCCAUGCCUCGAGAUACACGAUGAUUGAUGGGGUAUUGUAUCGGCAAAGAUAUACACUACCUUUCCUUCGAUGUUUGGAUGAGGACGACGCGGAUUACGUACUGAGAGAAGUACAUGAAGGAAUUUACGGAAAUCAUUCUGGUGGGAGAUUCUUGGCCCAUAAGGUUCUAAGGCAGGGAUAUUUCUAGCCGAAAAUGCACCAGGAUGCGCAAGGGAAGACCAGGAGCUGUGUAAGCUGCCAGAGUUUUGCAAGUUUCUCCAACCAACCAUCAGAGAAGCUCACCUCCAUGGCCUCCCCUUGGCCAUUUGCUCAAUGGGGAAUUGAUCUGAUCGGCCCGUUGCCAAAGGGACGAGGAGCAGCAACACAUGCAAUAGUUGCUAUAGACUACUUCACGAAGUGGAUAGAGGUAGAAGCCUUUAGCAGGAUCACAGAGAAGAAAACAACAGACUUUGUGUGGAGAAACCUGGUCUGUUGAUAUGGGAUCCCAUAUGCCUUGGUAACGGAUAAUGGCAGGCAGUUCGAUAAUCACAGCUUCAGGGAUUUCUGCCAGAACCUAGGGAUAGAGCUGAAGUAUUGCUCGCCUGCUCACACUCAAUCGAAUGGACAAGUAGAAGCAGCCAAUAAGACCAUCAAGAGGCUUUUGAAAACCAGGCUUGGGGCAAAAAAGGGUGCAUGGGUUGAUGAGCUGUCAGGUGUUCUAUGGGCAUACAGGACAACCCAUAAGACAGCAACUGGGGAGACACCGUUUGCCUUGGCCUUCGGACAUGAAGCGGUCGUACCAGCCGAGAUAUUAACGACCACGAACCGGACAGAACAUUUCAAUGAACAGGAGAACAACGAGCAGAUGUGCCUGAAUCUAGAUAUGCUAAUGGAAAAGAGGGAGCAAGCAGCAGAACGAUCAGCCAUUUACCAGCAAAGGGUUGCUCGUUAUUAUAACCAGAAAGUGAAUGUACGGCAAUUUCAGGUCGGAGACGGGUACUGAGAAGAGUGAAUCAGAGCACCAAAGACUCGACUCAAGGAGUUCUGGGACCGAACUGGGAAGGGCCAUAUAGGGUCAAGCAGAUAGUGGGACCCGGAGCUUACAAGCUGGUUCACACGGACGGCCACGAGGUGAAACGCCCAUGGAACGCAGUACACCUCCAAAAAUACUUCCAGUAAGACUUAUUCACAUAUUAAAGCUAUUUCUGCCCGUGCUCGUUGUCUUUUAUUUUUUAUGUCAAAACAAUUUCAUGUAAGAUUUAAUCCUGCAAUUAAUGGAACGUUGAGGAAUUUCAUUCACUUGAAACUGUGAAAAAUUCUAAGGCAUGCAAAGGCUCACCAAGUCUCAAAGCUUGUUUUAUGGCGAGACAGAAGCCAAGCGUGCCAGGAUCUGCUCGACCGCACGAAGGCGAGCAGAAUCCCAAGCAUUGAAGAAUUUUCUAAGGCAUGCAAAGGCUUACCAAGUCUCAAAGCCUGUUUUAUGGCGAGACAGAAGCCAAGCGUGCCAGGAUCUGCUCGACCGCACGAAGGCGAGCAGAAUCCCAAGCAUCGAAAUAUUUUCUAAGGCAUGCAAAGGCUCACCAAGUCUCAAAGCCUGUUUUAUGGCGAGACAGAAGCCAAGCGUGCCAGGAUCUGCUCGACCGCACGAAGGCGAGCAGAAUCCCCAAGCAUCGAAAUAUUUUCUAAGGCAUGCGAAGGCUCACCAAGUCUCAAAGCCUGUUUUAUGGCGAGACAGAAGCCAAGCGUACCAGGAUCUGCUCGACCGCGCGAAGGCGAGCAGAAUCCCCAAGCAUCGAAAUAUUUUCUAAGGCAUGCAAAGGCUCACCGAGUCUUAAAGCCUAUUUAUGGCGAGACCAGAAGCCAAGCAUGCCAAGAUCUGCUCGACCACGCGAAGGCGAGCAGAAUCCCCAAGCAUCGAAAUAUUUUCAAAGGCAUGUGAAGGCUCACUAAGUCUCAAAGCCUGUUUAUGGCGAGACCGGAAGCCAAGCAUGCCAGGAUUUACUCGACCGAGCAAAGGCGAGCAGAAUCCCAAGUCAUGUAGCAAGACCAUAUGCUAAGCCAGAGCCUGUUCGACCAAGCGAAGGCGAGCAGACUCUCAAACGUAAAAAUAACUUGUGAAUACAAAUGCAAGAAAGUAAUCAAAAAUAGUUUUCAUUAAUUUAUCAAUAGCCAACAAAGCUGUCCAUUACAACACAAGAAACAUGUUCAAGAAGAUGGCAGAUCAGUUAGCCGAGCAGCAUCGGUUGACUGGACCUCCUCAGGUGCAGGGGGGUAUCACCAGUGUGUCUGGGGGGGUGCUCGCCUCGCCAACAUCAGCAGGGAUUGCACGAGGAUGAGAGUUUUCCUCAUCAAUCACGAUUGGCUCUACCCCUUCGGCAUCUUCCUUGGCCGCCUCCUCGUCCAUGUGUUGAGCAACACCAGCUGCAAGGUCAUCCAUCUUUAGAUCAGGAUGCUGCUUCCCGAGGACGGCCAUGAUGCAACGAUAGGAAUGCCGAAGUCCCUGGUCGUACUGGUUGUCGGCUUAAUUCUCUAAGUUCUCGACCUGAACUCGGUGGGAAUCGCGGAGAGAUUCGAGCUGAGCCUCAUACAUAGCCUUCUGCCUUUGAAGAUCCUCCUUGACCUUGGUCAGCUCUUCCUCGAAGGUAAUGGCUUUUGCUUGAGUAAGAGAUUCUUGCUCUAUCAGCUUCAGGUUCUCGACAUUCAGCUCCCCUGCUUUCUUCUCGGCAUCGUCAGCUCUGGUCAUCGCCGACUGAAUGUCCUCCUUCAUCUUCCUGUCAUAACGGCCAACCUUGGCCUUAUAGUAGGUGGUCAUACAGCUGAGAUGGAAAGCGCUAUACUGCAUGGCUCCCACCAGCUCGCCUAAGGUGCAGCCAUCAAAGUCCUCCAGGUCCUUCUUGCUCACGAGUUUGGAAAGCUCGUUGAGAUAUGGGGCCAAGUGUUCUGCUUGGCUGUCAGAUAAACGAGAUCUAGGCCCGACAGGAGGAGAAGAGGAAGCAGGAUCAGUGGCUGCUCCACUAGUUUCUCCGACUUUGGCAGGAAGAGGAGGUAGAGUCUUCAAGGGAGGAACUUGUUGCACAAUGUUAACCCGCUUCGCAGUGGGAGCGUCCUUGCUCUGGUCCCUCUUCGCAGUUUGAGGUCGAGGACGCUUCCGAGUCAGAGCCUCAAUCACAACAUCCUCCAUCUUAUGGCCGGGGGACACCAAACAAGACUCGAGUAGGUUAUAAGUAGUUAUCAGCUCUCGGCUCGAGCAAGAAUUGACUAGUACAGCCUCGAUCCGUUUGAGCUGGUCAGGUUUGAGCGGAAAGUGAACACCCCAAGAACUUGCAACACAAACAGACACUUGGUUAGAGACAAAUCAGUAAAGCGAGAACAAUUUUGGAUACAAGACAUCUAAAGCGAGCAGGCAACCUGGGACCGUGAAACGGGGUGGGACGCGAUAGUCCUUUCCGUCUAUUUGUGCAACUUGACCCCAAGUACCCCCAACAAAAAAGAAUUUCCUCUUCCAAGUCCCACUUCCACCAGUUGGAAGAUCAGUUAUGGGUUUUCUGCUCUUGGUACUAGAUUGGAAGUAGUACCAGCCGGCAUCUUUGGGGCUGCUCUUUAGCUGGUACAGGUGCUUCACCUCAUCAACCGUGGGCUCGCUUUGGCAACAUCUGUCCCACAAUAUGAACAGACUAGAGAGCACUCUCCACCCGUUGGGAUUCAGCUGACCAGGAGCCAGAUUUAGCCCGUUAAGUAUAUGGGCAAAGUAGGGUUGCAAGGGACACCUCAGCCCAUACUUAAAGCUCUCCAGAAACAAGGUAACGUAUCCCCUAGGAGGCCGGCUAGGUGUAUCCUUUUUUCCUGGGAUCUUAAGAGAUAUUUCACCAGGAAUACUAUACCUAAGUCGGAGGUCAUUGAGCUCGUCAAAUGUGGUCGUGCACGUCAUGUAAUCAAUGGCAUAAUCCCGCGACAAGGCUCUACCUCCUACUGUACUCCGCCCUUCUGGUUGUAAUGUUCCUGAUGGGGACGCCUCACCAAAAUCACCUUCCCCAUCCCCACUCAAGGUGUUUUCUGAAUCGGAAGAUCCCUCCUCACCACUAUUUCCGCUUGAGGAGGUUGUUUGGGGGGACAUCCUCCUAGCGCUAGUACCAACACCAGACCUAAUGGGUUCUAAGGGGAUCGGUGAGCAGAUUAGGUAAGAAAUCUAGCCCGUCGUCAUCAAUCUCAACGACUUUCUCUUUACCUUUCGACAUUCCCUAAGCAAUAACCAGAACACCACCAAUUACUACCUAAGCAAAGCAAAGAGAAAAGAAAUUAUCUACAGCUAUCCGAGAUCGAUGAGAUAGAAGUAAUACCUGAAGUAGUGGUUCAGUCGGAGAAGGACAGGGAUGGAGGCUUUUAUGCCGGAGCUUCUUUGCCAGAGAGAGACAGGGAACGAGAUGGAGAAAACGACAAAUUUUCCUUUAAGAGAAGGUUGUGGGUUUUCCUAAUGGAGAGUGAACUCUUGGGUUGCCGGCAUUUAACAGCACCGAAUCCCAAGGGUCUCGUAAUUGUUGGUUUGAAAUUCAAAUAGAGGGGUAGAUUUCCGCCACAUCAACUCGUCCGUAAUUAAAUACGACACGACUCUUGGCAGCCUUUUUCCUAUCCCGCGCAAGCAAGGACUGUCAAGUUUCUACUGUCGACUUACUGCGUUACCCAACACCAGAAACUGGGGGACCGGUGUUUGUGGGAUAUGCUUCGACGAAGACCAGCAGUGAUGAGCAGACAUCUGAUAACAGGGUUCCUCGAGCAGGUAUAUCUUGUAAGAGUUUGGUAUCCGGGGGAGCAGGAGCAGGAAUAUCUUGCUCAUCCACGAGCACGUCAUCCACGAGGCCAAUCUCCUAUUGGAAGCAUAGAGCCAUUCCUGCUUCAUUCCUGCUAAGGGUUGAGUCGAGGAGACCCGGUCAACGACAGUUGGCGAGGCGUGCUCUCCAGUCCGAGAAUCAAGGCACGAAGGCCACACAACCACCCACGACUGCGGAAAUGGGGCAUCCAAUUUCGAGAGGUGGGCGGAUAACGAGUGCGAAUGGAGGGAAGGCCCGAGUUCAGAAGUGGCCUAUAAAAAGGUAGCCAACGAAGGUAAAAGGGUUAGAUUUUUUGAGAUUGCAACUAAGAAAAGAGAGCUUUAAGAACUGAAACUAAAGAGAAGCCAUAAGAUUCGUGGCAAACAUUCCCAGAACCUUCAUAUCUAACUUGAGCGUCGGAGAGUUUAUGCCGGGAAAACAACCGGCGUACUCUGACCUGCUUCUGUGUACGCAGGAACUUUUGGAGAAAAAACCUUACAAGGAGAGAUCCUGGUCGUGGUAGAGUUGGUCGAGUAGAGGUCUUGGUCUUGGUAGAGAAGGCAACCAGAAUCUCGCAUCAACAGGUUUCAUUCCAGACAACAGUGAGGCAACUGCUGGGAAGUACGUAGAGCAACUAAUCAAUAGAGGCUUUGUUGAUGCAAGGAAGAGAAGAGCUGGAGGCACUAUCAACACAUGCUCUGUUCGUGGUCGUUGCCGUCCUGUGUUGUUAGCAGUGGCUUUCAAGGCAGAAUUUAUCUUUUUCUCAUUCAUGGAUCCAGAAGGUAAAUCACGAAAGAAUGUCAAACCGAUCAACGUUUUUGAAAAACAGAGUAAUUUUGCUUGCUUAGAUGAUUAUGACUCGCACAUGCAUUCUUUGUUGUACUUCACUUCAAAAAGAGACCACCUUGACCCAAUAGAUUGGGAGAAAAUUUGCAGAAUGUUCAAACUUCUCAGAGUAUUGGACUUGGGAUCUCUUGUUCUCAUCCAAUAUCCAUCCGGAAUUGAAAAUUUAUUUCUUUUGAGAUAUUUAAAGUUGAAUAUCCCUUCCCUCAAAAUCCUGCCUUCAUCAUUAUUAAGCAAUCUUCUGAACCUUUACACCCUAGACAUGCUCUUUAGCUAUAUAGAUCAUACAACAGAUGAAUUUUGGAAGAUGAACAAACUCAGGCAUCUAAAUUUUGGGUCAAUCACACUUCCUGCGCAUCCAGGAAAAUAUUGCGGCUCUCUGGAAAAUCUCAAUUUCAUUUCAGCCUUGCAUCCUUGCUGCUGUACUGAAGAUAUAUUGGGCAGACUACCUAAUCUCCGAAAUCUCCGGAUUCGGGGAGAUUUAAGUUAUUAUCAAUUUUUGUUGUCCCAAAAUAUUUGCAGAUUGAGUUGCCUCGAGUCAUUGAAGUUGGUGAAUGAAAGCAAGAUGCCACGGAUCUCCAAAAUCAUCCUUGCUGAAUACCUAUUUCCUCAUAGUCUAACCCACUUGAGUUUUUCUAAUACUAACCUAAUGGAUGAUCCCAUGUCGACACUAGAAAAGCUGCCGCUUCUUCAAGUGCUCAAAUUGAAGCAAAACUCGUAUUCAGGUAGAAAACUGACUUGUGGUUCUGAUGCUUUUCCAAGGCUUAAGGUAUUGCACAUGAAAUCAAUACUAUGGCUAGAGGAGUGGACUAUGGGGACUGGGGCCAUGCCAAAACUAGAAUGCUUGCUUAUCAACCCUUGUGCUUACUUGAAAAGGGUUCCUGAACAGCUCUAGUGCAUAAAGAGCUUAAACAAAUUCGAUUGCUGGUGGCCUCAGCCAGAGCUGAGACAAAAGCUACGGGAAUUCAAGGAUAAGGAGCAGUAUGGCGUUCAACUUUAUCCUUACAGAAUUUGAUUAGCCCUGAUUGAGUUUGAUGUAAGUUUUUUCUUCUUCCCCAAUAACUUCAACCUUUAAUUAUUGAUCUAAUUUCAUAUAAAAGUUUUUUUUUCCUCCACAAUAGAUUUGAUAGUAUGCAGCUGCCUAAACUAUAAUCAUAAUAUAAAGUGUUUUCUACAUUCUAAUUGUGGUUGCUUCUAAUUUUUGUCUCAAAAUAAACUUGAAGUGUCCAUCACAGUUCCUGAUGCUGACACCAUUCAUUAAAAAAUGUAUGAUAAAAUCUUCAAUCAGUUGUAUGUGCAGGUAAAAGCAGAGCGGAAAAUAUCUUAACUGUACUGCAGCCAAAGUUUCAAUUUCAACCAGAAUCCAGCCUUCAUCCUUUCAGUGUUCACUUCUGCUGAGUUGUCUACACGUUGUUUGGUUUCUUUGUUUUCAAGGAUUUGCAUGCUAAAAGUAAUAAUGUCAUGUUCAGAUUAAUAUAUUGUACAAAAGUCUGAUUAAUUGUUUUACUUUCUAUUUUCAGUUUCACUGGUGUGUAUUCAAUUUGUCAACAUUCAAAUUGAUAUAUGUUAUGUUUUUAUUUUUAUUUUAUUUCUUUCUCUAGUUUUUAAGUAGCGGUACAGUUCAACUUCAAGCUUAGUACUUCAGUUAGAAGAAUAGUAUUUGUGCUUUGAUCUCAUCUCAUCAUCUCAACACAGGCAGAACGACAUUGUUGUUCGGUUUUUUGGAAUUUCACCGACGUGUCGGUCAUUAUAAGGGCGAGAAUGCUGGUCAAACGUCAGUUGGGGUUAGUUAAAAAGGUGCAGGAAAAUUCUGGGAUUGUUAUAGAUGGCCUUUAUCAUAGUUUAUAAGGCUGGUUGAUGGGUCAUCUUCUCAUAUCUCAUCAAAGCUAUGGAGAGAGAGAGAGAGAGAGAGAGAGAGAGAGAGAGAGAGAGUUAAAGUAGAAAGUUGUAUAUUCUUGUUCUCUGUAACAAGCUCUACAUCCUGGUAACCUUGAUUUGUGAAAUAGUGAAAGCUUGAAAGCUUGUAUCCUUGUCUUCACUGGAUUUAGGCACUUUGAUUCAAUUUUUAGUUCGGAUUUCUGAGAACGAGUCUUCAUACAUCAAAUCAAAGAUGGUCUAAGGUGUUUGAUCUUGGUACUGUCAGAGGAUUAAACACAACAAAAAGAAACUGGGGCAUAUUGCCUAAUCUUCAUAGUCUUCAGAUAUAUGGAGAUUAAGCCCUUGUAAAAUCAAAAACCAGCACUAAUCCUUGGUGAUUUGGAGCAGAAGAUUUAACGAGUAAAGUUCUGAAAGUGGAAGAUUUAAUCUAUAGUGCUGCUCGUUUUGGAAGCUUUGCUAGAAUUGAUGACUGAAUUCUUUCUCUAUUGAUUGAUUAGCAGCCCCACAGCAUGCUAAUGGUUUUCACAUUUUUCCCUCCCACAGCAUGCAGAGGGUGCCUGUAGUGCAAAGAAGUUGAUGGCACGCAGGAUGUGCUGCUCACUCUCAAUUCCUUACAAUCACACCAAAGCCGUCUUUUGCAGCAGAGAAAUACCCGUUUGCGUUAAAAAUGAUCCUUGUAGCCAUUGAGAUUAAUUGAUUAAAUGGAGUUGACAAAUGAAACAAAAACGGAAAAAAAAAAAAUUCAAUUCUACCAAAAUCAUUCAUCCAUUAAUACCCACGUUGAAUAAAACUCAACAUCCUUUUUUUCUAUUCCUUUCAAUAAAAAAAUAUUAAUUUAAUAUAUAUAUAUAUAUAUAGAGAGAGAGAGAGAGAGAGAGCUUCUUAAGUGCAUAUACUUAACAUUAUAUGGUGUUAUAGCGAAUCUACACAUAAUCUGCAUUUAGUGCAUCCACAUUUGAGAAUUUCUAUAUAUCAAAGCUUUCAAAGGCAGAAGUUUAAAUAUGAAUUUUGUGCGGAUUCACUACAAAAUCAUAUGAUGUUAACAUGCUUUUACAAUUGACUAUAAUACCACAUGAUGUUAUAGAAAAUCCACACGAAAUCUUUAUUAUAUAAAGAGAGAGAUCUUGCUUUGCUUUAUAAUUGAAUAUAGGGCAGUGAUAUUCCCACCCCUCAAAUUUUGUAAACCUACCUCGCCUUAAAAAAUUAAAUCAUAAAAAAUUCACAUUAUUUUUAACGAUUUCAAAUUAUUAAGAAUAAAAUUAAGCAAUUGACUAAUUAAAUCCUCAUUAAAUAAUUAAAAUACAUUUAUGAUAUGAUAUUCCAAAACAUUUAUGCUAUUUUUCUCAUAAAAUUUAUUAAUUAUAAGAAGGAUCUGAUUGAUUAAUUGUUUAAAAUUUUAUUUAUUUUAAAUUAAAAAAGCGUGAAUUAUUUUUUAAAUAAUUCUUUGAAAUGAUUUAAAUGCGGCACGUGUCCCAUCAAGUUAAAACCUGAAGUUGAUUUAAAUUUUAUUUUAUUUUAUUUUGGAACAGAAACCAAGUAGCGAGGCCCCGUUCUUCAGGAAAUUCCGAGCUAAGUUAAUCAACAUUUCCACUAAUUAUUUUUAUUUUCUUCCAAAGUUAAUUUAAUUAGAUCAAUUUCUGGCUUCCUACUUAAAUUGCAUAUCCAAUUUGGGGGUUGAUUUUUGGAGAUGGAGAUAAACUGAAACAUUAAUUGAAAUCGAUUGAGAAAAAAAAAAUCGAUUGAGAUUGAAAGUUCUUUAUUACCCAACAUACAGAAUACAUAUGCAAUUAAUUCAAAUUUCUAAAAUUACUGUAAUUGUUGGCAAUGUGGGGUUUUUUUUUCGUUGGGGGGGGGGGUGUCUGAAAUUUGCAUGCAUGCCUUAAUUGAGUUUUAUCACUUUAAAUCCUAAUUACUAAUGUUUUUUCUGUUAAUGGUUGAAAAUAAGAUAAGAAGAGAGAAGGUGAACUUGAAGAAGUAUAAGAAGACAAGACAUGUGAUGAUGUUGAUGUGUUUAUGUGAAUAAAGACAUAAAAAUACAUGUAAUGAUGUUGAUGUGUUUUUUCUUUGUCCAAGUUUUUCCGUUGAUGUUCUAAAGUUUGCAUAUAUAUGUUUCAAGAAACAAAUGGAAAUUAAAUAGUACAUAAAGGUGAACUCACAUCGUCAACUAAAGGUUACACUACCAUUUGCCCAAUGGUUCCAUUUCUAUUAUCAUUUUCUUUAGUCACAGAAAUAUCAUCGGACUCAAAUUCAUCAGUAUAAGAAGAGGGACAAGGACAAGGACAGGGUGAGUCUAUUGUAUGACAACAGCAAGUCUACAAUUUAGUUUUAUUUCUGCUGCUGCACUGAGGAAUCACUAGCAUCAACCACCUACUUUAUUACCGUUGCUUCGUUUUUCUCUUGAAGACGGUUGACUUGAUGAAAUAACACUUCUAAUGAGGCUGCCUUAAAGAAAGCAUAUAUGUUAAUCACCUGUUGUAAUCUCAUGCCAAAAUCAUUUCAGUUCCUGCUCAUAAAAUUAGUUACUUCAACCUUUGUCAUAUGUAUUCUCCACUGCUUCAAGAUACUUAGAUAGUGAAUGUGUCUAAAUUCCAACUCAAAAGAUUCAUUUGAGAAAAAAUUCUUUAGAUGGUCAUGUAGAGUUCUAAUUUAUCUCCGUAUCAUACACAAAAUACUUGAAACCUACACAUCAAUGAUCAAUGUUCAUCUUUUAUUGACAAUCCCAAUUCUCAUAUGUGUUUGGAAAGAAAUUAGAUUCACAGGCAUUCUAGAAAUAUCUGGUGUAUUUCAAUGACAAUGAUGCCAAGUCAUGUCUCAUGGCGUCCAAAAAAAUAAAAAUGGUGAUGUAUGUGGAGGAAGAUCGUUAGCUCAAUUAAAACUACACCUCGAUCAUUUCUGGACUCAUCAACAAGAGGUAAUUUCUUACUUUGUGAACAAAUUUUGUGUCUUAUAAUUUUUUUCUGUAUUUAUAUACUUACAUGCUGUUUUGUAAUUAUAUAGCCACCAAAGCCUGGACAUGGAGAUGUGUGUUUUGUUAUGUUUAGUCCAUUUAUAAGAUCAUGUGUCAUGUGAUCUAUAAGUCUACUUAAUGGUUGCAAUCAAAUGAGUUCAUGUCCAGAUUGUGAAGUUAGUUAAUUUCAACAUAUAGCAAUGAUUGUAUCCAUUGCUUUUAUGACGUUGCUAUGUUAUUGCUUCUUUAAUAAGUGGCAGACAUGAUUUUCUAGUUUUCCACAGCUUAAAUUGUUAAAUAAUUGAUAAUGCUCUUGUGCUUACUCUGUUCUUUUCUUUUUAGAUAAGCUUUAUGGUCCCAGUGGAAUUGUUUUCACCCUUUCUUUAUUGACAGUGGAUGUAUAAAAAAAAUUGGUCUUGAUUGAUACUUGAUGAUGUUGUAGUUAUUUCUCCCUGCUUUAUUCUUUUUGCAACAUAUGUGUUGUGCCAAAUACCAGUAAAGAAAUGAUAAUGGCUCCCCAAGACUCACUCAAGAAUGGUUCUUGAGUCUAAAACUAAUCAAUCUGUACUCAGUUUAAAGGAUGUUGUAACAGCCCAGUCAAUAAAAACUAAUCAAUGAAAGGAUUAAAAGAAUCAGAAAGAACAAUACACAUAAAGCUUAUAGUGGUUCGGCUAUGGAAGCCUACGUCCACUGUGAAAAAAUGAAUCCAAGUUUUAUUGAAUUGAUUGUCUACAGAGAACAAGCUUUUACAGAGAAUAUAACAACUAACAACCACUGGCGUUAUUCCUGAGUAUCCAGCUAUAUAUACAAGCUCUUUCUCGAUCAAACACCAGCAAGUUUCCCCUAUGUUUAGUGACGAAGAGCAGCAGCUUCCCGCGCUAAUUAACGGCUUUACAGACUUCUGAUAAGCCUUCAUUACACGUGUCUUCAUCUCUAUUAUACUAAGUAACAAAACGACAGUUCAAGCAGCCGUUUUGGUUAAGUGAAUCAUGUGCAAAUCACAUGCCUUCUUUGUAUACACAGAUGACACGGUAUCCUUGUCAUAUAGCUAUCUCAGGAUUGUCAACCGACAUGUCAUGGUGUUGACAAAUCUUCAACCGACUUGUUGCACUUGACUAUAAACUGAUUUGCAGUUCAUAUUCAACAUUCUCCACAUUGAGCUCAAAUCAUCCAUUCCUCAGGUUCACCCUUCCACUUCUUUCCUUCAGUCUAUACCCUGCAGAUGCCAGCUGAGUUCAAGCAGAACUCAAACUUAGCUCCUGGUACAGCUUUGGUAAGCAUGUCAGCAAUGUUGGUAUCAGUGUGUGUUUUAGCCAGCUUAAUCACACCCUUUGAUAUUUCCAAUCUGACAAAGUGAAGCUUGAUAUCAAUAUGCUUGGUCUUUUCGUGGUGAAUCUGGUUCUUACUCAGACAUAUAGCACUUUGGCUGUCACAAUGAAUUGUGAUUUAUUUUUGUUCAAAUCCCAGUUCUGUUACCAUCCCUCUAAGCCAGAUGGCUUCUUUGAUUGCCUCUGCAGCUGCUGUGUAUUCUGCCUCAGUUGUUGAUAGAGCAACAAUACUCUGCAGUGAAGCCUUUCAGUUUAUGGUGCAGCCAUUAAGCAUGAACAGAAAGCCUGUUAAGGACCUUCUUUUAUCCAGAUCUCCAGCAUAAUCUGAAUCUACAUAACCCUCCACACUAACCUCUGUAUAUUUCUCAGCUCCAUAGAUCAAACCAUAACCAGUUGUACCAGCAAGGUAUCUUAAGAUCCACACAACAGCCCUCCAAUGAUCCUUCCCUGGGUUUGCCAUAUACCUGCUUACCACACUCACUGCAUUAGAGAGAUCAGGCCUAGUCAGGACCAUUGCGUACAUUAAACAUCCAACAGCACUUGAGUAUGGAAAUUUAUUCAUUUAAGCCUUCUCAGCAUCAGAGUUUGGACACUGUUGGCAGGACAGUCUGAAAUGAGAGGGCAGUGGUGUUUGUACUGGUUUACAUUUAUCCAUAUUGAGCUUCUCAAGUACUUUCCUAAUGUAUUUUUGCUGUGUUAGGCUUAGGAUACCAUUCUUCCUGUCUCUCUUUAGCUAAACUCCAAGGAUCUUCUUUGCAGCACCUAGAUCCUUCAUCUCAAAUGUAUUGCUCAGCUGCUGCUUCAGUUCAUUGAUGAACUCCAUCUCCUUACAAGCUAUUAACAUGUCGUCUACAUAGAGUAGCAGGUAGAUCUUAUCACCACCUUCUAUGGUUUUAAAGUAAACACAGCAGUCAAAACUGCUCCUUUGAAAACCAUGAUAUGACAUAAACCUGUCAAACCUUAGAUACCACAGUCUUGGAGAUUGUUUUAAUCCAUACAGUGACUUCCUUAAAUGACAUACAUGAUCAGCCUUUUCUGGAUCCUCAUACCCUUCAGGUUGUGACAUCACUAUCAUCUCAUCUAUUUCACCAUGCAGGAAGGCAGUCUUCACAUCCAUCUGUUCAAGAUGCAUGUCUUGUACAGCCACUAGAGAUAACAGGAUCCUCAGGGAAGCAUGUCUCACCACAGGGGAGAAAACUUCUGUAAAGUCAACACCCUCUUUCUGAGUGAAACCUUUUGCAACCAACCUGGCUUUGUAUCUUUGUGGCUCAACAUCUGGAAUUCCCUCCUUAAUCCUGUAAAUCCAUUUGCAUCCUACUAUCCUCUUGUUUGCUGGUCUUUCAAUGAGAUUCCAGGUGUGAUUCUUUUUUAAAGACAUCAUUUCCUCAUCCAUAGCCUUGAUCCAUUCUUCUGCCUUAUCACUGUUAAUAGCUUCUGAGUAUGGUCUAGGUUCAUUUGUUGCUAUUUCAUGUGCUGCUGUUAAUGCAAAUGCAAUUAGAUCUGCAUAUGCAUAUCUUCUAGGAGGUCUUAUCACUCUCUUUUCUCUGUCCCUCACUAACUGAUAAUCUUCACAUCUCUCUUGAUCACUUGUUGUUUCAUUCUCAGUGUCAUGUAUUUCCAUGUCUGUUAUGUCUCCAGCCUCUGAUCUUGAUUUCUGUUUCUGGUUUGAGUUUGACAGCUCCACUUCAAGAUAAGAUCUCUCAUCUUUAUCUUUCAGUUCUGCAUUUGUAGUUUUUAAGGAUACUGAUUGUUGGAGCAUCUCAGCUUCAUUAAAUACCACAUCUCUGCUUAUGAUUGCUUUUGGUGGCUUCAUGUCUGUGCACCAUAGUUUAUACCCUUUUACCCCUUCAGGGUAACCAAGAAAUACACACUUCAAUGCCCUGGGUUCUAAUUUGCCUUAUUUGAUGUGAGCAUAUGCUGGACAACCAAAGAUCUUCAAACUAGAGUAAUCUACUGGUUUACCAUACCAAAGUUCAUAUGGUGUCUUGAAGUUAAUUCCUGUAAAAGAGCUUCUGUUCGCAAUAUGACAAGCUGUUGACAGAGCCUCAGCCCACAAGGACAUAGGUAGCUUAGAGUGAAUGAGCAUACACCUCACUUUGUCAACUAAGGUUCUGUUCAUCCUCUCAGCUAAUCCAUUUUGCUGAGGUGCAUAUCUUACUGUUCUGUGCCUCAUGAUUCCAUGCUUGCUGCAAAAUUCUUCAAACUUCUUAUUGCAGAAUUCUAAUCCAUUAUCAGUUCUGAGCUUCUUAACCUUCCUAUUAGUCUGAGUUUCAAUUAGUGUUUUCCAGUUCUUGAAUUGUUCAAACACUUCAUCUUUGUUCUUCAGCACAUACACCCAAACCAUUCUAGAAUGGUCAUCAAUUAGAGAUAGAAAGUACCUUGCCCCUCCUAAGGAUGCUGUCUGUGUAGGUCCCCACAGAUCAGCAUGUACGUAUUCUAGAGUUCCUCUUGAAACAUGUGCACCAGUGCUGAAUUUGACUCUUGAGGAUUUACCUAGGACACACUCCUCACAAAAUUCCAAGGGCUCUAUUUUAUCUUCACCUAAGACUCCUGUUUUGAUAGUUCUCUCAAGCUUCUCUCACUCAUAUGGCCUAAUUUAAAGUGCCACAAUAAAGUUUUGUUUAGAUUCUGGUUUGAAACUCCAACAUCUCCUGUGACUACAGACCCCUAGAGCACAUACAGGCCAUUGUCUAAGUUUCCUUUCAUCAACACCAUAGACCCUUUCAACACCUUCAAAGUGCCUGACUCAAGCUUGAUAACACACCCCAUUUUGUCAAGCAUGCCAAGAGAAAUUAAGUUCCUCUUUAAAUCAGGGAUAUGUCUGACAUUUGGUAAUUCUCUUAUUGUGCCAUCAAGCAUUUUCAGUUUAAUGGUGCCCCUGCCAAUUACUCUACAACUAGCAUCAUUUCCCAUUACAACUAUCCCACCAUCAUAGGUUUCAUAGUUCUUAAAGAAAUUUCUAUUAGGGCACAUAUGGAAUGAACAACCAGAAUCUAAAACCCAGUUACCUCUAGAUGCACCAUCAGAGACUAUGAGAACUCCAGCAGAGUCAUAACCAUCAGAUUCUUGUCCUUCUGAUGCAACAGUAGCAUCUCUAGUCUUCUCUUUUGUUUCUUUGCUUUUAUAUUUCCUCUCUGGACAAUCCUUUUUGAAGUGGCCUUCCUUGUGGCAAUUAAAGCACUUCAUAUUCUUGGGUCUGGACUUGGAUCUUUUCUUCUUUCCUUGACCACCUUCUCUCUUUUAUGGUCUCCCUCUAACUGUUAAUCCUUCCCCAUGACUUGCUUCUUUCUUGGUUGCAGCCUUGGAGCUCAAUGUCUCUUUUACAUCCACCAUCGAAAGAGACUGUCUUCCAUACAUGAGAGUGUCAACUAGAUGCUCAUAAGAGCUUGGUAAAGAGCACAACAGAAUCAUGGCUUUAUCUUCAUCAUCAAUCUUUACAUUAAUGUCUUUAAGAUCCAAAAUGAUCUUGUUAAAGGCAUCAAUGUGAUCAGAGAUUGAUGAACCCCCUUCUAUCUGCAAUGUGUAAAGCUUCUUUUUAGUGGCUAACCUCUUAGCCAUGGACUUUUUGGCAUACAAGUCUUCAAGCUUCUUCCACAAUCCAGCAGCAGUUGUCUCUCCUCCCACUUCUCUAAGUACACCAUAUCCGAGGCUUAAGAUAAUUGCACUAUGUGCCCUAUCAAGCACAUCUGGAAGAUCAUCCUCUGAUAUCUUCCUUGGUUUCUUGGGUGAUGUGAUUUCGGCAAGGGCUUCAUCCAGGCCUUGAUGUACCAGUAGUGCUUUCAUCUUGAGUCUCCAUAGGUGAAAGUCAUUUUCACCAGUAAACUUUUCUAUUUCAAGUUUAGGACCAGUCAUCUUUAGAUCAAGAAUUUCAGAGAGAGGCUCUAAUACUAAUUUAUUGUGCCAAAUACUAGUAAAGAACUGAUAAUGGCUCCCCAAGACUCACUCAAGAAUGGUUCUUGAAUCUAAAACUAAUCAAUCUGUACUCAGUUUAAAGGAUGUUGUAACAGCCCAGUCAACAAAAACUAAUCAAUGAAAGGAUUAAAAGAAUCAGAAAGAACAAUACAUAAAAAGCUUAUAGUGGUUCGGCUAUGGAAGCCUACGUCCACCGUGAAAGAAUGAAUCCAAGUUUUAUUGAAUCGAUUGUCUACAGAGAACAAGCUUUUACAGAGAAUAUAACAACUAACAACCACUGACGUUAUUCCUGAGUAUCCAGCUAUAUAUACAAGCUCUAGCUCGAUCAAACACCAGCAAGUUUCCCCUGUGUUUAGUGAUGAAGAGCAGCAGCUUCCCGCGCUAAUUAACGGCUUAACAGACUUCUGAUAAGCCUUCAUUACACUUGUCUUCAUCUCUGUUAUACUAAGUAACAAAACGACAGUUCAAGCAGCUGUUUUGGUUAAGUGAAUCACGUGCAAACCACAUGCCUUCUUUGCAUACACAGAUGACACAGUAUCCUUGUCAUAUAGCUAUCUCAGGACUGUCAACUGACAUGUCAUGGUGUUGACAAAUCUUCAACCGACUUGUCGCACUUGACUAUAAAUUGAUUUGUAGUUCAUAUUUAACAAUAUGGAAGACUGAGUAUUGUAAGAUUCAUUUCCCGCACUGCUCUGCCUUGAUCUGUUCUAAUUUGAGAGUCAGCAAUCUUGAUUCAACUUCUUGGGUGGAGUACUAGCUAAGAGAAGGGAGGCAUGGGAGCCAGCACUAAUUUUUGAAUUGAAGAGAUAUGGGCAUCAACUUCAGACUAUUUUCAGAGAGGCUGAGAAGGGUGUUAGCUGGCGAAGAAGUCACAUUGCCUGAUGCUGCAAAAUAACCUAUUCAGAAUCUUUGUACCGAGGUUGAAAUCGUUACUUCUUGGCUGAGGGACUUUGAAUAUGAUAUGUCCUGGCUUCUGCUGCAAAAAAAUAGGAGAAGAUGAAAUUGACAACCCAGACCUUGGGACCAUUAAUUGCUUUACAUAUGAAUAUGAGAAGGUCAUUGACAUAUUCUCAACAGCAUCACCCAACAUAAGAGUCAAAGCAGGUGCAACAACUUCAGUACAUCGAUUCCGGAAUCAUUGAUGAUUUCAAAAGUAUUGAAGAUGAAGCCGAUUAUUUUCCUGCAUCAUCAUCUUCUAAGAAUAGGGGCACGGUGGGUCUAGAAGACAGAAUGGAGGAGUUGUUAGAUAUAUUAAGAGAGGGACCACCUCAGCUUUCAGUGGUGGCCAUCUUGAUAGCAUUGGGUUGGGCAAGGUGGCUUUCACUGCAGAGGCUUACAGCAGCAGUGAUGUGAAGCAUUAUUUUAAUUGUCACGCUUGGGUUCCAAAGCCUUACAGCUAUGAUGCUGAUGGUGACCAAAUAUUAGAUAUCAUUAUUAAGUUUCUAAUGCCUUCAUCUAGGUUGAGUGUAAUAAAGGAUAAAAAUUAUGAAAUGAAAAAAAAAAUUCUUCAUGAAUAUCUAAUGAUCAAGUGGUAUUUGAUUGUGAUUGAUGAUGUGUGGAGCAUUGAAGUGUGGGAUGUUAUUCGAGAAAUACUUCCGGAUAAUCAGAAUGGAAGUGGAGUACUAAUAACACUCACUGAAAUUCAUAUCGUCACCUCAUUUCAGUUAAAAAGUGGACAUAAUAUUUGGCUUGAUUUAGUGCCCACUAAAGGACCAUUGAGAGUUGUUUACCUUUUUGCUUGAAACUUUGUUUUCCUUACUUAUCUGUGUUUCCUGUACACCUAGAGACAUCCACCAAGCAGUUAUAUCAGUUGUGGAUAUCUGAAGGUUUCAUUCCAGACAAUAGCGAGGCAACUGCCGAGAAGUACUUGGAACCACUAAUGAAUAGAGUCUUUGUUGAUGCAAAGAAGAGAAGCGAUGGAGGCAGAAUCAACGCAUGCCCUAUUCGUAGUCGUUGAUGGGCUUCAUUAUUGCAAAUGGCUCUCAAAACGAAAUUUAUCUUUUCCCCUAUCCUGGAUCAAAAAGGUAAAUCACGAAAAAAUGUCAAACAUGUCUACGUUUUUUACAUUUUGCUUACUUAGAUGAUUGUGACUCGCACCUGCAUUCUUUGUUGCACUUCUAAAAGCGACCACCUUGACCCCAUAGAUUGGGUGAAAAUCGAUUGAGUAAUGGACUUGGGAUCUCUUGUUCUCAGCCAAUUUCCAUCCAAAAUUGAAACCUUAUUACUUUUGAUAUUUGAAGCUGAAUAUCCCUUCCCUCAAAAGCCUGGCUUCAUCACUAUUAAGAAAUCUCUGAAUCUGUACACCAUAGCCAUGCUAUUUAGCUACAUAAAUCAUACAACAGAUGAAUUUUGGAAGAUGAACAAACUCAGGCAUCUAAAGUUUGGCUCGAUCAUACUUCCUGAACAUCUAAGAAAAUAUUGCGGCUCUCUGGAAAAUCUCAAUUUCAUUACAGCCAUGUAUCCUUGCUGCUGUACUGAAGAUAUAUUGAACAGACCACCUAAUCCUCAAAAUCUCCAGAUAUGAUAUGAGGAGAUUUUUAUUUUUAUCAAUUUUUGAUGUCCCAAAGUCUUUGUAGAUUGAGAUGCCUCAAGUCAUUGAAGAUGGUGAAUGAAAGCAAGAUGCCAAGGCUCUCCAAAAUCGUCCUUGCCAAAUACCUACUUCCUCAAAGUCUAAUCCACUUGAGUUUCUCUAAUACUGAAAAAAUGGAUGAUCCCAUGCCUGCACUUGAACACUAGAAAAGUUGCCAGUUCUUCAAGUGCUCAAACUGAAGCAAAACUCAUAUUCAGGUCGAUAGCUGAUUUGUAGGUCUGAUGGUUUCCCAAAGCUCAAGAUAGUGCACCUGAAUUCAAUGCCAUGGCUAGAGGAGUGGACCAUGAGGCUUGGAGCCAGGCCAAAACUAGAAUGCUUGAUUCUCAAUUCUUGUGCUUACUGGAAAAAGAUUCCUGAACAGCUCUGGUGCAAAAAGAGCUUAAACAAAUUCGAGUGUUGGUGGCCUCAACCGGAGCUGAGACAAAAGCUACGGGACUUCGAGGAUAAGGCGCAGUAAGACAAUCAAGUAUAUCCUUAUGGAAUUUGAUUUGCAUGGAUUUAAUUAGAUGUAAGUUUUUCAUUUUAUGCAAUAUCAUAAACCUUUAAUUAUUAAUCUAAUUUCAUACAUAUGUUUUUUCUUUUCCUCAAUAUAUUUGAUAGUACGCAAAACAAAGAAACCCAACAAUGCCCUCCAUCAAUCCUAAGGACUCAUUAAUGAAAUACAAGUGUGCAACCUAAGAGGGGGGGUGAAUUGGAUUUUUAAAAUCUAUCCUAACAAAUCCACACAACAAGCAAUCUAAUGUCUUAACAAUAAUUGAAAACAAUAAGUUCAAUAAUAGCACAAUAAUUAAAGAGUAAGGGAGAAGAGAAACAAACACACGAAUUUUUACGUGGUUCGGCAAUCCCCGCCUACGUCCACGCCUACAAGCGAUCCAAGCUCGAGGAUUUCACUAUCCAAGCCUUUCCAAGGCUUCAACAAUUACAAUUGACUUCGAGGUGUCAAUAAACCUUUACAACAAAGAGAUUAUCUCCCAAUCUCUUCACUCAAGUGUCUCACACACUCAAAUUCUUACAAAUGAGAUGAACAAAUGAUGAUUACAAUGAAACUCACUCAAUGAGUAGAUAUACAAUGAUGAAGAACAAGAAAAGAUUCAAUGUUUGUAUUUCGCAAGUUUGAACACUCAAGAUAUCACGUGUGCCUUUUGUUUUUGCUUGUUGGAGAGCUUCAAAAUGAGUUGGAUUUGAGUUCUUAUAGCUUGAGCUCGAAAACUAGCCAUUACUCACAUUUUGGGCUAUCCGGUUUGCCGUUUAAUGGAAUCCGGUAAGCCGGAUUUAUGUUACCGUUAAGGCAAAAUUCAAAAUUUUGCCUAACCGGCUUGCCGGAUUCGAAAUCCGGUAAGCAGUUUUUGUUCUGGUGCUUACUGCCUGAAUUCGGCCUGCCGUUUAUCAGUAUCCGGUAAGCCACUUGCUACAGUAACCUGCUACAGUGAAAUUUUUCCCAUAUUUUCAGUUUGACCCCAAAACUUUAUAAAAACUGUAGUAUGGCCCAAAACGUUAUGAAAUUUUACAAAUAUGUCCAAUUUCAGAAUUUUUAAGUAAUACUUCGUUAAUCCCAAAACUUUUUGAAAUUAUGAUAUAGCCCAAACUUUGUGAAAUUAUAUAAUGACCCCAAAAACAUUUAAAUAAUUUCAAAUAAGUCCAAAUCCGAAAACUUUAAAAACAUUAUCAAAGCUUUUAAAAUACAUGUGGUUUGUUAUCAUCAAAAUCAAUAUUUAUAGCCAUAUAGGCUAACAAUGUCAUACAGGUUAUUAACUUUUUCUCAUUGUUAAGAUUAGUUGUUAAUAUUUUUUUGGUAAUUUUCUCAUUUUAAUGGCGUGGAUGGAUAUCUUUAGUAUUUUCUUUUACCUGUUGGGGCUGCCAGAACUCUGUUUUUUGAAAUUAACAUUUUGGAAUCUGUUUUACUUUCCCCGCCCCUAGAAUGUUCAAUUUUAAGGUGAUCUUUAAAAUUUUCGCAGAAGCAUGGUUAUACCAAUUUCUCUUCGAAAUGAUUGAGUUAAAUAUGACAUGGAGAAUCGCCAAUAUAGACAACUUAUUUUGAAACUUCUAGCAAAUUGAAAGUUUGGAAUUCAUUAGUGAAGUUCAUAAUGGUGAAAUGUUUGGUUUCAAUUGAUGGGAAUAGGCCCCAUGAACUGAUGUAGUGAUGGAUACUGAAUUGGGACAUGGUGUUUCUGGUUCAUGGAAUAUCUUGAAAGAAGUAUGAAAAGUGAUGCAAGACAACAAAAGAGACGUCUUCCUAAAAAAAUUGAAUGGCCUCGGCUUGAUUUCUAGGUGUGAUUCUUUUUUUUUCCUAUUUUAGGUAGAUAGCUCAUGGCUCAUUGAUGUGGUAAUGGAUUGGUUUGUUACCAAUAUUGGUAGUGUCGUUAAGGUGCACCAAAUUUAAAACCUUACCACUAAUAUAAAUAAUUAGUACAGAGCGAGUAAGGAUCGAUCCCACAGAGACUAUGCUAGUUAUAUUUAUUAUUAACUCCAAAGUAAGAUUUAAAAUAAAAUAAUAGUAAUAAUAAUAAUAAUAGUAAUAGUAAUAAUAAUAUAAAUUAAUCUAACUAAAGAAAAUGCCAAUUAAAAAUAAAAGGGGGAUUUAUGAAUUUUUAACUAAAUAGUAAGAAAUAAAGAAAUUAAAAUUACGAACAAGAAUUUAAUAAAAACUCUAAUUAAAGGAGAAAGAAAUAAUAAUGAUGAAAACUUUGGUUAAAGGAUCAUUCGCCACCACCAAACAUGCACAUAAUAUAUUAAUUCUAUCAUCAAUUUAUAUUGAAACUAUCAACUGUAGACAACAAUAAGCUCUGUUAGUCUCAAUUUUUCCUUAGUGUGUCGUUAGGCAAAAUAAGCUCUUCACCUAAUCUCUAACCAUUAAAUAAUUUAAAACAAGCUCUUUAAAUUUAAGAUAAUGGAAGCAUUAAACAAAGAAAGAUAUUAGGUUGAUUUAGGCAAUAAACACACAAGCUCGGAUUAUUUAACCUAGGUUAUGUUCUUCAAUUGAAAUCAUUGAUUCCAACCUACUACUAAUGAUUAAAAUAUCAAGACAAUUACGGAUCAAGAAUUUUAAUCUAGCAAUAAAAUUUAUUCAAGUCCUAUCUAAUUGGCCACUCAAACAAAACAAGAAUAAACCAUGAACAUUAAUUAUAGAAGAACAUAAACAAUCUCAAUUAAAUAAAUUGCUGAAGCUCAGUCUGCCUCACCAAAAGUGUCUGAACCUCAUCCAUAAGCUGCUGAAGAGUGACAUCUCCAGAGGUAGGAGGCCGUGGAGGUGAUGAAGCGGAUGCAGAUGCACUAGGAGCCGAAGCAACCGUAGAAGAAACUCGGCGUCUACGCUGCCCUCGAAAUGAUAGUGAGAAUAUUGGAAGCUGAUCAGCGGGAAUCACGGCAUUAAGUGGCCGAUCAUCACUUGGGGCUAGAAAGAUAAACUUGUUAUCGCUAUAUUUGACCCAAGUGUCAUUCUUCCACUCAAAGCCUAACCCAACAAUAACCUCAUCCCCAAUACCCUUGGAUGGCCUACAAGAAGGUUCUAGAAUCGGCACUUCAAAGAAUUUAAGAAUACGAGUAAUGAAGUGACCAUAGGGGAGAGAGCGGGUAAUCAAGGCUGGAAUGCUCAACAUGGUGCGAACAAUGGAAUAGCCCAAGUCAACCGGGCGACCUCUAAAAAUACAGUCAAUCAUGGCGACAUCCAUGUGAUACACCUCAUCCAAAUGUCCUGAUCUAGGAAGUACAAUAGACUGGAUGAUACGAAGCAAAAAACGAGUUUGAAGACAAAGACACUGAGUACGGAAAUGAAUGGUACAGUCUUCAACAGAGAGAUCAUUACGCCGACAAAUAUUACGAACGGCAUCAACAUGAACAUAAUCAUCAAUUUCAGGAGGUUUCCUAAGAGAAAAAAUGUCCAAGCCUUCAUCGGAAGAUCAUAGGAUGUUGUUCAAGUCCGAAUCAUCAAAUUCAAUCAAAACUCCUCCAACUUUGGUGAUUACUCGAUUCUCUUUCUCCGCGGAACAAUCCAUAUUCGAGUAAAAUACUUUCACCAAGUCGGGAUACACAUUCUCCUCAAUCAACAAUGCAUCAAUCCAACCAACAUCUCCCAACAAUUGAAAUAAAGUUCUAUGACUAAUCUGGAGAGAAUGUAAAACAUCCGGUAAAACAAAGAAAGUGUUGAGUACUUCACGAGUCCGAAAGUUUUGAUGAAACCUUUUGAUCAAGUGUUGCGUGUUCUGAAAGUGAAUGGACUCAAAGGUGGAUUGAUUGGAGGUGCCCCUUGCUUCCCGUGGCCGUGUGGAUGGUUGAACCGGUUCCUUGCCUUUUCUUCGAACCGGCCGAGAGCUUGACAUAUUGAUUUUGAUUGAUUUGAAGAUAAAAACACUAAAGAGAAUGAAGAAGAUGAAGAUUGGAGGUGAUUUGGUAAAACAAAAUUGAUCAAAAACGACUUGAGAGUGAGAAAUCUAGAGAGAGAAAAUUCGGCUCAAAACCUAGGUUGGAAUUGGGAUCUAAGGAUUUAGAUGUUGAAAACAGGUUUCAAGGAUGGUUUUGUGAUCUUAAUGAGAUGGGGAAUGAUUUUAUUGAUUCAAUUUGAUGUGAAAAUGGAAGAAAAAGAAGGAUGUUGGAGUGAGAAAGAGAGAAAAUGGAAACGAGUUUUAGAGAGAUGAAGAACCGGUAUGCCGAAUGCUUGAGGAAGAUGAAUAGUGCUUAAGAGAUCACGAAUCCGGUUUGCCGGAUUUUCUAACCGGUAGGCCGGUUGUGAACCCGAGAACAGCCAUCUUCAGCAAAUUUAAAAGGCACGAAUCCGGCUUGCCGGAUUUCCUAACCGGUAAGCCGGUUAGCAUGCAGAAAAGGAGAAAGCCGAAACCGGCUUUCCGAAAUUGAAAUCCGGUAAACCGGAUAUGGACCGAGAGAUGCAAGAGGCAAUUCGGCUUGCCGGUUUCCUUAACCGGCUGGCCGGUUUCGAGAGCCUCCAAAAAUAAUCGGUUUUCCGGAUGUCUUGAAGCGGAAAUCCGGUUUUGCUCCAGCAAAGCAUGCAUGCGAAUUCGGUUUUCCGGUUAUUGAUAACCGGUUGACCGGUUAUGAGGCAGUAAAUAUCCUUCCAAAUUCGGUUUUCCGGAUUGAAAAUCCGGUUUUCCGGAAUUUGUCCCGACAGGGAUCAAUAAGGAGAAAUAAUUUUCCGGAAGAAUGAAAAGGGAAUAUUUGCUAGCUCUUGUACUUGUAUUACACACCAUUUUAUUUCCGGCUUUAAAAAUUGAUUAAUUUUAAAUCAUUUCGAGAUUUAAAACUUUUCAAUAAGCCAUCUAAUGCAUGUAAUAUAAAAUCAUAAAAUCAUAAAUUUACAAGCACAUCAAGUUAUCUAAUUCAUGUAGCAUAAAACCAUAUGAUAACAAUCAUAUCAAGCCAUGAAUUAAAACAUGAAUUAAGAUUCAACAUUCAUCAUUCCAAGCUCAUGCCUAAUCUUUAUAAAAUGCUCUUCGCUAAGAGGUUUUGUAAAGAUAUCCGCAAGUUGAUUUUCAGUGGAAACAAAUUUAAUUACAACAUCCCCUUUUUGAACAUGAUCUCUAAGGAAAUGAUGUCUAAUCUCUAUAUGCUUAGUCCUAGAAUGUUGAAUGGGAUUCUUGGAAAGAUUUAUAGCACUAGUAUUGUCACAUAAGAUAGGAAUUUGAUCAAGUAUAAUGCCAUAGUCUCUAAGGGUUUGUUUCAUCCAAAGAAUUUGUGCACAACAACUACCUGCGGCAAUAUAUUCUGCCUCGGUGGUUGAAAGCGCAACUGAGUUUUGUUUCUUACUAAACCAAGAGACAAGAGAAUGACCUAGGAAGUGACAUGUUCCACUAGUACUUUUUCUAUCAACCUUAUACCCAGCAAAAUCAGCAUCCGAAUAACAAGUUAAAUCAAUGUGAGUUCCUCUAGGAUACCAAAGGCCAAGAUUAAUAGUACCAAUUAAAUACCGAAAAAUGCGUUUGACAGCAAGCAUGUGAGACUCUUUAGGACAAGAUUGAAAUCUAGCACACAAGCAAACACUAAACAUAAUAUCAGGCCUAUUAGCAGUCAAGUAGAGUAAGGAUCCGAUCAUACCUCGAUAAGUCUUGAUAUCAACUUCCUUACCUUUCUCAUAGGAGUGCUUGAUGGUAGUGCUCAUAGGAGUGCUUUUUGCCGUUCCAUUUUCAUAGCUAAAUCUUUUGAGUAGAUCUUUCACGUACUUGGCUUGGUUUAUGAAAAUUCCUUCCUCGUUUUGUUUGAUUUGAAGACCAAGGAAGUACUUCAACUCUCCCAUCAUACUCAUCUCAAACUCUUGGCUCAUACAUGAUGAAAAAUCUUUACACAACAACUCAUUAGUAGAACCAAAAAUAAUAUCAUCAACAUAUAUUUGAACAAUAAGUAUGUCUUGGUUCUUAUGCUUAACAAAAAGAGUUGUGUCCGCUUUUCCCAUUGGAAAAUCGUUAUCCAACAAGAAAUUUUUAAGCCUAUCAUACCAAGCUCUAGGUGCUUGUUUUAAACCAUACAAAGCCUUGGAUAACUUAUACACAUGAUCUGGAAACUUUUCAUUUUCAAAACCAGGAGGUUGUUUCACAUAAACUUCCUCCAUAAUGUAUCCAUUUAAGAAAGCACUCUUGAUAUCCAUUUGAUACAAAAUAAAAUUCUUAUGACAUGCAUAUGCUAACAACAUCCUGAUGGAUUCUAAUCUUGCUACAGGUGCAAAAGUUUCAUCAAAAUCAAUUCUUUCUUCUUGGUUGUAACCUUGAGCCACUAAUCUAGCUUUAUCUCUUACAACCACACCAGAUUCAUCCAUUUUGUUUCUAAAUACCCAUUUAGUACCUAUAAUGGAUUGAUGUUCCGGAUUAGGAACUAACUCCCACACAUUAUUUCUCUCAAAUUGAUUCAACUCCUCUUGCAUUGCCAUAAUCCAAGAUUCAUCAUUUUCCACAUCCGCAAAGGAUUUUAGUUCAAUUUGAGAAAUAAAUGCAGCAUGCUCACAUGUGUUUCUAAGAGAUGAUCUAGUGGUAACACCUCGUGAGGGAUCUCCUAAAAUUACAUCCUUAGGAUGAGAGGACACAUACCUCCACUCCUUGGGGAGUGUUUGUGAAGUACCUUCAUUUUGCUCUGCAUUUGUUUCUUCAUGAUGUUCCUCUUGAAUUCCAGGUGGUGUGUUUUCUUGGUUGCGAUUUGAUGCUUCUUCUUGUUGUUCUUCUUCUGCAUUAUCAUCAACAACAACUUUCUCCGUAGAGGAGGGGUUAGACUCAUCAAAUGUAACAUGCAUAGAUUCUUCCACAACUAAAGUUCUUUUAUUAUAAACUCUAUAAGCUUUGCUUGAAUUUGAAUAACCAAGAAAGAUACCAACAUCAGAUUUUGGAUCAAAUUUACCAAGAUUAUCUUUUGUGUUUAAAACAAAACAUUUGCAUCCAAAAACUUUAAAAUAACCAAUGUUGGGUUUUCUAUCUUUCCAAAGCUCAUAUGGAGUUUUAUUGAGAUUAGGUCUAAUCAACACCCGAUUUAAAACAUAACAAGCGGUGUUGACGGCUUCGGCCCAAAAAUACUUAGGCAAAGAAUUUUCAUUCAAAUGGUCCUAGCCAUUUCUUGAAUAGACCUAUUCUUUCUCUCUACUACUCCAUUUUGUUGUGGAGUCAUAGGUGAUGAAAAUUGAUGUUCAAUGCCAAGGUCAUUACAGAAAUUUUCAAAUGCAUGAUUUUCAAAUUCUCCACCAUGAUCACUUUUAAUACAAGUGAUGGAGUAACCUUUUUCAUUUUGAACCUUUUUACAGAAAAUUCGAAAUGCAUCAAUGGCAUCAUCCUUAUUAGCUAAGAACAAUACCCAUGUGUAUCUCGAAUAAUCAUCCACAAUUACAAAUGCAUAAAACUUGCCACUUAAACUAGCAUAUCUAGAAGGACCAAAUAAAUCUAUAUGAAGCAAUUGAAGUGGAAACAUGAUUUUUACUUUUGAAUGAAGUUUUGAUUUGUUUUCCAAAUUGGCAUGCUUCACAAGUUCUAUCUUUUUGAAAAUUGAUUUUUGGAAGACCUUUUACUAAAUCAUUUUUCACGAUUUUUGAAAUCAAAUCCAUGCUUGCAUGACCUAAUCUUCUAUGCCAUAACCAACCAUCAUCAUGCAAUGCGGAAAGACAUUUCUCAUUUGUUGAUGCACAAUCUAUAUUAAUGGUAUAGACAUUAACACAUCUAUUUCCUACAAACAAGACUUUCCCAUCACAUGCAUUCUCAAUAACACACUUUGAUUCAUCAAAGAUAACUCUAUAUCCUUUAUCACAUAAUUGACUAAUACUAAGCAAAUUGUGUUUCAAGUUUUCAACCAAACACACAUUUUCAAUGAGAGUAGAGGAUACAUUACCGACAUUUCCAAUCCCAAUGAUUUUUCCUUUUGAAUUAUCCCCAAAUGAAACAUCUCCACCAUUUUCGAUCUUGGUAAAGCUUGAAAACCAAGAAUAAUUCCCUGUCAUGUGUCUUGAACAGCCACUGUCCAAGUACCACUUAUUCUUCUUCUUCUUUGAGCCCUGUGGAGAAAAUCUCAAGCUUUAGGUACCCAAACCUUUUUGGGUCCUUGAGAGUUAGCAAUGGUUCCUUUCGGAACCCAAACACAUUUCAUACCAUAAUAUGCAUUUCUCUUCACCGCACAUCUAUUUUUCAUAUGGCCAUCUUGAUUGCAAUAAUGACAUACAAUUUUAUUGUUAAUAGAUGUAUUCUUCACAAAAUAACUCUUGUAAAAUUUUUGUUUCAAAUUCGGUUUAUAACCUAUGCCACUUUUGUCAAAUACACAUUUUUGUGAGUUUAGCAAAUUGUCCAACAUCUUUUGCCCAUUUGUAAAUUUUAGCACAAUUUCAUUUAAUUCAUUACUCUUCUUUCUAAGCAUUUCAUUCUCAUUUUUCAAGUCAUUCAUGUGUGACUCUAAGUGCUCAUGUGAAGUGCUAGAGUUCUCAAAUAAUGCAAUACUAUCAUGUAAUGUUUUGUUUUCUAAUUCUAGGCAUGUAAUCUUUGCACUAAAUGAAUCAUUUUCAUUCUUAAGCUCUAUCAUCUUCUUUUUAAGACUUAUAUUCUUUUUACAAAUCUUCAUUAGCUCAUCAUGCAAAUCAUUAAAAGUAUCAUGCAGUUCAUCAUAUGUAGGAGGAACACUUACCUCAUCAAGUUCAUCACAUGAUUCUUCCCCAAUGGCCAUGAGAGCUAAGUUUGUCAUUUCUUGUUGCUCAUCAUCGUCACUUGUUUCCUCAUCACUAUCAUCCCAUGUGGCCACCAUAGCCUUCUUCUUGAAUUUGUUGAGAAGAGGACAUUUCGGUCGUAUGUGUCCGGGCUUCUUGCAUUCAUAACAAGUGAUUGGCUCCUUCUUCUCCUUCUUAUUCUUGUAGCCUCUGAACUUUCUCUGCUCAUUAUUCUUCUUAUAAAAUUUUCUGAAUCUUCUAGCUAACAUAGCCAGCUCCUCAUCAUCCAUUUCGCUUUCCUCAUCACUCUCACGUUUUGAAGCCUUGAGAGCAAUGUUCUUCUUCUUUUCCUCAUGCCCUUUUUCAGCUGCCAAAUCUUCUUCAUAUGAAAUAAGAGAGCCAAUUAAAUCAUCAAUAGGUAACACAUUUAAAUCCUUGGCUUCCUCAAUGGUAGUCCUUUUUGGUCUCCAUUCCUUAGGUAGAGACCUAAUGAUUUUCUUGACUUUUUCGCUAUUUGAAAAAGUCUUUCCUAGGGCUCCUAGAGUGUUCACUAUGUCCGUGAAUCUAGUAUACAUAGAGUACACAUUUUCAUUUUGUUCCAUUUAGAACAAUUCAUAUUGUCGAGUGUACCUACUUAUUUUAUAUUCUUUCACUUGGUUCGUGCCUUCAUAGACAACCUCAAGUUUGUGCCAAAUCUCAUUAGCACUUUCGCAACUAGACACUCUAUGAAACUCUUUCUUAUCUAGUGCACAAAAUAAGGCAUUCAUGGCCUUGGAAUUUAGAGAAGCUUUUCUCUUUUCGAAUUCAUUCCAAUCCCGUGAAGGUUUUGGAAUAUCUUCUCCGACUUCAUUUUUAGUCAAAGGCAUGAAAGGACCAUCAUUAACGAUUUCCCAAAUCUCAUAAUCUAAGGCUUGCAAGUAAAUUCUCAUCCUAGUUUUCCAAUAUGGGUAAUCGUUUCCAUCAAAGUAAGGUGGUCUAGUGGUGGACUGCCCUUCCCUAAAUGUGGAAUCAUUUUGAGUUGCCAUUGAUCUUUAGUUCUAGAUGGUUAAAUCUAAAUAAGAGCACCUUGCUCUGAUACCAAUUGAAAUACAAGUGUGCAACCCAAGAGGGGGGUGAAUUGGAUUUUUAAAAUCUAUCCUAACAAAUCCACACAACAAGCAAUCUAAUGUCUUAACAAUAAUUGAAAACAAUAAGUUCAAUAAUAGCACAAUAAUUAAAGAGUAAGGGAGAAGAGAAACAAACACACGGAUUUUUACGUGGUUCGGCAAUCCCCGCCUACGUCCACGCCUCCAAGCGAUCCAAGCUCGAGGAUUUCACUAUCCAAGCCUUUCCAAGGCUUCAACAAUUACAAUUGACUUCGAGGUGUCAAUAAACCUUUACAACAAAGAGAUUAUCUCCCAAUCUCUUCACUCAAGUGUCUCACACACUCAAAUUCUUACAAAUGAGAUGAACAAAUGAUGAUUACAAUGAAACUCACUCAAUGAGUAGAUAUACAAUGAUGAAGAACAAGAAAAGAUUCAAUGUUUGUAUUUCGCAAGUUUGAACACUCAAGAUAUCACGUGUGCCUUUUGUUUUUGCUUGUUGGAGAGCUUCAAAAUGAGUUGGAUUUGAGUUCUUAUAGCUUGAGCUCGAAAACUAGCCGUUACUCACAUUUUGGGCUAUCCGGUUUGCCGUUUAAUGAAAUCCGGUAAGCCGGAUUUAUGUUACCGUUAAGGCAAAAUUCAAAAUUUUGCCUAACCGGCUUGCCGGAUUCGAAAUCCGGUAAGCCGUUUUCGUUCUGGUGCUUACUGCCCGAAUUCGGCCUGCCGUUUAUCAGUAUCCGGUAAGCCGCUUGCUACAGUAACCUGCUACAGUGAAAUUUUUCCCAUAUUUUUAGUUUGACCCCAAAACUUUAUAAAAACUGUAGUAUGGCCCAAAACGUUAUGAAACUUUGCAAAUAGGUCCAAUUUCAGAAUUUUUAAGUAAUGCUUCGUUAAUCCCAAAACUUCAUGAAAUUAUGACUUUGCCCAAACUUUGUGAAAUUAUAUAAUGACCCCAAAAACAUUUAAAUAAUUUCAAAUAAGUCCAAAUCUGAAAACUUUGAAAACAUUAUCAAAGCUUUUAAAAUACAUGUGGUUUGUUAUCAUCAAAAUCAAUAUUUAUAGCCAUAUAGGCUAACAAUUAAUGUGUAGACAACAGAAGUGAAUACUGAAAGGAUCAAGGCUGGAUUCUGGUUGAAAUUGAAACUUUUGCUGCACUACAGUUGACAAAUUUCCCGCCCUGAUUUCACCUGCGCAAGUAAUUUAAGAUCUGAAAUUAUAGUUUUUCCUCACUGUUCAACGAUCAAUACACAAGGGUUCUGAAAUUAUAGUUUUUCCUGACUGUUCAACAAUCAAUACACAAGGGAAAAUGGUCGGGGUCAGCAUCAGGAUCUGUGAUGAACACUUCAUCUCUAAUGUUGAGACAAAAAUUAGAAGCAACCACAAUUAGAAAACACUUUAUAGCAUUAGGAAGCAAGGAUCGGCUACAAGCAAUAGUGUCAAGUUUUUGGAUUCACUGUGUAUAUUCUAUUCGUGUGUCUUCAUUCUCGUAAUGUGCUUGAAACUCCAGCUCAGUGUGGACGUGUGUGGUUUGGUCGUACCAUGUGUAAUACAUGUUAAUGGUCAUAAUUAUCUUAAGGGAAUUCUGCAUCACUUCCAUUAGAAGAGAAGUUUGGAUGUAGGCAUCAUCGCUGCUGAAUCUACUGUUGAUUUGCUCUAUGUUUUCUAUAUUUUUUUAUUUCAAUUUCGGGGAUUGGGUUUCUAGCAUUGAUUGUUGAUACAUUAGAGGACUAAAUACAAGAAAUAGAAACUGGGGAAUAUUGCCUAAUCUUCAGAAUCUCCAAUUUUAUGGAGAUUUAAGCCCUUAUCAUUCAUAAAUAAAUUGAAUGCUGGAUUGUUAUUAUCUUAGAUUCUCUAAAUAAUAAUCCGAAUAAUAAUUAUAAAUGCUUGUUUUGAACAAAUACUACCUAUUAUUUUAAACUUUGGACUUAGAAAUUAUAAAUAGUAUUAGCAUGUGAAUUUUAAGGAAUUAGCUGAUUCUGUCCAAUUUUAAAGGUUGAUGCCUCAUGCUCACCUUAUAGUCAUUGGUUUUUGCUGAACAAAUGAAUGUGUAUCAUUUUUUUUCUUUUAUUUUCUGUUAUACUUUGAUUCCCCUGCUUCUAGCUGAUUAUGUUCUCCUUUAUAACGAGAAAGAAGUUAUUUUUUGUGCUCUUAUAUAUACAUGUUAAGCUUGGAUAUGUGUGGUUUGGUUUGUUUUAAUAAUAUGAUUGUGUGGUGUCAUCUGCAAUACUUUUUAAGGAUGCAAUCAAAUGAGUUUAUACCUUACAGUGAAUUUGGUUAAUUUCAAGAUAUCAUUUGUUGGGAUCUUCGGCUUUGGUUGCUAAUACAAAAUUCCUCAAAUCUCGAUUGGAAUUUGGGAAUCCGUCCUAAAUGAUACAAGAUUUGAUAAAAAUUUCUCAUUCUGAUUUAUUAUUCGAGUUGAGAUUCAAGAUCUAAUUUUCUUCCAACUUAAUAUUCAAGACGGGAUUUGAGAUGUCUGAAAAUCUCAUUUGAGAUCCCUUAGGCAAUCAAAUGAGUUCAUUUCCUUAUAAUGAAUAUGGUUAAUUUCAAGAUACCCUUUUUUGGAAUCUUCCGCUCUAACUGCUAAUACGUGAACGUAGGCUGGCAAAAUUAUCCAGAUACUAAUCGAGAUAGAAACCCUAUACAAGAUUUGUUACAAAUUUCUUAUCCCAAUUUUGAAUGUGGGUUAGGAUUUGAGACCCAUUUUAUACCGAUUCAUAAAUUUUUUUAUUUAGACAGUAACUGAUGACAUAUUAUUAGUUCAAAGCUCACGGAGUAAAGGUUGAAUUAUUGGUGCAAUCAUCCGUAAUUUUCUGCAAGCAUGCAACAUAUUAAGCAAGAGAAUAUUUAAUUAUUUUUUGGGUUCUGUUAUUAACAAUAAUGAUUUUGAAGAUAUUAGUGGGAGAAAAAUGGUUUUUUAAAAUCAUUUUCAAUCUUGAGAAAAAGUUUUCUUGCUGGCGUACACUGUCCUUCAUCUAUAUUCCAGUCUUCCAUUAUGUUAAAAAAAACAAAUAUGAAAAUAAAAAGAAAAUAGGACAUCAUCAAGUAUCAAUCAAAGAUCAAUUUGUUUUAUCCACUUUCAGGAAAGAAAAGGUAAAAACAAUCCCACUGGAGACCAUAAAGUUUAUCUCAAAAGAAAAAGCACUACAAUAGUCGAACACAAAGAAGAGUAAUAAUGAGAAAGGAGUUAAUUAUAAAUUAAAGAAUUGGUGUUUUUUUUUAAGGGUUCGGCAUCAUGUUUGCCUUCAUUUAGCAAAGGAUAUAUGAAAAAGAGAUGAAUAUUGCACUUUAGAUUUGAAUAAUUCCGAUUGGAUUUUGAAUUGUUUGGAUUAGGAAAAAAAAAUCAUUCGAAUCCAACCUGAAUCUCAAAUACAAUCAAUUCGAUUAAAAAUAAAUCGAUAUUUCAGAUGAAUUUGGUUUUAGAUUGUUCCGUAUUUAAAUGAUAUUUUAAAUUCAAAUGAUAUUUUAAAUUUGGAUUGAAUUCAGAUUUAGGUCUUUUUGACCAUUUUUACAAAAAAUCCAUGAAUUCUAUAUAUAUACAUACAUAUAUAUAUAUAUAUAGAUACAAUUGGAUUGUUUAGAUUAAAACAUCCAAAUUCAAAUCAGAUCUAUUCAAAUCCAAUCCAAUGCACACCUUUAGCCCUAUUGGAAUGAUCAUCUAACCAUUCAAAUUUCAAACUAUAACGUAUUCUGUUGUAGUUUGUAGAGCGCUUGAAAAGAAAAUCUCUAAACAAUAGCGACUAUUAUGCAUUUGAUGCAUCAAUGAAUCAGAUUCUAAGGUGAUGCUUUUUCUCUCUAAACAAGCUUUAUGGUCCUAGCGGAAUUAUUUUUAAUCUUUCAGUCUUUUGAGAGGGCCAAAAAGAAACUAGUCUUGAUAGCAUAUUUUACUUUCUUCAUACAUAUAUAUAUAUAUAAAACACAAAUUAUAAGACACCCUUUUAUCUUCUUGCAUAAAGAAUAUUUUAUAUACACGUACAUUAUACCUCAGGUUUUGUGCAGAAAAUCAUUAUUGUACAUCAAUAAUUUCUCAAUAUAAUUCCUCUUAUCAAUCAGUAUCCCCACGAUACCUGCAGCAUCUAGGUUUAAGAUUCAUUUUCCAGUACUGCUCUGCCUUGAUCUGUUCUACUUUGACAGCCACUUGAACUUGAUUCAACUUCUUGAGAGAAGGAGGUAUUGGUGCCAUCCUUAGUUGAUUAUGUUGACUAAUGUUGAAGUAAAAGGAGAGCUUUUAACCAUUUUUUUUAUAAUUAUUUUCUUUGCAUGCUAGGGCUGCUGGCUACUGACUACCGAGAGUGAAGGAGAUAUGGACAUCAACCUUGGACUAUUUUUAGAGAGACUGAGAAGGGUGCUAGCUGGUGAAGAAUUCACGGUGCCCGAUACCGCUGAACAACCUAUUCAGAACCUUUACACUGAGACCGAAAUCGUUGCUUCUUGGCUGAGGGACUCUGGAUACAACACUGCUUGGUUUAUGUAGCAAGUCAAUGCAGAAGACGGUCAAACUCUUGCAGAAUUAGAAGAUUUUAAGGCUAUCAUUGACAAAAUUCGUUGCUUUUCAUACGUAUAUGAGAAUGUGAUUGACACAUUUGCUAUCAGCAUCACUCAACAGAAGAGUCAAAGCGGAUGCAGCAAGGACAUUUGUGAUGCUCUGCUAGGACUCCAAAGCAAAAUCAUUGAUAUAAAACAACGGAUGCAGCAAGUUCAGCACAUCCACUCUGGAAUCGUUGAUGAGCUCAAAUCGAUUGAAGCAAAAGCCAGUAAUUUUCCUGCAUCCUCAUCUUUUAAGAAUAGGGACACGAUGGGUCUAGAUAAUAGAAUGGAGGAGUUAUUAGAUCUACUGAUAGAGGGACCGCCUCAACUUUCAGCAGUGGCCGUACUUGAUAGCAUUGGAUUGGACCAGACGGCUUUCGCUGCAGAGGCUUACAGAAGCAACUAUGUGAAGCAUUAUUUUGAUUGUCACGCUUGGGUUCAAGAGUCUUUACCAUAUGAUGCUGACCAAAUAUUAUACGACAUUAUUAAGUUUGUGAUGCCUUCACGUAGGUUGAGUGAAAUUAUGGAAGAAAGUUCGGAAAUGAAAAAAAUUAUUCUUCAUGAAUAUCUAAUGACCAAGCGUUAUUUGAUUGUGCUUGAUAAUGUGUGGAGAAUAUCAGUAUAGGAUGUUAUUCGAGAAAUACUUCCCGAUAAUAAGAAUGGAAGUAGAGUAUUGAUAACACUCAGUCGAAUUGAGAUCGUCGCCUCAUUUCAGUUCGAAAAUGGAGAGAACAUUGGGCUUGAUUUUGUGCCCAUUGGAGGACUAUUGAGAGUUACAUACCAAGGAUGGCCUUUCCACAUCUUAUAUCAUGGAAUCAUCUCACUGAACGAAAAUAUAGAGGAAGCACUUGAUGAACCCCGAGGGCUUCAACUCGUUGCAUAUUGUAUGUUACCUUUUUACUUGAAACUUUGUUGUCUCUACUUAUCUGUGUUUCCCAUACAUUUUGAGAUAUGCACCAAGCAAUUAUAUCAGUUGUGGAUAGCUGAAGGUUUCAUUCCAAACAACAACAAGGCAAUUGCUAAGAAGUACUUGGAACAACUAAUCAAUGGAGGCUUUGUUGAUGCAGAGAAGAGAAGUGAUAUAGGCAGAAUCAACACAUGCUCUAUUCUCGGGCGUUACAGCCCUGCGUUGUUGACUGUGGCUUUCGAGGGGGAAUUUAUCAUUUCCCCAAUCAUGGUUCAGGAAGUUAUAUUACGGGAAAAUGUGAAACGCUUCACCGCUCACGAAAAAUUGAAUGAUUUUGCAUUUUUAGAUGAUUUUGACUCGUUCCUCCAUUCUUUGUUGUACCUCACUUCAGGAAGCCAAUACCUUGACCCCAAUUAUUGCGAGAAAAUCUGUAAAAUGUUCAAAUUUCUCAGAGUAUUGGACUUGGGAUCUCUUGUUCUCAUUCGAUAUCUUUCCGGAAUCCAAAAUUUAUUUCUUUUGAGAUAUCUGAAGUUGAAUAUCCCUUCCCUCAAAACCCUAGCUUCGUCGUUAUUUAGCAGUUUAUUGAACCUGUACACCGUAGAAAUGCCCUUUAGCUGCAAAGAUCAUACAACAGAUGAAUUUUGGAAGAUGAGCAAACUGAGGUAUCUAAAUUUUGGCUCAAUCAUACUUCCUGCACAUCCAGGAAAAUAUUGCGGCUCUCUGGAAAAUCUCAAUUUCAUUUCAGCCUUGCAUCCUUGCCGCUAUACUGAGGAUUUAUUGGGCUGACUACCUAAUCUUUGAAAUCUCCAGAUAUGGGGAGACUUAAGUUAUUAUCAAUCUUUGUUGUCCAAAAGUCUCUGUAGAUUGAGCUGCCUCGAGUCAUUGAAGUUGGCGAAUGAAAGCAAGAUGCCACGAUGAUCCAAUAUUAUCCUUGCUGAAUACCAAUUUCCUCCAAUUUUAACCCACUUGAGUUUUUUGAAUAUUGAGCUAAUGGAUGAUCCCAUGCCCGCACUAGAAAAGCUGCCGGUUCUUCAGGUGCUCAAACUGAAGCAAAACGCGUAUUCAGGUAGAAAGCUAGCUUGUAGCCCUGAUGGCUUUCCAAAACUCAAGGUACUGCACCUUAAAUCAAUGCUAUGGCUAGAGGAAUAGACUAUGGGGAUUAGAGCCAUGUCGAAACUAGAAUGCUUGACAUCAACCCUUGUGCUCACUUAAAAAGGAUUCCUGAACAGCUCUGGUGCCUAAACAACUUUAACAAAUUAGAGUUAUGGUGGCCUGAGCCGGAGCUGAGACAAUAGCUACGGGAAUUUAAGGAUAAGGAGCAGUAUGGCAUUCAACUAUAUCCAUAUGGAAUUUGAUUAGCAUGGAUCGACUUUGAUGAAGUUUUUUUCUUUUCUAUCCAAUAACUUCAACCUCUAAUUAUUUAUCUAAUUUCAUGUAAACAUCUAUUUUCUAUGAUUGAUUCGAUAGUACGCAGUUGCCUAAAUAAUAAUUAUACCAUUAAGUGUUUUUUACAUUCUAAUUGUGGUUGCUUCUAAUUUUUGUCUCAACAAACACUUGGAAGUGUCCAUCACAUUUCCUAAUAUUGACACUAAUCAUUAAUCCCUCAUUUAUAGAAGAGGAAGAACCCGUAUGUAUUGGUUGUUGAAAUAAUCAAGAAAAACUGUAAAAUAAGAUCUUCAUUACUUGUAUGUGCAGGUCAAAGCAGAGCGGAAAAUAUCUCAGCAGCCAAAGUUUCAAUUUCAAUAAGAAUCCCGCUGUUUGGGGGAUAUACUUCGACAAGACCAGCCAUGAUGAGCAGAUAUCUGGUAGCAGGAUUCCACAAACAGGAAUAUUCUGUAGAAGUCUGGUAGCAGGUGAACACGAACAGGAAUAUUCUGCUCGUUCACAAAUGCACCAUCCACGGGGCCACAGCGGGAGCCAGCCUCCUACUAGUAGCAUAAGGCCAUUCCUGUUAGAGGUUGAGGUGGAGAGACUCGGUCAAUGACGGUUGCUAAGACGUGCACUCCUGCCCGAGAAUCAAGGCACGAAGUCCACUCAGCCACAACUACGAUAAUGAAGCAUCCACUUCCAAGAGUUGAGGGAGGUGAUAGACUUGGAUUGUAGGAAGGCCCGGAUUCAAAGGAAGGCUAUAAAAAGGUAACCAACGAAGGUAAACAGGUUAGACUUUUUGAGAUUAGAAUUGAGAAAAAGAGCUUUCUAUUGAGAGAUUAUAAAAAAGCCAUAAUAUUAGUGGCCGUGUUUCCCAGAAAGACAAAACCUACGUUUCUGACUUGAGCGUCGGAGGGUUUACGCUGGAAAAACACCCGGCGUGCUCUAACCUGUCUCUGUGUACACAUGAGUCUGCGGAGAGGAAGUCUUACGAGGAGAGAUUCUGGUCGUGGACGAGCAGAAAACCAGAAUCUCGCAUCAACAUUUUGGCGCCGUCUGUGGGGAGCUGAGCAAAAAGCUUAUGUUAAUAGAGAGAAGAAGAGGAAAGGAAGUGAGGGAACAAUCGAUGUAAGAGGAAGUAGUGUACAAGGAGGUGACUUGAGGUUUAACGAGUUCGUGAUGCUAAAAGAGAUAGCCAAUGAAGCACGGGAAAAAGUAAUGUAUGAGCGGAUGGAACGGAUGGAGAAACAGAUGGAGACCCUGACAACCAUCCUACACCAGCUGAGAAGUGAACGAAGGGGAGUUCAAGAGGAGGGGGUGAGAAGUGGCAGAAUGAUACCAGGGCACGAUAAUAUGAUGAGGUCGGACCACCAGAAGAUUUGGUGGUGAGGAAAUCCUUCGGGAAUUCAUCAAAAGGUUCCAUCGCGCUAUCCUCGAUUUGAGAGCCUUUAACCAUCCUCAGGCAUUAAGGGGAUUGAAAGAAGGGGUGAAGAUAGGACGGUUGUGGUACAAUUUGAGGAGUCCAACUAUUCAGACAUAUUCAGCCGCUUAUGAGCAGGCCAAGAAGGACAUUGAGAUUGAAGAGGAAAAGACAGCACGAAUUAAGACAGACCAGCUAGAAGGGUUGAGGAGGAAAAAGAAGAGAGCCCUACCAGGAAAUAAGGUCGAUUAAGAGGAAGGACCACCAUGCCUCAAGUAGUGGUGCAGGACGCCGGGUCACCUCUUACCAGCCUCAUCAGAGGCCACCCCAAUUUCAACGCAGCAGGGCGCAACCUCUUCGUUUACCAGCCAGGGAUUUAUGGAGAAAGCAUGACCCGACAUAUAGUCAUCCUUAUCCACACCCACACGGUGGUAGAUGAAGCAGACCAGAAGCAUCGUUACCCCCUCCAGUUCAGAACGGCACCAACAGGGAAAGGGCGGUACACAUGAUCGACUAGAGCCAAGAUUAUGGGCGAUAUACUUCCUUGAAGAUGCCCCUGGACGAGGUGUAUGAGGCCAUAAAGGAACGAGGAUUACUGUACCUCUCUACCCCAAUAACAAAGUUACCCAGCAGGAGAGAUAGGGGACGCUAUUGCAUGUUCCAUGGCACCCACGGUCAUACCACAGCUGAAUACAGAGAUCUCAAAACUCAGGUUGAAGAUUUGGUGAGAAAUCGAUACCUGGACGAGUUUGUAGAUGGGAUCUUCCCGAUGGUGGCCUCGUCAUGUGAAUGAGAGCAGAGUGAUAGGAACAUGAGCCACGAGCAGCCUAUAGUAAGAGUAAUUGCUGAGGGCCCAACAUUGGCGGGAGAUUCCAACAGAUUGAGGAAGAACUACGCUAGAUAUGCCAUGACUAGCAAAGAAGUGUUCUUCAACACCCCAGAAGUUCCGAUCAUGUGGACAUAUGAGGAUAAAGAAGGGAUUCUAUAUCCACAUGAGGAUGCCUUGGUCAUUAAAGCCACCACUACUAGCAAGAAGUUUGACCGGAUUCUGGUAGACACGGGAAGCUCGGUCGAUGUUUUGUUCAAGUCAACUCUAGAGGAGAUGGGAAUAGCAGACCUGAGGUUAGAGCAUACUAAUACCUCCUUGAAAGGAUUUGGUGGACGAAAGCUGGUUCCUCUAGGCGUGGUCGAACUGCCCAUCACAAUUGGCAGCUCCCCGAUAGAAAAGACUAUAAUCCUAGAUUUUGUGGUUGUCGAUGAAGAGGGUCCUUACCAGAUGAUUAUAGGCCGCCCCUUUUUGAGGAUGAGCAAAGCGAUGCUUUCCAACCAUUAUCUAGCUCUCAAGUAUUGGGUGAAUGGAGUGGUUGGGGUGGUACGAGGAGACCAGAGAAUUGCCCGAAGCUGUUACUCCACAGUAGUAAGGGAAGCAAUGCAGAUUACAUCACUUGAUACUCGAGUGGGAGCCAAGAAUGGCAUAUAAGAGCUUGUAGAGGAGCUGGAAAUAGUAAGCUUGGAACAAGGUGAUUCAGGAAAAACAAUAUGAAUUGGGUCGGGGCUUAAAGAAGAGCAGAAGCGGGAGCUGGUGCAUUGCUUGUGAGCUCACGCAGAUGUGUUUGCUUGGACACAUGAAGACAUGCCGGGAAUCGAUCCUGAGGUCGCCUGCCAUAAGUUGACAAUAAGGAAGGGUGCUCGGACGGUAAGGCAAAAAAGAAGGUGCUUCAACCAAGAGAGGUAUGAGGCUAUAAAUGGCGAGGUGGAGAAGCUCUUGAAGGCAGGGUUCGUUCGGGAAGUUAACUACCUUGAGUGGAUAUCGAAUGUGGUUUUAGUGAAAAAGACUAAUGGUAAAUGGAGGAUGUGUGUAGAUUUCAUAGACCUUAAUAAGGCGUGCCCGAAAGAUAGCUUUCCCCUACCCAAGAUCGACUAGCUGGUUGACUCAACAGCCGGGCAUGGCCUGCUUAGCUUCAUGGAUGUAUUUUCGGGAUACAACCAAAUCCCAGUGUUUGAGCAGGAUGAGGAGAGCACGGUAUUUAUCAGUAACCAGGGUUUGUUCUGUUAUAGGGUAAUGCCGUUCGGUCUUAAAAAUUCGGGUGCCACGUACCAGAGGUUGGUGAACAAAAUCUUUAAGCCGUUGAUUGGGAGAACAAUGGAGGUGUGUGUGGACAACAUGAUAACCAAAUCAAAAAACCCGAAGGAACAUGUCGAGUACCUCGAGGAGACAUUUGGAUUUUUGAGGAAGUACAAGAUAAAGCUCAACCCAGAGAAGUGUGCCUUUGGGGUCAAGUCGGGCAAAUUCCUUGGGUUCAUGGUGAGUCAUCGGGGGAUCGAGGUGAAUCCCGAUAAAAUCCAGGCAAUCGUGUAGAUGAGAUCUCCUCGUAACCUGAAGGAGAUACAGAGCCUUACAGGGAGGUUGACGGCAUUGAGUCGGUUCAUAUCCAAGGCGCAUAUAAGUGCCAGGCAUUCUUUCAAGUGAUAAGGAGAGGAAAGAAAAUAGAGUGGACCCCUGAAUGCGAAGAAGCCUUCCAGAAAUUAAAGCAAUAUUUGCAGCAAGCACCUUUGUUGUCCACACCGUGGGAUGGAGACAUGUUGUUCCUAUAUAUGGUGGUAUCGGAUCAUGCCACGAGUUCUGUUCUAGUGAGAGAGGAAGAAAGGGUUCAAUAUCCGAUAUAUUACACAAGCAAGGCCUUGCUCGAUGCUGAGACUAGAUACCCACAGUUAGAGAAAUGGGAACUUGCUCUUGUGGUUGCUGCUCGGAAGCUGAGGCCAUACUUCAAGCAUUCCCCAUCUCGGUAAUAACAAACCAAUUGUUACGAUAGACUCUACACAAGCCGGAUGCUUCUGGUCGGUUAGUGAAGUGGGUCAUAAAGUUGAGUGAGUUCGACAUAAGUUAUAAAUCCUGAGCAGCAAUAAAGGCCUAAGCAAUGGCCGAUUUCGUGGCAGAAUUCGCAGAGCCCGAAGUAGGUUUCAACCAGUUGGAUGCUGCUACAGUCAACAACGAAGAUCGGGUAUGGCAAGUGUCAGUGGAUGGAUUCUCAGGGGAGCAGGGGUCUAGAGCAGGGAUUGUUUUGGAAGGCCCAAAAGGGGAGGAGAUCUCUUAUGCUGUAAGGUUGGAGUUCACAACCACAAAUAACCAGGCAGAAUACGAAGCUCUAAUAACGGGCUUGAAAUUGGCUAAGACAGUGAAAGUGGAUAGGGUGGAAAUCUGAACUGAUUCCCAACUGGUUGCAAAUUAUGUCAGUGAAAGGUUUCAGCCGAGAGAUAGGAAGAUGGAACAAUAUUUGAAGAAAGUCAAGCAGAUGAUUGGGAAGUUUGAGGUGGUUGAGGUGAUACAAAUCCUAAGGGAGGAGAAUAGUCGAGCAUAUAUUUUGGCCAGGAUGACAGCUGUAAGAGAUCAAAAAAUGCCUAAGUCGGUCCCUUCGGAGGUGAAGUCCAGCCCUAACAUCGAGCAGAAUUUAGAGGUGCUGCGGAUAGAACAAAAAAGCUCGUGGAUGGACCCAAUGAUCUCGUACAUUAGGGAUGGGGUAUUAGCACCAGAUAAGUUACGAGUUCGGAAGAUCAAAGCUCAGGCGUCGAGGUACACAAUGAUUGAUGGGGUAUUAUAUCGGCGGGGAUAUACCCUACCGUUCCUUCGGUGUUUGGAUGAGGACGACGCAGAUUACGUACUGAGAGAAGUACAUGAAGGAGUUUGCGGAAACCAUUCUGGCACGAGGUCCCUUGCCCACAAGGCUCUAAGGCAGGGAUAUUUCUGGCCGACGAUGCACCAGGAUGUGCAGGAGAAAACCAGGAGUUGCAUGAGUUGCCAGAGUUUUACAAAUUUCUCUACCCAGCCACUAGAGAAGCUCACUUCUAUGGCCUUGCCAUGGCCAUUUGCUCAAUGGGGAAUUGAUUUGAUUGGGCCGUUGCCAAAGAGAUGAGGGGCAGCAACACAUGCAAUAAUAGCGAUAGACUAUUUCACGAAGUGGAUAGAGGUAGAAGCCCUCUGCAGGAUCACAGAGAAAAAGACGACUGACUUCGUAUAGAGAAACCUGGUCUGUCGGUACGGGAUGCCUUAUGCCCUGAUAGCAGACAAUGGGAGACAAAUUGACAACCAUAACUUCAGGGACUUCUGCCAGACCUCGGGAUAGAGCUGAAGUAUUGCUCGCCUGCUCACCCUCAGUCUAACGGACAAGUAGAAGCAGCUAAUAAGAUAAUCAAGAGGCUUUUGAAAACCAGGCUUGGAGCAAAAAAUGGAGCAUGGGUUGAUGAGCUACCAGGUGUAUUAUGGGCAUACAUGACAACCCACAAAACAGCAACCGGCGAAACUCCGUUCGCUUUGGCCUUCAGACAUGAAGCUGUUGUACCGAUCGAGAUAGGGGCGACCACGCACCUGACAGAUCACUUCGAUGAGUAGGAAAACAACGACCAGAUGUUCUUGAAUCUGGAUUUGCUGACCGAGAAGAGAGAGCAAGUAUUGAAGCGAUUAGCCGUCUACCAGCAGAGGGUUGCUCGGUAUUACAACCAGAAGGUGUGUAUACGACAGUUCAAGGUCGGCGAUUAGGUACUAAGGAGGGUGAAUCAGAACACGAAAGACUCGACACAAGGAGUACUUGGACCAAACUAGGAGGGGCCAUAUAGGGUCAAGCAGGUAGCUAGACCCGGAGCCUAUAAGCUUGUUCGCGCGGAUGGCCAUGAGGUGAAACGCCCCUGGAACGUAGCACACCUCAGGAAAUAUUUCCAGUAAGACCCGAUCAUACUUUAAAGUUAUUUAUAUUCGUCCUUGUUGUUAUUCGUUUUAUGUUAAAUCAAUCUCAUGUUAGCCGAAUUCAGUAAUUAAUGAAACAUUGAGGAAUUUCAAUCAGUUGUAAUGUUGUAAAGAUUUCUAAAGCAUGCAAAGGCUCACUAAGUCUCAAAGCCUGUUUUAUGGUGAGACAAGAAGCCAAGGAUGCUAAGGAUCUGCUCGACCGAGCGAGGACGAGCAGACUCUCAAAUGUUAUAAGAAUUUCUAAGGCAUGCAAAGGCUCACUAAGUCUCAAAGCCUGUUUUAUAGCGAGACCAAAAGCCAAGCAUGCCAAGGAUCUGCUCGACCGAGCGAAGGCGAGUAGACUCUCAAAUCUUAUAAGAAUUUCUAAGGCAUGCAAAGGCACCUUUAAGUCUCAAAGCCUGUUUUAUGGCGAGACCAGAAGCCAAGCAUGCCUAGAUCUGCUCAACCAAGUGAAGGCGAGCAGACUCUCAAAUGUUAUAAGAAUUUCUAAGGCAUGCAAAGGCUCACUAAGUCUUAAAGCCUGUUUUAUGGCAAGACCAAAAGCCAAAGCAUGCCAGGAUCUGCUCAACCAAGCGAAGACGAGCAAACAAUCAAACGUAAGGCAACGGGAAGCCGAACUUUUCGACACCUGCUCGACGACAAUGUAAGCGAACGAAAAAAUAAAAUAAUCUGCCAAGAGCUCGAAGCGGAGAAAGCAAAUAAGAGAAUUCUUAUUAAUCUGCCAAUAAUUAUGAAAAGCUGCUAGUCUUAACAUACAAUGUUCUAAAAAAGAAACCUACAACACAAGGUACAUUCAAGAGGACGGCAGGUCAGUAAGUUAGGCCGUCUUUACUGGCUGGUCCACCUCAGGAGCAGGGGGGUCUCACCAGUUGCUCCCGGGGGGGUACUUGCCUCGGCAACAUCAGCAGGGACUGCACGAGGAGGGGAGGGAACCUCUCCAGCUGCAUUUGGCUCCAACUCUUCGACAUCUUCUUUGGCUGCCUCCUCAUCCAUAUAUUGAGCAACACUAGCAGCAAGCUCAUCCAUCUUUAGAUCAGGAUGCUGCUUCCUUAAGACGACCAUGAUGUAGCGAUAAGAAUGCCGAAGCCCCUGGUCAUAUUGGUUGUUAGCUUCCUUCUCUAGGUUCUCGACCUGAACCUGGUGGGAAUCUUUGAGAGAUUCGAGCUGAGCCUCGUAAGUAGCCUUUUGUCUCUGCAGGUCCUUCUUGACCUUAGUCAGCUCCUCAUCAAGAGUGAUUAACUUUGCCUGCGCGAGAGACUCUAGCUCUAUCAACUUCAGAUUCUCAAGGUUGAGAUCUCUGACUUUCUUCUCGGCAGCGUUAGAUUUGGUUUUGGCCGACUAAACGUCUUUUCUCAUCUUUCGAUCAUAGCGGCUGACCUUCGCUUUAUAGUAAGUGGCCAUGUAGCCGAGAUGAAAAGCACUAUACUGCAUAGCCCCCACCAGCUCGCCCAGAGUGCUGCCAUCAAAGUCCUCUAAGUCCUUUUUUCUCACGAGCCUAGAAUACUCACUGAUAUAGGGGACCAGAUGCUCUGCUCGAUUGUCGGGCAAACGAGGUUUCGACCCCGCUGGUGGAGGAAGAGAAGUGGGAUCAGUGGCUGUUCCACUAGUUUCGCCGACUUUGGUAGGAGGAGGUGGUAGAAUCCUCAAGGGGGGACCUGCUCCGCGAUGUUCACCUGUUUCGUAGAAAAAGCAUCCUUAUUCUAGUCCUGCUUAGCAGCAGGAGGUUGAUGACGUUUUCGAUUCAAAGCCCCGAUCACAGUAUCCUCCAUCUUAAGAUCAGUGGACACCGGACGAGAUUCGAACAAGUUGUAAGUAGAUAGCAACUCUCGGCUCGAGGAGGAAUUGGCUAACACAGCCUUGACCUACUUGAGCGGCUCAGGUUUAAGCUUGUAGUGGACACCCCAAGAACCAGCAGUUCGAACAAAUAUUGGGUUAGAGAUAAAUAAAAAACGAGGACAACUAGGGAUACAAGACAUCUAAAGCGAGUAGGCAACCUAGGACUACGAAAUGGGAUGGGACGCGAUAGUUCUUCCUGUCAAUCUAUGCAACUUGACCCCAGGGACCCCCAGCAAAAAAUAAUUUUUUCUUCCAAUUCCCACCACCACCUGUUGGAAGAUCAGUUAUGUGUUUUCUAGUCUUGGUACUUGACAUGAAGUAAUACCAGCAGGUGUCUUUGGGGCUACUCUUUAGCUGGUACAAGUGCUUUACCUCAUUAAUUGUGGGCUCGCUCUGGCAGCAUCUAUCCCACAAUAUGAACAGACCAGAAAGCACCCUCCACCCAUUUGGGUUAAGUUGACCAGGAGCUAAGUUUAACCCACUAAGCAUUCGGGUAAAAUAGGGUUGUAGGGGGCACCUCAUCCCGAAUUUAAAACUUUCCAGAAACAGAGUAACGUUUCCCCUGGGAGGCCGGCUGGGAGUAUCUUUUUUUCAUAGGAUCCUAAGGGGUAUAUCAUCAGGAAUGUCAUACCUAGUCCGGAGGUCAACGAGGUCGUCUACUGUGGUCGUGCACGUGAUGAAGUCAAUAGCGUAAUGGAAUUCAAAUGGAGGGAUAGAUUUCUGCCAUAUCACUUCGCCCGCAAUUAAAUGCGACAUGACUCCUCAAAGGCUUUUCCUAUCAUGCGCAAGCCAGAACUGUUGAAUUUCUAUUGUUGGUCCACUAUGUUACCCAACACCAGAAACUGGGGGACCAAUGUUUGGGGGAUAUACUUCUACAAGACUAGCCAUGAUGAGUAGAUAUCUGGUAGCAGGAUUCCACGAACAGGAAUAUUUUCACAAGUCUGGUAGCAGGUGAACACGAAUAGGAAUAUUCUGCUCGUUCACGAAUGCACCAUCCACGGGGCCACAGUGGGAGCCGGCCUCCUGCUAGGAGCACAAGGCCAUUCCUACUAGAGGUUGAGGUGGGGAGACUCGGUCAAUGACGGUUGGCAAGACGUGCACUCCUGCCCGAGAAUCAAGGCACGAAGUCCACUAAGCCACAACUACGAUAAUAAAGCAUCCACUUCCGGGAGUUGAGGGAGGUGAUGGACGUGGAUUGUAGGAAGGCUCAGAUUUAAAGGAAGGCUAUAAAAAGGUAACCAACGAUGAUAAACGGGUUAGACUUUUUGAGAUUAGAACUGAGAAAAAGAGCUUUCUAUUGAAAGAUCAUAAAAGAGCCAUAAUAUUGGUGGCCGUAUUUCCCAAGAAGACAAAGCAUGCUUUUCUGACUUGAGCGUCAGAGGGUUUACGACGGAAAAACACCCGGCAUGCUCUGACCUGUCUUUGUGUACGCAGGAGUCUGUAGAGAGGAAGUCUGACGAGGAGAGAUCCUGGUUGUGGACGAGUUAGUUGAGGAGAGAUCCUGGUCGUGGACGAGUUAGUUGAGGAGAGAUCCUGGUUGUGGACGAGCAUAAAACUAGAAUCUCGCAUCAACACCAGCCUUCACUGAAAUUGUUUGGUUUCUUUGUUUUCAAGGAUAAUGUUAUAUUCGGAUUAAUAUUUUGUACAAAAGUUUGAUUGAUUGUUUUACUUUCUAUUUUCACAUUCAUUGGUGUGUAUUCAAUUUGUCAACAUUCAAGUUGCAUAUAUGUGAUUGUUUUUUAUUUUAUUUUUAUCUUGUUUCUAGUUUUUGAGUAGUGGUACACUUCAACUUCAAUUUCAUUACUUCAGUUUGACGAAAAGUGUUUGUGCUAUGAUCACUUCUCAUCAUCUUAAAACUGACUGAAUGAUAUUGUUAUUCGGUUUUUCAGAAUUUCACCGAUGUGUAGUUCAUUAUAAGGGUGACAAUGCUGGUCAAAAGUCAAACGGGGUUAGUUAAAAAAGUGCAGGGAAAUUUCGGGUUUGUUAGAAAUAGCCUUUGUUGUAGUUUAUAAGGCUGGUUGUUGGGUCAUCUUCACAGGUCUCAUCAAAGCCAUAGAAAGAGAGAGAGUUAAAGAGAAAAAGUUGUAUAUUCUUGGAAUGAUUGUGAAAUGGUCCUUGUUCUUCUGUGGAUGUAGGCACUUUGAUUCAAUUUUGAGUUUGGGUUUCUAGGAAUGAUUCUUGAUACGUCAAAGAGGGUCUUAGGUGUGUGAUCUUGGUACUAACAGAGGAUUAAACACAACAAAAAGAAACUGGGGCAUAUUGUCUAAUCUUUAUAGACUCCAAAUAUAUGGAGAUUUUAGCCCUAGUCAAUGUCCAACAGCCCUUGUAAAAUAAAAAACCAUCACUAAUCCUUGGUGACUUUAGGGAUCUAGUAAGGACUAGGUAGAAUUGAAGAGGAGAUUUAACGAGUGAAGUUCUGAAAGUGGAAGAUUUAAUCUAUAGCACGGAAGCUUAGUUAGAAUUGAUGACUGGAUUCUUUCUCUAUUGAUUGAUUUGCAGCCCAACUGCAUUAAGGGAAUAAAGAGGAGCUGUAGUCGUUCGCACAUUUUCUGUUCACAGCAUCCAGCGGGUGCCUUGUAAUGCAGUGCAAUGAAGUUGAUGGCACACAGGAUGUGCUGCUGCUCUCUCUCAAUUCCUUAUAAUCACAUCAAGGCCCUUGUUUGUAGCAGAGGAAUUCCCUUUUGUAUUAAAAUUGAUUCUGCUGCUCUGGUUGUCAUUGGAUUCUUAUGGUUUCUUCACUCAUUAGCCAGUAACAUAAUGUUGAGUUUAUUGAUUUUGUUAUCUUAAAAAUGUCCAAGACAUCUUGUGAUCAUGAUAUAUUGUCAUUUUAUUUUUAGACAAAAAGAUUGUUUUUCCAGUUAGCAAAUGUAUAUUGCGUUCAUUUUUGGAUUGGAAAAACAAAAAUUUGAAGAAGAAAAAUGAAAAUUAAUAAAAAAGAUUACAGGACAUCUGCAUCAUGUUCUUUUAUUUGAACUAAGUCUUUGUUUAACUUUUCUCCUUUUCCAUUUUGCAAAUUUAGUAUCUCUUUCUUUUCUUGAACCAAGAUAGUUUCCUUUACUUACAAGUAAAGUUUAAAUGACCUUGAUCUUCUAUUUUUCUCUUACCUUAUUUUUCUUUCACAAGCACGAUCAUUUUCAACGCUAUCAAAAUCAUCCAUCUAUCAAUACCCAAUUUGAAUAAAAUUCAGCAUCUUUUUUCCUUAUUCUUUCUAUGUAAUAAUUUGGUUGUGUUGCUUUUAAUCAAAAUAAAAUAUAUAUCGUCGGGAUUUCAAAGUUUGUGAUCACUUUAAGAAAAAAGCAGGUACUUUAUUAUUUGAAUUAUCCACAAAAUAACUCUAUUUUAUUAUUUUCAUCUUAUGAAUGUUAGAUGUACUAUAUAUCUGUGUUUGAUUCUUAUUUACAACCUAUGUUUUUGCUCACACGUUUCAUAUGUUGACAAGUCAGAUUAAAAAAAGAUAAAAAGAUCAACUUUCUUUUAUUCCAUUUGCAAAUGCAUUGACAAACAGUUUAAUUUGUUUAAUUAAUUUAUUUUUUUAAAAUCACGGUCUCUUUUAAUAAUUUGUUACUUUGCAUGUUAGAACAACAAGGUAAUGACAGAGGAAGAGAUAUGGACAUCAACUUCAGACUAUUUUCAGAGAGGUUAAGAAGGGUGUUAGCCAGUAAAGAAGUCACGUUGCCUGAUGCUGCAAAACAACCUAUUCAAAACCUUCUUGCCAAGAAUGAAAUCAUUACUUCUUGGCUGAGGGACUUUGAAUAUGAAACGUCCUGGCUUCUGGUGCAAAAAAUAGGAAAAGAGGAAAUUGAUGACCCUGAUCUCGGGAACAUUAUGGAUGAAAUCAAUUGCUUUCCUCAUCUUAUAUCAUGGAAGCAUCUCAUUAGAAGAAAAUAUAGGGGAAGCAAUGGAGAAGCCCCUUGGGCUUUGGUACUUCAAAUAUUGCAGGUCACCUUUUUGCUUGAAACUUUGUUUUCUCUACUUAUCUGUGUUUCCCACAUGCCUAGAGAUAUCCACUAAGAAGUUAUAUCGGUUGUGGAUAGUGUAAGAGAGAUUGUAACAUUUUUCAAUCUUUGGUUUGAUAUUCUAGAAGAAAACGGUUUGUCGUUUCUGGGGAAAAAGGCUAACUGUUUAAUUUCAGAGAGCAUGUUUUAUGUUCUAGAGAAAACGGCUAACCGUUUGGAGAAAAUGGUUAACCGUUUAGAGAAAACGGCUAACCGUUUAUUUCCAGAGAGCGUAUUUUUGCGUCAACUGAAAAAAUGGUUAGCAAGCUUGAAAAUUUCAUAUGUCAAUCGAUGCAAAUUCAAACUAAAAGAGUGCUUUGAAAUACACUCACUAAUUAAAUGUUAAAAUCGAAAGAUACAUUUUUGUAUGUAUAAGUUUAUCAUUAAUAAAUCUGAAAAAUAUUACAAUCUAGUGGGGGAUUGUAAGAGAGAUUGUAACAUUUUUCAAUCUUUGGUUUGAUAUUCUGGAAGAAAACGGUUUGCCAUUUCUGGGGAAAAAGGCUAACCGUUUAAUUCCAGAGAGCAUGUUUUCUGUUCUAGAGAAAACGACUAACCAUUUGGAGAAAACGGCCAAUCGUUUAUUUACAGAGAGCAUGUUUUCUGUUCUAGAGAAAAUGGCUAAUCGUUUAGAGAAAUCAGCUAACCGUUUAUUUACAGAGAGCAACUUAUUUGACAUUCUGGAAUAAAACGGCUCACCAUUAUUGAGAAAACGGCUAACCGUUUAUUUACAGAGAGUGUGUUUUUGCGUCAACUGGAAAAACAGUUAGCAAGCUUGAAAAUUUCAUAUGUCAAUCGAUGCAAAUUCAAACUAAAAGAGUGUCUUUGAAGAAGUGCCAUUUCUAAUGGUUGUAUUCUUUUAAAAAUAAACUUCUUCUUUAUUAAAAGAUAGACACACAAUUAGAUCAAUAUCAGAUUUUGCAGAUUUCAUGUAUGUUCUGGAAAUACAAUCUUAUUUUCUAGAGAUUGUAUUCAGGAUUUGAUAUAUCUUGGGGGUAAUUUGCGAUUAAAACUCUAUAGCAAACCAAGAUUGGUGAGGGCAAAUAAAACCUUAAAGGAAAGUAUGCAAAUACGUCUCAAAUCCUAAGAAAAUUUCUUUGUUCUUUGCCUCCAUAUUCGAAAAUUCACCAACAAUAUUUAAGGUUUUAUUUUUAUGCAAAUGGAGGCUGAGAAGAGUUUGAUGUCAUUUUUUAAUCCUAGUGUCCAUCUCGAUCGUUUUGAUGGAACUAAUUUCACUCGUUGGAAGGGAAAAUUGUUCUUCUUCCUUACUAUUCUUAAAUGGCAUAUGUUCUUGAUCCGAAAUUGGAACCAUUUCCGGAACCAAGAGAAGAUAAUACCGAAGUUGUUAAGGCUGCAAGGAAACGUCGUGAAGAAGAUGAAUUGGUGUGUCGGGGUCACAUGCUCAAUACGCUUUCUAACAGGUUAUAUGAUCUUUACAAUUCUAUGACUUCUCCAGUGGAAAUUUGGAAUGCUCUUGAGUACAAAUACAAAACAGAGAAAGAAGGUACUAACAAAUUUAUUGUCUCUAAAUAUUUUGAAUUUAUUAUGGUAGACACAAAAUCCAUUCUUGAUCAAAUACACGAGUUACAAAUUAUUGUUGCUAAGCUUCAAGAGUUAAAAGUUGAAAUUUCUUAAUCAUUUCAAGUUGGGGCUAUUAUUGCUAAAUUGCCUCAAAGUUGGAAUGAUUAUAGAAAGAAACUCCUUAAUAGUAAAGAAAACAUAACUUUAGAAGAAUUUCAAAAACACUUAGUAAUUGAAGAAGAGACUAGGUCUCGUGAAUCCAAGGAUAAGCAUGAUUCUACUAAAGUUAAUGUUGUUGAAGCUAGUAAAUUCUCAAAGAAUUUUAAAGUCAAGAAUGCCAAGAAAUUCAAGAAGUCCAACACACAAAAGUUUACUGGAAAUUAUUUCUUUUGUGGCAAGAAAGGCCAUCGCCAAAGUGAUUGCAGAUUCAAGAAGAAAAAGGAAUAAGUGAAUCCCCAUAAAGCUAAUGUUAUUUAAAAAAAUCUGAAGAGAUUUGUGCUAUGGUUUCUGAAAUGCAAAUUGGCAUGAUUACCGAAACCAAUAUGGCUGAAACUAAGUCCUAUGAUUGGUGGCUCGAUUCGGGUGCAACAAUUCAUGUUUGUAAUGAUAAGAAAUUUUUCUUAUCGUACAAAGAAGAAACGGAAGGACAAAUGGUUCUCAUGGAGAACAAUAAUGCAGCCAUAGCAGCAGGGAAAUGAGUAGUUGAGAUCAACUUCACUUCUGGAAAGAAAGUCACAUUGUAUAAUGUCUUUUAUGUACCUUCCGUUAGGAAGAAUCUUAUUUCUGCUAGUUGUAUGUGUAAGCAUGGGCUUAAGAAUAUGCUUGAGGGUAAUACUUGUAUUAUCUCAAAGAAUGGAUUAUUUGUUGGGGAAGGGUAUUCUUGUGAUGAAAUGUAGAAACUUAGCAUUAAUAAUAAUAAUAUCAACUUAGCUUAUAUUGUUGAGUCUUGUGAUGUUUGGCAUGCUAGAUUAGCACAUUUGAAUUUUAGAUCUUUGAAAUACAUGUCUAAGCAAGGUUUGAUUAAUUACAAUGAUGUUAAAGGUCAUAAGUGUAAAAUCUGCAUCCAAGCUAAAUUAACGAAGAAACCUUUUCCUAAAGUCAAACGAAAUACUCAAAUAUUGGAUUUAAUACAUACCGAUAUUUGUAAGUAUAAUGGUGUUUUAACAAGAGGAGGUAAGAGGUACUCUAUCACUUUUAUUGAUGAUUGUUCUAGAUACACUUAUGUGUAUUUACUUAGAACAAAAAAUGAAGCUUUUGAUAAAUUUAAAAAUUUCAAAUCUGAAGUUGAGAACCAAGAAGAUAAGAAAAUCAAAAUGAUUCGUAGUGAUAGAGGUGGUGAAUAUUUCUCAAUUGAAUUUAAUAAUUAUUGUGAAGAAUUUGGAAUUAUUCACCAAAGAUCAGCUCCAUUUACUCCUCAACAAAAUGGUUUGGCUGAAAGGAAGAAUAGGAUCUUCAGGGAUAUGAUAAAUUCCAUGAUCCUUAAUGCAAAACUACCAAAUAAUUUGUGGGGGAAAGUAUUACUCACUGCAUGUCAUAUUCAUAACAGAAUUACAUCUUUGAAAACACAUAAAUCUCCUUAUGAAAUUUGGAAAGGAAGAAAAUCAAACUUGAUGUAUUUAAGGGCCUGGGGUUGUUUAGCUUUUUAUAAACAUGAUCCUAAAUCAUCAAAGUUAAGUACUAGAUGUAUAAAGAGUGUUUUCGUAGGAUAUGCUGAAAAUUCCAAGGCUUAUAGGUUGUUAGAUUUAGAUUAUAAUGUGAUUGUGGAAUUUAUAGAUGUUGAAUUUAUUGAGAAUAAAUUUCAACAUGAUUCUAAUAUUGAAUUAGAAUCAAUUAUUGAUCAACCAUGUGUUAAUACUCCUGUUACCUCCACUAACAAUAAUAAAAGGAAAGAGUCUAUGACAUCUUUCGAACCAAGGAGGAGUCAACGUGAAAACAAAGAAAAGAGUUUAGCUCCAGAUUUUAUUUCAUCACAAGCACUACUCUUCUUGGUUGAAGGGGAUAGAAAGAAUGUACUUAAUAAAGUAUCAUUGUUGUUAAAUAUUGAAAAAGAUCCAAAGACAUUUAGCGAAGCUAUGUCUUCUAGAGACGCUUCUUUUUGGAGAGAGGCGGUAAAUAAUGAAAUGGAUUCGAUUAUGUCGAAUCAAACAUGGGUCUUGGUUGAUCUUCCUCUAGGAUCUAAACCAAUUAGCAGCAAAUGGGUAUUUAGAAGAAAGUACAAUAGUGAUGGUUCUUUGCAAACUUUUAAGGCUAGAUUAGUAGCUAAAGGGUUUAAGCAAAGAAAUGGUAUUGAUUAUUUCGAUACAUAUGCUCCGGUAGCAAGGUUAACUUCUAUAAGAGUGCUAUUUGCAAUUGCUUCAUUGAACAAUUUGUAUGUGCAUCAAAUGGAUGUUAAAACUGCUUUUCUUAAUAGUGAUCUUGAUGAAGAAAUCUAUAUGGAACAACAUGAGGGAUUUGUUUUGCCAGGAAAUGAGAAAAAGGUAUGCAAGUUAGUCAAAUCACUUUAUGGUUUGAAGCAAGCACCAAAACAAUGGCAUGAGAAGUUUGAUUCGGUAAUUUUAUCUCAUGGUUUUAAGCAUACUAAUACUGAUAAAUGUAUAUAUUUUAAAUUUACGAAUGAUUUUGGUGUGAUUAUAUGUGUUUAUGUUGAUGACUUGCUUAUCUUUGGAACAAAUAUGCAAGGAGUAGAUGAUACAAAGAAGUAUUUAACUUCACAAUUUAAGAUGAAAGAUCUUGGUGAAGUAGAUACUAUCUUAGGUGUCAAAGUGAAGAAACAUAGUGGGGGUUACUUAUUGUGUCAAUCUCAUUAUAUAGAGAAAGUGCUUCUUAAAUUCAAUUAUUUGAAAUUUAAAGAAGCCAAUACCUCAUAUGAUUCUAGUAUUAAAUUACUAGAGAAUUCAGGCCGAGUAGUAGCACAACUAGAAUAUGCUAGUGCUAUUGGUGGCUUGAUGUAUGCUAUGCAUUGUACGAUGCCUGAUAUAGCAUUUGCAAUUUAUAAAAUGUCAAGAUUCACGAGUAACCCUAGUGUUGAACACUGGAAAGCAAUUGGUAGGAUACUUGGUUAUCUUAAAAGGACCAUUAAUUUGAGUUUGUUUUAUAAUGAUUAUCCUGAAGUACUGGAAGGAUAUUCAGAUGCUAGUUGGGUAACCAAUACAAGAGAUAAUAAAUCCACUUCUGUUUGGAUUUUUACAAUUGCUAGAGGAGCGGUUUUUUGGACUUCAAAGAAACAAACGUGCAUAACUCAUUUAACAAUGGAAAGUGAGUUUAUAGCACUUGCAACUGCAGGCAAGGAAGCCGAAUGGCUGAGAAAUUUGUUGUUUGAUAUAAUGUUGUGGCCACAACCAAUGCCAUCUAUUUCUUUGUACUGCGAUAGUGAAGCUACAUUGUCUAGAGCUUAUAAUAAAGUGUAUUUCCAGAGAGCGUGUUUUUACGUCAACUGGAAAAACAGUUAGCAAGCUUGAAAAUUUCAUAUGUCAAUCGAUGCAAAUUCAAACUAAAAGAGUGUCUUUGAAGAAGUGAUAUUUCUAAUGGUUGUAUUCUUUUAAAAAUAAAAUUCUUCUUUAUUAAAAGAUAGACACACAAUUAGAUCAAUAUCAGAUUUUGCAGAUUUCAUAUAUGUUCUGGAAAUACAAUCUUAUUUGCUAGAGAUUGUAUUCAGGAUUUGAUAUAUCUUGGGGGUAGUUUGCCAUUAAAACUCUAUAGCAAACCAAGAUUGGUGAGGGCAAAUAAAACCUUAAAGGAAAGUGUGCAAACACGUCUCAAAUCCUAAGAAAUUUUCUUUGUUCUUUGCCUCCAUAUUCGAAAAUUCACCAACAGAUAGAUGAAGGUUUCAUUCCAGACAACAGUGAGGCAACUGCUGAGAAGUACUAAGAUCUACUAAUCAAUAGAGGCUUUGUUGAUACAAGGAAGAGAGGAGCUGGAAGCGCUAUCAACACAUGCUCUGUUCGUGGUCGUUGCCGUCCUGUGUUGUUAGCAGUGGCUUUCGAGGCGGAAUUUGUCUUUUUCCCGUUCGGGGAUCCAAAAGGUAAAUCACGAAAAAAUGUCAAACGGAUCAACGUUUUUGAAAAACAGAGUGAUUUUGCUCACCUAGAUGAUUAUGACUCGCACUUGCAUUCUUUGUUGUACUUCACUUCAAAAAGCGACUAUCUUGACCCAAUAAAUUGGGAGAAAAUUUGUAAAAUGUUAAAAUUUCUCAGAGGAUUGGACUUGGGAUCUCUUGUUCUCAUCCAUUAUCCAUCCGGAAUUGAAAAUUUAUUUCUUUUACGAUAUUUGAAGUUGAAUAUCCCUUCCCUCAAAAGCUUGCCUUCGCCAUUAUUAAGCAAUCUUCUGAACCUGUACACCCUAGACAUGCCCUUUAGCUAUAUAGAUCACACAGCAGAUGAAUUUUGGAAGAUGAACAACCUCAGGCAUCUGAAUUUUGGCUCAAUCACACUUCCUGCGCAUCCAGGAAAAUAUUGCGGCUCUCUGGAAAAUCUCAAUUUCUUUUCAGCCUUGCAUCCUUGCUGCUGUACUGAAGAUAUAUUGGGUAGACUACCUAAUCUUCGAAAUCUCCGGAUAUGGGGAGAUUUAAGUUAUUAUCAAUCUUUGUUGUCCCAAAGUCUUUGCACAUUGACUUGCCUCGAGUCAUUGAAGUUGGUGAACGAAAGCAAGAUGCCAACGCUCUCCAAAAUUGUCCUUGUUGAAUACCAAUUUCCUCCAAGACUGACCCACUUGAGUUUCUCUAAUACUGAACUUAUGGAGGAUCCCAUGCCCGCACUAGAAAAGCUGCCGCUUCUUCAAGUGCUCAAAUUGAAGCAAAAUUCGUAUUCAGGUAGGAAGCUGACUUGUGGCUCUGAUGGUUUUCCAAAUCUCAAGGUAUUGCACCUGAAAUCAAUGCUAUGGCUAGAGGAGUGGACUAUGGGGAUUUGAGCCAUGCCAAAACUAGAAUGCUUGAUUAUCAACCCUUGUGCUUAAUUGAAAAAGAUGCCUGAACAGCUCUGGUGCAUAAAGAGCUUAAACAAGUUCGAUUGCUGGUGGCCGCAGCUGGAGCUGAGACAAAAGCUACGGGAAUUCGAGGAUAAGGAGCAGUAUGGCAUUCAACUCUAUCCUUAUGGAAUUUGAUUAGCCCCGAUUGAAUUUGAUGUAAGUUUCUCUUUUUAUCCAAUUUCUUCAACUUUUAAUUAUUUAUCUAAUUUCGUAUACUUUCUAUUCAAUAUAUUUAUUUUCCUUCUCCUUCAGUUAAAUAGUUAAGCCCUCUUUAGAGUUUCUGAUAGUCACCCCAAUCAUUACGCCCUCUUUUGCCGCAGGGAGACUUCAGUACCCUUGUAUGUUCAACUAUGAGCCUAGGCGACAUUGGCAUUCAUUUGUUUUAAUAGUUAAGAUAAAAAAUGUAAUAUAAAAAUUUUUCUUUUUCACCAAUUUCUCCUAUGACUUGUGUAGGUGAAGUCCGAGCAGAAAAUAUCAAAACUGCAGCCUGUGUUUCAGUUUCAACCAGAAUCCUUUCAGUUAGUCUUCACUUCUGCUGUCUAUACAAAUAAGUCCUGAUCCUAUGGUGGACAUUUUUCUGCUUUCUUUGUAUCUACUGUCUACACGAUAAUAAGAAAUUUCGUUUCAGAUAUUCAGUUGAGCGUUGAUUGAUUGGUGCUUCGGGCCAUGGUUGGUUAAUUGUGUACAAAAAAAAUAAAUAAUAUUUGUGACGCCUUUCCAGUCUUGGAUUCAGUGGAAUGUAUUUUCUGUCUUUGUUCUGUUGCUUGCUUUGAAAUCCUUUUCUAAGACUGGGAAUGUUUGACACUCAAUAUGUUUGGUUUAUUUUGCGGAAAAGAUUGAUUAUUCACGAACUUCAUACACGGCUGACUCUCCUGGUAAAUAUUCUUGUGAAUAAGUACUAUGAUCCUCUUUUAGGCACUACAAUAAGGCCUUUUUCUCUUUUUUUUGGUGCACUAAAUUGUGUACACUAAAGCACACACGUUGUUGUGUCAGAAAAGGAUCCUUGCAGCCAUUGAGAUUAAUUGAUUAAAUGAAGUAGAAAAAAGAAAGAAAUCAAAAUCUUCAGGUCUAAUUAUCGCCAAUUCAUUCAGGAGGUAGAAUCAGAGAGGCCGUGUUAUAGCGGCAGCCUGAGAGAUCAUUUCAGCUGAAAAACUCAGAAUUUAUAAAGUUACGACUUCAUUCUCAUAAAUAUGAGGUUAAAAUGCAGAGGUUUGAUUUUAUAGGCUUCAGUCAAUGUAGUACAUUCUAGUUUUGGAUUCACUUGUAUAAAUUUUUAGUCUGUAAUUGUUUCAAAUCCUCUUAGUUUGGUUUGGACGUCAUUGGUAUCUUAUGGUUUCUUAAUCCAAUAAUAUAGUGUUGAACUAUCCGCGGAGAUGUUAACAUUCUUUUACAGGCACAAAUUGUCUGCAAAUGAAAAUAUAUAAAAUAAAAAGGACAAGUGAUAAAUGAGUUAAUCUGAGGAAAUUCGAACCUGUAUAAACAUAUUUUUAGUAUUUUGAAGGACCAAAAACCUCUCAAUACAAUUUUUCAGUUGCCAAAUAAAAUAUUUCAGCCUCCCAUUAUUAAGAUUGAUGCUAGUUUAAAUACUAACUUACAUAUAAAAUUUGAAACUAAAGAACAAGAGCAACAAUCCUAAACUAAGGCAAAUAAUUAGCUAAUUAACUAACAACUGGUUCUGGUUUAUUGAGUUCAAGUAUAUGUUAACACAUUAACCACAACCAACCAAAUAAAUAUAACUUAAAAUAAAAUAAAAUAAAAAUAUCUCAAGACUUGAAGAUCGGAUCACAUUCUCUUUUAAUAAACUAACGCAGGAAUUUCAUCUCUGUCAUCUUUUCCUUUCAAUCAAUUGUAUUCAUGUUUCUAUUACUGACUGAAAUGACCUAAAUUAGAUUGUGAAAGAUGAAAAUGAUAUAAAUGUCCAAAACAUCUUGCAAUCAGGGUUUCGUUUUCCCUUUCCUAAUCCUGUUAGCAAAAUCCUUUUAUUGAAAAAACACAAACCGGAAGAAGAAGAAGACGAUAAGCAGAUUAUAAAGGACGUCAGCAUCCUGUUAUUUUCUAGAACUAAGUCUUUGCUUUCUUUACUGUUUUUUAAGAUGCCUUCCUUUUGGUCUAGUAUGGUAUCUCUUUCUUUGCUUGAACCAACAUAUAAGUAAAGGCUAAAUGCUCCUUCCACUUUUCUCUUGACUUGUGUAAUCUUUCUCUGGUACUCAAGAUCGAAUAAAAUGCCAUUUCAGUAAAGCCAAUUAGAGUUCUUUUUGUUCCAUCGGCAAGUCAUUCUUGACUGUUUUGCCUCCGCUUGAAAGCUUCCGUGCAUCCAUUUAUCAGUACCCAAUUUGAAUACAAUUCAACUUUUUUUUUUCCCUUUUUGGUUUCUGUUUCUUCCAUGUAGUAGUUUGACUGAGAUGUUUAAGGGUGUGCUUGAGGUGUGGUAUUGCAUAGCAUUAGUGUGUAGGCCAAGCAUUACUUCAACAUAUCCCAUAUUUGACAAUUGAUUGGAAAGGAGUGAGCAGCAUUAAUCUUAGCUAAUGCGGUAGUUUGCAUUAGUUUUUUUUUUUUUUAAAUAUAAUAAUAAAAAAUAAGUAUAACUUUUAAUAUAAUAUUAAUUUUUUAAUUAUUAUAUUAUAAUUAUUAAUAUAAAUUAAUAAUUUUAUUAUUUAUUAUUAAAUAAUAUUAUAUCAUAUUUUAUUUUUUAUUAUAUAAAAAAUAUAAAUAAAAAAUAUAUUAUUUAUUUAUAUUAUAAUAAUUAAUAUAUAAAAUUGAUAAGUUAAUAAUAACUAAUAAUAAAUACUUAAUAACAUAUAAAAAUAAAAAUAUAACAUAAUAUUACAUUAUUUAAUUAUAUUAUUGUAAUUAGUAUAUAAAAAAUUGAUUAUUAUUUAAGAAUUUAAUAUAACUAAAAAUAAAUGUUUAAAUAUAAAUAGACUUGAAUAAUAUUAAUUUGAAAUUAACAAUAUAAAUAAUAAUAUAAAAUAUUAUUACACAUACUAUAGAAUUCUUACUUGGAUUAUUUUCUAAAUUAUAAUUUAAAUUAAUCACAAAAAAUUAAUACAGUCCAGUGCAACACCAAAUAUAGUAUAAUUAAAAAUUAAUACAGUACAGUAUAAUACCAAAUAUUGUACAAUAUUUUUGUAAUACAAUAUUUUUGUAAUACAAUACUAAUGCAAUAUAACAUAAUAUAAUACAUCUGCAUUAAAAGUAAUGCAAUACAAUAUAAUAAAAUGCAGUGUGCCAAACACACCCUAAGUUCAAUCACAAUAAAAUAUCGUGGGAUAUACGGAAGUCUGUGAGAGGUACUAUACUAUCUAAAUUAUCUACAAAGUAACUUCAUUUUAUUAAAUUCUUAUAAUCUGAAUAUUAGAUCCACUUGAUGUUUGUGAUUGAUUCUUAUUUACAAGGAUAAACUUUUGCUCGCAUUUUUCAUAUGAUGACAGUUGACGCAGAAAUCUGGUCGAGCUGUUUAGCGACCAGACAACACUUAGAUUUGUUGUUAUUGGGGAGACGGUUCUAUGUUGCUUCCUCACUAUCGAACAAGCUCCUACGAUCUCGAACACUUCCUCCAAGAACACUUGCAUUUAUAACAACUAGUCAAGGGACGCCACAAGUUUUUCAGGUGUAAACCCUCCGAUACUCAAGUCAGCUAUCCGGGUCUAUGAUAACUCUAUGAAAUGAGAGUUAUCAUGGUACUUUUAAACUUAAAUCAUUAUUACUUAGAGAGUAAAUGACAUGUUUUUAUUGCAUUUUAGUUAUAUCUUGCAUGAGUAUCAAUUUUAGUUUAGUUUUAAUAAAUUUUGUUGUUUUAGAAUAAUUUGUGUGCUUAGAUUGUGUGCAUAAUUGUAGAUGAUUGGAAGCUCAAAUUUAAGGAAGGAAUGCUGCUGCAAUAGGCUUGCAAAAAUGGGAAAAGAACUUGAUUACAGAAGAAUUAAAGCAAAUUUGGAACGGUGCAGUUGCUGUAUCCGUUGUUGCAGCAUCCAUUGUUGUACCAAUCCUGGAGCAUUGAUAGAGAAGAUAAAACCCAUAACUAACAUCCCCACUGCGGGUGGAAAUUGGUAAAGCAAGUUUUUUUUUUUUUGUUGGGGGUAAUUGAAGUCGAGUAAUGUCUAUAGAUGAUAGGAAUAUUCAUGUUCCUUUUGGUUUCUUGACUCAAGGUUGCUUACUGGCUUAAGACAUUUUUCAUUCUACUCACUCAGUUAAAUUAUACCAUUCCAACGUGAUCUUGGCUUAUGCUACAGAUUCCUAGAGUGUGGUCUACAACAUUAAGAGCAUAUUACUGAACAAGGUUGAGGUCACUUUAGUAAAUUCUUGCUCAUGUAGAGAUCUACUUUCUAUUUAUAGCUUGGUCGACUCACAUUUAACGUCAAACACUCACGAUAUGGAGGACGUUGUGGUCAGAGCCUUGAACAGGAAACGCCCCCAUUCUAGUGGUGCUAAAGGGAGUUUGAGCAAAUAUGCUUCUUGGAAAAGCACCUUGGUACUGCAGAAAAAGUUUCUUUUCUGAAGACUCUCCCGCCUCCUCUACCUAAGGUAAGUGAAACAAGUGGGGCUUGUUAGCCUAUACGACUAUAAAUAUUGAUUUUGAUGAUAACAAACUACAUGUGUUGGUUAAACAAAGAUUUAUGUAUUGAGAUUUUAUAAUAAGAAAAUGAUUUUAUGGAGUUAAGUUGUUUUUCAAGUUAUGGACUAAAAUGAAAUAAUUUUACAAUCUUUGAUUUUAAUAAAUAUUGUUUUGAAUUUUCGGAUUUGGACCUAUUUGAAAAUAUUUAAAUAUUUUGGGUUAUUCUAUAAUUUCACAUAUUUUGGGUCAUAUUAUAAUUUCAAAAAGUUUUGGGAUUAAUAAAACAAUAUUUAGAAAUUCCGAAAUUGGACUUAUUUGAAAAGAUUCAUAACGUUUUGGGCCAUAAUAUAGUUAUAUAAAGUUUUGGGGUCAAACUAUAAUUUUAGAAAAUAAUUCACUGUAGCAGUUACUGUAGUAAGCGGCUAUUCGAAUCCUGACAAACGGUAGACCGGAUUUGGGUAGUAAGCUUCUGGAACAUAAACGACUAUUCGGAUUUCAUAAGCGGCAUACCGGAUGUUCAAAAAUUCAAAUUUUGGCUGUAACAGUAACAUUAAGCGGCUAACCGGAUGUCCAUAAAUGGUAAGCCGGUUAUCACCAAAAUGUGCAUAACGGCUAGUUUUUGAGCUCAAACUAUAUACACUGAAAUCCAAUUCAUUUUCAAUUUCUCCAGCAAGCAAAAACAAAAAGCACACAUCAUAUCUUGAGCUCUCAAUUUACAAAUCAUUAUUCAUUGAAUCAUCUUUGUUCUUCAAUUUGUUCCUCUACUCUUUAAGAGAGUUUAUUUUGUUGUAAUUUUCAUUUCUUCAUCUUAAUUGUGAGUGUUUGAGUGUGUGAGACACUUGAGUGAAGAGAUUGAGAGAUAAUCUCUUUGUUGUAAAGGUUCAUUGACACCUUGAAGUCAAUUGUAAACAUUUGAAGUCUUGGAAGGCUUGGAUUGUGAAAUCCUCAAGCUUGGAUCUCUUGGAGGCGUGGACGUAGGCGGGGAUUGCCGAACCACGUAAAAAUUCAUGUAUUUGUUUCUCUUCUCUCUUACUCAUUUGUUAUUGUCCUUUUAUUGAACUUAUUGCUUUCGAAUUUAUUAAGGCAUUAGAUUGGAUUAUUGUGUGGUUUUGUUAGGAUAAUUUUUAAAAUACCAAUUCAUCCCCCCUCUUGGGUUGCAUACUUGUAUUUCAGGGUUGCUAGUGACAAAGGUCCCACCACAUCUCCUCAUCUUGUUGGCUAUAAAUUUCAACUUCCAAAUGAGUGACCCAAAUAUCUGGUCCUUUAUAUCAAUGAGCAUAGUAAACUAGUGAAGAAGAAAUCUGUUGAGGAUUUAAAGGCCAUACACUCGGGAUCUGGUAGGCGUUCUUCAAUUCGGUGUGUUUCAGCUGGGCAUCCUGGCCGCUUAUUACAAAGCAAAAGUUAGUCGCUAUAGGAGGAAAAUAAAUGAUGAUAUUUAAACUUUGAAGAAGAGAGCGGCCAGCUUUAUCUCAAGAACUUAAAGCUUGUGGAACAAAUGUUCUUCUCUGAAGCUAGGGUAGUCUAACUUGAGAAAGAGUUGGCCAAUAUUAAGGAAGAAUUGCCACCCAAAAAAUCUCUUAUGAUUCUCAGUUGGAAUAACUUCAAGCAGUUCACCAGGACUAGAUCAAGGCUUUAGAAAAUGAGGUUAAUGACAACUACAAUGAGGGGUUUAAACACUCUUAUCGGUGUAUUACGACUGCCUCGAGAAGCAACAUCUUGACCUAAAAAUGGAUGAACUGGCAGUCGAUAUUAUUUAAUAUAUGAAGGAACAAGCAACCAAAGAAAACGCAGAAAAAAGAGGCCCUGCUGUAACUAGCGAAACCACCACUCCUCUUAUUGCAGCUGGCGAGACUACUAUUCCUCCUACUAAAACUAGCGAGACCCCGACUCCUCCUCUAACUAGUGACAAUUCAUCGAGAGUAAACCCUCUCGUAAACACUUAAAUUUCUUAGAUGUGACAAAUUAUCUCUUUUAAUCAACAGACCUUUUGUACAAUGUUGUACUUCUUUUUCGUUAAUGUUAUAAAUGUUUUCUUGCCCUUCCAAAUUUUCAUGAUUGAUUGUAUGCUCGUCCUGUUGCUAAUGAACAAAUGUUGGUAUAUUUUGACUUUGGUCACACCUCGAGGAGGCUUCGAGACUAAAAGUCUUAUAUUUGACUUAGAAAUUUAUUUAUGUAUGAUUACCUAUUUGCCUUCAGUUGGUUGAAUAGGUUUUGGCAAAUUUGUCGUUUUAUCUCGCCUUGAGGAGGCUUUGAGACUUAAAGGCUUAUACUUGCAUUAAAAAAUAUUUAUGCAUCAUUGCCUGUUUACCUUCUUGGUUGAGCAGGUUCUGGUAAAUUGGACUUUUUAUCUCGCUUUGAAGAGGCUUUGAGACUCAAAGUCUUAUACUUGCUUUAGAAAAUAUUUACACAUGAUUGCCUGCUUGCCUUCAAUUGGUCAUGCAAGUUCUGGAAAUUUUGACUAUUUAUCUCACGCCGAGGAGGUUUUGAGACUUAAUGUCUUAUACUUACCGUAGAAAAUAUUAACGUAUAAUUGUCUGCUCACCAUCACUUGGUUGAGCAGGUUUUGGCAAAUUUGACUUUUUAUCUUGCCUUGAGGAUACUUUGAGACUUAAAGUCUUAUACUUGCCUUAGAAAAUAUUUAUACAUGACUGCCUGCUUGCCUUCGCUUGGUUGAGCAGGUUUUGGCAAAUUUGAAUUUCCAUCUCGCUUCAAGAAGGCUUUGAGACUUAAAAUCUAUGAUUUGCCUUAGAAACAUUUAAUACAAAACAAGGGGAAUAAUCAAAUGAAUGGAUUUUACUGCACCCAUCUUAUUUACAACUCUAUGAACUACAAACAAAGUAAUUUAAAGAUACUAAUUCGUUAAGAAAUUCGACCAUCUAAUUUCAUGAAAACUUUACUGAAAGUACUUCUUUAGUUGCUCUGCAUUCCAGGAUUUCUUGACUUUUCAUCCAUCUGCGUAGGCAAGCUUGUACACUCUUAGUCUAACUGCCCUUAGAACUUUGUAAGGUCCUUCCCGGUUGGGGAUGAGCACUCCAUGGUUUAGAUAUCUGGUGCUUUGAUUUAUCUUUUUGAGCACCCAAUCAUUACUUUUGAAUUGUUGUACUCAAAAGUUCUAAUUGUAAUAACAAACAAUCCUUUGUUGAUAGACUGUUACUCUUUUUAAGGUAACUGAUCUCUUAUUGGCGAGCAAAUAUAGGUUUAAGCACAUCUGUUGUUGUUUUUGUCCUCGUUAAGGCUCCUUGUCCGGUGAGUACUCAUCCUGUUUUUUGCUGGCGCGACUACCUAAUAACCAAAAGCUAAUGCAGAAAGGAUCCCACCUGUGGUGUUCUUAUGAGUAGUUCUGUAAGCCUAAAGAACACCGGGAAACUUCUCGACCCAUGCUCCCUUUUUCUCCCAUAAUCGAGUCUUCAAGAGUUUUUUAAUAGCUUUGUUUGCUGCUUCUACUUAUCCAUUUGCCUUCGAAUGAGCUGGCGAGCAAAAUCUUAGCUUGAUGUUUAAGCUCUUGUAAAAAUAGUUAUAGCUGUUAAAUUGUUUACCGUUAUUUGUUAUGAGGUUAUAAGGGAUUCCAUAUCUGCACAGGAUGUUCCUUUAAAUAAAGUCAGUCGUCUUCUUCUUUGUUAUCCUACUAAACGACUUGAUUUCGACCUACUUCGUGAAAUAAUCUAUUGCCAGAAUAAUAUGAGUGGCGGCUCAUCGCCCUUUCAGUAAAGGCCUAAUCAGGUCUAUUUCCCCACUAAGCAAAUGGCCAUAGUUUUUUCUGGCGGCUGUGCUAGAUAACAAGCAAAGCUUUGCCAACUCUUGCAGCUCCUGGUCUUUUCUUGUGCAUUUUGACCAUCAUUGGCUAGAAAUAUCCUUACCUUAGUGAAAUACAAGUAUGCAACCCAAGAGGGGGGUGAAUUGGGAUUCUAAAAAUUAUUCAAUUUAUAAAGAAAAACUUACUGCAAAUAUAAUCCAAAUUCAAAGCAAUAACAAUUAAGUUGAUCACAAUAUAAAGAGAUAAGGGAAGAGGGAUUCAAACACAGAGAUUUUUACGUGGUUCGGCCAACCUCGCCUACAUCCACGCCUCCAAGCUUUCUGGGCUUGAGGAUCCACUAAGCAAGCCUCCAAGGCUUCAAAUGCUUACACUUGACUUCCAAGGUGUCAAUAAACCUUUACAACAAGAGAUUAUCCCCAAUCUCUUAACCCAAGUGUAUCCCAACACUUACAAUCACUCAAAGUAAAAGAUUACAAAUUGAUUUGCCUCUCACAAUAUAUAGGAUUACACAAUGGUGCUUAAUAUGUGAAUAGAUGAAGCAAGAAUGUGUUCUAAGCUCUAUGAAGAUUGUAUUCUCGAAUAUUAGCUCAAUGGUCGUGUUGUGAUAAACUUUCUUUGAAUUUGAAUGAGCUAAAUGGUUAACCGUUUCGGUUGGUCAAAGUUACCAUUGGGCCAGAUUUCAAAUAAACGGUUUGCCGUUUAGGAUUAACCUUUUGCCGUUAAAUUCUAGAGACCUGCAAGAUGAACAUUAGUUAUCCGUUUACACUAAACGGUUAAGGACUUGCAUAAAGUGACUUCUCUGGAUAUUAUCGGUUAACCGUUUUUAAUAAACGGUUAGCCGUUUGUCUCCAGUAACCUGCAAACAAUUUAGCCUUAUCAGGUUUUGUUACUUAGUGCCAGAGGAGAACAACCUUCAAUUCUGGACGUUAUCAGUUAACCAUUAAAAAUAAACGGUUCACCGUUAAGUUCCAGUAGCCUUCUCAUCUUUUGAGUUUUCCGUCUUUCAUAAACGGUUAGAGCUUUAGGCAUUAUGUUGCUCUCUGGAAUUAAUCGGUUAACCGUUUAAAUAAACGGUUUACCGUUAAGUUCCAGUAACCUUCCCAUCUUUUGUGUUUUCCAUUUUUUAUAAACGGUUAGAGGUUUAGGAAAUAUGUUGCUCUCUGGCUGUUAUCGGUUAAUCGUUUAAAUAAACGGUUCACUGUUUAUAACCAGAAUUGCAUUUUAAACUAGUUUUUGCAGAGAAUCUUUUUCUAAUUUGAAAGUCCAUCUUUUAUGAAGAAUGAAUGGAAUGAUUACUAAGGCUUUCGUUUAUUAGGAAAUAGCUCCAAUAUUUUUAUCAAAAACCAUUUAAAAUUUGUUAUCAUCAAAAUCAAUAUUAUUAACAUAUUCAUGUUAACACUUAGGGCUUUGAAGGCCAACGAUCUCGCCCCUAAGUGAUUUUCGCAAACUCCUUCAUGUACAUCCCUCUGCACAUAAUAUGCCUCAUCUUCAUCCAAGCAUAGUAAAAAAGGUAAGGUAUACCCUCGCCUAUACAACACCCUAUUAAUCAACGUAUAUUUAGACAAUUAACAUUUGAGUUUUCAUGCUCGCAUCUUAUCUGCUGGUAAUGUUCUAUCUUGAAUAUAUGAAAUUAUCAAAUUCAUCCAUGCGUUUCGCCCAUCUAUCCACUUUUUUUCUGAAUCCUGCUCGAUAUGGGGAGAGGCUUUAACUUCAAUGGGAAUGGACUUUGGCAUCCUUGCAUCUGUUGUAACAGCCAUUCUAGCUAAGAUAUCUGCUCAAUAAUUAUUUGCCCUUAAGAUCUACUCCACGUCAACUAGUCAAACUUCUCAAUUAUUUGUCUAGCCUUCUUUAAGUAUUGUUGUAUCUUUUCACCCCAAGGUUGAAAGUUCUCAUUGCAAUGGUUAGCAACAAGCUGAGAAUUUGUUUGAACUCUCACUUUGCUUGCUCAAGCAGCCUAGGCCAACUUCAAUCCCACUAUGAAGGCUUUGUAUUUUGCUUGAUUAUUGGUUGCCUUAAAUUCAAACCUUAAGGCAUAAGAGAUUUAUUCUCCAUCGAGACUUUCUAAGAUCACUCAUGCCCUUACUCUUUCCUCGCUUGAAGAGCCAUCCACCGUUAUCAGCCAGACUUUAUCCCCAUUACUCCUAGUAACCGCCUGAUCACCACUAGCUUUCGUGUAUGGUUUUGUGAGUUCUACUAUAAAAUUCGCUAAUGCUUGUGCUUUGAUUGCUGCUUGGGGUUUGUAACUUAUAUCGAACUCACUUAACUCCACCGAACACUUCACCAAUCAUCCGAAAACCUCUGGUUUAUGUAUUGUGUGUUAUAACAGUUGAUCCGUAAUCACGACGAUUGAAAAGGCCUAAAAAUAUAGCCUUAGUUUUCAAGCAGCAACAAUAAGGUGAAGGGCCCAUUUUUUCAUCAUCGAAUAUCUAGUCUCAGCAUUGAGCAGGACUUUGCUAGUGUAGUAAAUCAGAUAUCCAGCCAUCGAAGGCACCAUGCGGGGCACCGGUGCUGUUCCAAUGGAAGCAUGAUGGCUCACUUCGACUCUGCAUCAACUACCGAGCCCUUAACAAAGUGACCAUGUAGAACAAGUAUCCCAUACUACUGAUUACAGACUUGUUCAACCAACUUGGAUACGCCAAGUGCUUCUCCAAGCUUGAGCUUAGAUCGGUAUAUUACCAAGUACGGAGUGCAGAGGGAGAUGAGCUAAACACCGCUUGUGUGACGAGAUAUGGGGCGUACGAGUUCAAAGUCAUGCCUUUUGGCCUCACCAACGCUCCAGCCACAUUCUACAUGCUCAUGAACUGUAUAUUCCAGCCAUACCUUGAUCAGUUUAUGGUGGUGUAUCUUGAUGACAUUGUGGUUUACAAUGGCACCUUAGCAAAGCAUGCCGAGCACUUGCGAGUUGUGUUCAGGGUGUUGCGGGACAAUGAGCUGUUUGUUAAGCGGGAGAAGCGUUCGGUCGCUAAACUGGAGGUUGAUUUUCUUGGCCACAAAAUCAGAGAUGGGACGUUGCUCAUAGACAAGGCUAAGGUCCAAGCCAUUGCGAAAUGGGAGCCGCCCUAGAAGGUGACCGAGUUGAGCUAUUUCUUAAGCCUUGCCAACUACUACCGGAGAUUCAACAAGGGUUAUUCUGCCAUUGCUGCACCACUCAUCGAUUUGCUCAAGAAGAGUAACAAGUGGGAAUGGAUGGAGAGGAGCCAACAAGCCUUCGAUGCCCUCAAGAAGGUCGUGACGGAAGAGUCGGCACUAGCGCUACCAAACCAUGCCUUACCAUUUGAGGUACACACAUAUUUUUUUGAUUUUACUAUUGGGGGUGUACUGAUGUAAGCUGAACAUCCUAUAGCCUUUGAAAGCUAAAAACUCAACAAUACUGAGCGGUGAUAUACAGUAUAAGAGAAGGAGAUCACUGUGAUAAUGCACUAUUUACGCACAUAGAGGCACCACUUGCUUGGGUCCAAGUUCAUGGUGAAGACGGACAAUGUAGCGAAGAUGAACAUCCCAUAGCCUUUGAACACCAAAAGAAACUAAGUCUGAAACAAGCGAGACGGCAUGAUUUCUUGGCUGAGUUCGACUAUGUACUGAAGUAUAAGCCAUGAAGGGCCAAUUUAGUAGUGGAUGCCUUAAGUCGGAAGGUCGAGCUUGUUGCCAUGAGCCGGAUACAAAGGGAGCUUCUUACGCUCAUAAAUGAGAGAACGUAGCAUGAUCCCUUAGCCAAACGACUGGUUUCCCUCGUGCAACAGAGGAAAUCGAAGAGAUUUUGGGUUGAGGAUGGUCUUUCGUACUCCAAGGGACGAUGUGUCUAUGUUCCAAAGUGGGGAAACUUGAUGCAGAACUUGAUCAAGGAGUGUCAUAACACCAAAUGGGCUAGACACCUAGGACAAAGGCGGGAACGAGCCUUGCUUGAGUCGGCAUACUAUUGGCCUCAGAUGUGGGAUGAGGUGGAGUAGUUUUUACAGACAUGCUUAGUGUGCCAAUAGGGCAAAGUGUAGCAACAAUGUCCCGCAGGGUUACUUGAGCCACUGCCCACACCGAAUCGAUCGUGAGAAAGCACAUCGAUGGAUUUCUUCACUUGUCUUCCAAAGUUCGAGGGGUUUGCGACUAUUGUUGUGGUGGUGGAUUGCUUCUCCAAGUAAGCCACUCUCAUUCCCGCCCCGAAGGAGUGUACAAUAGAGGACUCAUCCAAGCUUUUCUUUAAGCUUGUGGUGAAGUAUUGAGGACUUCCAAAAUCCAUCAUUAGCGACUGUGACAAUUGGUUUACAGGGAGGUUUUGGACUGAGUUGUUCAAGCUCAUGGGGUCGGCACUGCACUUCUCUACGAGAUUUCACCCACAGACCGAGGGGCCAACGGAGAGAGUGAAUGCCUUAUUGGAGUUGUACUUGUGGCAUUUUGUAAGCACCAACCAGCAUGAUUGGGCGAAGUUGCUGGACGUGCCUAAUUUUUCUACAACUUGCAAUGGAGUGAGGUUACUUCGAGGAGCCCUUUCGAGGUGAUCAUGGGACAGCAGUUGCUAACGCCAUGCACACUUAUCACAGGCUACACUGGGAGGUGUCAUGCAGCAUACUAGGUGGCUAAAUCGUGGCAUGAGCAAGCGGACAUAUCACGGGCGCACCUUGACAAGGCGAUCAAGUGGAUGAAGAAGUAGGCGGAUAACAAGUGUAGACAUUUGGAGUUCAAUGUGGGGGACAUGAUGCUAGUGAAGAUCCUACCAUCCCAACACAAGUCUACCCGUUCACUAUACAAGGGCCUUAUUCGGAAGUAUGAGGGUUCAUUUCCCAUCAUCAAGAAGGUCGACAAUGUGUCAUACAAGCUAGAGUUGCCCUCUUAGAUAAAACUCUAUCUGAUCUUCCAUGUGAGUUGCUUAAAGCCAUACCAUAGGGGUACCAAAGAUCCGAAGUGGGGAGAAUUUAAGCGCCCUCCACUCGGCAAUACGAGGGCGUAUGACAAAGAAGUGGAGACCAUCUUGGCCGAUCGAGUGGUUUGGAAGAAGAGUUUUCCGCCAUGCCAAGACUACUUUGUCAAAUGGAAGAGACUACACGAGAGUGAAGCAAGUUGGAAGCUCGCAAAAGAUUUUUGGUAGUUUUAAGACAAAAUCAAAGACUUCCACAGCGAGUCGACGAGGACGUCUCCGGAUUAGGAGGGGGAGAAUGUCAUGGCCAAAGCCUCUAAGUAACAUGGACUGGACCCAUGGAUGAUUAUAGACUUAUGUAGUGUGUAGAUAUUUCUCAUGUACUUAUUAUAGGUAGGUGGUAGGUAGUAGUUGAGCAUUAACCUACUCUAUUGUACUCUAUAUACAAGAGGGGCCUCAUUUGGCCAAUACACACAAGACAUAACAAACAAAACAACAUACAUAGCUUGUAAGUAUUUUAUCGAGCAAUAUAAGUCCUUUCCUCUUAUCUUGUGUGAGUUUGAGUGAAUACACAUUUCGAUUUUCGAAUCCAGUAACAGAUUUGAGUGUAUGGCUGACUUAGGGCCAAGAGAGUGUGAAUUUAAUGCAUAAGGCUGCAAGUCACAGCGUGGGAUAUAACUAGGCCAUUAAACAAGGCAAAAGAAAGAAAAGAUUUUUCACUCUAUUUAUUAUGCCAGCAAGACUUUUGCAUAUGAUAAAUUCAUGGCUUAUUUGGUUGGCACCAAAGUGACUGUUUAUAUAGAUCACUCGGCUAUAAAGUAUUUGAUUUCAAAGAAGGAUGCCAAACCAAGGUUGAUUACGUGGAUUCUAUUGUUACAAGAGUUUGACUUAGAGAUUAAGGACAAAAAAGGUACUGAGAAUCAAGUAGCAAAUCAUCUUUCAAGGCUGGAAGUAGAUGAAAGCACUCUGACCUAGCAACAUAUCACAUAAAUAUUUCCUGAUAAGCAAUUGUUAAUGCUACAACACUCUUAAAUGUUGCAGCAAUUUGGAUUUCCAUGGUAUGUAGAUUUUGUUAAUUAUUUGGUGAGUGGACUAUUUCCACCUGAUUUAAGUUAUCAGCAGAAAAAGAGGUUUCUUUAUGAUGUAAAAAGUUAUUUGUGGGAUGAGCCUUACUUGUAAAAGAUAUGUUCAGACCAUGUAAUCAGAAGAUGCGUACCAAAUCAAAAAAUUUCAAACAUCAUGCAAUCUUGUCAUCCUGCAGCAUAUGGAGGACACUUUGGAGGGCACAAGGCAGCAACAAAAGUCUUUCAAUCAUAUUACUACUAGCCCUAUAUUUUUAAAAAUGCUUAUGAGUUUGUUAAAUAUUGUAACAGGUGUCAAGGGGCAGGGAACAUGUCUGAAAAGCAUUAGAUGCCACUCUCAAAAGCAUGAGUAGCCCAAAGCUAUUGAACAUAUUGAAACCCCACCAAUUAGUCCAGCUCAGAGCUAGAAAAAGAAACAACCAGCUGCUAAAUCUUUAGGUUCACCUAAGGAACAUUCGCGAAGUACAAAUAAGAAGAAGUGAACCUUUUUCAGCAAGAGCUGCGACAAAACAUCCAACAACAAGGGAGUAUCCCCUGCCAACCCAAUUUAAUUUUCCAACUUCUGAAACGUUUCUUUUCUUUUAUUUAUUUUCGAUUCUUUAUUUUGUAUUUCUUUAUUGUUAGUGUAUGCAUGUUUGUCUUUGCUUUAUGUUGUGUACUUGUGAGGACACAACACCUCUCAAGUUUGAGGGGGUUGUCCUACAAUGUAAUGUGUUUAUUAAUGCAUGUGUUUGACUGUUUGUGUUAUGUGUGUAGCUCUGUUAUCCAGUAGUUGUUAGUGGAUUAUAAAACCCAAUGAGGAUAAAUUGUGUGUUAAAUGUGAGAAUGAACGACUGCCAAGUAAGGAUAGUUUAUAGAUGAAUGUUGAAGCUCUCUCUUUACCAUUAGGCUUUGGUUGAGUUUGUGAGUAUACUGUAGCAAAGCCAGAAAGACCAAAAAAGUUAGAAAAUAUCUCAAGUUUGGGGGGGGGGGGGAUUUUUUAGAUUUAUCAUAAAUUAUGCUUCAAUGGCUUAAGUUGCUGAGUAAUCAAGGCUGAGUAUGUACCCUAUAUGCAGACUUAAGUAAAAAGGCAGUAAGAGCUAUGAGCAUUACUAUAGCAACUAAAACAAAAACAAAAAAGAAAAGAAAAAAAGAGAAAGGUCCUCUGUCUAAGAUAUUGAGUAGUCAGGUCUGUUUAUGAGCCCCGUGUUCAGCCUUAAGUUAAAAGUGUCUAUAGAUAAGACUAUAUUAUAACAUUGCUGCAACAACUUUGAUAUGUACAUUGGUUAAGUAAUUGGGUGCCAUUAUUACAAGUGAUAGACAUUCACAUGAAAAAUCAAUAAUGAUACAUUAAAGAGAAUUUGACUAAAUAAAAAGAAAAAAAAACUUUGUUGUAGCACAGUUUAAACCUAUUUGUGACUUCUACUUCCUUAGAUAUGAAUGUACUUAGGUUCUAUCUUUGAGUUAUGUGUAAUGUCUGUGUGAUGCGGCAGCACCUAUAGAACUUGAAUAAAGUGACACACACUGUAAUACCCCAAAUUUCCUAAGGGUAUUUAAGUCUUUUUAGUUUUUAGUGAUCCCUUUUACCCUAGUAUAAAUAGAACAAGAUGUCUUUUCCAUUAUGAGAGAGGAAGAAGGAGAAAUCCGCUAAGACAAAAAAAAAAUGACAAAAGAGAGAGAAGAGAUAGAGAGAAAAGAGAGAAAAGAAAAGAAAAAGAGAAGAAGAAAGUCUUCUUCUUCUUCUUCUUCUUUGUUCUGCCACGACAACACAUGAGAUCAAAUUGCAUAAUUUGAAUUGCGUAUUGUUGAGAGAAGAUUUGGAUUUGCAGGUAAUUUUUAAUUCUUGGUUUUUAUUAAUUCGUUAUGGAGAAGUAUGAUUGCAAUAGAAGUAGAAACUUAAGAUUUUAUAGAAAUAUGCUGACAGUGAAUUAUUACGAAAAUUAUAGUAAUUUGUACAAAUUGAUUUUGAUUCUGAUUUUUGGAUAUGUUAAACUAGACAUCGUCUAGAACGCUUUGCAACUUGUUUCAAGUUAAUCGGAUAAGAUUUCAAUUAAUUAUGAUUUUUCAAAGUCAAGUCUGAAAACCUGGAAAUUUAUGAUUGCAAUGAAUAACGUGAAUUGCGAAAUUAGUUUUACCAUAGCUAGACUUCUUCAAAACUUAUGAAAUCUGGACCAAUGAUUUUUAUAUAUGGCUAGUAUGAUUCUGUAAUUUUUCAUGAUUUUAUGAUAACGAAAUAAAUUGUUUUGUAUUUUUAAAGCAAGUGUGUUCAAAACAGAAAACUGUUUGACAAUAUUGAUGAUGUGUGAAACAUCAAUUAUUUUCAAUCGUUUUUGAAGGAAUUAUGUUAUGAAGUUUUUAUCAAUGAACUUUCAAUGUGUCAGCAUAUGGCCUGUAAAAUUUUAGAUUAUUCCAAUAAGGGAAUAAUUUAUUACAAAUCAGAGAAUAUGGACUGUUAUGUUUUGAGGGCCGAUAAUUGAGAACAUUUGAGGUUGAGCUUAGGAGUUGUUUAAAUUGAGAUAUUUGAGGACAUUAGAGUUUAUGAUUGAGAUUUGAUUAUAUAUUAUGAGGAUUUAUUGAUGAUUUUAGGUUGAUGAUAUCAGUACGCAUUUGUUACAUGAGGAUGCCAAGAGGUAAGUAAACUAGACUUUAAAAUGAAUCACAAUAAACAAUACAUAUGUUUGACUUGUAUGAAAGGCCUACUUUGAUAUGUACGAAUAUGGAUUUAUAUGUCUCUGCUAAUGUGUUUAUGUGAUGUGUUGCUAUGUAUUGGGCGUGAUUAUGUACAUGGGCAUAUGUAUGUGUGAUGGUUCAUUGGUAUGAGCACGAAAAUACAUUGAGUUUUCUAUGAAUGAGAAAGUGGAUUUUAGCAAAUGAGAAUUCUGUUUUAUGAGAUUUUGCAUUGGGGGCCACCUCUUGAGACUAUGCGGGGGCCACCUCUUGAGGGUCAAAGCGUCGCAAAGUGCCACACAUGGUGGAAAGUGCCACGCACAGCACAAAGUGCCACAAUUGCAGAAUAUGUAUUUCAAUGAAAGAAAAUAUGAAAGUUUGAAAGCGACAGAAAGAGAUUUUGAUGAAUUUAUUUUACAAUAUUUCCAAAAGAUCAUGACAUAUCAUCCAUCUGCAUUAUGUAUAAGUAUGUAUGUACUUUCGUAUAAGAAAAACUAGUUUGCUUACUGAGUUUUAUACUCAUUAUAGUUCAUUGUGAUUCAGUUUUCAGAAGUCAGGAUUGAUUCGUGAUGAGUGAGAAGUUGAAGAUGGUAGAUGGUUCGGCUAAAUUUUUAAGUUAUUCCGCUAACUUUUGUAUUUGAGGCUCGAAUUUUAUCGUUUGUAAAGAGUUAUUUAAAUUCAUAUGUGAGUUGUGGUCAGAUUUGCCCUCGGAGUUCGGGCUGGGUGUUACACACACACUUUGGACAGUGUAAGGCCUAUGUCUUGAGUUUUAGAAAAUGUAUAUUUAUAAAGGAGAAAAUCGUCAUUUUACAUUUCAAGUUUUACUAACAACUCUUACUUUUAUGUAUUUAAACUUCUUGUAAUUUAAUUAUGUGUGUUUUAUUUUAAUUAAGUAUUUUAUGUAUUUUAGGGGCAUCAUAGUCAUUUCACAAUAAACGAGAGAUCAGACGGUAAAACAGACAUCACUUUUGAACUCAGGACGGUCGAAAACCUUAGGAGAAGCAUAAAAGAAAAAAUGGCAUUAUUCACAUGUACGGUACUGUCUACAUUACUGUUCAUGACAUUGUUCACAUACACGGAUCGAUGGCAUGGCAUUGACUGAUGAGGUGUCACGAUCCUAUUGGACUAAAAUUCUUAUGCACUGUUGAUUGGUGACGUGGCAGCAUAUCAAUGGAUCAAAAAUCGCGCGUACGGUACAUGCAUCACACAAGAUUAUUUUCAACCAAACCGCGUCACUGUUCAAUACGGGUCAAAAUCGUGUUACUGUUCAAACCGCGUACUGUUGACUGAUGACGUGGCGUAAUUCUAAGCGUCCAAACUGUUUUUAAUCCGAUGGCCAUGAUUUACUCAAUGUAUCUAUAAAAAGGGGGGCUCCCCCCCCCCCCAAUUUGAUAUCUCUGAAUCCAUUUUUAAACUCCAUUUUAUGUAAUUCCUUCUCUAUCUUGUAUUUUCUACAUAUUUUAAUAAAUUUCUAUUUUGCCCCUUGUUCAAUUAUGAGUAGCUAAUUUUCUUUCAAGCUUGGGUUGAAAGUGAAGUCUCAACAUGUGUCAUGGGUUUUAUUUGGUAAAUUUAUUUUCUCUUCCCCUCUAGGUUUUGUGGAUGUUUUGACUUCUCGUCGACAAAUAAUAAUAAUCUUGUCUAGAUACCGCCCUGGUUUCACCGGCUCCCUAGUACAAGGUUAUUAUUAUUUGGCACGAUAAGCCCUUAGCACCAUAUUGAUUAGAGUGUGGUUCAUGAGGUGUGGAUUCCCCCCUCAUGAUUUAAUUGGCAUUAAUAAGGAAUAUUUAACCCAUGGUGCAUGUUGAUACGGAUCCAGCUACCCAAGUGCCACAUUUCAAUAGAAUUCUCUUCAAUUUAUUCUCGCCAUUUCAAUUCCAAAUUUAAGAUAAUCUAAGUCACUUUCACCACAAAUCCAACCGCCCUCAUACAAAAUUAAUUCUACAUAUAAUUAAAAUCCACCUCCUCGCGAGAUCGACACUCGUCACCAUUAAUCUAUUCUACAAUAGAUUUAUGCACUUGCGAGUUCAAUAAAAUUUGCACAACAAGUUUUUGGCGCCGUUGCCGGGGAGGUAAGUUAUUUUAAUUUUUAGAAUUAAUUUUUGUGAAUAAUUUUUUUUAUUUGUUUUCUUGUAUUUUUUUAUUAAAAAGAAAAGCAAAAAAAAAGUGAAUCUGCAUUUAGAGGUUAGUAUUUCUUUUCUUUUUCUCUUUUUUAAAAUUCUGUAAUUUAAUUUUCAAGUUAUUUUUUUCUUCUUUGUAAUUUUUUUUUAUCUUACUAAUUUUUUUUAGUUAAUUUAUUUUACGUAUUUUUUUUUUGUGUGUAUUUUUAUAGUAAGGUUGUAAUAACGCGAUAAGGUUAGUACCGUAAUUUCUCCUUCUUCUUUAUUUUUUAUUUGUUUUGUUCUCAUUUAUUUUUGUGUUUCUUGCAUGCAUGAUCGUAGGUCGUUAUUACCUAAUCUUGAACCUAUAAACCUUGAACUAGAAAAAAUACUUCGCACAUACAAGCACGUUAAAAAUAAAUUUGAAAUGGAUUUGCAACAACAACAAGCACCACAUGAGAGGCCAUUUAAGGACUAUUUUAGUCCCUUAGCUAAUUUGAGUACAUCAUGUAUAAGAUACCCAAAUGUAGCUGCUAGGAGUUUUGAACUAAAACCUAGCAUGCUAAAUUGUCUCCCAACAUUCUAUGGCCUAGAAAAUGAGGACCCAUAUAAUCAUUUGAAUGAUUUUCAUGUUGUUUGUCAAACAUUUAAAUAUGAGAAUUUUUCAGACGAUGAUGUUAAACUCAAAAUUUUCCAUUUUCUCUAAAGGAUUGAGCUCGUUUAUGGCUCAAUACAUUGCCUGCCAAUAGCAUUACAUCAUGGGAAUAAAUUGUAACUAAAUUUUUGAAUAAAUAUUUCCCAGUGCAUAAAACCAAUGCUAUUCGCAGGGAAAUCUCGGAGUUUACCCAGAGAGAAGACGAGCAGUUUUUCGAAACAUGCAUUGAUUAUAGAAAGUUGAAUUCUGUCACACGUAAAGACCAUUUUCCUUUACCAUUUAUUGAUCAAAUGCUUGAUAGAUUAGCAGGCCAUGAAUUUUAUUGCUAAUGGCAACAAGUGGAGGAGAGCUAAUGUCAAAAAGUGCAUAAGAGAUUUGGGAAUUUUUCCAAUGACAAGCAGAUAAUCCCCAACAACGGAGUCGAUCACUCCGGAAUACUAGAAGAAUUAAGGGAGUAAAUGAGGUUCACAUUGGCGAGUCAACUUCGGGAAUCAAAGAAGUCAAGGAGAUGGUUGAAGGUCGCUCUCGACAAAUAGCAUCGUUAACGACUGCUACAUCAACAGAACCACAUGACCCUGACUCAUAUCCAGAUCAAGCCAAUGCUAUAGGUGCAAUGAGAAAACCAUCAAAUUACAACCCAUACUCCAACACAUAUAACCCUGGAUGGAGAGACCAUCCCAAUUUUUCAUAGUCUCAAGGAUUCUAAUAGAAUGGACCAGCAGCUCCAGCUCCACCAAUGCAACCAAUUCCUCAAGCCUCUCAGCCAUCAUUUAGACCAUACAAUUCGAACCAAAAUUACUCUCAACCCAGACCAUGGGAGGAUGCAUUCCAGAAUUUCAGGAAUGCUACUCACUCCACGAUUGAACAACAGAACCGCACCAUUGAUGGACUACGAAAUGAGUUGGGAGCAGGCUUCAACUCACAAGCUCAAUCAGUUUCAAGCCUCGAGAAGAUGGUGGAACAACUUGCUUAUUCAGUUCAGACCUUAGCAAUGACUAUUAAGAAAGGUAAAUUUCCAAGUCAACCAGUGCCUAAUCCUAAAGGAGUGCAUGAAGCAAGUACCAAUUCACCACAGCAGCAUGGAGAGGUCAAAGCAGUCAUGACCUUGCUAAAAGGAAAGGAAGACGACAACAAAGUGGAGAUACCGGUGACAAAACAAAAUCAAAUUGUAUAUGUGAAUGUUGAGGACUCAUCACCGGAGGAGAAAGAAGAAACCAACCUACGAGAAAGGAAAAUCCACAGGUGACAUUCUUGAAAUUUUCAAACAGGUAAGCGUUAACAUCCCUUUACUUGAUGCUAUAAAGCAAGUUCCAUCUUAUGCCAAGUUUCUUAAAGACCUUUGUACUAAAAAGAUAAAUAUUCAUGUUCAAAAGAAUGCAUUUUUAACAGAAAAAGUUAGUUCUAUACUCCAACACAAAAUUCCUCUAAAAUGCAAAGACUCAGGCUCCCCCACUAUCUCAUGUAGUAUAGGGAACCAAACAAUUGAGAAUGCUUUGUUAGAUUUAGGAGCUAGUGUAAAUCUGUUGCCUUAUUCAGUUUUCGUGAAACUUGGACUGAGAGAAUUACACCCAACUCCAAUGGUGUUACAGCUUGCAGAUCGGUCCACGAAAAUACCUCGUGGUAUUGUAGAGGACGUGCUUAUCUAGGUAGACAAGCUUUAGUUUCCUGUUGAUUUCAUUGUAAUUGACACUCAACCAAUAUGCAGUUGUCCUUCGACAACAUGAUUAUGGAGUUAAACAUCUUCAACAUUGCCAAAUAACCUCACAAUGUAGAUGAUAGAAUUAUCGAUGUGGAUUUAAUUGAAACAUUAGUUGAUAAUACUUUUCUUUUAAACCUUAGUGAUGACCCUUUACAAACAUGCUUAACUCACUUUGGUUUGGAUUUUGAUAUUGACAGGUCGGUCGAUGAGGUCAACGCCUUACUUGACUCAGCACUAUCCAUGGACACUAAUAAAUGGAAGUCAAGAGUUGAACAACUAGCACCAUCAGAGAAGAAACUCACCCCAUCAUCAGAAUAUAAAAGGUAUAAACCCAAUAGACUGCAUGCAUUACAUUCAUCUUGAUGAAAAUGCUAAACCUACCAGGGAAAUGCAACGUCGGUUAAAUCCUAACAUGAAAGAAUUUGUUAGAACCGAAAUCCUUAAACUAUUAGACGCAUGUAUCAUUUACCCAAUUUCUGAUAGUUCAUGGGUCAGUCCUGUACAAGUUAUCCCCAAAAAUUCAGGACUCACAGUAGUUACCAAGGCUGAUAAUGAAUUGAUACCCACUAGAGUGACUACAGGAUGACGUGUGUGCAUUGAUUAUAGAAAGUUGAAUUCUGUCACGCGUAAAGAUCAUUUUCCUUUACCAUUUAUUGAUCAAAUACUUGAUAGAUUAGCAGGCCAUGAAUUUUAUUGCUUUCUAGAUGGCUACUCAGGAUAUAAUCAGAUUCCUAUAGCACCAAAAGAUCAAGAGAAGAUCACUUUCACUUGCCCUUUUGGCACUUUUGCAUAUAGGAGAAUGCCAUUUGGAUUAUAUAAUGCACCUGCUAUAUUUCAACGAUGCAUGUUGAGCAUUUUUCUGAUAUGGUUGAACGAUUCCUUGAAGUCUUUAUAGAUGACUUUUCUGUUUUUGGUGAUUCAUUUUAUCAAUGUUUACAUCAUCUAACAUUAGUUCUGCAAAGAUGUAUCGAGAAGAACUUAGUCUUAAAUUGGGAGAAGUGCCAUUUUAUAGUAAAACAAGGUAUUGUUCUCGGUCACGUCAUUUCGAGCAAAGGUAUUGAGGUUGACAAAGCCAAAGUGGGUCUCAUUUCUAAUCUUCCUCCACCUAAAACAGUCAGAGAAGUGAGAUCUUUCCUUGGGCAUGCUGGUUUCUAUAGACGUUUCAUUAAAGAUUUUAGUAAAGUUUCUAGACCCUUAUGCAAUUUACUUGCAUAGGAUGUACCUUUUGUCUUUGAUGAUUCAUGUCUUGUGGCAUUUGAAAAGUUAAAGCAGUUGUUGACAUCAUCACCCAUCAUUCACCCCCUAAACUGGAGCUUACCAUUUGAGCUCAUGUGUGAUGCAUCUGAUUAUGCAGUAGGAGCAGUAUUAGGAUAAAGAGUUGAUCGAAUUCCCCAUGUUAUUUACUAUGCUAGUAUGACAUUGAAUGAUGCACAAUUGAACUAUUCAACUACUGAAAAAGAAAUGCUAGCGGUAGUGUUUGCAUUAGAGAAAUUCUGAUCUUAUCUCAUUCGUUGUAAAAUAAUUAUAUUCACAGAUCAUGCUACUCUUAAAUAUUUUCUCACAAAGAAAGAUGCAAAAGCUAAACUAGUUCGUUGGGUGUUACUUCUGUAGGAAUUCGACUUGGAAUUUAAAAAUAAGAAAGGCACAGAAAAUGUUGUGGCAAACCAUCUCUCUCGUCUCCAUUUUGACACAAUUACUGAACCUUUAACAUUGAAUGAGUCAUUUCCAGAUGAACAAUUGAUGAGUGUGGAAGUAUUGCCAUGGUAUGCUGACAUCGUGAAUUAUCUUAUUACAGGUCAACUUCCAGAGCAUUGGACCAAGCAAGACAAGGCCAAAUUUUUUGCAGAAAUAAAGAAUUUCUUUUGGGAUGACUCGUAUUUGUUCAAAUAUUGUGCAGAUCAAAUUGUUAGAUGAUGUGUCCCAGAAGUGAAAUUCAAAUAAUCGUUUCAUUCUGCCAUGAACAAGCUUGUGGAGGCCAUUUCAGUGCUAAGAAAACAACAACUAAAGUUUUACAAUGUGGUUUCUAUUGGCCAGCUAUAUUUUGAGACGCUUACACUUUCUGUUCUUCAUGUGAUAGGUGUCAACGAAUGGGGAGCAUUACACGAAGGAAUAUGAUACCACUAAAUCCAAUUUUAGUGGUUGGGAUUUUUGACGUAUGGGAUAUCGACUUCAUGGGACCCUUUCCUCAUUCUUUUAGCCAUCAAUAUAUAUUGGUUGUUGUUGACUACGUAUCGAAAUGGGUAGAAGCAAUUCCAUGUAGAACUAAUGAUCACAAGGUGGUGAUAGGAUUUUUGAAAAGCAACAUUGUUUCACGCUUUGGAUUCCCUUGAGCGAUAAUCAAUGAUAGUGGUGCCCACUUUUGUAACAAAGCAUUCAAAACUCUUUUGACAAAGCAUUCAAUCACUCAUAAAGUGGCGACCCCAUAUCAUCCGCAAACCAGUGGCCAAGUUGAGAUCUCCAAUCGAGAAAUAAAGCACAUAUUAGAAAAGACGGUGAGGCCAGACAGAAAAGAUUGGUCAUUAAGACUUGAUGAUGUAUUAUGGGCAUAUAGAACGGCUUUCAAGACCUCGAUUGGGAUGUCACCCUACAGGCUAGUGUAUGGAAAAGCUUGCCACCUACCCGUGGUACUCGAGCAUCAUGCAUAUUGGGCCAUCAAGAAAUUCAACUUUGACAUGCAGCAAGCUAGCUCAGAAAGAAGAUUACAACUGACAGAACUUGAAGAAAUUCGCAAUGAUGAAUACGAAAAUGCCAAGAUUUACAAGCAGCGAAUGAAAGUCUUUCAUGACAAGCAACUUAUGAGAAAAUCUUUCACUCCAGGUCAGAAAGUGCUUUUAUUCAAUUCUCGUUUGCACCUAUUCCCAGGUAAGUUACGCUCUCGAUGGUCUGGCCCAUUUAUUGUUCAUAUUGUUUUUCCACAUGGGGCAAUUGAAAUUAAGGACCUAAAGAAUGGUGUCACGUUUAAAGUUAAUAGUCAAAUAUUAAAGCCAUAUCUAGAAUACCAACCACAUGGAGAGGACACUGAAAUAAAUUUGAGUGACCCACCAGAUUUGAAUUAAGUUUGUUUUCUUUCCUUUCGGUGAUUUGAUUUUUUUUCUUCUUUCUUUCUUUUUAUUAUUCUUUUGCUAAUUAUUUUUGCAUCAGUGUGUUUGUUUAACCAUUAAGUUUUCUCUUAUUAUUGUUAAUCAUGAGUGUCAUAGCUAAACAGUUCCUCCUGAACAUUCUUAAACCACUUUAACGUGUAAAAUCUCAUCUCAAAAGAUAGAUUCGAUUUUGUAAGACACUUCGUAUUUGGGCUCUGCAACCACCAAAGUGAGUAUCCUAUGUUGAGGAUUUAGAAAGCCAACUCAGAGACAUUGAGAGAGGUGUCUACAACAUCUAGUUGGAGCUUGAGGUAAAUUCAAUAAGAGGACGAUUUUAAUUUUCUUUGUGUGUUUUAAUUUAUUUUUCUAUUUGUGUGCUUUAGUUUGUUACCCCGGUGAAGUGGCGGAUAACGGUACUCCGUGACAAUCAAGUCGGUUACUUCAGUUUCCCAUAAUAACUGAUAUUCUGAGGCGAAGGUAUGGACAUAAAUCAGAUCUUAGUAAAGCUUCACAAUCGAUUCCCUUCACUUCCUCAUAAUGCCCUCCUUACAAUCUAUAAAGCCCGGUCCGAACGCAUGUGAUUGCUCAUGAGGAAUAAUAUACCUGUUGACAUCCGUUGGUUAAUCGAGGCAAAAGUACGAUUGGCAGGUGAGUUACCUCCAAAAUUUAUUGCAUACAUGCCUGGUUAUGGUAAAGGAAAUUAUGCAAGAAAACGAAGAGCUCGAAAAAUUUAUGUUGCUUGUCAUAAGUGUGCCUGAAUGAGUUGCGAUAAAAAACCAUGUUCUUUAGGAAUGGUGUCUGAUAACAGGGAAGAUAAGAUUCAAUUCAUUAGGGAUGGCUUGAGUAAGGAGUCAUUGGAUAAUAUCCUUUUGUCUCUUGAAACGCAUCCCAAUGGAUAUGUGCAAGGAGCGAUUCUCCAGUUAUGGCCAUUAUUUCAGAAAGAGCAUGCACGAUAUAGUCUUGGGAAUCUGACUAUAAACGAUCCUGUUUGCCAGUUUAUAAGAAAAUUGGAUAGGAAGCCUAUCCUCGACCCAUAGAGGGCGUUCAAGCUGUUUCUGGACGUAAAACCAGAGGAAGAUGUGAGCCACAGUCGCAACUACCUGUAAAUAUCCUUUUACUUCACUGUUAUUUUAUUUCACUGUUGUUUUAUCAUUUGCAUUAUUGUCUUGAAUAAUUUUAUUUUAUCAUUGUUUCUUUUUCUUUUUACUGUUUCCUUUUUGACUCGCGAGCCAUGUGCUUUACACAUUAUUUGACACUGACAUGCUACCUCAUACACAGCUGUGACCCACUGUUACCAAGAUUCUUAAAUAUGAUUUUUUUGUCAAUCACUCACAAAUUAUUUUUGAGAAGUAUCCCAAUAGCAGCUACUCCCAAUAGACAAUUCAAGAACAUUUGUGUGUUUUCUGGAUUUAACUAUGGCAAACAUAAAGAGUUCGUUGAAGCAGCCAUAGAUCUUGGUCGAAGCAUAACAGAGAGAAAAUUACAUAUGGUGUAUGGAGGAGGUAACCGAGGGUUAUCAAAAUUAGUCUUAGAAGCUGUUUUUGUCAGAGGAAGUCAAGUGUUAGGCAUCAUCCCAAGAGCGCUAAAACCUUUGGGCAGUUUGUCUGACUCACCAACUGGAGAAGAGUUAGUCGUCUCAGAUAUGCAAGAAAAAAUAACUUAAAUGCUUAAUCAUGCUGAUGCUUUUAUUUUCCUUCCAGGAGAUCUUGCAACACUAGAGGCACUUAUCACACUAGCAUCUUGGGCCCAUCUGCACAUUCACCAGAAACCCAUCGGUUUGUUAAAUGUCAAUAACUUUUAUGAUGACUUUAUCGUAUUUCUUAACCAUGCAAUAAAAAAUUAUUUCAUUCCUUCCAAUGCGAAAAAACUUUUUAUUUGUGCUCACAUUGCUAAUGAGAUACUUGAUCUAUUACAAGCUUAUAAACCGGAGCCAGACCCCUGGACCUUUGUGUUAGAGCGUCUAAAUAAUGAUGGUAACAGUAGCUGCAGUAAGAAGUACAAAUUAGAUUUAACUCUCCACCUAUAAAUAUUUUUUUCUGUGUUGCACCACCCAGGUGAUGUCUUCUAAACUCUACUUCUUUCCUUUAAAAUAUUGAGGACAAUGUUUCGUUCUGGUUGGGGGGAGGGAAAAGUCGACAAUUGUGCAAUCUUGGUUGAGUUUUUACUAAUUUUUUGUUGUAGAAACUAAUUGUUGCUAACUUUUUAUGUUGAAGAUGGCUGAAUAUGGAGUGUAGUGACUCUGGAAACGCAUCCUCAUCGUUUGGAAAAAAAACAAAAAAAAAUUAAAAAACAAAAAAAAAGUUCAAACAUUUUCUUUUUCUUCAUUAAGUUUUGAUGUUCAUUUUUCUUCUUCUUUUUAAAUUAUCCUUUAUAAAUAUACAUUUACAAAUUUUUGAGUCGAAGAUGGCUAAUUGUGGAGUGUAGUGCCUCUAGAAACGCAUCAUCUAAGUUAAAAAAAAAAGAAAACCAUUUUCGUUUUCUAUCAUUUUAAGUGUAACUUUUCUAAUUAGUUUUUCUGCAUCAUUUUCACAUUUCUGCAUGCAUAUUUUCCUUUCAUGUUUAGAAUAGGUUGGGGGGUAGAAUGUUGUUUGAAAAAAAAAUUGUGUGAUUUGUUUUAACAUUGGAUGAUAUGAUGAAUUUUGAAUUUUAGUAUUUGUAUUAUCUCUGGUCUUAAGUGAUGUUACGCUAUGUUUGCUACUCUACAUGUUGAUGUCGGGAAAAAUAUGAGUUGCUUGAAGGAAUGAACAUGUCAUAAUAAGUACCAAGUAAGUUUUUGAGCCUAUCAUUUUUCUUGGAGAGUAACUAUUUUGCCCAUUCUUUAUACAGCUUAGCAAUUUAUUAUUUUAUACACGGUCUCUAGAUAUCUUUUGAGUUAACCCUUAAAAAAAAUUGUAAAAUUAAAAAAAAAAGAAGAAAAAAAAGAAGAAAAAAAUGUGUGUUGCUACAUUUGGAGGCCCAUCUAACUAGUAGAUAUGGAAGAUUAUUUAGAGCCCUAAAAGACAAUGGAAAUGCCAUCUUUGAUCCGUUUGAGCCUUUCUAGCCAUCCAUUUUGUGAAAUAUUAAUAGUUAACCCUUUUGAGCCUUUAAAAAAAAAGAAGAACAUUUUCUUUGUCAACUUAUCAUCAUGACCCACUUCGAUUUGGAGUAUUACCCGAUAUCUUAUAAGUUCCAUCACCUAUUUAUGUUUGAGAAAAAUGUAAAUAAUUAUUUUGUUAAGUGACGUUGUGCCAAAAAAAAAACAAAAAAAAAACAAAAAUUGUUGUUUCAAAAAGAAAAAAAAACAAUAAUAGGUGAAAUCUAUCUUCCAACUUUCAAAAAAAAAAAACUCUGCAUUUUUCUCAAACAUACACUUUGUUUUCCUUAUUUCCCUUCUUUGUUAGCCAUGUCUCUAACCUACAUUACGUCCUAAUAAAAGUCUUUCUUGAUUUUAGGGAACUAUAGUUUGAAGUAGAAGCUAGUUAUAUGGGCUAAAAAGAUGUAGUGGUGCAUAAAAAAAAUAAUAUAAAUAAAUAAAUAAAUAUCUUUGCCAUGACUGUUUGCAUAAUGGGGGAUCGACUUAAUUGGAGCGUUACCCAAAGGGCGAGGAGCAACUUCUAAUACUAUUGUGGCUAUAGAUUAUUUCACGAAAUGGGAGAAAGUUGAUGCUCUUAGUAAGAUCACGAAAAAGAAGACAACUGAUUUUAUUUGAAAGAACCUCAUAUGCAAGUAUGGAAUUCCUUAUGCCUUGAUAAUAGACAAUGUUAGGCAAUUCGAUAAUCACAACUUUAAAGAGUUUUGUCAUAACUUGGGUAUAUAACUGAAAUUUUGCUUGCCAACUCACUUGAAAGCCAACGGGCAGGUAGAGGCAAUGAACAUGACAAAAAAAAAAAGCUUUUGAAAGCUCAAUUAGGGAAAAAGAAUGGGACAUGGGUUGAUAAACUGUCACGUGUGCUCUAAGCAUAUAGAACCACUCAUAAGACUACCACAAGAGAAAAACAUUCGCCCUGGCUUUUGGUCAUGAAGUGAUGGUCCCUUCAGUGGGGUGACUACCCACCGAACGAAGUAUUUUAACGAGGAGGAAAAUGACAAGCAAAUUUGCUUAAACUUGGACUUACUAACUGAAAGAAAUGAGCUCGUGUCGAGAAAGGUAGUAGUUUACCAACAGAGAGUUGCUCACUAAUACAACUAGAAGGGUGAAUCAGAAUACCAGAGACUAAAGCCAGAGAGUAUUCAGUUUUAACUAGGAGGACGAGAAGCAGGGCCAAAGGCCUACAAGUUAGCUUAUACAAAUGCUCGCAAGGUCAAACGAUCAUGGAAUGCCGAGCACUUAAAGAAGUACUUCUAGUAAGCGUUCUCCGUAGUCAGCUAGUUAUUUUUUUUAUAAUUAUUUAAUGUUUAUGUUCAAUUUGUUUCUUAUACCACUUGAAGCCAAUUUAUUUCUUGUAAUUCCUGAAGUAUUGAAUAAUAUGAGCCAGAUAAAGUUCACUCAUUUAACUUUUUCUAUUUCUAAGGCAAGUAAAAGCUUGAAGUCUCAAAUCCUCCUCGAGGCGAGACAAAAGUCAAACUUGCCAAAACCUGCUCACUAAUGACAAGACGAGAGGUAGUUAAUUAUGUAAAUAUUUUCUAAGGCAAAAGAUAAAGCUUGAAGUCUCAAAGCCUCAUCAAGGCGAGACAAAAAGUCAAAUUUGCCAGAACUUGCUCAAUCAAGUGACGGCGAGCAGGCAGUAAAUUAUAUAAAUAUUCUCUAAGGCAAAUAUAAAAAUAUUUUAAGGUAAGUAAGGGCUUCAAGUCUCAAAAGAGGCGAGACCAAAGUCAAACUUGCCAGAAUCUGCUCGUUAAUGAUAAGAUGAGUAGGCGGUUAAUUAUGUAAAUAUUUUCUAAGUGAAGGCUUGAAGUCUCGGAGUCUUUUCGAGGUGAGACAAAAAGUCAAAAUUUUCAGAACCUACUUGAUCGAGCGAAGACAAGUAGGCCAUCAUGCAUUAAUAUAUUCUAAGGUAAGAAUAAUAUUUUUAAAUCAUAAAGCCUCCUCGAGGUAAGAUAAGUUUGAUAGGAUCUGCUCGUUAAUAAUAAGAUGAGUAGACAAUUACUAACGAAAACAUUCUAAGACAAGUGUAAAUUACGUAAGGCUCAAAGCCUCUUAGAGGCGAAAGCCAAUGUCUUCCAACAUAUGUUUAUUAGUGCUAAUCCGAGCAAAUAAUUAUUUGUGGGUAUUUAUAAAGACUAGGAAAUAUUCAUAACAUUGAAGAAAAAGAAGACAGUGUUUACAAAAAGUUAUUGAUUAAAAGAUAAACAUCUUAUUACAUUCAAGAUGGAGGGUCUAAGGGAGGAUCUGCUCUCAAUGAGUUGUCAUUAGUUGGAGGAGAAAUGGGAGUCUUGCCAGUUGCACCAAGAGGAGUGGUGGCCUUACUAGCAGUAAUAGAAGGAAUGGCCUUACCGGUUACAGCAAGGUCUCUUUUUUCCACAUCCCCUUUAGCUACCUACUCAUUUAUACAUUUAGUCACACCAACAGCCAACUCGUCCAUCUUCAGGUUGGGGUAUUGCCUCUCAAGGACGACCAUAAUACACCGAUAAGAGUGUCAGAGCCCCUCCUUAUAAUUAUUGUCGACCUCCUUUCCCAGGGCUUCAAUCAAAUUCAGGUGGGCUCCUCGAAGAAACUCUAACUAAGAUUUAUAAAAGUCCUUAUGGGUCGCAAGCUCUUCCUUAAUACUAGCCAGUUCCUUCUUGAGUUCAACCGCCUUGGCUUCAGAGAGAGACAUUUGCUCUACGAGCUUUAAGUUCUCGAGAUUAAGCUCUCUUAAUCUUUUUUUGGCCGACUCUUUUUUUAGCAGCUUGAAUGCCAUCCUUAAUUUUUUUGUCAUAAUGGCCAACUUUUACUUUGUAAUAAGUGGCCAGGGAGCCUAGUUAGAAUACACCAAACUAAAGAGCUUCUACCAACUCCCCAAGUGUACGAUCGUCGAAAUCCUCAAGGUCUUUCUUCUUUAUGAGCCUGCAAAACUUAUUGAUAUAGGGGACCAGAUACUCUGGUCGCUCAUUGGGAGACUGAGAUUUCUAGCCAACUGAAGGAGAAGAGGUGGCAGGGCCUUUAUUGCUUGUAGCUCCAUUUAUUUCAGCUGCCUUAGACAGAGGAGGUGAGAGAGCCUUCGAAGGGGAAUCUUUUUUUGUACUAUUGGGGCAUUUCUCUUAGGGAGUAUAUUUACUUGAACAUCCUUUCGCACUACCAGAAUAAGGGCGCUUUCUAUUCAAGGCUUGGAUUACAAUGUCUUCCAUAUCGUGGGCAUCUGACACUAGAUGUGAGUCGACCAAGCUAUGAGUGCAAAACAGAUCUCUAUAUAAGCAAGAAUUUGUUAAGGUGAUCUCAACCCUCUUCAACAAUUUUCUCUUAAUGUUAUAUAUCACGCUCAAAGAACUUGCAACACAAGCCAAGAUCGCGUUAAAAUGAUACAAUUCAACUAAGCGAGUUAAAAAAAAAGUCUUAAACUAGUAAGCAACCUGGAGUUGAGAAACGAGAAGGAAUAUGGACAUUCCCACCAUCCACAGAUGCCACAUGACCCCAGUUACACCUAGCAAAAAAGAACUUACUCUUCUAAUAUCCACCUCUAGUUGAGAGGUCGGUUAUAGGUUUUCUAGCCUUAGUACUUAACAUAAAGUAAUACCAGUCUGCACCUUUUGGGCUGCUCUUUAGCUGGUACAUGUGUUUUAUUUCAUUAAAAGUGGGUUCACUUUGCCCAUAUUUGUUCCACAAGACCAACAGAUAGAGAGCACCCUCCACCCAUUUACGCUUAAUUGACUAGGGGCUAAGUGUAGCCUUCCAAGCACUCGAACAAAAUAAGGCUAUAAGGGGAGUCUCAUCCAUAGUUUAAAACAUUCUAGGAACAAGGUGUCAUAUCCCUUAAGAGGCGGCUUGGUGUAUCCUUUUUACAUCAUCAAGAAUGUUGUAAAAUUUUCUAAGCCUAUUUAAUUCAUCUAUAAUUGUACUGCUUGCCAUUAAGUCAAUAAGGUAAUUUUUUACUAGAGCUCUACUACUUAACUUUCUUUUCUUCUCUGGUCUAACCUCAUCUGGUGAAGACUCUUUACCUUUAUCCUCAUCAGAGUCUCCCUCCUAAUAUCCACUUAAGGUCUGCUCUGUAUUAGAGGAGUCAUCGCUACUGUUUUCCGCAAAUGAGGUCCAAGCCUCAAAAGACAUCCUUCUAGCACUAUCUCUAGCAUUAGUAUCACCUAUCAAAUUUCAAGGGAUUCUCGGGUCGAAAAUGGGUUUCUUGAGUAAACUAGGCAAACACUCCAGUUCAUCAUCAUCAACCUCAAUUACUUAUUCUUUCCUCUUAAACAUCUUUUAAACAAACUUAGAACUAGAGCUGAAUAUCUUCAAACUCAAGAAAAAAUAAUACCUAAUGUUGAAGUACGAGAAACAAUACCUUAAGCGAGGAAAAGCCAGAAGCAAAGCAAUUUGUACGACUUGAUCUCCGAUGAAAAGAAUUGACUAUGUAACUGUUGGUUAAUUGUUAAUCAAAUGCUAUUGAUGCCAAUGUGCAAGUGUACACAACAAUUAAUAAAGUGAUGAGUAUUCAGAUCGUCUCCACAGGGAUUGAUGUUACCAGAAAUGCUACAGCAAUCACAAUAGUGCAAUCUACCUUUAUUUUGAAUGAACAAAUGUGAAGUUGUUUACUACUGAAAUUUAGAAUUGUGAGAAAAUAAAACGAAAUAAUGCAGUGAUGAAAUAAAGUAAAUAAAUUGCGUAGAAGGAUCAAAUGAGAAUAAGGUAGUUGAAUGAUCAAACGCUCUUUAUGGGUUGACUGUUUUUCAUCAAAUUAACAACAGUUGCUACAACACUGUCUAUAGCACUGGGCAGAAUUAUUUUGCAUCCUCAGCUGUCGCGUGUUGGAAUUCUCAUACCCUUAAGUAUCUUAGCAAUGACCAGUUGCUAUUCUACCUUCGGCAUGGCAUUACAAACAUCUAUUCUCUCCACCCUACAAGGUGAGUACUUAUGUCUAGUUUGUCACAAAUCUUAACUUCAAGUAUAGCUCUUAUGAGAUUCAAGAUAAACUUAAUCUAGGAAACUCGAAUUAAGAUCAAGUAUUACUCUAAUAAUAUCCACUAAGACAUGCCCUUUUGCGGCUCUAUCUUAACUUGAACCAUUAAAUGAGUGGUCAAUUGAAAUAACAGUUAUAAUAAUAGCUACUAAAGUAAAAUGCUAUAGCAAUUAUAUAGCAACUCAUAAGAACAGUAAAAAAACCCAUUAGAUUGUUUGUCACUCAACUACAAGCAAGUUUAGUUCAUAUUUUGAAAGAGAAAAACAAACAGAAACAUAUUAGUCCCGAAAUACAUUGGUUCAAUCAAAUAGUGAAGAAAAGAAUAAGUGGAGAACGACAAAAAGUGAAUCUAAAUAACUCUGCUCGAUUCUUCAAUGAUGCAGCAUCGGUUCCUUUAAAUUCUGAUCUUCUUCUUCUUUUUCUCUUGAUUUUCUCAAUGUUAAUUCCUUGUCGCCGUUUUAUGUGACGCGCGCCCCUUUUUGUAACGAUUCUUCCACCUUCAUAUCACAAUCUCAAUCAUGCAAAAUGGCCAUAGUAGAUCAGUUUUAGACUUAAGCUUCCUUCUGUCCAAAGUGUGUGUGUGCUACUUUGAUUGAAUUCUAGAGAUGCUACAACAUUACCAAGAGAUUUCAUGUAAUUCAGAGGUAGCACAAUUUUAUUCAGAUAUGGGGUAGCAGAAAUCUCACAUACUCAAACUGUGCUAUAUUUAAGAACAAAAACUUAAGAGUACUCAACUCUCUUCACUGCAACAUUUAUUUUUCAUAUGAAUGUUAAUCAAUUGGAGCAGAAUUUAUUUCAUAGCAGGUACAGUCCAACAAAAUUUUCCCCCAAACUUAAGAUAUUUUCUAUUCUUUUGGCUCUACUACAACAUUCUCAUAAAACUCCACCAAAGUUUAGGUGUCAGGACAUAAUUUCACUCUCCAUCUAUAACUAUCUUUACUUGGCAUUCUUAUAAUCACUACUUAACACUCAAUUUAUCUUCAUUAGGUUUUCAAAUCCAUACACAAAUAUUAGAUGGCAGAGCUUCACACAACACACGCAUAAACACAUAUUCAUAAUACACAGAAACACAACCCCCCCAAACUUUAAAUGGUGCUCUAUCCUCACAAGCACACAAAAAAAAACCACACAACCCAACAAGGACAUGGAGGAUGAAUUAGAAAAUAAACCACACAAAAUAAAAAUAUAAUGAAAGAAAAGUUGUUUAGAACUAAAUAGAAUGACUAGUAGGAAUGGGAUACUCCCCUGUUGUUUGGACACUGCUGCAACAUGGUGUAAUGACUUCAGCACUUUUUGGAUGCACUUCGCAGCUUAUUGUUGUGCAAAUUUUAAUGUACUCGCAAGCGCACGAAUCUAUUGUAGUAUAGACUAAUGGUGACGAGUGUCGAUCCCACAAGGAGGUGGAUUUUAAUUGUGUGUAGAAUUAAUUUUGUAAAUGGGUAGUUGGAUUUAUGGUGGAAAUGAUUUGGAAUAUGCUAAUACUUAAAUUAAAAUAGCGAGAAUAAAUUCUAAAAUUGGAAUUGCAAUGGAGAGAAUAAAUUGAAGAGAAAAUCUAUUAAAUUGACGUACUUGGGUAUCUGGAUCCGUAUCAACAUGCAUUAUGGGCUAAAUAAUCCGUAUUAAUGCCAAUUAAAUCAUGAGGGGGGAAUCCACACCUCAUGAACCACGCUCUAAUCAAUAUGGUGCUAAGGGCUUAUCGUGCCAAAUAAUAAUAACCUUGUACUAGAGGGCCGGUGAAACCAAGGCAGUACUAGACAAGAUUAGUAUUAUUUGUCGACGAGAAGUCAAAACAUCCACAAAAACUAGAGGGGAAGAGAAAAUAAAUUUACCAAAUAAAGCCCAUGACACAUGUUGAGACUUCACCUUCAACCCAAGCUUGAAAGAAAAUUAGCCACUCAUAAUUGAACUAGGGGUAAAAUGAGAAUUUAUUAAAAUACGAAGAAAAUACAAGAUGGAGAAGGAAUUACAGAAAAUGGAUCCCAAAAAUGGAUUGAGAGAUAUCAAAUUAGGGGGGGGAGGCCCCCUUUUUAUAGAUACAUGGAGUAAAUCAUGGCCAUCGGAUUAAAAACAGUUUGGACGCUCAGGAUUUCGCCACGUCAUCAGUCAACAGUACGCAGUUUGACCACGCGGAUGAACAGUAACACGGUUUGACUCGGAUGAACAGUAACGCGGUUUGACUCGGAUGAACAGUAACGCGGUUUGGUUGAAAAUAAUCUUGUGUGAUGCAUGUACCGUACACCGGAUUUUUCGUCCACUGAUAUGCUGCCACGUCACCAUCAACAGUACAUAAGAAUUUUAACCCAACAGGAUCGUGACACCUCAUCAGUCAAUGCCACAUCAUCGGUCAAUGCCACGUCAUCGAUCCAUCUAUGUGAACAGUGUUGUGAACAGUAACGUAGAUAGUACCGUACACGUGAAUAGUACCGCACAUAUGAAUAGUGCCAUUUUUCCUUUUAUGCUCCUCCUAAGGUUUUCGAUCGUCCUGAGUUCAAAAGUGAUGUCCGUUUUGCCGUCUGAUCUCUCCUUUAUUGUGAAAUGACUAUAAUGCCCCUAAAAUACAUAAAAUACUUAAUUAAAAUAAAACACAUGUAAUUAAAUCACAAGAAGGUUAAAUACAUAAAAGUAAAGGUUUUUAGUAAGACUUGAAAUGUAAAAUGACGGUCUUCUCCUUUAUAAAUAUGCAUUUUCUAACACUCAACACACUCCCCAACCAACUUAUUGCUAGUCCCUAGCAAAUAAAGCGAAAACAAAAUUCAAAUUCAAAAUAUUUUUUUUUUAAUAAAAACACUCGUAUUUAUUCCAUCAGAUUAAUGAUAGCAAUCAAAUAAAAGUAUAAGCAUUAUCUCCAGUCUAAAGCAACAUCACACCCACAUCAACCAUCCACAUGAAUCAGCCCAGUAGACUUUGUUAUAGCUACUUUCAAGAAUGACAUGUCAAACCCCAAAAUCUCACUGGAAGUAGUGACACUCUCACAAAGAAAUUAAAACCAAUAAAAAUAGUCACUCCAAUGAAUGGUAAUUAAGAGAGAAAAUAAUAAAGAAGUGAUAUCACAUGCCCUCACCAAGAUGAAAUAAAUAUGCCCUCAGCUUAGAAAUAAUACGAUCUCAAGUCAAAUAAAAAUGCUAGUCAACCCAAUUUAUUUAUCUUUUUUAUUUAUUUAUUUAUUUAUUUUUAUUAUGCACCACUACAUCUUUUUAGCCCAUAUAACUAGCUUCUACUUCAAACUAUAGUUCCCUAAAAUUAAGAAGGACUUUUAUUAGGACGUAACGUAGGCUAGGGAUAUGGCUAACAAAGAAGGGAAAUAAGGAAAACAAAGUGUAUGUUUGAGAAAAAUGCAGAGAUUUUUUUUUUUUUGGAAGUUGCAAGGUGGAUUUCACCUAUUAUUUUUAUUUUUUUAUUUAUUAUUUUUUUAAACAACAAUUUUUGUUUUGUUGUUUUUUUUUUUUGCUUUUAUUUGGCAUAACUUCACUGAACAAAAAUAGGUGAUGGAACUUAUAAGACAUUAGUAAUACUCCAAAUCGGAGUGGGUCAAGAUAAGUUUAACAAAUAAAAGGUUUUUUUUUUAAAAGGCUCAAAAUGGUUAACUAUGGAUAUUUCAUAAAAGGGAUGGCUAGAAAGGCUCAAACGGGACAAAGAUGGCCUUUCCAUCGUCUUUUAGGGCUCUAAAUAAUCAUCCAUAUCUACUAGUUAGAUGGGCCUCCCAAUGUAGCAACACACAUUUUUUUUUCUUUUUUUUUCUUGUUUGUUUUUUUUUUUUAAGGGUUAACUCAACAGAAAUCUAGAGAUCGUGUAUACAAUAAUAAACUGUUAAGCUGUAUAAAGAAUGGGCAAAAGGGUUACUCUCCAAGAAAAAUAAUAGGCUCAAAAACUCACUUGGCACUUAUUUAUGACAUGUUCAUUCCUUCAAGCAACUCAUAUUUGUCUCCGACAUCAACAUGUAGAGUAGCAAAUAUAAUGUAACAUCACUUAAGACCAAAGAUAAUACAAAUACUAAAAUUUGAAAUUAAUCAUGUCAUCCAAUGUUAAAACAAAUCACACAAUUUUUUUUUUAAACAACAUUCUACCCCCCAACCGAUUCUAAACAUGAAAGGAAAAUAUGCAUGCAGAAAUGUGAAAAUGAUGCAUAAAAACUAAUUAGAAAAGUUACAUGUAAAAUGAUAGAAAACGAAAAUGAUUUUUUUUUAAGAAGAUGCGUUUCUAGAGGCACUACACUCCAUAUUCAGCCAUCUUCGACUCAAAAGUUGGAAAAUGGAUAUUUAUAGACGAGAAAUUAAAAAGAAGAAGAAAAAUGAACAUAAAAACUUAAUAAAGAAAAAGAAAAUUUUGUUUUUAUUAUUUAGUUUUUUUAGUUUUUUUUUUUAAUUUUUUUUAAACGAUGAAGAUGCGUUUCUAGAGUCACUACCCUCCAUAUUCAGCCAUCUUCAACACGAAAAGUUAGCAACAGUUAGUUUCUACAACAAAAAAUUAGUAAAAACUUAACCAAAAUUUCACAAUUGUCGACUAUUCCCUCCCCCCAACCAGAACGAAAUAUUGUCCUCAAUGUUUGAAAGGAAAGAAGUAGAGUUUAGAAGACAUCACCUGGGUGGUGCAACACAGAAGAAAAUAUUUAUAAGCGGAGAGUUAAAUCUAAUUUGUACUUCUUACUGCGGCUACUGUUACCAUCAUUAUUUGGGCGCUGCAACACAAAGGUCCAAGGGUCUUACUCCGGUUUAUAAGCUUGUAACAUAUCAAGUAGCUCAUUAGCAGUGUGAGCACAAAUAAAAAGUUUUUUCACAUUAGAAGGAAUGAAAUAGUUUUUUAUUGCAUGGUUAAGAAAUGGGAUAAAACCAUCAUAAAAGUUAUUGACAUUUAACAAACCGAUGGGUUUUUGGUGGAUGUGCAGAUGGGCCCAAGAUGCUAGCGUGAUAAGUGCCUCCAGUGUUGCAAGAUCUCCUGGAAGGAAAAUAAAAGCAUCAGCAUGAUUAAGCAUUUCAGUUAUUCUUUCUUGCAUACCUGAGACGACUAAUUCUUCUCCAGUUGAUGAGUCAGACGAACUGCCCAAUGGUUUUAAGACUCUUGGGAUGAUGCCUAACACUUGACUUUCUCUGAUAAAAGCUGCUUCUGAGACCAUUUUUGAUAACCCUCGAUUACCUCCUCCAUACACCAAUUGUAAUUUUCUCGCUGCUAUGCUUCGACCAAGAUCUAUGGCUGCCUCAACGAACUCUUUAUGUUUGCCAUAUGUAAAUCCAGAAAGCACACAAAUGUUCUUGAAUUGUCUAUUGGGAGUAGCUGCCAUUGUGAUACUUCUCAAAAAUAAUUUGUGAGUGCUUGACAAAAAAGAAAUCACAUUUAAGAAUCUUGGUGACAGUGGAUUACAGUUGUGUAUGAGGUAACAUGUCAGUGUCAAAUAACGCGUAAAGCACGUGUCUCGCUAGUAAAAAAGGAAACAGUAAAAGGGAAAAAGCAAACAGUAAUAAAAUUAUUAAAGACAAUAAUGCACACAAUAAAACAAUAGUGAAAUAAAAUAACAGUAAAGUGAAGGGAUAUUUACAGGUAGUUGCGACUGUGGCUCACAUCUUCCUCUGGUUUUACGUCCAGAAAUGGCUUGAACGCCCUCUAUGGGUCGAGGAUAGGCUUCCUAUCCAGUUUUCUUAUAAACUGGCAAACAGGGUCGUUUAUAGUCAGAUUCCCGAGACUAUAUCGUGCAUGCUCUUUCUGGAAUAAUGGCUAUAACUGGAGAAUCGCUCCUUGCACAUAUCCACUAGGAUGCGUUUCAAGAGACAAAAGGAUAUCAUCCAAUGACUCCUUAUUCAAGCCAUCCCUAAUGAAUUGAAUCUUAUCUUCCCUGCUAUCAGACAUCAUUCCUAAAGAACAUGGGUUUUUAUUGCAACUCAUUCUGGCACACUUAUGACAAGCAACAAAAAUUCUUCGAGCUCGUCGUUUUCUUGCAUAAUUUCCUUUACCACAACUAGGCAUGUAUGCAAUAAAUUUUGGAGGUAACUCACCUGCCGAUCGUACUUUAGCCUCGAUUAACCAACGGAUGUCAGCAGGUAUGUUAUUUCUCAUGAGCAAUCGCAUGCAUUCAGACCGAGCUUUAUAGAUCGUAAGGAGGGCAUUCUGAGGAAGUGAAGGGAAUCGCUUGUGAAGCUUCGCUAGAGUCUCGUUUCUGUCCAUAUCUUCGCUUCAGAAUAUCAGUUAUUAUGGGAAACUGAAGUAACUGACUUGAUUGUCACGAAGUACCGUUAUCCGCCACUUCACCGGGGUAACAAACUAAAGCACACAAACAAAAAAAAAAUUAAAACACACAAACAAAAUUAAAAUCGUCCUCUUAUUGAAUUUACCUCAAGCUCCAACUGGAUAUCGUAAACACUUCUCUCAAUGUCUCGGAGUUGGCAUUCUAAACCCUCAACAUAGGCUACUAACUCUGGUGGUUGUAGAGCCCAAAUGCGAUGUGUUUUACAAAAUUGAAUCUACCUUUUGAGAUGAGUUUUGACACGUUGAAGUGGUUUAAGAAUGUUCAGGAGGAACGGUCUAAGUAAUGUACUCAUGAUUAAAAAUGAUAAAAGAAAACUUAAUAGUUAAACAAACACAUUUAUGCAAAAAUAAUUUCAAUUAGCAGAAGAAUAAUAUAAAGAAAGAAAAAAAAUCAAAUCAACGAAAAGAAAAAAAAAUCAAUUUAGAUCUGGUGGGUCACUCAAAUUUAUUUCGGUGUCUUCUCCAUGUGGUUGGUACUCUAGAUAUGGCUUUAAUCUUUGACCAUUAACUUUAAACGUGACACCAUUCUUUGGGUCCUUAAUUUCAAUUGCCCCAUGUGGAAAAACAGUAUGUAUAAUAAAUGGGCCAGACCAACGAGAGCGUAACUUACCUGGGAAUAGGUGCAAGCGAUAAUUGAAUAAAAGCACUUUCUGACCUGGAGUGAAAGAUUUUCUCAUAAUUUGCUUGUCAUGGAAGACUUUCAUUCGUUGCUUGUAAAUCUUGGCAUUUUCGUAUGCGUCAUUGCGAAUUUCUUCAAGUUCUGCCAGUUGUAAUCUUCUUUCUGAGCUGGCUUGCUGCAUGUCAAAGUUGAAUUUCUUGAUGGCCCAAUACGCACGAUGCUUGAGUUCCACAGGUAGGUGGCAAGCUUUUCCAUACACUAGCCUGUAGGGUGACAUCCCAAUCGGGGUCUUAAAAGCCGUUCUAUAUGCCCAUAAUGCAUCAUCAAGUCUUAAUGACCAAUCUUUUAUGUCUGGCCUCACCGUCUUUUCUAAUAUGUGCUUUAUUUCUCGAUUGGAGAUCUCAACUUGGCCACUGGUUUGCGGAUGAUACGGGGUCGCCACUUUGUGAGUGAUUGAAUACUUUGUCAAAAGAGCUUUGAAUGCUUUGUUAAAAAAGUGGGCACCACCAUCACUGAUUAUUGCUCGAGGGAAUCCAAAGCGUGAAACAAUGUUGCUUUUCAAAAAUCCUGUCACCACCUUGUGAUCAUUGGUUCUACAGGGAAUUGCUUCUACCCAUUUCGAUACGUAGUCAACAGCAACCAAUAUGUAUUGAUGGCCAAAAGAAAGGGGAAAUGGUCCCAUGAAGUCGAUACCUCAUACAUCAAAAAUCUCAACCACUAAAAUUGGAUUUAGUGGCAUCAUGUUCCUUCGUGUAAUGCUCCCCAUUCGUUGACACCUAUCACAUGAAGAACAGAAAGUGUAAGCGUCUCGAAAUAUAGUUGGCCAAUAGAAACCACAUUGUAAAACUUUAGUUGCUGUUUUCUUAGCACUGAAAUGGCCUCCACAAGCUUGUUCAUGGCAGAAUGAAAGAAUAUUCUGAAUUUCAUUUUCUGGGACACAUCGUCUAACAAUUUGGUCUGCACAAUACUUGAACAAAUACGGGUCAUCCCAAAAGAAAUUCUUUAUCUCUGCAAAGAAUUUAGCCUUAUCUUGCUUGGUCCAAUGCUCUGGAAGUUGACCUGUAAUAAGAUAAUUCACGAUGUCAGCAUAUACCACAGUAAUACUUCCACAUUCAUCAAUUGUUCAUCAGGGAAUGACUCAUUUAAUGGUAAUGGCUCUGUAGUUGUGUCAAAAUGGAGACGAGAGAGGUGAUCCGCCACAACAUUUUCUGUGCCUUUUUUAUCUUUGAAUUCCAAGUCAAAUUCCUGCAAAAGUAACACCCAACGAAUUAGUCUAGCUUUUGCAUCUUUCUUUGUGAGAAGAUAUUUAAGAGCAGCAUGAUCUGUGAAUAUAAUUAUUUUACAACCAAUGAGAUAAGAUCGAAAUUUCUCUAAUGCAAACACUACUGCUAGCAUUUCUUUUUCAGUAGUUGAAUAGUUCAACUGUGCAUCAUUCAAUGUCAUACUAGCAUAGUAAAUAACAUGGGGAAUUCGAUCAACUCUUUGUCCUAAUACUGCUCCUACUGCAUAAUCAGAUGCAUCACACAUGAGCUCAAAUGGUAAGCUCCAGUUUGGGGCUUGAAUGAUGGGUGAUGAUGUCAACAACUGCUUUAAUUUUUCAAAAGCCACAAGACAUGAAUCAUUAAAGAUAAAAGGUACAUCCUUAGCAAGUAGAUUGCAUAAGGGUCUAAAAACUUUGCUAAAAUCUUUAAUGAAACGUCUAAGAAACCAGCAUGCCCAAGGAAAGAUCUUACUUCUCUGACUGUUUUGGGUGGAGGAAGAUUAGAAAUGAGAUCCACCUUGGCUUUGUCAACCUCAAUACCUUUGCUCGAAAUGAUGUGACCGAGAACAAUACCUUGUUUUACCAUAAAAUGGCAUUUCUCCCAAUUUAAGACCAAGUUCUUCUCGACACAUCUCUGCAGAACUAGUGUUAGAUGAUGUAAACAUUGAUCAAACGAGUCACCAAUGACAGAAAAAUCAUCCAUAAAGACUUCAAGGAAUCGUUCAACCAUAUCAGAAAAAAUGCUCAACAUGCAUCGUUGAAAUGUAGCAGGUGCAUUGCAUAAUCCAAAUGGCAUUCUCCUAUACGCAAAUGUGCCAAAAGGGCAAGUGAAAGUAGUUUUUUCCUAAUCUUUUGGUGCUAUGGUUAUCUGAUUGUAUCCUGAGUAGCCAUCUAGAAAGCAAUAAAAUUCAUGACCUGCUAAUCUAUCAAGCAUUUGAUCAAUAAAUGGUAAAGGAAAAUGGUCUUUACGUGUGACAGAAUUGAACUUCCUAUAAUCAAUGCAUACACGCCAUCCUGUAGUCACUCUAGUGGGUAUCAAUUCAUUAUCGGCAUUGGUAACUACAGUGACUCCUGACUUUUUGGGGACAACUUGCACAGGACUGACCCAUGAAUUAUCAGAAAUGGGGUAAAUGAUACCUGCAUCUAAUAGCUUAAGGACUUCUGUUCUAACAACUUCUUUCAUAUUAGGAUUUAACCGACGUUGCAUUUCCCUAGUAGAUUUAGCAUUUUCAUCAAGAUGAAUGUAAUGCAUGCAGUCUACUGGAUUUAUACCUUUUAUGUCUGCUAUGGUCCAUCCUAAUGCCCCUUUGUGCUCUUUUAAAACAUCCAACAACUUACCUUUUUGUUCAUCAUUGAGGGAUGAUGAGAUGAUUACCGGCAGAGUACUUUCUUCUCCUAAAAAUGCAUAUUCCAAAGUGUUGGGCAAUGGUUUGAGCUCGAGUUUCGGUGGUGAUUCUGAUGAUGGGAUGAGUUUCUUCUCUGAUGGUGCUAGUUGCUCAACUCUUGACUUCCAUUUAUUAGUAUCCAUAGAUGGUGCUGAGUCAAGCAGGGCGUUGACCUCAUCGACCGAUCUGUCAAUAUCAAAAUCCAAACCAAAGUGAGUUAAACAUGUUUGUAAAGGAUCAUCGACCGAUCUGUCAAUAUCAAGUAGGGUGUUGACCUCAUCGACCGAUCUGUCAAUAUCAAAAUCCAAACCAAAGUGAGUUAAACAUGUUUGUAAAGGAUCAUCACUAAGGUUUGAAACAAAAGUAUCAUCAACUAAUGCUUCAAUUAAAUCCACAUCAACAAUUCCAUCAUCUGCACUGUGAGGUUGUUUGGCAAUGUUGAAGAUGUUCAGCUCCAUAGUCAUGUUGCCGAAGGACAACUGCAUAUUUCCAGUCCUGCAUUGAAUGUGAGCAUCCGCAGUUGCCAAGAAAGGUCGGCCUAGAAUAAUGGGGAUGUGCUUCCUCGAGUCCUGUAUUGGUUGAGUAUCAAUUACAAUGAAAUCAACAGGAAAAUAAAACUUGUCUACCUGGAUAAGCACGUCCUCCACAAUUCCACGAGGUAUUUGUUGAGUGUUAGAAAAUGCAUAUUUAUAAAGGAGAAAACCGUCAUUUUACAUUUCAAGUCUUACUACAACCCUUACUUUUAUGUAUUUAACCUUCUUGUGAUUUAAUUACAUGUGUUUUAUUUUAAUUAAGUAUUUUAUGUAUUUUAGGGGCAUUAUAGUCAUUUCACAAUAAAGGAGAGAUCAGACGGCAAAACGGACAUCACUUUUGAACUCAGGACAGUCGAAAACCUUAGGAGGAGCAUAAAAAGAAAAAUGGCACUAUUCAUAUGUACGGUACUAUUCACGUGUACGGUACUAACUACGUUACUGUUCACAACACUGUUCACAUAGACGGAUCGAUGACGUGGCAUUGACCGAUGAUGUGGCAUUGACUGAUGAGGUGUCACGAUCCUGUUGGGCUAAAAUUCUUAUGUACUGUUGAUGGUGACGUGGCAUCAUAUCAGUGGAUGAAAAAUCUCGCAUACGGUACAUGCAUCACACAGGAUUAUUUUCAACCAAACCGCGUUACUGUUCAUCCGAGUCAAACCGCGUCACUGUUCAUCCGAGUCAAACCGCGUUACUGUUCAUCCGAGUCAAACCGUGUUACUGUUCAUCCGCGUGGUCAAACCGUGGACUGUUGACUGAUGACGUGGCGCAAUCCUGAGCGUCCAAACUGUUUUUAAUCCGAUGGUCAUGAUUUACUCCAUGUAUCUAUAAAAAGGGGGCCUCCCCCCUUAAUUGGAGAUCUCUGAAUCCAUUUUUGGGAUCCAUUUUCUGUAAUUCCUUCUCCAUCUUGUAUUUUCUUCGUAUUUUAAUAAAUUCCCAUUUUGCCCCUAGUUCAACUAUGAGUGGCUAAUUUUCUUUCAAGCUUGGGUUGAAGGUGAAGUCUCAACAUGUGUCAUGGGCUUAAUUUGGUAAAUUUAUUUUCUUUUCCCCUCUAGUUUUUGUGGAUUUUUUGGCUUCUCGUCGACAAAUAAUACUAAUCUUGUCUAGUACUGCCUUGGUUUCACCGGCCCUCUAGUACAAGGUUAUUAUUAUUUGGCACGAUAAGCUCUUAGCACCAUAUUGAUUAGAGCGUGGUUCAUGAGGUGUGGAUUUCCCCCUCAUGAUUUAAUUGGCAUUAAUACAGAUUAUUUAGCCCAUGAUGCAUGUUGAUACGGAUCCAGAUACCCAAGUACGUCAUUUUAAUAGAAUUCUCUUCAAUUUAUUCUCGCAAUUUCUAUUCCAAUUUUAGAAUUUAUUCUUGCCAUUUUAAUUUAAGUCUUAGCAUAUUCCAAAUCAUUUCCACCACAAAUCCAAUCACCCAUUUACAAAAUUAAUUCUACACAAUUAAAAUCCACCUCCUCGUGGGAUCGACACUCGUCACCAUUGAUCUAUACUAUAAUAGAUUCGUGCGCUUGCGAGUACAUUAAAAUUUGCACAACAAGUUUUUGGCGCCGUUGCCGGGGAGGUAAGUAAUUUUAAUUCAUAGAAUUAAUUUUUUGGAAUAAUUUCUUUUAUUUGUUUUCUUGUAUGUUUUUUUAUUAUAAAAAGAAAAAAAAAGAGUGAAUCUACAUUUAAAGGUUAGUAUUCCUUUCCUUUUUCUCUUCUUUAAAAUUCUGUAAUUUAAUUUUCAAUUUAUUUUUCUUUGUAAUUUUUUUUGUUUAUUUUAUUAAUUUAAUUUUUAGUUAAUUUAUUUCACGUAUUUGUUUUUGUGUAUUUUUAUAUAAAGGUUUUAAUAGCGCAAUAAGGUUAGUAUCGUAAUUUCUCCCUCUUCUUUAUUUUUAUUUGUUUUGUUCUCAUCCUUAUUUUUUUUUUAUUAUUUGUUUUGCAUGCAUGGUCGUAGGUCAUUAUUACCUAAUCUUGAACCUAUAGACCUUGAAUUAGAAAAAACACUUCGCACACACAAACAAAUUAAAAAUAAAAUAGAUUUACAAGCACCACAGGAGAGGCCAUUUAAGGACUAUUUUAGUGCCUUAGCUAAUUUGAGCACAUCAUGCAUAAGAUACCCAAAUGUAGCUGCUAGGAGUUUCGAAUUAAAACCUAGUGUGCUAAAUUGUCUCCCCACAUUUUAUGGCCUAGAAAAUGAGGAUCCAUAUAAUCAUCUGAAUGAUUUUCAUGCCAUUUGUCAAACUUUUAAAUAUGAAAAUUUUUCAGACGAUGAUGUUAAACUUAGACUAUUCCCAUUUUCUUUAAAGGAUAGGGCUCGUUCAUGGCUUAAUACAUUGCCUGCUAAUAGCAUUGCAUCAUGGGAACAAAUGGUUACAAAAUUUUUGAAUAAAUAUUUCCCAGUACAUAAAACCAAUGCUAUUCGCAGGGAAAUCUCGGAGUUUACCCAGAGAGAGGACGAGCAUUUUUUCGAAACAUGGGAGCGAUUCAAUGGGCUACUCUUGAAGUGUCCACAUCAUGGGUACGAGAAAUGACACCAAUGCCAAUACUUUUUGGAGGAAUUAUUGCCGAAUGUGCAAGAAUGGCUAAUGGCAACAAGUAGAGGAGAGCUAAUGUCAAAAAGUGCAUCAGAAAUUUGGGAAUUCUUCCAGCGACAAGCAGAUAAUUCCCAACAACGGAGUCGAUCACUCAGGACUACUAGAAGAAUUAAAGGAGUGAAUGAGGUUCAAAUUGGCGAAUCAACUUCAGGAAUCAAAGAAGUCAAGGAGAUGGUUGAAGGUCUUGCUCGACAAAUAGCAUCGUUAUCGACUGCUAAAUCAACAUAACCACAUGACCAUGACUCAUACUCCGAUCAAGCCAAUGCCAUAGGUGUAAUGAGAAAACCAUCGAAUUAUAACCCAUACUCCAACACAUAUAACCCUGGAUGGAGAGACCACCCCAAUUUUUCAUGGUCUCAAGGAUUCCAAGAGAAUGGACCAGCAGCUCCAGCUCCACCAAUUCCAUAAAAUCCUCAAGCCUCUCAGCCCCCAUUUAGACCAUACAAUCAGAACCAGAACUACUCUCAACCUAGACCAUGGGAGGAUUCAUUCCAUAAUCUCAAGAAUCUUACUCACUCUACGAUUGAGCAACAGAACCGCACCAUUGAUGGACUACGAAAUGAAUUGAGAGCAGGCUUCAACUCACAAGCCCAAUCAGUUUCAAGCCUUGAGAAGAUGGUGGGACAACUUGCUUCUUCAGUUCAAACCUUGGCAAUGACCGUUGAGAAAGGUAAAUUUCCAAGUCAACCAGUGCCUAACCCUAAAGGAGUGCAUGAAGCAAGUACCAGUUCACCACAGCAGCAUGGAGAGGUCAAAGCCGUCAUGACCUUGCGAAAAGGAAAAGAAGUCGACAACAAAGUGGAGAUGCUGGUGACAAAAGAAAAUCAAAUUGUACCUGUGAAUGUUGAGGAAUCAUCACCGGAGGAGAAAGAAGAAACCAACCCACGAGAAUACGUUCCGAAAGCUCCAUUUCCUCAGAGGUUAGCGAAAGGCAAGAAGGGAAAAUCCACAGGUGAGAUUCUUGAAAUCUUCAAACAGGUAGGUGUUAACAUCCCUUUGCUUGAUGCUAUUAAACAAGUUCCAUCUUAUGCCAAGUUUCUUAAAGACCUUUGUACUAAAAAGAGAAAUAUGCAUGUUCAAAAGAAGGCAUUUUUAACAGAAAACGUUAGUUCUAUACUCCAACAUAAAAUUCCUUUAAAAUGCAAAGACCCAGGCUCCCCCACUAUCUCAUGUAGUAUAGGGAACCACACAAUUGAGAAUGCUUUGUUGGAUUUAGGAGCUAGUGUAAAUCUGUUGCCUUAUUCAGUAUUCGUGAAACUUGGACUGGGAGAAUUACACCCAACUCCAGUGGUGUUACAACUUGCAGAUCGGUCCACGAAAAUACCUCGUGGUAUUGUGGAGGACGUGCUUAUCCAGGUAGACAAGUUUUAUUUUCCUGUUGAUUUCAUUGUAAUUGACACUCAACCAAUACAGGAUUCAAGGAAGCACAUCCCCAUUAUCCUAGGCCGACCUUUCUUGGCAACUGCGGAUGCUCACAUUCAAUGCAGGACUGGAAAUAUGCAGUUGUCUUUCGGCAAUAUGACUAUGGAGCUAAACAUUUUCAACAUUGCCAAACAACCUCACAAUGCAGAUGAUGAAAUUGUUGAUGUGGAUUUAAUUGAAACAAUAGUUGAUAACACUUUUCUUUCAAACCUUAGUGAUGAUCCUUUACAAACAUGUUUAACUCACUUUGGUUUGGAUUUUGAUAUUGACAGAUCGGUCGAUGACGUCAACGCCCUGCUUGACUCAGUACCAUCCAUGGACACUAAUAAAUGGAAGUCAAGAGUUGAACAACUAGCACCAUCAGAGAAGAAACUCAUCCCAUCAUCAGAAUCACCACCGAAACUCGAGCUCAAACCAUUACCCAACACUCUGGAAUAUGCAUUUUUGGGAGAAGAAAGUACUCUGCCGGUAAUCAUCUCAUCAUCCCUAAAUGACGAACAAAAAGGUAAGUUGUUAGAUGUUUUGAAAGAUCACAAAGGGGCAUUAGGAUGGACCAUAGCAGACAUUAAAGGUAUAAACCCAGUAGACUGCAUGCAUUACAUUCACCUUGAUGAAAAUGCUAAAACUACUAGGGAAAUGCAACGUCGGUUAAAUCCUAACAUGAAAAAAGUUGUUAGAACUGAAGUCCUUAAGCUAUUAGACGCAGGUAUCAUUUACCCCAUUUCUGAUAGUUCAUGGGUCAGUCCUGUGCAAGUUGUCCCCAAAAAGUCAGGAGUCACAGUAGUUGCCAAUGCUGAUAAUGAAUUGAUACCCACUAGAGUAACUACAGGAUGGCGUGUUUGCAUUGAUUAUAGAAAGUUGAAUUCUGUCACACGUAAAGACCAUUUUCCUUUACCAUUUAUCGAUCAAAUGCUUGAUAGAUUAGCAGGUCAUGAAUUUUAUUGCUUUCUAGAUGGCUACUCAGGAUAUAAUCAGAUUCCCAUAGCACCAAAAGAUCAAGAGAAAACUACUUUCACUUGCCCUUUUGGCACAUUUGCAUAUAGGAGAAUGCCAUUUGGAUUAUGUAAUGCACCUGCUACAUUUCAACGAUGCAUGUUAAGCAUUUUUUCUGAUAUGGUUGAACGAUUCCUUGAAUCUUUAUGGAUGAAUUUUCUGUCUUUGGUGAUUCGUUUGAUCAAUGUUUACAUCAUCUAACACUAGUUCUGCAGAGAUGUAUCGAGAAGAACUUGGUCUUAAAUUGGGAGAAAUGUCAUUUUAUGGUAAAACAAGGUAUUGUUCUCGGUCACAUCAUUUCGAGCAAAGGUAUUGAGGUUGACAAAGCCAAGGUGGAUCUCAUUUCUAAUCUUCCUCCACCUAAAACAGUCAGAGAAGUAAGAUCUUUCCUUGGGCAUGCUGGUUUCUAUAGACGUUUCAUUAAAGAUUUUAGCAAAGUUUCUAGACCCUUAUGCAAUUUACUUGCUAAGGAUGUAUCUUUUAUCUUUAAUGAUUCAUGUCUUAUGGCGUUUGAAAAAUUAAAACAGUUGUUGACAUCAUCACCCAUCAUUUAGGCCCUAAACUGGAGCUUACCAUUUGAGCUAAUGUGUGAUGCAUCUGAUUAUGCAGUAGGAGCAGUAUUAGGACAAAGAGUUGAUCGAAUUCCCCAUGUUAUUUAUUAUGCUAGUAUGACAUUAAAUGAUGCACAGUUGAACUAUUCAACUACUGAAAAAGAAAUGCUAGCAGUAGUAUUUGCAUUAGAGAAAUUUCGAUCUUAUCUCAUUGGUUGUAAAAUAAUCGUGUUCACAGAUCAUGCUGCUCUUAAAUAUCUUCUCACAAAGAAAGAUGCAAAAGCCAGACUAAUUCGUUGGGUGUUACUUUUGCAGGAGUUUGACUUGGAAUUCAAAGAUAAGAAAGGGACAGAAAAUGUUGUGGCGGACCACCUCUCUCGUAUCCAUUUUGACACAAUUACAGAAUCAUUACCAUUGAAUGAGUCAUUUCCAGAUGAACAAUUAAUGAAUGUGGAAGUAUUACCUUGGUAUGCUGAUAUAGUUAAUUAUCUUGUUACAGGUAAACUUCCAGAGCAUUGGACCAAGCAAGAUAAGGCUAAAUUCUUUGCAGAGAUAAAGAAUUUCUUUUGGGAUGACCCGUAUUUGUUCAAGUAUUGUGCAGACCAAAUUGUUAGACGAUGUGUCCCAGAAAGUGAAAUUCAGAAUAUCCUUUCAUUCUGCCAUGAACAAGCUUGUGGAGGCCAUUUCAGUGCUAAGAAAACCGCGACUAAAGUUUUACAAUGUGGUUUUUAUUGGCCAACUAUAUUUCGAGAUGCUUACACUUUCUGUUCUUCAUGUGAUAGGUGUCAACGAAUGGGGAGCAUUACGCGAAGGAAUAUGAUGCCACUAAAUCCAAUUUUAGUGGUUGAGAUUUUUGAUGUAUGGGGUAUCGACUUCAUGGGACCCUUUCCCCCGUCUUUCAGUCAUCAAUACAUAUUGGUUGCUGUUGACUAUGUAUCAAAAUGGGUAGAAGCUAUUCCAUGUAGGACCAAUGAUCACAAGGUGGUGAUAGCAUUUUUGAAAAGCAACAUUGUUUCACGCUUUGGAUUCCCUCGAGCGAUAAUCAGUGAUGGUGGUGCCCACUUUUGUAACAAAGCAUUCAAAGCUCUUUUGACAAAGUAUUCAAUCACACACAAAGUGGCAACUCCGUAUCAUCCGCAAACCAGUGGCCAAGUUGAGAUCUCCAAUCAAGAAAUAAAGCACAUAUUAGAAAAGACGGUGAGGCCGGACAGAAAAGAUUGGUCAUUAAGACUUGAUGAUGCCUUAUGGGCAUAUAGAACGGCUUUCAAGACCCCGAUUGGGAUGUCACCCUACAGGCUAGUGUAUGGAAAAGCUUGCCACCUACCUGUGGAACUCGAGCAUCGUGCAUAUUGGGCCAUCAAGAAAUUCAAUUUUGACAUGCAGCAAGCCAGCUUAGAAAGAAGAUUACAGCUGGCAGAACUUGAAGAAAUUCGCAAUGAUGCAUACGAAAAUGCCAAGAUUUACAAGCAACGAAUGAAAGUCUUCCAUGAUAAGCAAAUUAUGAGAAAAUCGUUCACUCCAGGUCAGAAAGUGCUUUUGUUCAAUUCUCGCUUGCACCUAUUCCCAGGUAAGUUACGCUCUCGUUGGUCUGGUCCCUUUAUUGUUCAUACUGUUUUUCCACAUGGGGCAAUUGAAAUUAAGGACCCAAAGAACGGUGUCACGUUUAAAGUUUAUGGUCAAAGAUUAAAGCCAUAUCUAGAAUACCAACCACGUGGAGAAGACACCGAAAUAAAUUUGAGUGACCCACCAGAUUUGAAUUGAUUUUUUUUCUUUUUUUUCGUUGAUUUGAUUUUGUUUUCUUUCUUUAUAUUAUUCUUUUGCUAAUUGAAAUUGUUUUUGCAUAAGUGUGUUUAUUUUAUCAUUAAGUUUUCUCUUAUCAUUUUUAAUCAUGAGUCUCAUACUUAGACCGUUCCUCCUGAACAUUCUUAAACCACUUCAACGUGUCAAAACUCAUCUCAAAAGGCAGAUUCAAUUUUGUAAAACACAACGCAUUUGGGCUCUACAACCACCAGAGUUAGUAGCCUAUGUUGAGGGUUUAGAACGCCAACUCAGAGACAUUGAGAGAAGUGUUUACGACAUCCAGUUGGAGCUUGAGGUAAAUUCAAUAAGAGGAUGAUUUUAAUUUUCUUUGUGUGUUUUAAUUUGUUUUUCUAUUUGUGUGCUUUAGUUUGUUACCCCGGUGAAGUGGCGGAUAACGGUACUCCGUGACAAUCAAGUCUGUUACUUCAGUUUCCCAUAAUAACUGAUAUUCUGAGGCGAAGGUAUGGACAGAAACGAGAUUCUAUCGAAACUUCACAAGCGAUUCCCUUCACUUCCUCAGAAUGCCCUCCUUACAAUCUAUAAAGCUCGGUCCGAACGCAUGCGAUUACUCAUAACGAAUAACAUACCUGCUGACAUCCGUUGGUUAAUCGAGGCUAAAGUACGAUCGGCAGGUGAGUUACCUCCAAAAUUUAUUGCAUACAUGCCUGGUUGUGGUAAAGGAAAUUAUGCAAGAAAACGACGAGCUCGAAGAAUUUCUGUUGCUUGUCAUAAGUGUGCCAGAAUGAGUUGCAAUAAAAACCCAUGUUCUUUAGGAAUGAUGUCUGAUAACAGGGAAGAUAAGAUUCAAUUCAUUAGGGAUGGCUUGAAUAAGGAGUCAUUGGAUGAUAUCCUUUUGUCUCUUGAAACGCAUCCCAGUGGAUAUGUGCAAGGAGCGAUUCUCCAGUUAUGGCCAUUAUUCCAGAAAGAGCAUGCACGAUAUAGUCUCGGGAAUCUGACUAUAAACGACCCUGUUUGCCAGUUUAUAAGAAAACUGGAUAGGAAGCCUAUCCUCGACCCAUAGAGGGCGUUCAAGCCGUUUCUGGACGUAAAACCAGAGGAAGAUGUGAGCCACAGUCGCAACUACCUGUAAAUAUCCUUUUACUUUAUUAUUUCACUAUUGUCUUAUUGUUUGCAUUAUUGUCUUUAAUAAUUUUAUUACUGUUUGCUUUUUCCUUAUUACUGUUUGCUUUUCCCUUUUUACUGUUUUCUUUUUUACUCGCGAGCCACGUGCUUUACGCGUUAUUUGACAUGGACAUGUGACCUCAUACACAACUAUGACCCACUAUCACCAAGACUCUUAAAUGUGAUUUUCUUUGUCAAUCACUCACAAAUUAUUUUUGCGAAGUAUCACAAUGGCAGCUACUCCCAAUAGACAAUUCAAGAACAUUUGUGUGCUUUCUGGAUUUACAUAUGGCAAACAUAAAGAGUUCGUUGAGGCAGCCAUAGAUCUUGGUCGAAGCAUAGCAGCGAGAAAAUUACACUUGGUGUAUGGAGGAGGUAACCGAGGAUUAUCAAAAAUGGUCUCAGAAGCAGCUUUUAUCAGAGGAAGUCAAGUGUUAGGCAUCAUCCUAAGAGUCUUAAAACCAUUGGGCAGUUCGUCUGACUCAUCAACUGGAAAAGAGUUAGUCGUGUCAUGUAUACAAGAAAGAAUAACUGAAAUGCUUAAUCAUGUUGAUGCUUUUAUUUUUCUUCCAGGGGAUCUUGCAACACUAGAGGUACUUAUCACACUAGCAUCUUGGGCCCAUCUGCACAUCCACUAAAAACCCAUCGGUUUGUUAAAUGUCAAUAACUUUUAUGAUGGCUUUAUCGCAUUUCUUAACCAUGCAAUAAAAAACUAUUUCAUUCCCGCUAAUGUGAAAAAACUCUUUAUUUGUGCUCACACUGCUAAUGAGCUACUUGAUCUGUUACAAGCUUAUAAACCGGAGCCAGACCCCUGGACCUUUGUGUUGGAGCAUCCACAUAAUGAUGGUAACAGUAGCCGCAGUAAGAAGUACAAAUUAGAUUUAACUCUCCGCCUGUAAAUAUUUUCUUCUGUGUUGCACCACCCAGGUGAUGUCUUCUAAACUCUACUUCUUUCAUUUCAAACAUUGAGGACAAUGUUUCGUUCUGGUUGGGGGGAGGGAAUAGUCGACAAUUGUGGAAUUUUGGUUAAGUUUUUACUAAUUUUUUGUUGUAGAAACUAACUGUUGCUAACUUUUUGUGUUGAAGAUGGCUGAAUAUGGAGUGUAGUGACUCUAGAAACGCAUCUUCAUCGUUUAUAAAAAAAAAAAUUCAGACAUUUUCUUUUUCUUUAUUAUGUGUUUAUGUUUAUUUUUCUUCUUUUUAAUUUCUCCUCUAUAAAUAUACAUUUUCCAACUUUUGAGUCGAAGAUGGCUGAAUAUGGAGUGUAGUUCCUCUAGAAACGCAUCUUCUUUAAAAAAAAAAAUCAUUUUCGUUUUCUAUCAUUUUACGUGUAACUUUUCUAAUUAGUUUUUAUGCAUCAUUUUCACAUUUCUGCAUGCAUAUUUUCCUUUCAUGUUUAGAAUAGGUUGGGGGGUAGAAUGAUGUUUAAAAAAAAAAUGUGUGAUUUGUUUUAACAUUGGAUGACAUGAUUAAUUUCAAAUUUUAGUAUUUGUAUUAUCUUUGGUCUUAAGUGAUGUUACGCUAUGUUUGCUACUUUACAUGUUGAUGUCGGAGACAAAUGUGAGUUGCUUGAAGGAAUGAACAUGUCAUAAUAAGUACCAAGUGAGUUUUUGAGCCUAUUAUUUUUCUUGGAGAAUAACCCUUUUGCCCACUCUUUAUACAGCUUAGCAGUUUAUUAUUUUAUACACGAUCUCUAAAUUACUUUUGAGUUAACCCUUAAAAAAAAAAAGAAAAAAGAAAAAAAGAGCGUGUUACUACAUUUGGAGGCCCAUCUAACUAGUAGAUAUGGAAGAUUAUUUAGAGCCCUAAAAGACGAUGGAAAGGCCAUCUUUGAUCCGUUUGAGCCUUUCUAGCCAUCCCUUUUAUCAAAUAUCCAUAGUUAACCCUUUUGAGCCUUUAAAAAAAAUAAAAAUAAAAAAAACCUUUUUCUUUGUCAACUUAUCAUCUUGACCCACUCCGAUUUGGAGUAUUACCCAAUGUCUUAUAAGUUCCAUCACCUAUAUAUGUUUGAGAAAAUGUAAAUAAUUUUGUUGUUCAGUAAAGUUAUGCAAAAAAAAAAAACAAACAAACAAACAAAACAAAAGUUGUUGUUUCAAAAGAAAAAAAAUAAAAAUAAUAGGUGAAAUCCACCUUGCAACUUCCAAAAAAAAAAAAAAUUCUCUGCAUUUUUCUCAAACAUACACUUUGUUUUCCUUAUUUUCCUUCUUUGUUAGCCAUGUCCCUAGCCUACGUUACGUCCUAAUAAAAGUCCUUCUUGAUUUUAGGGAACUAUAGUUUGAAGUAGAAGCUAGUUAUAUGGGCUAAAAAGAUGUCGUGAUGCAUAAUAAAAAAAAAGAGAUAAAUAAAUUGGGUUGACUAGCAUUUUUGUUUGACUUGAGAUCGUAUUAUUUCUAAGCUGAGGGCAUAUUUAUUUCAUCUUGGUGAGAGCAUGUGAUAUCACUUCUUUAUUAUUUUCUCUCUCAAUUACCAUUCAUUGGAGUGACUAUUUUUAUUGGUUUUAAUUUCUUUGUGAGAGUGUCACUACUUCCAGUGAGAUUUUGGGGUUUGACAUGUCAUUCUUGAAAGUAGCUAUGACAAAGUCUGCUGGGCUGAUUCAUGUGGAUGGUUGAUGUGGGUGUGAUGUUGCUUUAGACUGGAGAUAAUGCUUAUACUUUUAUUUGAUUGCUAUCAUUAAUCUGACGGAAUAAAUACGAAUGUUUCUAUUAAAUAAUAAUAAUAAUAAUAAUAAUAAUAAUAUUUUGAAUUUGAAUUUUGUUUUCGCUUUAUUUGCUAGGGACUAGCAAUAAGCUGGUUGGGGGGUGUGUUGGGCAAUGGUUUGAGCUCGAGUUUCGGUGGUGAUUCUGAUGAUGGGAUGAGUUUCUUCUCUGAUGGUGCUAGUUGCUCAACUCUUGACUUCCAUUUAUUAGUAUCCAUAGAUGGUGCUGAGUCAAGCAGGGCGUUGACCUCAUCGACCGAUCUGUCAAUAUCAAAAUCCAAACCAAAGUGAGUUAAACAUGUUUGUAAAGGAUCAUCGACCGAUCUAUCAAUAUCAAGCAGGGUGUUGACCUCAUCGACCGAUCUGUCAAUAUCAAAAUCCAAACCAAAGUGAGUUAAACAUGUUUGUAAAGGAUCAUCACUAAGGUUUGAAACAAAAGUAUCAUCAACUAAUGCUUCAAUUAAAUCCACAUCAACAAUUCCAUCAUCUGCACUGUGAGGUUGUUUGGCAAUGUUGAAGAUGUUCAGCUCCAUAGUCAUGUUGCCGAAGGACAACUGCAUAUUUCCAGUCCUGCAUUGAAUGUGAGCAUCCGCAGUUGCCAAGAAAGGUCGGCCUAGAAUAAUGGGGAUGUGCUUCCUCAAGUCCUGUAUUGGUUGAGUGUCAAUUACAAUGAAAUCAACAGGAAAAUAAAACUUGUCUACCUGGAUAAGCACGUCCUCCACAAUGCCACGAGGUAUUUGUUAAGUGUUAGAAAAUGCAUAUUUAUAAAGGAGAAAACCGUCAUUUUACAUUUCAAGUCUUACUAACAACCCUUACUUUUAUGUAUUUAACCUUCUUGUGAUUUAAUUACAUGUGUUUUAUUUUAAUUAAGUAUUUUAUGUAUUUUAGGGGCAUUAUAGUCAUUUCACAAUAAAGGAGAGAUCAGACGGCAAAACGGACAUCACUUUUGAACUCAGGACAGUCGAAAACCUUAGGAGGAGCAUAAAAGGAAAAAUGGCACUAUUCAUAUGUACGGUACUAUUCACGUGUACGGUACUAACUACGUUACUGUUCACAACACUGUUCACAUAGACGGAUCGAUGACGUGGCAUUGACCGAUGAUGUGGCAUUGACUGAUGAGGUGUCACGAUCCUGUUGGGCUAAAAUUCUUAUGUACUGUUGAUGGUGACGUGGCAUCAUAUCAGUGGAUGAAAAAUCUCGCGUACGGUACAUGCAUCACACAGGAUUAUUUUCAACCAAACCGCGUUACUGUUCAUCCGAGUCAAACCGCGUCACUGUUCAUCCGAGUCAAACCGCGUUACUGUUCAUCCGAGUCAAACCGUGUUACUGUUCAUCCGCGUGGUCAAACCGUGGACUGUUGACUGAUGACGUGGCGCAAUCCUGAGCGUCUAAACUGUUUUUAAUCCGAUGGCCAUGAUUUACUCCAUGUAUCUAUAAAAAGGGGGCCUCCCCCCCCUAAUUGGAGAUCUCUGAAUCCAUUUUUGAGAUCCAUUUUCUGUAAUUCCUUCUCCAUCUUGUAUUUUCUUCGUAUUUUAAUAAAUUCCCAUUUUGCCCCUAGUUCAACUAUGAGUGGCUAAUUUUCUUUCAAGCUUAGGUUGAAGGUGAAGUCUCAACAUGUGUCAUGGGCUUAAUUUGGUAAAUUUAUUUUCUUUUCCCCUCUAGUUUUUGUGGAUGUUUUGACUUCUCGUCGACAAAUAAUACUAAUCUUGUCUAGUACCGCCUUGGUUUCACCAGCCCUCUAGUACAAGGUUAUUAUUAUUUGGCACGAUAAGCUCUUAGCACCAUAUUGAUUAGAGCGUGGUUCAUGAGGUGUGGAUUCCCCCCUCAUGAUUUAAUUGGCAUUAAUACGGAUUAUUUAGCCCAUGAUGCAUGUUGAUACGGAUCCAGAUACCCAAGUACGUCAUUUUAAUAGAAUUCUCUUCAAUUUAUUCUCGCAAUUUCUAUUCCAAUUUUAGAAUUUAUUCUUGCCAUUUUAAUUUAAGUCUUAGCAUAUUCCAAAUCAUUUCCACCACAAAUCCAAUCACCCAUUUACAAAAUUAAUUCUACACAAUUAAAAUCCACCUCCUCGUGGGAUCGACACUCGUCACCAUUGAUCUAUACUAUAAUAGAUUUGUGCGCUUGCGAGUACAUUAAAAUUUGCACAACAGUAUUUUCGUGGACCGAUCUGCAAGUUGUAACACUACUGGAGUUGGGUGUAAUUCUCCUAGUCCAAGUUUCACAAAUACAGAGUAAGGCAACAGAUUUACACUAGCUCCUAAAUCCAACAAAGCAUUCUCAAUUGUGUGGUUCCCUAUGCAACAUGAGAUAGUGGGGGAGCCUGGGUCUUUGCAUUUUAAAGGAAUUUUAUGUUGGAGUAUAGAACUAACAUUUUCUGUUAAAAAUGCCUUCUUUUGAACAUGCAUAUUUCUCUUUUUAGUACAAAGGUCUUUAAGAAACUUGGCAUAAGAUGGAACUUGUUUUAUAGCAUCAAGCAAAGGGAUGUUAACACUUACCUGUUUGAAGAUUUCAAGAAUCUCACCUGUGGAUUUUCCCUUAUUUCCUUUCGCUAACCUCUGAGGAAAUGGAGCUUUGGGAACGUAUUCUCAUGAGUUGUUUUCGUCUUUCUCCUCCGGUGAUGAUUCCUCAACAUUCACAAGUACAAUUUGAUUUUCUUUUGUCACCGGCAUCUCCACUUUGUUGUCGACUUCUUUUCCUUUUCGCAAGGUCAUGACUGCUUUGACCUCUCCAUGCUGCUGUGGUGAACUGGUACUUGCUUCAUGUACUCCUUUAGGAUUAGGCACUGGUUGACUUGGAAAUUUUCCUUUAUCAAAAGUCAUUGCCAAGGUCUAAACUGAGGAAGCAAGUUGUCCCACCAUCUUCUCGAGGCUUGAAACUGAUUAGGCUUGUGAAUUGAAGCCUGCUCUUAACUCAUUUCGUAGUCCAUCAAUGGUGCGGUUCUGUUGCUCAAUCGUGGAGUGAGUAACAUUCUUGAAAUUCUGGAAUGCAUCCUCCUAUGGUCUGGGCUGAAAGUAGUUCUGGUUCUGAUUGUAUGAUCUAAAUGGGGGCUGAGAGGCUUGAGGAUUUUGAGGAAUUGGUGGAGCUGGAGCUGGAGCUGCUGGUCCAUUCUGUUGGAAUCCUUGAGACCAUGAAAAAUUGGGGUGGUCUCUCCAUCCAGGGUUAUAUGUGUUGGAGUAUGGGUUGUAAUUCGAUGGUUUUCUCAUUACACCUAUGGCAUUGGUUUGAUCUGAGUAUGAGUCAUGGUCAUGUGGUUCUGUUGAUUUAGCUGUUGAUAACGAUGCUAUUUGUCGAGAGAGACCUUCAAUUAUCGCUUUGACUUCUUUAAUUUCUGAACUUGACUCGCCAAUGUGAACCUCAUUCACUCCUUUAAUUCUUCUAGUAUUCCUGAGUGACCGACUCCGUUGUUGGGAAUUAUCCGCUUGUCGCUGGAAGAAUUCCCAAAUCUCUGAUGCACUUUUUGACAUUAGCUCUCCUCCACUUGUUGCCAUUAGCCAUUCUUGCACAUUUGGCAAUAAUCCCUCCAAAAAGUAUUGGCAUUGGUGCCAUUUCUCGUACCCAUGAUGUGGACACUUCAAGAGUAGCCCAUUGAAUCGCUCCCAUGUUUCGAAAAAUUGCUCGUCCUCUCUCUGGGUAAACUCCGAGAUUUCCCUGCGAAUAGCAUUGGUUUUAUGCACUGGGAAAUAUUUAUUCAAAAAUUUAGUUACCAUUUGUUCCCAUGAUGAAAUGCUAUUGGCAGGCAAUGUAUUAAGCCAUGAACGAGCUCUAUCCUUUAAAGAAAAUGAGAAUAAUCUGAGUUUAACAUCAUCGUCUAAAAAAUUCUCGUAUUUAAAAGUUUGACAAAUAGCUUGAAAAUCAUUCAGAUGAUUAUAUGGGUCCUCAUUUUCUAAGCCAUAGAAUGUAGGGAGACAAUUUAGCACACUAGAUUUUAAUUCAAAGCUCCUAGCAGCUACAUUUGGGUAUCUUAUACAUGAUGUGCUCAAAUUAGCUAAAGGACUGAAGUAGUCCUUAAAUGGUAUCUCCUGUGGUUGCAAAUCCAUUUUAUUUUUUACUUGUUUGUGUGUGCGAAGUGUUUUCUCAAGUUCAAGGUCUAUAGGUUCAAGAUUGGGUAAUAAUGACCUUCGACCAUGCAUGCAAAACAAAUAAAAUAAAAAAUAAAGAUGGGAACAAAAUAAAUAAAAAUAAAGAAGAGGGAGAAAUUACGAUACUAACCUUAUUGCGCUAUUACAAACUUUCUAUAAAAAUACACAAAAAUAAAUACGUGAAAUAAAUUAACUAAAAAGAAUUAGUAAGAUAAACAAAAAUUACAAAGAAAAAAAAAUAACUUGAAAAUUAAAUUACAGAAAUUUAAAGAAGAGAAAAAGAAAAGAAAUUACUAACCUCUAAAUGCGGAUUCACUUUUUUUUUUAAUAAAAAAUACAAGAAAACAAAUAAAAGAAAUUAUUCACAAAAAAUUAAUUUUACGAAUUAAAAUUACUUACCUCCCCGGCAACAGCGCCAAAAACUUGUUGUGCAAAUUUUAAUGUACUCGCAAGCGCACGAAUCUAUUGUAGUAUAGACUAAUGGUGACGAGUGUCGAUCUCACGAGGAGGUGGAUUUUAAUUGUGUGUAGAAUUAAUUUUGUAAAUGGGUAGUUGGAUUUAUGGUGGAAAUGAUUUGGAAUAUGCUAAUACUUAAAUUAAAAUGGCGAGAAUAAAUUCUAAAAUUGGAAUUGCAAUGGAGAGAAUAAAUUGAAGAGAAAAUCUAUUAAAUUGACGUACUUGGGUAUCUGGAUCCGUAUCAACAUGCAUCAUGGGCUAAAUAAUCCGUAUUAAUGCCAAUUAAAUCAUGAGGGGGGAAUCCACACCUCAUGAACCACGCUCUAAUCAAUAUGGUGCUAAGGGCUUAUCGUGUCAAAUAAUAAUAACCUUGUACUAGAGGGCCGGUGAAACCAAGGCGGUACUAGACAAGAUUAGUAUUAUUUAUCGACAAGAAGUCAAAACAUCCACAAAAACUAGAGGGGAAGAGAAAAUAAAUUUACCAAAUAAAGCCCAUGACACAUGUUGAGACUUCACCUUCAACCCAAGCAUGAAAGAAAAUUAGCCACUCAUAAUUGAACUAGGGGUAAAAUAGGAAUUUAUUAAAAUACGAAGAAAAUACAAGAUGGAGAAGGAAUUACAGAAAAUGGAUCCCAAAAAUAGAUUUAGAGAUAUCAAAUUAGGGGGCGAGGCCCCCUUUUUAUAGAUACAUGGAGUAAAUCAUGGCCAUCGGAUUAAAAACAGUUUGGACGCUCAGGAUUUCGCCACGUCAUCAGUCAACAGUACGCGGUUUGACCACGCGGAUGAACAGUAACACGGUUUGACUCGGAUGAACAGUAACGCGGUUUGGUUGAAAAUAAUCCUGUGUGAUGCAUGUACUGUACACGGGAUUUUUCGUCCACUGAUAUGUUGCCACAUCACCAUCAACAGUACAUAAGAAUUUUAACCCAACAGGAUCGUGACACCUCAUCAGUCAAUGCCACAUCAUCGGUCAAUGCCACAUCAUCGAUCCGUCUAUGUGAAUAGUGUUGUGAACAGUAACGUAGAUAGUACCGUACACGUGAAUAGUACCGCGCAUAUGAAUAGUGCUAUUUUUCCUUUUAUGCUCCUCCUAAGGUUUUUGAUCGUCCUGAGUUCAAAAGUGAUGUCCGUUUUGCCGUCUGAUCUCUCCUUUAUUGUGAAAUGACUAUAAUGCCCCUAAAAUACAUAAAAUACUUAAUUAAAAUAAAACACAUAUAAUUAAAUCACAAGAAGGUUAAAUACAUAAAAGUAAAGGUUGUUAGUAAGACUUGAAAUGUAAAAUGACGGUUUUCUCCUUUAUAAAUAUGCAUUUUCUAACACUCAACACUUAUCCUUAAGGGAUUCUUGUGGGGAGGUAGCUGGCAACGUCUUUUUCUUUUUCUACAAUGGGCUAGUGGGAGGAGUUGCCAUUGGGGCAACCUGUUUGGUUGACACAUAUCUGGUUCUUUUUGGUUUUGGUGAGGCUGCGGCAGCAAUGCCUCCAGAAGUGCCUCCCUUUCUUUUGGUAAAUCCUCUAGGACUAACACAAACAUGUUUAUUGAGAGUUUGCUGUGAAGGAGCUGGAGCUGGGGCAUUAGUUGCAUGUCCCUCAGCUGUGAUGGUGGCAAUGAUGUCAAGCAGCUGCUUAGCUUCUGUGGGUGUACGAGUGACUUUGGUUGCUGCAGCUUCCAACUCUACAUCAACUUGCUCAGCUUCAUCUUCAGAGGCAGGAGGGGUAGCUAUUUUUUCCUUGCCCUUUCUAGAAAUGACUGGAAUAAAGGGCUCCUCUUCAGGUUCAUCUUCUUUCUCUUCUUGGAUAAGGUGUUUUUUUCUAGAUUUGGAGGAGGUCCUGACUAGGGUUCCUCACGUUCUUUCUCAGACUCUUCCUCUGCCUCUGUUGGUGAACUAUCAGUUGCAGAAUUGUCACCCUCUUCCUCAUGUUGGUCAGAUUGUUCAGCAGCUUCUGAGUUAGCCUCUGCUUGUGGGUUUACUGCAGCUUCCUCUUCUGGUUCAUCCAUGUCAGUGGCUUCUUUACUGACCUUUGCUGGGGCCUCUAUAGUGUUGGUGUCAAAAUUAUACUGCUGGAGCAAUGAAUCGGGGAAAUUCCGGUGGGUACUUUUCAUGUAUAGAGAAAAUUAGUGUAAGUGGCUUUCCAGGUGCUGUAAGUAGCUCCAAAACCGAUCGUUUUCCCUCUGCUAAGCCUCAGUACAUUGAGUGAUGCUAGUGCUCAGUGCUUGUAUUCUCUGAUAGUUCACCAACAGAGGCAGAGGAAAAGUCUGAGAAAGAACGUGAGAAACCCCAGUCAGGACCUCCUCCAAAUCUAGUUCACCAACAGUUUGUCACCCUCUUCCUCAUGUUGGUCAGAUUGUUCAGCAGCUUCUGAGUUAGCCUCUGCUUGUGGGUUUACUACAGCUUCCUCUUCUGGUUCAUCCAUGUCAGUGGCUUCUUUACUGACCUCUGCUGGGGCCUCUGUAGUGUUGGUGUCAAAAUUGUACUGCUGGAGCAAUGAAUCAGGGAAAUUCCAAUGGGUACUUUUCAUGUAUAGAGAAAAUUAGUGUAAGUGGCUUUCCAGGUGCUGUAAGUAGCUCCAAAACCGAUCGUUUUCCCUCUGCUAAGCCUCAGUACAUUGAGUGAUGCUGGUGCUCAGUGCUUGUAUUCUCUGAUAGUUCACCAACAGAGGCAGAGGAAAAGUCUGAGAAAGAACGUGAGAAACCCCAGUCAGGACCUCCUCUAAAUCUAGUUCACCAACAGACUUGUCACCCUCUUCCUCAUGUUGGUCAGAUUGUUCAACAACUUCUGAGUUAGCCUCUGCUUGUGGGUUUACUACAGCUUCAUCUUCUAGUUCAUCCACGUCAGUGGCUUCUUUACUGACCUCUGCUGGGGCCUCUGAAGUGUUGGUGUCAAAAUUGUACUGCUGGAGCAAUGAAUCAGGGAAAUUCUGGUGGGUACUUUUCAUGUAUAGAGAAAAUUGGUGUAAGUGGCUUUCCAGGUGCUGUAAGUAGCUCCAAAACCGAUCGUUUUCCCUCUGCUGAGCCUCAGCACAUUGAGUGAUGCUGGUGCUCAGUGCUUGUAUUCUCUAUUCUAGCCCAAUAGCUCGUCUCGCUCAUGUUGCAGCAGCUGGUUUAGAUGUGGCUCCAGCAGUUUCACCAGCAAUUCUCUCAAUAGUGCGUGCUGUAAGGGCACCAUCAUUCUUGACAUGUUCAUCUUUUGCAUCAAGACAAACUCCUGAUACUACACAGAUGCUGGUGAAGAGUGAAGGAAAUAGCAAGGCAGCACCUUUGUGGUUCUUCAUGGCACAGUCCCAAAUUUUAUUUUUCGAUAAUGCUUCCCACAUCUAUGGGAAGCCCUCUAAUAAUAACAUACAACAAUACCAACCUUUCUUAUGAGACAUUAGUGGUGUGGGUGGUUGGCAUAAGCCUGGAUUUCAAAUAUUUCACCUACACCUUAGCAAUGGGUUUUAAAUCUAUCUUGUUAAUUACAUGCCCUUCCUCAUUAGCCCACGAUGUACCCUUUACUGUAAGUGUCGUGAAAAUUGUGUUCCAUCUUUGCGGGGUCAAUUUGUCAAGCAACUUGGCAUACUCACAAUUAAUUUCAGCAGGUAAAUUAUAGAAAGCAUUUAUAACUCGAGAGUCUAAUGGAACAAGUGAGUUUCUUACCCAAGCAUUGUGCUGACCAGGGCUUACCAAAUUGGCGUAAAAUUCUUUUACAACUGGCAGCAUAGGGUCUCGAGGAUGGUUACAAAACUCUAGCCACCCACGCUUUGCUACAGCAUUGUGUACUGAUUGCACAAUUCCUUGGGUUGAGGUGGGAAUUGAAACCUUUUUUCUUUCAGAAUUUUGCGUGGUUCAAUGAAUUCUUCAUAUUUUUCUUCCGCAUCGUAACUUUGGAAGCGUGAAGGAUCUUUUUGUCGACUGGCUGUCCUUUUAUACCUUGGCAUUGCUAUAGCAGUAAGAAUUCGAUGGUAAUAUGCCUGAGAGUAAAAUGAGAAGAAUGAGUUAAGAAUUAUUGGAGUCGUGAUUUCGAAGGAGAGGGGAAAUAGUGUCAGAAGUCACUAAGCACCGUAACUCCCUUUUAUAGUUGAAAUUAAAUGAAAAUAAAUCCGGUAAAGAGAGAUAAAUUAGGGAAGAAUAUAUUUUAAAUUCAUUAAGCAUAUCCCAUAAAAAUAGGCAAGAGAAAUUAGUGCAUUAAUUUUGAAGAUUUUUCUUCUUCAAUUUCUAUCCAAAUUCAUUCAUCCAUCUGGCACAUGUUAUCCCCAACGGUAAGUGAGAGGCUCCCUCUUUAAGUUACUGUAACGGUAAUAUUGGUUGUUGCAGCACCCAAUUGUUUGCUCUAGUAAUGGUUACAUAGUCUUCUCCAAUAGCUGCUGACACAUGGCUUGCCACUGUACUCUAUUAACAACACAGCCCCAAUUGUUGGUAUGGAAUCCAUUUUUCACACACGUCUCGUGAGAGUUUCAAAAAUAAAUAAGACCAAUCCUAAACUACAGAGAAAACCAAUUUUAAAAGACAACACAUAAAAGUUAAACAAUCCUAAAUAAAAGAAAUAGAAAUAAUUAACGGAAAUAACAUAAAUAAAAAUUAAAAUAAAGUAAAUUAAGAGGAAAAAAAUAUUUAUUAAAACCAAGGAUGAUCCUUCUUGUUUGAGGUGAUUGCCUCCGCAAUGGGUUGCCUCCCAUUGAGCGCUUGAUUUAAGGUCCUUCAGCCUGACCUUUCUUGAGUGUUCAUAAACUCGGUUCUUUGAAGAGUAAGACCUCCUUUGAGCAAUCCGCAGCUGAGUGUAUGUAAUGCUUAUCUCUGUGCCCAUUGACUUGGAAUUCCUGGCCUGUCUUUUCAUCUAAGAGAUCAACAACCCCAUGAGGAUAAAUUCUGAGCAGCUUGAAGGGUCCAGACCAUCGAGAUUUCAGUUUCCCUGGAAAUAGUUUAAGCCUCGUAUUAUGGAGCAGUACUAGUUGACCAGGGAUUAAUUUCCUUGGUUGGAUAUGUUUGUCAUGCCAGUGCUUUGUUCUCUCUUUAUAAAUUCUUGCAUUUUCAUAUGAGAACAUACGUAAUUCAUCAAGCUGACAUAGUAGAAGCUUCCUUUGCUCUGCUGCAGCAUGUAUAUCUCAAUUUAAUUGCUUCAGUAUCCAGUAUGCUUUAUGCUCUAGCUCAAGUGGCAAGUGACAAGCUUUCCCAUACACAAUUCGGUAGGGAGACAUGCCAAGUGGUGUUUUGUAUGUUGUUUUGUAGGUCCAUAAGGAGUCAUGUAAACGCAAGGACCAAUCCUUCCUGGAUGGAUUCAUCACUUUUUCUAAGAUUUUCUUAAUCUCUCUAUUAGACACUUCUGCUUGGCUAUUUGAUUGUGGGUGAUAUGUUGUUGUUACUUUAUGCCUGACUCCAUAUUUUACCAUAGUCGCAGCAAAUACUUUGUUGCAAAAAUGAGUACCCUCAUCACUAAUAAUUGCUCUUGGAGUGCCAAACCUGGAAAAAAAAUUUCUGAAGAAAGUCCACUACUGCUUUAGCAUCAUUGGUAGGUAAUGCUGCAGCUUCUACCCAUUUGGAGACAUAAUCCACAACAAUCAGGAUAUUUAAGUUCCCAAAGGAUGGUGGAAAAGGACCCAUGAAAUAUAUUCCCCAUACAUCAAAGACUUCUACUUUCAGAAUGUUUGUCAAUGGCAUUUCAUGUCUUUGAGUUAUUUUUCCUGUCCUUUGACACCUGUCAGAACAUUUAGUAAAUUCAUAAGCAUCUUUAAAAAUAAAAGGCUAGUAAUAACCUGAUUGCAGAACCUUAGCAGCUGUUCUGUGACCACCAAAAUGUCCUACAUAUGUUGCAGCAUGGCACAAUUCCAGUAUAUGAGGAAUCUCUCCCUCUGAAGCACAUCUUCGUAUACUUGAUCUAAGCAUAACUUAUACAAAUACAGGUCAUCCCAUUGGUAGCUUCUAACAUCAUGAAGACAUUUCUUUUUCUCUUGAAACUUCAACUCAGGUGGUAGCAAUCCACUUACUAAGUAGUUAGCAAAAUCUGCAUACCAUGGAGGUCCUGCUUGCUGCAACAUUUGUGCUUGCUGUACAACUAACAGUUGUUCAUCAAGAAAAGUUUCAGUGAUGUCCUUUCUUGUCAAUGUGCUUGUUUCUGCUUCUAGGCUCGACAGAUGGUCUGCUACUUGAUUCUCAGUCUCCUUUCUAUCUUUAAUUUCCAGAUCAAACUCCUGAAACAAUAAGAUCCAUCGUAUUAAUCUUGGUUUAGCAUCAUUCUUUGAGAUUAAGUACUUUAUGGCUGUAUGGUAUGUGUACACUGUCACUUUAGUACCCACCAAGUAAGCUCUAAAUUUAUCAAAAGCAAAUACUGAAAUGCAAGUAACACAACCCAAGAGGGGGGGUGAAUUGGGUUUGUAAAAAUUAUGCAAUAUAAUUCGAACAACAAAUCAAUCUAACGCCUUAAUGAAAUAGAGAACAAUAAAUUCAAAUAAGCGUAAACAUAAAAGAGCAAGGGAAGAGAAAAACAAACAUGCGGAUUUUUACGUGGUUCGACAAUCCCCGCCUACAUCCCCGCCUCUAAGCCAACCAAUCUCGAGGAUUUCACUAUCCAAGCCUCCCAAGGCUUCAAGUUCUUAUAAUUGACUUGCAAGGUGUCAAUGAACCUUUACAAUCAAGAGAUUAUCUCCCCAAUCUAUUCACCCUAAGUGUUUCCCACACUUACACACUCACAAUUUGAUAAGAAAUGAAAAUUAUAACAAAAAAACUCUCUCUAAGAGUGGAUAUGCAAAUAAUAGCUCAACAAUGAUUCAAUCUAUGAUGAUUUGCAUUUUGGAAGCUCAAUAUAUGCUGUAUGAUCUUAUAUUUGCUUGCAUUAGUCCUUAGAAUGAAGUUUGAGUUGACUUUUUAUAGUUGAAGCACGAAAACUAGCCGUUAUAGGCAAAUUCCCGCGCCCAAGCCGUUAGCCGCUUGAUUUAUCCGGCUAGCCGCUCAGAAACAGUGAUAUUACUGUUAUUUUUUAAUUUUGCUACAGUAAUACUGUUCACUAAAAUUACAGUUUGGCUUAAAAUUUUUUGUAAUUAUACUAACGCCCAAAAUGUUAUAAAACUUUGCAAAUAAGUCCAAUUUCAGAACUUCCGAAGAGUAGUUGUCUUUCCCAAACUUUCUAAAAUUAUGAUAUGACCGCAAAGAUUUUAUUAUUUCGCACAAAGGUCCUUUUCAACAUAAUACCCAUAUUUUUCAAAGUUCUCAAAACCUUUCACUUUAGUCCAAAAUAUUCAUAAAUUAUAGUAUGGCCCAAAACAUUUCAAACGUUUGUAAUAACGUCCAACUCCGAAAUUUAAUACUUAUUUAAAAUCAAAGAUUUCAAAACUUAGCAUUUAAGUCCAAAUUACUCAAAUCCACAAAAUACUUUACUUUAUAAAAAUAAAACCUUUUAGUUUAUGAAAAGUAUUUAAUUAAAUUAAUCUCUUGAGCUUCUCAAAUGCUAAAUCAUGCAUCAAUUAAAUCAUACCGGCUUUACAAGAAUUUAUCGCACUAAUUUGUUCGUUGAGCUCUAAACUAUAUUCUUGAUGUCGCCGUUGUCCGUUGAGUGUCUUCAAUCUUGAUUUCACUUGAUUCACUUGCAUAAAUAUUAUCCUUCAAAAACUAGUGAAAAUGUGAAAUACAAUAUUUAUUAUUUUUACUUAAGACCCAUGUUUGUUAUCAUCAAAAUUACAUUAUGUGUAGCCUUUUAGGCUAACAAUCUCCCCCUUUUAGAUGAUGACAAACAUCUCAUGUAUUUUGACAUUAAACUCCCCCUCAAUACAUGGCAUACAUGACUUCAACUUAUAAAUCAAAUUUAAGAAUAAAACUCCCCCUAAAUAUAUGAUCUAUUACAAUUUGUAAACUCCCCGUUAAUAUUUCAUAACCAUGCACAAAUAGUUUAAGAUUAAAAUACAUAUUAUAUGUCUCUGUAUUCAAAAUACAUGAUCUCUCCCCCUUCAUCAUCAAAAUUACUAGAAAUUUAUGCCAAUUAAAAAAAUAGAACCAAAAUUACAUUAUCAAAAACUUAUCAUAUUUAUUUCCCCCUAAAAAAAAUAGAUAUAUGCAAUUUGAAACAAGAUCAUCAAAAAUAAUUAAAUGAAGAUAUACUCAUUGUGUGCGAGCAAAACUUUCGGCAGAGUCUCCCCUUAAAAAAGAACAAAUCCUCAAAUACAUAAUGUGGUUAAAAACACUUCCAUAUAAGCUUAAACAAGUAUAACAAACCAACAACUCCACCAAGUCAUCAAGCAACACAUAAGAAUUAAGCAUAUAAUAACCAAUCCGAAAACAUCAUCCAAAUAUAACAUAUCCGAAGAUCAAAUAACAAGCAUCCUUAAUCCACAAAUUAAAAACAACAUAUCCAAAUAUCAAACAACAAGAUGUCAUCCGCAAAUGAAAUAUAACAAUGCAUGAAGAAAUGUAGUGCAGAGUGACAAAUAAAAAAAGAUAGAGUGCUAAGGAGAUGGUGGAUGUGAUGAAGAGGAUGGUGGUGGAAAUCCAAGAGCUGCAAAAAGUUGCUACUGGCCAUCAAGAAGCUGCUCUUGUUGAGCAAAGAGACGCUCUCGCUCGAAAAUGGACUGAAGUUGAAAAGCUUCAAGCAUAGACUGAAGUUUGUCUUGCCGCUCAGAAAGUGAAUCCACUUUAGUUAACAGCUGCUGUAACGGAUCCUCAGAGUCAGCUGAAAUUGAGUGGGAAGGACCCUCGGAAGGUGGAGGUCGUGAGAGAUAUGGAGCACUAAGAUUAGGAAGCAAGUGUGGGGGACAGACAUCGUUAAAGAAACGAUGAUCUGUAGGAGCAAUGUCCCCAACCUUUUUGUUUCUUUCAUCUUUAUGCCAUUGAUCAUCCCUCCAAUAAAAACCCAAAUUAGCAAUUGAUUAAUCGCCUAAUUCCCUCGAAUUCAAGGAGAUUGGCUCAGUUAUAGGGACACGGAAAUACUCUAGAAGUCAGGUAAUAAUACUAGCAUAUGGAAGGGAUCUUUUGGCUAAGUUGGGAGUACUAAGCAUGUGAUGAAGGAUAAUAUACCCAAUAUUUAGCACCCUCUCCUCUAGAAUACAAUCCAAAAUGGCUACAUCUAAACGGCUAACUCCAUCCGCAUGACCGGCCCUAGGAGUAAUCACAUGAUGAAGAACAUAAUGAAGGAUUCGAGUUUGAAGAUGUAAGGCUUGAGAUUUCAAAGGUGAGUUACAGAACGCAGUGGACAAAUCAUGCCGUAGACAAAUUUUUCGAACGGCAUUUUCAAGUGAGAACCAAGGUUGUUUGAUUUUGGCUCUAGCACUAUAUAGUACCAAUCCCUCAUUUGGAGUGCCAAUGAUAGAAUUUAGCAAAGCAACAUCAAAUUCAAUAUGAACUCCCCCAACAUUAGUAACAAUUCUAUUCGAAACUUCCGUAUCCAUAUUCGAAUAGAAAACCUUGACUAAAUUUUCAUAGUAAUGUUCAUUAACAACCAACACAUUCUUCCAUCCCAUAGCAAUAAGUAAAUCUUUAAGAGAUUUAUCACAAAUUUCUAAAUUCUCCAUAUUUCUGAGAUUGACAAAAUAAGGAGUAAUGACCGACCUUGGCUUGAAAUGGUCGAGAAAAUGUUUCCGAAGUUGGAGUUGUGGAAAAUGAAUCAACAUAAAGUCUGAAUAAUCUCCAUGAUCAUCCUUACGCUUCUUGGCCACGUGUUUUCCCUUGGACUUGUCACCACCCCCAUUGUUGGAAGAAAAAAGAGCUUAAAAAUGCAAUUUCGGGUUUAACAAAAAUUGAGUGAAAUGGAUAUGUUUGAGGCAAGAAAAUCAAUCCUAGAGAUGAAUGAAACUAAUUUAUGAUGUAGAUUGAAUUAAAAAUGGGCUAAAGGAAGCUUGAAAAUGAAGAGAGAGAAACGGGUUGAGUGAGAUUUUUUAUUUUGGGUUUUAUGUGGAGAGUUGAUGAAAUGAUGUUUUGAGAGUGAAAAUUGAAGGAGUAAUGGAUGAAUAAUAAGUUGGAUGAUUGAUUUUAACAAGAAAAUGAGUGAAAGAUGAAGAUAUUUGAGAAAGAAAAUGAAGAACACUAUUCACGCGUGAAUGGAAUGAGGAUGGAAUGAUGAAGAACAAGUGAAGAAAUCAUGAUGGAGAUGUGUUUAAUGAAGAUGAAAUGCAUGGGUAUUAGUUUGAAUGGUUGAUUUGGGCAUAAAAAUGGAUGAAAAAGGAAGAAAUUGGAAGUGAAAAUGGAUGGGUUGUUCACGGUUUUGAGUGAAGGAGAAAACAAGUGCAGAAAAUUAAAAAAGGAAGAAGAAGAAGCAAAAACAAAUUGCCAAACCCGUGACAAAGCGGCUAGCCGCUUGCUCUCGGGUUUGGGACAGUUUUCCAAGCGGCUAGUCGGCUAGCCACUUGGAACAGGCGGCUAGCCGCCUGGUUGCUGUCCACCUGCACGCUACUUGCUUUCCGGCUAGUUUUGAUCAAUUCCGUGACCAUUUUGUGAUCCUAAAACAUCUCAAGAGCCAAUUUAAUGCAUGAUUCAAUAUUUUAAACAUCCAAAAGAUGAUUAAUUCAAACUAAUAAUCCAUCCAACAAACAUAUAUUCAUGAAGCACAUAAGCAUUCAAAAAUUAAUAAAUCAAACACCUCAUAUAUCUAAUAUGCGCAAACAAUUCAUAAACAUUAAAAACCAUCAAGCAAACAAUUUUAGUAGAUUCAAUAACAUAAAUAGAGAUGUUAAUGCGAAAAUUUCAUCAUCCCAAGUUCGUGCCAAAUUUUUGAAAAUUGUUCUUCGCAAAGGUGUUUUGUAAAAAUAUCGGCAAGUUGUUUUUCCGUAGAGAUAAAUUCUAAUGCAAUAUCACAUUUUUGAACAUGAUCUCUCAAGAAAUGAUGUCUAAUCUCUAUAUGCUUGGUUCUAAAGUGUUGAAUGGGAUUCUUUGAAAGAUUUAUGGAGCUAGUAUUAUCACACUUGAUAGGAAUUUGUUCAAGAUUAAUACCAUAGUCUCUAAGUGUUUGUUUCAUCCAAAGUGCUUGUGCACAACAACUGCCUGCGGCAAUAUAUUCUGCCUCAGUAGUUGAGAGUGCCACCGAAUUUUGUUUCUUACUAAACCAUGAAACAAGUGAAUGACCUAGAAAAUGGCAAGUUCCACUAGUACUUUUCCUAUCAACCUUAUAACCGGCAAAAUCGGCAUCCGAAUAACAAGUUAAAUCUAUAUGAGUUCCUCUAGGAUACCAAAGGCCAAUAUCUAUGGUUCCACUCAAAUAAUGAAAAAUUCUUUUAACAGCAAGCAAAUGAGAUUCCUUGGGACAUGAUUGAAAUCUUGCACACAAACAUACACUAAACAUGAUAUCGGGUCUACUUGCGGUUAAGUAAAGUAAAGAUCCGAUCAUACCUCGAUACUUUUUAAUAUCAACCUCUUUAUCAUCUUUAUCAAGCUUGAUUGUUGUACUCAUUGGAGUAUUCUGGUGUUUGAUUCAUCAAUGCCAAAUCUCUUGAGCAAGUCUUUGACAUACUUAGCUUGGUUGAUGAAGAUCCCCUCAUUGUUUUGUUUGAUUUGAAGUCCAAGGAAAUACUCCAAUUCUCCCAUCAUGCUCAUCUCAAAUUCCUUACUCAUACAAGAGGAAAAUUCUUUGCACAAAGAUUCAUUAGUAGAACAAAAAAUAAUAUCAUCAACAUAAAUUUGAACAACAAGUAUAUCUUGAUUUUUAUUUUUAAUAAAAAGGGUAGUAUCCGCUUUUCCCAUCGAAAAACCGUUAUCCAACAAGAAAUUUUUAAGCCUAUCAUACCAUGCUCUAGGUGCUUGUUUUAAUCCAUACAAAGCUUUUGAUAACUUAUACACAUGAUUUGGAAAUUUUUCAUUUUCGAAACCAGGGGGUUGUUUCACAUAAACUUCCUCCAUAAUAUAACCAUUUAGGAAAGUACUCUUGACAUCCAUUUGAAAUAAAAUAAAAUCUUUAUGGCAUGCAAAUGCUAACAACAUCCUAAUGGAUUCUAAUCUAGCUACAGGUGCAAAGGUUUCAUCGAAAUCGAUUCCUUCUUCUUAGUUGUAUCCUUGAGCCACUAAUCUAGCUUUAUUUCUUACAACCACACCGGAUUCAUCCAUUUUAUUUCUAAAUAUCCAUUUAGUGCCUAUAACGGAUUGAUGUUCCGGUUUAGGAACCAAUUCCCACACUUUAUUUCUCUCAAAUUGAUUUAACUUCUCUUGCAUUGCUAUAAUCCAAAACUCAUCAUUUUCAGCAUCCGUAAAAGAUUUGGUUCAAUUUGAGAAAUAAAUGUAGCAUGCUCACAUGUGUUUCUAAGUGAUGAUCUAGUUGUAAUACCUCUUGAAGGAUCACCUAAGAUUAAAUCCUUAGGAUGAGAGGAAAAAUACCUCCACUCCUUGGGGAGUGUUUGAGAAAUACCUUCUUGUUGCUCCAGCUCCAUAUUUGAUUGUUCUUCUUGUCCAUCCUCUUGAUUUUCUUGUGGUGCAUUCUCUUGUUUCUCUUUUGAUGAUUCUUCUUGUAACUCUCCAUCUGCAUCAUCAUUAACAACUCCUUUCUCCACGGAGGAGGGGUUAGAUUCAUUAAACGUAACAUGCAUGGAUUCUUCCACAACUAAAGUUCUUUUGUUAUAAACUUUAUAAGCUUUGCUUUAGUUUGAAUACCUGAGAAAGAUGCCAACAUCAUAUUUUGGAUCAAAUUUACCAAGAUUAUAUUUUGUGUUUAAAAUAAAACAUUUGCAUCCAAAAACUUUGAAAUAACCAAUGUUGGAUUUUCUAUCUUUCCAAAGCUCAUAGGGAGUUUUAUUGAGAUGAGGUCUAAUCAACACCCGAUUUAAAACAUAACAAGCGGUGUUGACGGCUUCGGUCCAAAAAUAUUUUGGUAAUGCAUUUUCAUUUAACAUGAUCGUAGCCAUUUUUUGAAUAGACCUAUUCUUCCUCUCAACAACUCCAUUUUGUUGUGGAGUCCUAGGUGAUGAAAAUUGAUGCUCAAUGCCAAAAUCAUUACAAAAGUUUUCAAAUGCAUGAUUUUCAAACUCUCCACCAUGAUCACUUCUAAUACAAGUAAUAGAAUAACCCUUUUCAUUUUGAACAUUUUUACAGAAAAUUCUAAAUGCAUCAAUGGCAUCAUCCUUAUUAGCUAAGAAUAAUACCCAUGUGUAUCUAGAAUAAUCAUCUACAAUUACAAAUGCAUAAAAUUUUCCACUUAAACUAGCAUAUCUUGAGGGUCCAAACAAAUCUAUGUGAAGUAAUUGAAGAGGUUUUGAAGUAGAGAUAUGAUUCUUGUUUUUUAAAGAGGUUUUGAUUUGUUUUCCAAAUUGACAUGCUUCACAAAUUCUAUCCUUUUGAAAACCAAUUUUUGGAAGACCUUUAACUAAAUCAUUUUUCGAAAUUUUUGAAAUUAAAUCCAUGCUUGCAUGUCCUAGUCUUCUAUGCCACAACCAACUAUCAUCAUGCAAUGCCGAAAAACAUUUAUCAUGAGUAGAUGCACACUCUAUAUUAAUCGUGUAAACAUUGCCACGUCUAUUUCCCAUAAACAAAAUUUUCCCAUCACAUGCAUUCUCAAUAACACAACUUGAUUUAUCAAAGGCAACUUUAUAACCUUUGUCACAUAAUUGACUAAUGCUAAUCAAAUUAUGUUUCAAAUUUUCAACCAAACACACAUUUUCAAUUAGAGUUGAAGAAAUUUUACCAACAUUUCCAAUUCCGAGAAUUUUUCCUUUUGAGUUAUCUCCAAAGGAUACAUCUCCACCAUUUUCGAUUUUGGUGAAACUUGAGAACUAUGCAUAGUUUCCAGUCAUAUGCCUAGAACAUCCGCUGUCCAAGUACCAUUUAUUUUUCUUUUUCUUCAAGCCCUGCAGAGGAAAUCUUAUGUCUUAGGUACCCAAACCUUUUUGGGUCCUUGAGCAUUAGCAACGGUUCCUUUUGGAACCCAAAUACAUUUGACACCAUAAUAUGCAUUCCUUUUUACGGGACAUCUAUAUUUCAUGUGACCAUUUUGAUUACAAUAAUGACAAACACUCUUAAAAAUGAUCACUUGUGGAUGUAGCUUUAACAAAAUAAUUCUUGUAAUGCUUUUGCUUCAAGUUAGACUUAUACCCAAGUCCUCAUUUAUCAAAAACACAUAUUUGAGAAUUAAACACGUUAUCCAACAUCUUUUGCCCAUUUGUAAAUUUUAGAACAACAUUACUAAGUUCAAUAUUCUUUUUCUUGAGCAUUUCAUUUUCCUUUUUCAAAUCAUGUACAUGUGACUCUAAAUGCUCAUAUGAAGUGCUAGGUUUUUCAUUUGAUAAUGCAACUCUAUUAUGCAAGGUUUUAUUAUCUAAUUCUAAUCCUUUAAUCUUCUCAUUCAAUGACUCAUUGUAUCUUUGCAUGGCAUCCUUUUCAUUUGUAAAUUCUAGCAAUUUCUUUUUAAGGCAUGCAUUCUUUUUACCAAUUUUCAUCAACUCAUCAUGCAUUUCUUUAAAAGCAUCAUACAAUUCAUCAUAGGUUAGAUCACUUACCUCAUUAAGAUCAUCAUUAUCUCCUAGUGCCAUAAAUGCUAGGUUUGAUACUUCUUGCGACUCUUCUUCAUCACUUGAAUCUUUGUCGCUAUCAUCCCAAGUAGCAACCAUAGCUUUCUUCUUGAGUUUGUUGAGAAGUGGGCAUUCCGAUCUUAUGUGGUCGGGCUUUUUGCAUUCAUAACAUAUGAUUACCUCUUUCUUCUCCUUUUGGUUUUUGAAGUUUCUAAAUUUCCUUCGGUCAUCGGUUUUCUUGAAAAAAGUUUUGAACCUCCUUGCUAGCAUAGCCAACUCCUCAUCAUCCGGCUCACUUUCCCCAUCACUCUCAUAUUUUGUGGCUUUGAGAGCAAUAUUUUUCUUCUUUUCCUCAUUUCCUCUUUCGGCUGCCAAAUCUUCCUCAUAAGAAAUAAGAGAACCAAUUAAAUCAUCAAUAGGUAAGAUAUUCAAAUCUUUAGCUUCCUCAAUGGCAGUCCUUUUUGGUCUCCAUUCCUUAGGUAAUGACCUAAUAAUUUUCUUAACUUUUUCGCUAUUUGAAAAGGUCUUUCCUAGGGCUCCUAGAGUAUUUACUAUGUCCGUAAAUCUAGUAUACAUAGAAUAUAUACUCUCAUUUUUUUCCAUUUGGAAUAAUUCAUAUUACCGAGUGUACCUACUAAUCUUAGACUCUUUCACUUGAUUCAUGCCUUCAUAAACAACUUCAAGUUUGUGCCAAAUUUUAUUAGCACUUUCACAACUAGACACUCUAUGAAACUCUUUCUUAUCGAGUGCACAAAACAAGGCAUUCAUGGCUUUGGAAUUUAGAGAAGCUUUUCUCUUUUCCAAUUCAUUCCAUUCCCGUGAAGGUUUUGGAAUGUCUUCCCCGAAUUCAUUUUUAGUCAAAGGCAUAAAUGGACCAUCACAUACAACUUCCCAAAUUUCAUAAUCUAGUGCUUGUAAAUAAAUUCUCAUCCUAGUUUUUCAAUACGGGUAGUCAUUUCCGUCAAAGAACGGUGGCCUAGUUGUGGAUUGUCCUUCCCUAAAGGUUGAAUCAUUUUGGGUUGUCAUGGAUCUUUUACUCUAGACGGUUAAGUCCUAAUAAGAGAACCAAGCUCUGAUACCAAAUGAAAUGCAAGUAACGCAACCCAAGAUGGGGGGUGAAUUGGGUUUUUUAAAAUUAUACAAUAUAAUUCGCACAACAAAUCAAUCUAACGCCUUAAUGAAAUAGAGAACAAUAAAUUCAAACAAACGUAAACAUAAAAGAGCAAGGGAAGAGAAAAACAAACACGCGGAUUUUCACGUGGUUCGGCAAUCCCCGCCUACGUCCACGCCUCCAAGCCAACCAAGCUUGAGGAUUUCACUAUCCAAGCCUCCCAAGGCUUCAAGUUCUUACAAUUGACUUCCAAGGUGUCAAUGAACCUUUACAAUCAAGAGAUUAUCUCCCCAAUCACUUCACCUCAAGUAUUUCCCACACUUACACACUCACAAUUUGAUAAGAAAUGAAAAUUACAACAAAAAAACUCUCUCUAAGAGUGGAUAUGCAAAUAAUAGCUCAACAAUGAUUCAAUCUAUGAUGAUUUACGUUUUGGAAGCUCAAUAUAUGUUGUAUGAUCUUAUAUUUGCUUGCAUUAGUCCUUAGAAUGAAGUUUGAGUUGAGUUUUUAUAGUUGAAGCACGAAAACUAGCUAUUAUAGGCAAAUUCCCACGCCCAAGCGGUUAACCGCUUGAUUUAUCCGACUAGCCGCUCAGGAACAGUGAUAUUAUCGUUAUUUUUGAAUUUUGCUACAGUAACAAUGUUCACUAAAAUUGCACUUUGACCUAAAACUUUUUGUAAUUAUACUAAGGCCCAAAAUGUUAUAAAACUUUGCAAAUAGGUCCAAUUUCAUAACUUCCUAAGAAUAGUUGUCUUUCCCAAACUUUCUAAAAUUAUGAUAUGACCGCAAAGAUUUUAUUAUUUCGCACAAAGGUCCUUUUCAACAUAAUACUCAUAUUUUUCAAAGUUCUCAAAACCUUUCACUUUAGUCCAAAAUAUUCAUAAAUUAUAGUAUGGUCCAAAACAUUUCAAACGUUUGUAAUAACGUCCAACUCUGAAAUUUAAUACUUAUUUAAAAUCAAAGAUUUCAAAACUUAGUAUUUAAGUCCAAAUUACUCAAAUCCACAAAAUACUUUACUUUAUAAAAAUAAAACCUUUUAGUUUAUGAAAAGUAUUUAAUUAAAUUAAUCUCUUGAGCUUCUUAAAUGCUAAAUCAUGCAUCAAUUAAAUCAUACCGGCUUUACAAGAAUUUAUCGCACUAAUUUGUUCGUUGAGCUCUAAACUAUAUUCUUGAUGUCGCCGUUGUCCGUUGAGUGUCUUCAAUCUUGAUUUCACUUGAUUCACUUGCAUAAAUAUUAUCCUUCAAAAACUAGUGAAAAUGUGAAAUACAAUAUUUAUUAUUUUUACUUAAGACACAUGUUUGUUAUCAUCAAAAUUAUAUUAUGUGUAGCCUUUUAGGCUAACAAAUACUAUUGCUAGCAACUCUUUUUCUGUAGUGGUGUAAUUAAUCUGAAUUUGAGUAAGAGUUUUACUUGCAUAGUAUAUAGAUUGAAAAAUCUUAUCCUUCAUCUGCCCUAACACUGCCCUAAUAGAAUGGUCACUGGCAUCACAUAUCAGUUCAAAUGGUAGAGUCCAAUCUGGUGAUAUAACCACUGGUGCAGUGAUCAAAGCUUUCUUUAACUCUCCAAAAGCUUGCAGACAGUCUUUAUCAAAAUGAAAAGGCUUGUCAUGUUCCAGCAAUGAGUAUAAUGGUUUAGCUACCUUAGAGAAGUCUUUAAUGAAUCUUCUGUAAAAUUCAGCAUGGCCUAAGAAACUCCUAAUACCCUUGAUUGAGGUGGGGGGUGGCAGUUUAUCUAUCACUUCUAUCUUUACUUUAUCUACCUCAAUACCAUUCUUGGACAACUUAUAACCCAACACUAUGCCCUCUUGCAUCAUGAAAUGAUAUUUUUCCCAAUUGAGUACUAAGUUAGUCAUCUCACAUCUUUUAAGAACUUCUUCCAAGCUAUGUAAACAAUCAGUAUAUAUCUCUCCAAAAACUAAGAAAUCAUCCAUGAAAACUUCCAAUGUUUGCUCCACCAUAUCAUAAAAUAUAGACAUUAUACAUCUCUGAAAAGUUGCUGGAGCAUUGCAUAAACCAAAUGGCAUCCUUCUGAAGACAAAAGUUUCAUAAGGACAGGUAAAUGUAGUCUUUUCCUGAUCCUUUGGAGCUAUAGCAAUUUGGUUGUAGCCUGAAUACCCAUCUAGGAAACAAUAGUACUAUUUUCCAGCAGGUCUGUCCAAUAUCUGAUCUAUGAAUAGGAGUGGGAAGUGAUCAUUCCGUGUGGCUUUGUUGAGCUUCCUGUAAUCCAUACAUACCCUCCAUCCAGUCACUAUCCUUAUAGGAAUAAGUUCAUUCUUCUCAUUUGCUAUCAAUGUUAUUUUUCCCUUCUUUGGAACACAUUGGACUGGGCUCACCCAUGAGCUGUCUAAUAUCGGGUAUAUGAUUCCAGCAUUCAACCAUUUGAUGAUUUCCUUCUUCACAACUUCCUUCAUAAUAGGGUUUAACCUUCUCUGUUGCUCCACUGAAUUACUGUAACAGUCUUCUAACAGAAUUUUAUGCAUGCAUAUGGAUGGGCUAAUCCAUUUGAUGUCUGCCAUAGUCUAUCCAAUUACUCUUCUGUAUUUCCCAAGCACGUCUACUAGGCUCUAUUCUUGACCUGCAUCCAAAGUAGAUGAAAUUAUUACAGGGAGUGUGUUGUUUUGACCAAGAUAAGCAUAUUUCAAAUAGAUGGUAAAGUUGUUUUUACUUCCCUGUCUGAAAGAUUCAGAUGCUCAACAAAUCUGUUAUGUCUAUCAGAUUUCUUUCCCUCCAUCCAAUCUAUCUGGUUUGCUGCAACAUCUUCUUCUUCAAAGCUCUCAAAUGUGGUAACUUUGAUGAUCUCAUUACUGCAGUAUCUGUCGAUUCUGUCUGCUACAACAAAAUCCACAACACUCAGGAAAUUGCAAUCUUCUGCUUAUCAGGUUUCUUCAUAGCCUCUAAUACAUUAAAUGUAACUUGCUGAUCAUUCACUCUCAUUGUUAGCUCUCAUUUCUGCACAUCUAUCAGAGUUUUUCCGGUUGCUAGGAAAGGUCUUCCAAGUAUAAUGGGUACUUCUUUAUCAGCUUCAAAGUCUAAAACAAUAAAGUCCACUGGAAAGAUGAAUUUGUCAACCUUCACCAAUACAUCCUCAAUUUUUCCUUCAGGAAAUGCAUGAGAUCUAUCAGUUAAUUGUACAGUGACUGUUGUUGGCCUGCAUUCUCCUACUCCCAACUGCUUAAAUACAGAUAAUGGCAUCAGAUUAAUACUGGCUCCCAAAUCACAAAGUGCUCUGCCAUUAUACCUAGUUCCAAUGGAACAUGGUAUUGUGAAGCUUCCUGGAUCCUUCAAUUUUUGAGGAAUCUUACUUUGGAGCAUGUGACUGCUUUCCUGUAUUAAAGCAACCAUUUCAAAUUCUCCCAAUCUUCUCUUUCUUGCCAAAAUGUCCUUUGGGAAUUUCACAUAAUUAGGCAUUUGCUCCAAUACUUCCACAAAAGGGAUGGUAAUGUGUAAUUGCUUCAGCACUUCCAAGAAUUUACUAAACUUCUUGUCUUGUUUUUUUUUUUGGAAUCUUUGUGGGAAAAGAGGUGGCUGCCUAAAUUGCUGAGUAGCUUCAGGAAGUGCCAAUCUCUGCUCAUUUGGUUUGUUAUAAGCUGUUACCAUUGGUGUUGCAACUUUUUUUUCAGCAUUUAUUGGUUGAUUCCCUUCUAUAGUAACUGCAGUUUGACCACUAACAUCAGUAUCUUGAUGGCUGGAUUGUUCUAACAUACUCUCCUCUUAAGGUGGUUCUUGUGAGGAAUUAAGUUCCACCCAUUUUUAGUCAUAUUAACAAGAAUAUCAACAUUAUUUCCAGAUCUUAAGUUGAUGACCUUGCAAUGUUCCUUUACCUCUCUCUUUAGAUCUUCUGUGUUGCUGGGCAAGCUUCCUUAAGAUCUGUUACUCAUUGCUGUGGCAAGCUGACCAAUUUGGUUUUCCAGAUUUCUUAGAGAUACGGCUUGACUUUGCACAAUUGCUUCAUUCUUUGCAAUGUAUUCCUUAAUCAGUGUUUCUAGUGAAAUGAGAGGAUUAUGUCUGGUGUGUUUUUGCCCUUGAUUUUACUGAUGAAAACCAGGUGGUUGAGUAUUUCUGUUCCGUCCACUCAAUGCUGGAGCAUUUUGAUUCUGAUUACUCAACGAGAAAUUUGGGUGUUGCUUCCAUCCAGGGUUGUAAGUAUUUGAGUAUGGGUUGUUUUGAGGCUGUCGGUUGUAAUUACCCAUAUAAUUUACUGAUACUGGAUUUCCAGGACAGUUAUCAAAUUCAUGUUCUUCACCACAGUACACGCAAGACAAUUCAGCAACUUGCUUUACUACCGCUGGAGCAGAUGUCAUGGCUUUCACCAUGUUAGUCAAUGAAGUUACUUGUGCUGAUAAAUCUGUAAUUGCAUCUAUAUUAUGUACCCCUACUGCUCCUCUUGCUACUGGCUGUCUAGUUGAUGGCCACUGAUAAUUAUUUUUGGCAAUUCUCUCCAAAAUUUCAUAAGCUUCAGUGUAAGAUUUGGAUAACAAGGCUCCACAAUCUGAAGCAUCAACCAUCAAUCUCGUACUUGGAUUCAAUCUGUUAUAGAAAGUCUCCAAUUGUAUGCAACAAGGAAUGCCAUGAUGAGGACACCUUCUGAGCAAUUCUUUGAAUAUUUCCCAAGCCUCAUACAAAUUCUCAUCUUCAAGUUGAUGGAAAGAAGUGAUCUCAUUAUGCAAUUUUGCAUUUUUUGUUGGUAGAAAAUAUUUCAUUAAGAAUUUAUCGGCCAAUUCAUUCCAUAUAGUGAUGGAAUCAGAUGAUAAUGAAUUCAACCAUGCUCUUGCUCGAUCUCUUAAGGAGUAAGGAAAAAGCCUUAGUCUUAAAGCAUCUUGUGUUGCUCCAGCAAUUUUAAAAGCAUCACUCACUUCCAAAAACAACUUAAGAUGGAGGUGAUGAUCUCCAUUUGGCAGUCCAUUGAAUUGACCCACUGUUUGCAACAUUUGAAACAUCAUUGGCUUCAGUUCAAAGUUUGCGGCUUCCACUUCAGGUCUGAUUAUCCCAAGGUGUACAACUUGAGGAGUUAACACAGUAUAAUCUCUGAUAGCCCUGUCUCUGUCAUUUGCCAUGUAAAUGAUAUUAUUGUUGCCUGGCUAUCUCUGGUUAACAUGCUUAUUCUGCUCCUCUUGAAUGUUGACGGGUUGUAAUGGCCCGUGAGGGUCUAAAUUUCCCAUAUCCUGCAAAUUAUCCAUGUCUGAAACAUUUUUUGAAUUCUUUUGUUCUCUUCGCAGUCUCCUUACAGUCCUUUCAAUCUCAUGAUCAAAUUGGAACACAACAUACCUGUCUUUGCGCUUGCAAGUGUUGAUCUGUUAAUAAAUAGAACAAAUCAAAUCAAAUUGGCACUAUCAAGACUUACUUCACACUUCGAAAAUAAACAAUCAAUCCCCGGCAACGGUGCCAAAAACUUGUUGGUUAAUUUUUAAUCAAAUGAUAUUGAUGCCAAUGUGCAAGUGUACACAACAAGUAAUAAAGUGAUGAAUAUUCAAGAUUGUCUCCACACGGAUUGAUGUUACCAGAAAUGCUACAGCAAUCACAAUAGUGCAACCUACCUUUAUUUUGAAUGAACAAAUGUGAAGUUGUUUACUACCAAAAUUUAUAAUUGUGAGAAAAUAAAACAAAAUAAUGUAGUGAUGAAAUAAAGUAAAUAAAUUGCGUAGAAUGAUCAAAUGAGAAUAAGGUAGUUAAAUGAUCAAACUCUCUUUAUGGGUUGACUGCUUUUCAUCAAAUUAACACCAGUUGCUACAGCACUGGGCAGAAUUACUUUGCAUCCUCAGCUGUCACGUGUUGGAAUUCUCAUACCCUUAAGUAUCUUAGCAAUGACCAGUUGCUAUUCUACCUUCGGCAUGACAUUACGAACAUCUAUUCUCUCCACCCUACAAGGUGAGUACUUAUGUUUAGUUUGUCACAAAUCUUAACUUCAAGUAUAGUCCUUAUGAUAUUCAAGAUUAACUUAAUCCAGGAAACUCGAAUUAAGAUCAAGUAUUACUCUAAUAAUAUCCACUAAGACAUGCCCUUUUGCGGCUCUAUCUUAACUUGAACCAUUAAAUGGGUGGUCAACCGAAAUAACAAUUAUAAUAAUAGCUACUAAAGUAAAAUGCUAUAGCAAUUAUAUAGCAACUCAUAAGAACAGUCAAGAACCCAUUAGAUUGUUUGUCAUUCAACUACAAGCAAGUUUAGUUCAUAUUUUGAAAGAGAAAAACAAACAGCAACAUAUUAGACACGAAAUACAUUAGUUCAAUCAAAGAGUGAAGAAAAGAAUAAGUGGAGAACGACAAAAAGUGAAUUCAAAAUAACUCUACUGGAUUCUUCAAUGAUGCAACAUUGGUUCCCUUGAAUUUUGAUUUUCUUCUUCUUUUUCUCUUGAUUUUCUCAAUGUUAAUUCCUUGUCGCCAUUUUAUGUGAUGCGCGCCCCUUUUUAUAACUGAAAACUAGGGUAAACAAAAGCCUAAGGUGUACAUGAGUCAAAUUAGGAAACUGCAGAUUGCAAUUCUGCAGCUAUCUCGCACUAAUUUUUCUCCCUCAUUGUUCUAGGAUUGCUACAGCAAUGGUUGCUCCAACAACGGCUAUAACACUGCAUUAUUCUAGGUUGUGUUUCACUUCUUUUGUGGCCAUAUUCUUUCUCCUUCUUGCUAGACUAAUGCCUCAGCAUCCCUUCAUGGAUUAUAAACUUCUGAAAACCUACAAUUAUGCACAUGUUUCAAACACAAAUUACUUUAAAUUAAGCAAAACUUAUUAAGACUAAAUUAAAAUGGAUGUUUAUGCAAAACAUAAACAAAAUGUAAUAAAAACACAUCAUUUACUCUCUAAAUGGUCUUGAUAAGUCUAGAAUUACCAUAAUAACUCUCAUUUCAUAGAGUUAUCUGUAACCAAUAAAAGUAGAUGAAAGCAAAGAGAGAAAGAAUGAUUUAAGAAAUUAGGGAUUUUAGAGAUAUGAAAAGUUUUUGCCGCCACAUGAUUUAAGAACGCGUGCCUUGAGGGUGUUAUAACAGCCCGUUUGAAAUAUAAAUGGUUAGUCUGAAUGUGUGCCACAUCACACGCAUUUAAAAACAAUGUGACUCCUCGAAUGAAUGGACACCAUCAACCCAUGAAUGCAAAAAAUGCUUUUGGCAGCCUCCUGCUAUAGAGUCGAGCAACCAGGAAAGUAGGUCGAAAGGAUACAUAUUAAGUUUCUAGUUUUGAUUCGUUUAACUCUCAACACUAGAAACUAGGGGACUGUUGUUUAAGGAAGAAAAAACACCGCGACUAAGAUAGCGCGAGCAGAACAUGCUCCCCUGGGCUUAAGGGGAGGCUGAGGCGGAUUGCACGAGUACAAUAGGCCUGAGAGGGUGUGAGGAGGGGACAAAAUUAAGUCAGAUCAAAGACUUGGUCAAAGGUCAACAUGCAGAUUACCUCCAAAGAGCUUAACCACAAAGCCUACUCAACAAUCGUUGUAACAUGUAGGUUAUCUCCAAGGGGCUCUGACACGAAACCCACUCAACAACAAUUAUGUUGUUUAUUUACCCAUGAUUGUAUUACUAUGCCAACAAUGAUCGUGGGGAAGAGGAAGCCGAUAAUUUUAGUUGGGUAUAAAAGCUACAAUAAACGAAAGUAAAGGGGGUCAGACGAUUUCUGACUGGACUUAAAAAAUACUUUCUCUUUCUCUCACCCUCUUGAUAAUUCUAUACUAUGUCUAUCUUUCUCUCUGAAAAUUUAGCUUCUCAAUUUAAAGUAAAUAUAGUUAAGCCACGAGUUUAUGGCAUAAGUUUUUUCAAAAAAGGCUCGAUUACUGACUUGAGCAUCCAAAGGUUUUCACCGGAAAAACAUUCAACGCCCCUCUAACUGGAUAUUGUGAGUCCAGGUUAUCCAGAGUGAGUUUGUGGUCGACAUUAUCUAUUCGAGUGGGAUAGCAGCAAUGCUGAGUCAUUUCCCCAACAAACCAAAUUUAAACGUUGACGUGGACACCUAGUUGCAACUCUAUUGACCAUAUUCUUGCAUUAACACUCAUGUUCAUCAUCAUGUUCAUCCACGCUUGUAGAACUUCUACCAAAACAUAAAAGAGCUUUAGAAAACAUAUUUUGACAACACACAAAAGUUUAAGGCACCUAAAUUUUUAAUACCAAAUAAUUACUAAUUCAAAUGCUUAAAAAUACAGACAAGUAAAAAAGUGAAACUCACUAAGGCAUGUUUUUUACAGCGCAUGCAAACUGAGACUCCGCUAAGAGUGUGUCGACAAAGGAUAAAGAAGUGCAGGGAGAAGAAGAAGAAGAUGAUGAUGAAAAAGAAUGAACUAAAACUUUUAUAAGAAUGAAAGAGGAUGUUUUUAUUGGGUUCUGGGUUUUUGUUUUAUGAGUGGAAAUAGGUUAUGUUGGUGGGUUAGCUGUUUGUACAGAAGACAUUUGAAGGAAUAACCCAAUGAGAAGAACUACAUUGCUACUCUGCUUUACUCAGAUAGUUGUUUAUCUAAGGGUGGGUCUUCGACUCACAAAGGACUCAAAUUAUUUAUUUUCUAUCGCAAUUUAGUUCCCUCCCUUCUAAGUAGGAAUAAAUAUCUGGAGUAAACAUUUCAUCACUAAUCAGUGUUGAUCUGCAAGCUCUCUAAACUAUUAUAACAAUUCAAGAAAACUAUAAUUAUUUAUUAACAUAAAGCGGCAAGUCAAUUGGAUUGGAUUGGAUUGGAUCUAAUAAUUCAAUAUUGUUUCACCUUCACACACAUUGACAAGAGCUAUUGCCACCCUAUAAAACUUUCAUAAAACCGUGCCCCGAAAAAGAAUAGAGUGGAGUUAUUGGCACCUCUAAAAGAAUUCUUGUAUUUUCAAUUUACAUUUUUAACUUUAAUCAAAUCGUGUUUGACAAUUCAUCUCUCUUCCUCUAGCCUUACAUGGGUUUUAUUUUUAUUUUUAUUCUUGAAUUAGUGGUUUCUGUUGGAUUGAAAUUUUUAGUUCAUUAUUUUCAAAUUAUGAAAGGCUUAUUUUCUUUUACCAUUAUAGCUCUUGAUUUCAUUGAUUUAUGUGUCCAUAUAAAAGCACGUAGAAUUGUCACAUUCAAAGCAUUAGAUGAUAUUGGAUUAGCUUCUAUCAAUCUUUUUGAAUAUAAAAGAAAUAUUUCUUUAUUAUUUUUUCUCUCUCUCGUACUGAAGUUAGUGAGAACAUUUGUUGAAUUAAAAUAGCUCCGCUCAAGAGAAUAGCCUAGAGUAUUUCCUAUCUAGUUUUUAGAUUCUAUUUUUUACUGGUUUAACUUACUUCAUAGAAAUAGUUUGAUAUCUUUUCCCAUGGAAUGAUAAAAUAAAGUAAUAAUAUGAAUUCUAUCUUAUGAGAAUCAUAUAUACAUAUAAGAAUAAGAAUAAAAAGAUGGAAAAAGAAGUUCAAAGAAUUCUAAACUGAAAAGUUGAUUCUUAUGGACAGAAAAGGGCUUUUAAUUAAAUUGGAGAAAAAGUUUUGUAAUAAAAGAAUUUCGUUUUCAUAUGAUUUCUCAAGAAAAAAAGAGUAUAUAAGGUUAUUUCUGAAAUUAACAUAGGUGUUGUUAAAAGUAAAGUGAUUUACAUAUGUUUUUAAGAGUCAUUUAGAAGAGAGGUUUUAUGAGGAGUUUAAAGUGGUGCUAAUAGUAAUGGGUCAAAAAGAACAUCCAAAAGAUACUUGUAAUGAAACAAAAAAUAAUUAAUUAUAUUUUACAACUCAAAAUACGCUAGAAGAUCUUUAAUAUUUCUUAGUUUACUCUAUGUUACUAUAAGUACAUAAAAUGUUUGGCUGAUAAAAUGGGGCAACCACAAUCAAGCUUUCCUUGAAGCUUCCUUAUGAUUGCCUUGUCACUUAAAACGGCCUGAAGGAAAUUUGGCGAGGAGGAGUAGGCAGGAGGUAGUUACUUCGAACAAACCUAGUCAAAACAACAUUUCCACUUCAUCUGGAAACCCAGGGACUUAGUUUUAUCCACAAAACCCACAACUCCAUGAUCCUAAAGAGUAAAGAAAAUGGACUUAUAUCCAAAUAACUCAUCAUCCUAGAAUUUAUGGGAGAUGAAGGAGGAGCCCUAUCCAAAAACCCACUUCACUGAGAUCUAAGGGAGAGAGAUUUUCAACUCCUAUAAAAUUCCCAAAGGGCAAAAGGAUAAGGGUCCAUAAUUUGAAUACCCUGGACCCUUGUUUAAUAUUUGGAAAUUCAAAGAUUUAUAUUUGAUUUUCUUUACCCCUUUUAUUUUUUUAUCAUCAUCCCUUUGUAUCAUCAUCUUUUCUUAUUUAAGGGAGAGUUUCUUCUCACUUUUCUCUUUUUGAUUCACUUUGAUUGAUUUAUUUUAGGUAGACAUUCAUAUACUCAAUUAUCCCACGAAAAUCCAUGAUACUGACUUGAGCAAGGUUAACGUUGAAAAACCUUUUGGCACCCCAGACCAUUCUUUUUGUUGCAAGUACUCGCCAGGACAACACCAUGCUUGCCAAUUCCUGCUCAGACUUGUCGAAUACUUGGUUGCCAACUUUCAUUCAAGUUACUAAAUUGAGGUUAGAAACUGUCUAUCCACACGAACAAAUUCAAAUGCUAGCGUUGGAAUCUGGUAGGUAGCCCACACACUGACACAACUAGAUUUUGGGGUCAACAUAUAACAAAAUAAAAUUUAUUGAUUGGUACCUUAUACUUGAUAUAAAUAAAGUAGAAAAUCUUCCACCUCAUAAAAUAUAUGGUAUAUGACAAAGUUACAUCUAAUUUUCUGCAUGCAUAUGGAAAAACAUUAAUUAUUUAAAUUUCUAAUUUAUCAUAUUGAGGUUUGAUUUCUGAAUUUUUUAGUUGUCAAAUGGAUUAAAUUUUCCCCUAUAAACAUUGUCUACAGAAACUCACGAAUCUAAACAAACCAAACCAAUAUUGUUUGGUGAAUGAAAUAAUGUGACCCCAAUAAGGUGUUUGCUCAGACGUCAUUGUACUCUCCUCAAAGUAAAAAGCGAGCAAAUAGUCGAUAGGCUAGCAGGAGAAAAUUCUAGUGACCUUGAGUAGACCACCUUGACCAGGUGCUUAUUUUGAUGAUCUCGAGUAGAUUACCUCGACCAUGAUGUUAUUUUGUGACCUCGAACAGAUUACCUCGACCAGGAGGUUAUUUGAUGACUCAAGCACAUCAUCUUGACUAGAAGAUGAGUCUGGUGACCUUGAGUACGUCACCUGGACCAGAAGGCAAUUCUAAUUACCUCGACCAGAUAAGUUUUGAAGAGACAUUGGACAAAGUCACCAAGAAGCAAGACAAAGUCAAAACUUCUCUGAAAUACUAGGGACCAUAUUCUUAGUGGCCUAAAAAUUAGUGGUCUUCCUUAGAAUUCUAGAAGGAGGAUUCAGCCAAGUGGAUAACAUCCAGUUUGGGGAUUGGUACUUGGUUUUAUUUUUUCAAGCUUUUGAUCUCUGUUUUUGUUUGAAAUAGAAAUUAUUUAUUUUGAUUCUAGUAAACCUAUAAACUGACUUGAGCAUUGAAGGGUUCACAUCGAAAAAACUUCCAAUGCCUCUUACCAUCUUCUAUGAUUUUAGGUGUUCGCAGGUUAUUUAUGAGUGGUCGCAGGGCAUUCUUGACGAUUGGCAAGCCCUUUCACCACUAAAUAAAUUUAAUGCUGAUGCAAGGAUAGGUAUUGAGUCACUAACCAACUCAACCGAAUUUCGGCAUCAACAUACUUUAUUAAUAUUUUUAUCCUCAGACUCUCGGUUUUGCACUUCUGCUUACUAAUACAUUAUGGAACUUAUAUCCACAUUUUUCAUCACUCUUUUGCUGGCCUCAUGUUUGUUCCUUAAUCUUCUCUUCCUCAUCUUUUCACAUCAAUGCAUGCAUAAUUAAUUAUAAUAUGAAGGUAUUAGCAUUAAGCUAAUUAAUUGUUUGGCAUUUAUAUAUACAGGUGUGUUGUUUUAUAUUUCCAUGCCAGUGCUCAACCGGAAUCAAAAGUAGUCACAUGUAAAAGCAAUGCUGACUAUGACAAUUGCAAAAUUCGUUUGAAUGUGAUCUUGAUACCCAAGGGCAGAUUUAUUAUAAGACCAGUGGGGACUUAAGUCCCCACUAGAAAAAAAAAUCUUUUAAUAAUUAAUUUAGUUUGCCUAAAUUCCCAACAAAUUUCUCUCAAGCCCGCAAUACAUAGUUACACUUAAAUUCUUACGCUCUAAAUUUUUAAGUUCAAAUCAAAAGAGAUGGGCUUUGCAAACUAAAAUUAAGCCCAUAAAUAUUAAUAUUAAUUUAAUUUUUAGACAGCCCACAAACUCAUUACUAAUUUUUUAUUAAUCUUACAUUUUCCAAUUCCACCACUAGUCCAACACCCAUCAAAAAUCCCUAAACAUCUUUUUAUGUUGGUUUUAUGUCAAUUGUUUACAUAGAAAAAGACUUAUUUAAUAAUAUUGAUAAUGAAGUUCUAAUGCAAUGUAUCAAUGUAUGACAACUCGCAAAGGACAAUUGUAAACAUAUACUGAAGUAUUAUAAAUCUUUCAAAUAUAUAUAUUUAUUACUUUUUGAAUUUUUUUUAUUUUGUCAUUGAAUAAGCCCCCCAGUCAAUCAAUAUGUUGUCUCUGCCCUUAUUGAUACCCAUCUCUACGUUUGUGUUCCUGGCUAAAAUUCGACGUGUUGUUGAAGAAAUUAAAGCUUGUAUUGCAAGUUCUAGUGAUAUUUUGGAUGCUGAAUUGCAAAAUUUGUAAUGUUUUUUGCAAUCUUUGUUUUAUUUCUUACAUUAUACUCUCUCCGGAUAUGCAUAUUAACAUUGUGUACAAAAAUUUACAAACCAUCUCCAUGUGAUUGGUCCUAUACAAUGUCGUGCUAUACAUUUGGAGAAGUCUCUAAGACUUGGAAUUAGGGAUGGCAAAACACUGGGUUUUAUUAGCCAAGCCAAGAGCCUGAAGUUUACAUUCUAUAUUUUCUAAAAACUUUUUUUAUUAUAUUUUGUAAAUUUAUAGUGUAUAAAAUUUAGUUUUGUUUUGGUUAGAUUAGGCUUUAAAAGUUGGACUUGAAUGAUUUAAAAUUUUAAAUAUAUGUAAAUGGAUUAAAUAUAUGUUAAAAGUUGUAUUUUAAUUAAAAUAUAUAAUAUAUAUUUUUAAAAUUUUUAAGUAGCUUUUGGGCUUUCGAGUUGGACUCAGGUUUUUUUUACAAAGCUCGAGUGCAGCCACAGUACUUAGAAAACAUGCUCUAGUUGGAUUGGAUUUUUCUGCCAUUCCUACUUGGAAUUCGAUUAUCAUUGAUUUCAUUAAUUGAUUGUUAUUUUUUUAACAUUAAGGACCACUACUAGAAAAAUAGGCUUUACUGACACCAAUUUAGUGUCAGUAAUUACUUUUACUGACACUUGUUAAUUGUGUCAGUAAUGCUUAAGCCAGAACACACUGACACUAAUUUUUUGUGUUAGUGAUUUUUGUGUCAGUAUCUUGUGUCACUAUAGUAUCACCACAAUAGUGAUACUAUGGUGUUAGUAUCAGUUGAUACUAUUUCUAUGUCAGUAUUUUGUGUCACUAGAGAGUCACAAGGAUGGUGACUCAAUCGUGUUAGCAUUUAAUGAUACUAUUUACAUGUCACUGAUUUAUGUGACUACAAAAUCAGGAAUCCACUGACUCAGUAACAUCAAAAAUUCUUAUCGUCAUUUAAAUAAUUAGUAUGAGUAUUAACGGUGCUAUACCGGUUGUGUUUUAUUUUUUUUAAUCACAUUAUUCCUGUUUAUUUUACAAUUAAAAUAAACCCAAAAUAUAUUAAACAUACCAAAUCUUGUAAUGCAAUUCACAUAAUACACAUUUCAAAUACAUCAGUUAAAUUAAAAUAGUUCAAAUACAUCAUUGUUUGGGGGUAAAAAACAAGUUCAAGUACUAAAUUAAGCUUUGAACAAGUAGUAUACACGAUAAAGUACUAAAUUAAUUUUGGAAAAUUUAGCCAAGAAGAAAAAAUAGAUAACAAUGUCAUUGAUUUUGGAGUCACUGAUUUUGGAGUCCGCAUAUGCCUUCAUUUUUUUUCCACCUACAAGUAUAUAAAAUCAAUUAGCACAACACAAAAAAUAAGUCUUGUAUAUUUUUAAGGAAAAAUAAUCAUAAAUUACUUGUAUGUCACCUCACGAUUGUAGGCUGUAAUUAACUUGGCAACGUAUGUAGCCCACUGAUCACGAAGUCGUGAGAGGUCCUUGACAGUGUAUUCCUCAACUCCCUUGAACUUUAAUUUUAAAACAACAAGUUAUUCACCGAAAAUCCUUGACUAAACCACUUAAUUAUCAUUCAUUUAAAUAUAUUUGUGUGUUAACAAUUAAAGCCAACAAAUAAACUCCAACAAUGUUACUAUUUUAUCCAAAAUUAUAUAGGUAAAUACUGAACAUCCUGAUCAUGGUAAUUCCAAAAAAAAAAAAAAACAACUUGUGAACCCCAACAGCAACAAUAUUUGAUAGCCGAAGCAACUUGUGAACCCCAACAGUACGCGAUUUAAUACAAAUAUGGAUGUAGAUACAAAACCUUAAUUAGGAUGACAACUUAUCCUCAUCAAAGUAAAGUACAAGCAACGACACCAUAGCACAUCCCCACUAACAACUACUUUGCAACCCAAACAAUUGUUUUGUGUUGGGAUAUGCAGUACAUUGUGUAUAUCCCAAAUCCUAAUUCAUGUCUAUAUGGAUAUUCAUAUAAUCUAUUCAACAGUAUGCAACAUAGUCACCGUUAUAAGUACCCUCACAGUUUAUAAAAUGCAUAAAAUACGCAAUAAAAAGAUAACUAUAAAGAAGCACACAAUAGGUGUUUGAGCUGAUUCAUUUCACAAUAAAUUAAAACAAUAUGAUGCAGUAUUGUAAAAAUCGUUUUCAAUACUUACAUUAUUUUUCAGAACGUUCACAUUUGUGAUGAUAUCUUGCAUGUAUUUCAUCAUAUAGUAACCACAUUCAAAGUUGCUCGGCUGCCUCGAACACUACAGGAUCAAAAUUACAUUAAUUUUUUACUGUACGUUAACAAUAAUUAGUUAGGUUUGUCUGAUUUUUACCUUGACAGGUAUCCAUUGAACAUUGGCCUUUGCAUCAAAAUUUAAACUCUGAUGUAUUCGAAUCCCCCUACAAUUAAGAGACAUAGCAAACGUUAGCAAAUAAUUAGCAUAAGACAUAAAAAUAAAACAGCAUGAUCAAAGAUACAAAUAACAAACUUAACUGAUUGACAAUCUGCAUUAGCUCUUCAUCAGGACUACCUUCCAAAGGAUCAAGAUAAUAGGUUGUACGUCUCACCAUAUCAAUUGCCAAUAACACCCAGUGGGCACUAAACAAAGUAAAAAUUGUUCUCACACAUGAAUUACAAGUAAAAGUUUUUAACUUCAUGAUUAAUCUACAAAUUAAAGAAUAUAACUAGCAAAUGAAAAAGGUUAUACCCAGGGUUAUACGAGAAUACGAUGACUUGUCCCAAUUCUGCCAAGCCUAACAGUUUUGAAAUGUAUUGAGUCUUGUCUUUGAAGCUGACCCUUGGAUAUAGCUUCUCAAAAAGCCCAAACGGAACUGGUUUAGUACUUUCAUUGCUCUCCGUCUCCUCAUACAGGUGUCUAAGAGGAAACAAAUAUAUAUAAUGAAGUAAGUUUGAAUAUAGGAAACAAAAUAAUAGGGCCAAGUUUACUAAAACAUAAGUUAUAAUUUACCGUACUUGAUCCAUAUGUUAAUGAUGCAGUUUGAGACCUCUUUAAACUCGAUGAUUUCAGCACAAAUCAUUUUUUCCAAGUGUGUUUCCCAAAUUUCACCAAAGGUUGCUGUGUCAUGCCGAAUCCUGAUCAACCGAGGUAAAGAAUUCUCGAUGAACAUGGUAAACAUGUUCAUAUAUUCACUCCUGUCAUUCUUUCUUGAUCGUGCUGCUGCCCGUGUAUUCUUCACACGUACAUUGAGGUCUUUUACUGCUGGUCUGAUGACUCAGGGUUCUUUUUUGGUUACUUCUGCUGGUCUGAUGACUCUGGGUUCUUUUUUUUUCUACUUCUGCUGGUCUGAUGACCAGUGGUUCUUUUUUGGGUACUUCUACUGGUCUGAUGACUAGUGGUUCUUUGUUGGGUACUUUGUCAUGAUAGGAGAACUGCCUAUCUAGUACUUUAGAAGUUAGUCUAGGAGAUCUUCUCGGUGUGGGCUUUGAAGUAAUUUCACACUCUACUUUUUCGGGGGUUUGUUGAGGAGUUGCUUGAGAAAUUGUGGUGGGACUGUCCUUGAUUUUACUCUUCACAGAUUUUGGAGUCGACUUACCCGAUGGGAAAUCAGCCUAUGCAAUAAUCAAAAUACAUACCAUUAGUAGUAAUACAUGCAUAUACAAAUAGAAAUAAAAUAAUGACAUGUAACAGGCCAUAUACCUUUCUUUUUCCAAGAGUUUCAGGGGAUUGUUGAUCAUUGUCAAUCUGAACACCAGUGGAAGUUUUGGGCUUAGGAAAGUUAGAACUUCCAACUUCAGUAUUGCUGUAUGCAUUUAACCUUGCAUUCAUGCGUUCUAAUUGAGCAGACAUGAAUUGGAAACUCUCUUGAUACAUCUUUCUUUCUCUUGCUAACUCAAUGGCAUCAGGGACAUGAAAGUACAUAGAUGGGGUGACGAAUUGCCCCACUCCUUACACCCUGCUUCCAUUUGGCUGCUUCUGAAGAGCUUCACCUAGAAUGUCAUGUGACCCUUGUGAUUGGAAUGUUCCUUGUUCAACCUGACUCUUCAGCUCAUUCUACAAAAAAAAAAUAUUGUAAAUCCGCAAUUACGAGUACAAGACAUCAGCUAAAUUAAAAUUCAUAAGAAUUAAGUAUACAAGUGACUUACUAUUUUCUCAGCAAUUGGCAUCACAUCAGAAGCAUAUUUACCAUCUCGGUCUGCUCGUGCCAUUAACCAAGCUUCACUGCGAUCAAUCUCCCGCUCAGAAACUCCACUCUCUUUUUUCUGUUACAAGGUGACAUAAAACAUAAAUAAUUGGUUCUAUUAUAUUAUACGUAUUAGAUUACUUAUGUUACUGUAAUUACUUCAUAUUACCACACUUACUUUUCUAUACAACAUGCCACCAUAUCUUGUGCUACCCAAGCGAUGGUUGUAGACAUUCUUUGCUCUUUUGUCUUUUGCCUUCUUACUUUUUUCCUGCACAAACAGUUUAUAUGAAGAACAAAAAGUUACCAUUGAUUAUUAGUAACUACUAACAAUUAAAUCAGGCAAUAUUAACAAACAACACACCUGAAAUUGUUCAGACAAAACUUUGUCAACAAAAAGUUUCCAAUCUUCUUUUUUAAUGCUUGGAUAUUCAAUAGGAGGCAACUUUAGUGACUUUCGAUCAUCCUUGUUAGGUAGAACUAAUUCAGUUGCCAGUUCACAUUGAAAGUUUCUUGAUGCAACCCCCAUCCACUUUAAUACUUGGCUUUUGCAUUUCAAGCUCAAUUUGAAUUAUUUUCUGUAAACCAAUAACAUGGAUUAGAAACAACUUUAAACAAAUCUGGAAGUUAUAUAAAAUCUUUAAACAUACUAUGAAACAAGAAAACAAAACCUGAAAAUGAACCCACAAAGUUUCCUUCAUCUCUAGUGGCACACGCCUCCAAUCAUCAAGUAAAAUUGAAAUUGUUUUACGUACAAUGACUCCAAUGUAACUCCUAAGAUCAUUUCUUCCCUUUCCAACUGGAACACCAUAAGAAUUGUACUCAAUUGCAGCUUCAUGACUAACUUCUUAUUUUUAGAAACCUUUUUUUUUUGUUUGUUUUCUUCUCCUUGGUCUUCCGUCGAGCUCCGGAAGAGUGAACUCAACAUCGUCAGCCAUCUCCUACAAUCCUGAAAAUGAUUAAAAUAAAUAAGUAUAUCAUUUAGAUUAAUAAGUUAAUACAAGAGCAAUAGCAUAUAAUGAAAUAAAUAAAUCACUUACUGGAAAACUGUGAAAAUUAGUGCUGGAAACUAACUACAAUAAUGCAUUCACUGAUUUUCUAAAUCAAUAUCUAUUGGAAUAACAUCAGAAUCUUUUUUGUCAUAAAUUCCUUCAUCAUCUUUCUCAUCCAACUCACAUAUUGGAAGUUUGUUAGAUAAUGGAGAAAAUACAUCCACAUCUUCACAUCUUUCCCCAUUUAACUUAUAAGCUUUGUCGGUCACUAAACAAACUAUUGAUUUAUUAUUAUCUAACUGGUCCUUUACAUAAAAUACUUGCUUUGCAUGACAAGCCAGAAUAAAGCAAUCAGAUUUAUAGCCAAUCCGAUUUAAAUCAACUACAGUAAAACCUAAAUUGUCAGUGCAAACCCCUCUAUCAUCUACCCAAUCACACUUGAAAAGUAUUUUUUUAACCCUCAGAUAAUCAAGCUACCAAAUCUCAUCAAUGACUCCAUAAAACGUCAUGUCUCCAAAAUGAGGACUUUUAUCUUUUGAGCUUGAAAUCUGUAGAGUGUUAGCAACAACCCUAACAUCACUAUUUUGGGUCACACGAUUACAAUCCUGGUCCCUCGUUGUAAAAUUGAAGCCAUUUAUCUCGUAGCCAGAGAAGGUCACCACGCUUGAGCGUGGUUUGUUUGACAACCAGCACGCUAUUUCGUCAAUCGGCACAUUAUUUGCUUUAUCAUGUGCCACCUAUAAAUUAAAUUAACAAGUACAAUAAUUAAUAACAUGUAGAAAAAUCUUGUUAAGUUUAUAUCCUAUAUUGUAUUUAGUUAAGUAAUUCUAACCUUUGCUUGUAACCAACCAGAAAAUGUACGUAUGUGUUCAUUUUGCAACCACAUAUUUGUUUUUGGCUUAUAGGGGUUUCUUGAUGCCAAAUAAUGCAUAUGCUCCCUACAGUGAGACCAUAUUAAGAUUUAAAAACUAGUAUAUUAAUCUAAUAAUACAAUAGUAAUAUUUUUUUUGGAAAAAUUAACAACUUACUCGAUAUAUAUUUGGAUUUCAGGGGUGUUCAUUAGAACACACCGGUGUGCUUGUGCCAACAAAUGAUCAUCAACCACCUUUAUGUUUGCACCUCCCAAAGGCUUUUCGAUAGAUAAAUCAGUUGGACAACCAGUAGGCAGCCCAAUAACAUCACAAUUUGAGAGGUACUCAGCACAAAAUGCAAGUGCUUCUUCUGCAAUAUAACUUUCUACAAUACAACCCUCAGGGCGGUAGCGAUUACGAACAUAAUCCUUGAGAGUUUUCAUUUGUCUCUCAAAAGGAUACAUCCAUCGAAGAUAAACAGACCCACAUAACCUAACUUGUUCAACUAAGUGGACUGUUAAAUGGAUCAUUAUGUCAAAAAAGCUAGGUGGGAAGUACUACUGCAGUAAGCAUAAAGUGAUUACAAGUUCCUCUUGCAAUUGGUCAAGAGUAUUAGGAUCUACCACUUUACAGCAUAAUGUAUUAAAAAAGAAGCACAUCCUGAUUAUGGCCCUUCUCACAUUUAUAGGCAAACAGUUUCGAAUGGCUAAUGGUAGAAAUUAUUGCAUCAAAGUAUGACAGUCAUGGGACUUAAGGUCUUGAAGCCGACAAUCAUCUAUUGAAACAAGGUUUUGGACAUUGGAAGAAUACCCAUCAAGGACUUUCACACUCAGCAAGGUUUCACAAAACUAUUUUUUUUCUUUUUUACUCAAAGUAUAGGGAGCUGGAGGUAGGACUUUGUUUUUUUUGUUUGUUUCAUCAGGAACUAGUUUUCUAGCAUUAAUCCCAUCUUUUGUUUUGCCUGGUUGAUGAAGUAAUGUGCCAUAUAUGUUCUCGCACACAUUUUUUUCAAUGUGCAUCACAUCUAAUUGAUGGCGAACUAAUAAAUGCUUCCAAUAAUCUAACUAAAAAAAGAUUGACUUUUUUUUUGUACAACUUUUCAGUUAUGUUCUCAUCACCAUCACCGCCACCGCCGCCAUCAUGUUUCCGCUUUUUGGCCUUCUUUUUCCUAAACUUAAUAUCUAUAUCUUCCACCAUAUUAAAGAUUUCCUCACUACACAAAGUUUUAGGAGGCUCAUUCCACUCUUGCUUCCCAUUAAAAACCUUUUUCAGUUUUCGAAAUAGGUGACCGAGUGGUAGAAAGCGGCGAUGGCCCAUAUAUGACAUUUUCCUACUAUGUGGCAACCAACAUGCACAAGUGUCUAUCCCACAAAUUGGGCAAGCAUAAUAGCCCUUAACAGUACAACCAGAGAGGUUUCCGUAUGCUGGAAAGUCACUAAUUGUCCACAUCAAGAUAGCCCGUAAAUUAAAUGUUUCUUUUCUAUAAGAAUCAUAAACAUCAAUACCUACAUCCCAUAGAGUUUUUAAGUCCUCAAUCAAAGGUGUUAGGUAUACAUCUAGAUCAUUUCCAGGUUAUUUAGGGCCAGAUAUCAAAAGUGACAACAUCAAAAACUUUCUCUUCAUACACAACCAUGGAGGAAGAUUAUAUGUUAUUAAUAUAACAGGCCAACAACUAUAAGUAGUGUUAAGUGUACUAUGUGGGUUAACCCCAUCAGUUGAGAAAGCUAAACGGAGAUUUCUAAGUUCUUGUGCAAAUUUUGGCCACUUAUUGUCAAUUAGUUGCCAGGCAGGUGAGUCUGCUGGGUGGUAAAGUUUGCCAUCUCUAAUUCUUUUAUUACCAUGCCAUGUUAAAUUUGAGUUGUUUGUGGUGAUUGAAACAAUCUUUUCAACCUAGGAAUAGGUGGAAAAUACCAUAAUACCUUUUUAGGAACCCCUUUCCUAAAUUUUGUUGAGCUAUCUUUUUUUAUUUGAUACCUAGAUGCUCCACAAUUUGGGCAUUCAGCAAGAUCAGCAAUUCAUUCCUAUACAAAAUGCAGUCAUUUGGACAUGCAUGUAUUUUUUCAUACUCUAAGCCUAGCACUUUCAUUGUUUUCUUAACCUCGUACAUUGACAUAGGUAGAGUAUUAUUAUUUGGCAAAAUAUCACCAAGGACUUCUAACAAAGCAGAAAACCCUUUAUCGGACCACCCAUAGUUCCCUUUCACAUUGUAAAGUCUCAUUAAACUAGAUAACUUUGAAUGUUUUGCACCCGGGUACAAAGGCUUUUCAGCAUCUUCAAGCAUAUCCUUAAAAGAACUAGGAUCUCUAUCACAAUGCUCGUAAGCAUCUUCGACCAUGUCAAUUAUAUUACUGUAAUCAUGACAUCUAAAUCUUUGACUAUGUGAAUGGUCUUCACAGUUUAUAAAUGUAGAUUUAGAGUCAGUCUCACCAUGCCAAGUCCAAACAAUAUAUCUUGGGAGAAAACCUUUUUCAAAUAAAUGAUCCUUCAUCGGUUGAGGAGUAUGAAACUCCAUAUUACAACAAAAGGUGCAAGGACAUCUAAUUGACAUCCGAUUUUCAACAUUCAAAAUGGCAAAAUCUAAGAAAUCAGCAACUCCAGAACGAUACUCUACAGACAAUCUAUCACAAGUUAUCCAACUUCUGUCCAUUUCAAAUAUUUUACCUAUUCACAUAUGUAAUGUCAGUUUAAGUUUAAUUAAAUUGCAUGAUUAAUUUAAAGUUCAAUGUUAUUAUGAUUAUAGUUGCAAUAAUAAACUUAUAAUUCUGGAAAAUCAUUAAUAGCCCCUAUAAAUCAUUAAUUAUAAUAAUAAUUUAGACAAAAUCCUAAAAUUGAAAUAAAAGAAGUUUUGAAACUUAAAUAGGAGAUUAAUAGGUAAGAUGGGUAAUAAUGGCUUUUUAAGUAGUCGAACUAAUUCAUAAGUCAAGUAACUAACAAAAGUUAAGAGUUCAAAUAAAUAAUGUCUUCAUACCACUUUGCAAGCCAUUUUUAAAGAUUCUAUAAAUCAUUUUUUAACUUCAAAUACAACAUGCAAAACUACUUUAAAACAAGCAUUUCUUUAUUGAAUCAAACACAAAUCAUCAACUUUAUACAAUCUCAAAAUACUCACAACCACGAACUUAAUUAAUUCAUAUCAUAGUCAUUGUCUCUAGUACAAAUCACCCAACCAAAACAGAAUAAAUAAACAAGUAGGAUUAUAUAACAAAAUUUGCCUCUCUUCACAUGAAACAGAGAUGUAAAUAGUUUGUAACCACUAAAUACACAGUCAUUCAGCCAAUAUAACACCCAAACAAUCAUCUCCUAAUCACAAAGGCAAAAGCUAAAAUGAAAUUUCAUAUUUUAGUACAUUCAAAAUCAACUAACUUAUUGCUCAAAGUUAAGAAACGGAGCUAACAGUUUAUUUCAGAAACUAAAAAAAAAUGCACAUUCUUAGUUUUAAAUAACAAUGACUGUAAAUCACAUGCACAAAAGUUUGAAACUGACCUCAAAUGUGGCAGAAAAAAACAGAGUCGCAGUAGCAAGUGUUUUGAGUUUAAGUAAUGCACCACUUAAAAUGCCUGUAUUUUUGGACUGCAUGUGAGUGAAGAUAUAGAAAAAUAAGAACAAAAAUUUCAAGUUAAAAAUAAAUAAAAGAAAAAAAAAGAUUUGGAAAACAAAACCCACCAGGGUUGCACUACUGUUCAAUUUCUGAAUAUCUGAAACAACCCAAAAAUAAUAAUUCAAAAAUAUUAUUCAUAAGCCAAAUUAAAACAAACCCAAUAAUUAAAUUGCCCAAAAAAAUAAAAUAUUCUGCCAUUACCAGCUGAUAACCUCCUCUACAGUUCUUUCUCUAGACUUAACUUGUCAAAGAGAAUGAGAUUACCUGAAUACGGAACCGAUGGUGCCACUUCACCCCUUGUCGAUGGCUUUUACUUGCUUGCCUAGUAUAGGCACUGGAUGGUUUAGUUGGAGAAAAACCCCUUCGAUAACAAGCGAUUAGGGUUUUGGUUUGUGUUUCAAUUUGGGGAAAAUGGAAAUACGAAACAGAGUUUUAAUUUUUCAUUAUCUAUCUAAAUUAAUUGAAUUUAAUUCGUAAAUGGAUAGUGCAAAAUAGAAGAGAUCGAGAAGAGAAGAACGAAAGAGAAAGUGAACGAUGAAAGCAAGAUAGAGACAGUCGAUAUAGUCUAAAUGGGGAAAAGUCAAGUGUGUUUUAUGUUGUUGUUAUUUAUAUUUUCAUUUUUUAAUAAUUUAAAUAUUAUUAUGACUUUGACUCAUCGAGAUUUGAUGGUCUGUGCUCCAAACAUUAAAGCUUUAAAUCUUAGAGCUCUCAGGUUCGAGUUGGAGGUAAAACAAAAUUUUUAUGAAUUUUUUUAUCAUUGAUACUUUAGUGUUAGUGAUUUUUUAUGUUUAGUUUACUGACACCCUAGUAUCAUUAAUCUCUGAUUCCUAUUUGUCAAAAGCGGAAAAUGGUGCAUAUGUACAUAAGUACUGACACUUUUUGCAAAGUGUCAGUAAAGCUUAUUUUUCUAGUAGUGGACUCAAAUGAAAAUAAUUAUAAAUAGUGUCUUAAGAUAUUAAUCUUUUCAAAAAGACGAGGAUUCAUAUAUUACGGAUACUUGAAUCGAAGAAUGAUGCAAUGGUGACCAAACAACUGUAAAAUCAUAUAAUGUUAUAGUGUUAAAUAAAAAAAAAUAUAACUAUUUUUCAAUCAACAUUGUAACACUACACAAUUUACAAUUAUUUUUGUCACCCUUAUGUCUCUGUUAGAACUCUAUCAUUUUUCAUUUCUUAAAAAAAACAUGCUUAAAAGAUCCCCAAAUUUCUGUGGUAUAUGUAUAUACUUUUAAAAUGAAGAUAUAAUAAAUAUAAAAUUUUACAAACGAUCUAGUACUUUUUCUAAAUUUCGUUGAAGAAAUAAGAUACCAUCGUACAUGAUUAAUCACGUAUAUUCAUUUGAGUAAUUUUACAUUUAUAACCUUGGGAUACAAAUUUUGUUUGUGAUAUACAUGCAAGUCUCGUAAUGUAUAAUUCGUCAUCGAGGAUUUAACACAUCAACAACGGCUGAUGCUGGUAAUUAUUCUUCUGUAUCUUCAGGAUUUAAGAAGAGGGUCACAGUGGGUCUAGAUAAUAGAAUGGAGGAGUUGAUAGAUUUAUUCAUUGAGGUACCACCUCAACUUUUAGUAGUGGCCAUCCUUGAUAGCGUAAAAUCAAGUUUGUAUCAGGCCAUGAUUCUUCUCUAGGGAGGAGGAGGGAGCAGAUGAACAAGAAACCCCCGUGUAGUGGGUUGAGAGGAUUAGAUGGAGAUGCUGUUAAAACUAAGGUACGAGGCAGAGAAGCAAGCUGUGGAAGCCAAUUAGGGUGAAGACUCUCAAAAAGCAAACACGAUGAUUAGCAGUAUGUCUUUGCCUCGGCUCAUAGUGCUAACUACUUCAACUUUGUCUGUUACUUGGAAACUUUGGUGCCUUCCAUGACAAUCAUCUUGUGGCAGCAAGGUCAAAGAUUCUAUUGCUUUUGGUUUCAAUGAACAGAGCUAGCUUACCAGACAGGGUUAGCAUUUUAUUAAUUGCAAGUGGUAGCAUAUUUAUUCAUUAGCGUCACCUUCCCCUCAUCUUCUCCAACCUUGCUGCAAGUGGUAGCAUAUUUAUUCAUUACCUACAUUGAUAAAGUUUUUAAAAAUUUCCUUUUCACGAGAAAUAGUCACGGAAAAACUUGUGCAUGAUAGAGCAGUCAGUGACUAACUCCAUGAAAUAAUUAUAAAAUCAUUAUUUGUCUUUAAUUUUCAUCAUAUUAUUUGUCUUUAAUUUUCAUCAUACUCAUUAAAAAAGUAUUAUGAUUACAUAGUCAGUGUUUUAUAUUCACAGAUGACAAAAGUAACGAAGUACUGCCAUUUUGGAUUUAAUUGCAAGUUGUAUAAUUUAUUAUGCUCCAAGUCCAUAUCACAUAAACCAAUACCCAAUCUCUUUUCUACAACUACUUCCGUAUUGUACAUAUUAUCAAAAUUCUAUAAUAAAACAUCAUUUAUGUAUAGAAGAAAUUAUUGACUAAACUAACAUGCUCACACUACUUGAGUGCUGAGAGAAAGAGUUGCGUCGGUCAACCUACGACCAAUUCCAUUCAUCAACAAUAAAUGUUUCAGCGGACACAUAAAUAUUUGAAUUAAGAGCUAAGAAGUUUUAACAAUGAUUUUUUUUUUUUAAACAAAGAUUCUGCCUUGAUAUGUUCUAAUUUGAGAGUCAACGAUCUUGAUUUAACUUCUUGACUGGAGAACUAGCUAAGAGAAGGGAGGUACGGGAGCCAGCACUAAUGUUUGAAUUGAGAUCUUUAAAGCAUAUUUUCUUUUUCCCCUCUCUCUUUUAAUUAUUUCUUUGCAUGCUACAAGACUGAUUUCAGGGUGAAUCUGAGAGAGGAGGAGAUAUGGACAUCAGCUUCAGACUAUUUUCAGAGAGGCUGAGAAGGGUGUUAGCUGGUGAAGAAGUCAUGUUGUCUGAUGCUGCGAAACAACCAAUUCACAACCUUAAUGCGGAGGUUGAAAUCGUUACUUCUUGGCUGAGGGAAUUUGAAUAUGAUAUCUCCUGCCUUCUGUUCCAAAAAAUAGCAGAGGAGGAAAUUGAUGACCCAGAUCUUGCGACCGUUAUGCACAAAAUCAAUUGCUUUACGUAUGAAUCUGAGAAGGUCAUUGACACAUACAUCAACAGCAUCACUCAACAGAAGAGUCAAAGCAGAUACAACAAGGACAUUUGUGAUGCUCUGCAACGACUCCAAAGCAGAAUCACUGAGAUUAAGCAACGGGUUCAACAACUUAAGCACAUCGAUCCCGAAAUCAUGGACAACUUCAGAAGUGUUGAAGCUGAAUCCGGUUAUUUUCCUGCAUCUUCAUCUUCUAAGAAUAGGAACACGGUGGGCCUAGAUGGUAGAAUGGAGGAGUUGUUAGAUCUAUUGAUCGAGGGACCAACUCAGCUUUCGGUGGUGGCCAUACUCGAUAGCAUUGGGUUGGACAAGACGGCUUUCACUGCGGAGGCUUAUAACAGCAGUUAUGUGAAGCAUUAUUUUGAUUAUCUCGCUUGGAUUCCAGCGCCUUAUCAAUAUGACCCUGACCAACUAUUAGAUGUCGUUACUGUGAUUCUAUUGCCUUUUUCUAUGUUGAGUAAAAUAAAGGAUAAAGAUUAUGAAAUGAAAAAAGUUAUUCUUGGUGAAUAUCUAAUGACUAAGCGGUAUUUGAUUGUGCUUGAUGAUGUGUGGAGCGCAGAUGUAUUGGAUGCUAUUCAAGAAAUCCUUCCGGAUAAUCAGAAUGGAAGUAGAGUGCUAAUCACACUCACUCUAAUUGAGAUGGUCACCUCAUUUCAGUUCGAAAAUGGAGAGAACGUUCGCCUUGAUAUAGUGCCCACUAGAGGACCAUUGAGGGUUAGUUACCAAGGAUGGCCUUUCCUCAUCUUAUAUCAUGGAAGCAUCUCAUUAGAACAAAAUAUAGAGGAAGCAAUCGAGGGACCCAUGGGGCGUCUAACCGUCAUAUCUUGCAAGCUACCUUUUCGCUUGAAACCUUGUUUUCUCUACUUAUCUGUGUUUCCCGCACACCUAGAGAUAUCCACCAGGCAGUUAUAUCAGUUGUGGAUAGCUGAGGGUUUCAUUCCAGACAACAGUGAGGCAACUGCUGAGAAGUACUUAGAGCAACUAAUCAAUAGAGGCUUUGUUGAUGCAAGGAGGAGAAGAGCUGGAGGCACUAUCAACACAUGCUCUGUUCGUGGUCGUUGCCGUCCUGCGUUGUUAACAGUGGCUAUCGAGGCGGAAUUUAUCUUUCUCUCGUUCAUGGUUUCAGAACGUAAAUCAAAAAAGAAUGUUAAACGGAUCAACGUUUUUGAUAAACAGAGUGAUUUUGUUCACUUUGUUGAUGAUGACUCGCACAUGCAUUCUUUGUUGUACUUCACUUCAAAAAGCGACCACCUUGACCCAAUAGAUUGGGGGAUAAUUUGUCUAAUGUUGGAAUUUCUCAGAGUAUUGGACUUGGGAUCUCUUGUUCUCAUCCAAUAUCCAUCCGGAAUUGAAAAUUUAUUUCUUUUGAGAUAUUUAAAGUUGAAUAUCCCUUCCCUCAAAAUCCUGCCUUCAUCAUUAUUAAGCAAUCUUCUGAACCUUUAUACCCUAGACAUGCCCUUUAGCUAUAUAGAUCAUACAGCAGAUGAAUUUUGGAAGAUGAACAAACUCAGGCAUCUAAAUUUUGGGUCAAUCACACUUCCUGCGCAUCCAGGAAAAUACUGCGGCUCUCUGGAAAAUCUCAAUUUCAUUUCAGCCUUGCAUCCUUGCUGCUGUACUGAAGAUAUAUUGGGCAGACUACCUAAUCUUCGAAAUCUCCGGAUUCGGGGAGAUUUAAGUUAUUAUCAAUUUUUGUUGUCCCAAAGUAUUUGCAGAUUGAGCUGCCUCGAGUCAUUGAAGUUGGUGAAUGAAAGCAAGAUGCCACGGAUCUCCAAAAUCAUCCUUGCUGAAUACCUAUUUCCUCAUAGUCUAACCCACUUGAGUUUUUCUAAUACUGACCUAAUGGAUGAUCCCAUGCCGACACUAGAAAAGCUGCCACUUCUUCAAGUGCUCAAACUGAAGCAAAACUCGUAUUCAGGUAGAAAGCUGACUUGUGGAUCUGAUGGUUUUCCAAGGCUUAAUGUAUUGCACAUGAAAUCAAUGCUAUGGCUAGAGGAGUGGACUAUGGGGACUGGGGCCAUGCCAAAACUAGAAUGCUUACUUAUCAACCCUUGUGCUUACUUGAAAAGGGUUCCUGAACAGCUCUGGUGCAUAAAGAGCUUAAACAAAUUCGAUUGCUGGUGGCCUCAGCCAGAGCUGAGACAAAAGCUACGGGAAUUCAAGGAUAAGGAGCAGUAUGGCGUUCAGCUUUAUCCUUACGGAAUUUGAUUAGCCCUGAUUGAGUUUCAUGUAAGUUUUUUCUUCUUCCCCAAUAACUUCAACCUUUAAUUAUUGAUCUAAUUUCAUAUAAAAGUUUUUUUUCCUCCACAAUAGAUUUGAUAGUAUGCAGCUGCCUAAACUAUAAUCAUAAUAUAAAGUGUUUUCUACAUUCUAAUUGUGGUUGCUUCUAAUUUUUGUCUCAACAUAAACUUGAAGUGUCCAUCACAGUUCCUGAUGCUGACACCAUUCAUUAAAAACUGUAUGAUAAGAUCUUCUAUCAGUUGUAUGUGCAGGUAAAAGCAGAGCGGAAAAUAUCUUAACUGUACUGCAGCCAAAGUUUCAAUUUCAACCAGAAUCCAGCCUUCAUCCUUUCAGUGUUCACUUCUGCUGAGUUGUCUACACGUUGUUUGGUUUCUUUGUUUUCAAGGAUUUGCAUGCUAAAGUAAUAAUGUCAUGUUCGGAUUAAUAUAUUGUACAAAAGUCUGAUUAAUUGUUUUACUUUCUAUUUUCAGUUUCACUGGUGUGUAUUCAAUUUGUCAACAUUCAAAUUGAUAUAUGUUAUGUUUUUAUUUUUAUUUUAUUUCUUUCUCUAGUUUUUAAGUAGCGGUACAGUUCAACUUCAAGCUUAGUACUUCAGUUAGAAGAAUAGUAUUUGUGCUUUGAUCUCAUCUCAUCAUCUCAACACAGGCAGAACGACAUUGUUGUUCGGUUUUUUGGAAUUUCACCGACGUGUCGGUCAUUAUAAGGGCGAGAAUGCUGGUCAAAAGUCAGUUGGGGUUAGUUAAAAAAGUGCAGGAAAAUUCUGGGAUUGUUAGAGAUGGCCUUUAUGAUAGUUUAUAAGGCUGGUUGAUGGGUCAUCUUCUCAGAUCUCAUCAAAGCUAUGGGGAGGGAGGGAGAGAGAGAGUUAAAGUAGAAAGUUGUAUAUUCUUGUUCUCUGUAACAAGCUCUACAUCCUGGUAACCUUGAUUUGCGACAUAGUGAAAGCUUGAAAGCUUGUAUCCUUGUUCUUCACUGGAUUUAGGCACUUUGAUUCAAUUUUUAGUUCGGAUUUCUGAGAACGAGUCUUCAUACAUCAAAUCAAAGAUGGUCUGAGGUGUUUGAUCUUGGUACUGUCAGAGGAUUAAACACAACAAAAAGAAACUGGGACAUAUUGCCUAAUCUUCAUAGUCUUGAGAUAUAUGGAGAUUAAGCCCUUGUCAAUUUGGGUUGUCCAACAACCCUUUUAAAAUCGAAAACCAGCACUAAUCCUUGGUGAUUUGGAGCAGAAGAUUUAACGAGUAAAGUUCCGAAAGUGGAAUCAUACCAUUACCAAAGCCCUCUUUUGCAGCAGAGAAAUCCCUUAUAGCCAUUGAGAUUAAUUGAUUAAAUGGAGUUGACAAAUGAAACAAAAACGAAAAAAAAAAAAAAAACUUCAAUUCUACCAAAAUCAUUCAACCAUUAAUACCCACUUUGAAUAAAAUUCAACAUCCUUUUUUCUAUCCCUUUCAGGUAAUAAGUUGCUUCUGUUGUUUUUAAUCUCAAUAAGAUAUAUAUCAUCGGCAUAUUGAAGUUUGUGAUUAUUCUAAGAAAAAAUAGGUGCUUUAUUAUUUGAAUUAUCGACAAAAUAAUUCCAUUUCAUUAUUUUGUUAGAUCCACUAUAUGUACAUGUUUGAAUCUUAUUCACAAGUUUUGAUUUCACUCUCACGUUUCAUAUGAUGUCAAAUCAGAUAAAAAGAAAAAAAAAAAUGAAAGCUAGCUUGUCGGUAGCAAUUACAUUAGCAUUUAGCAAAUGUUAUUUUGAGUACAAGCACAAUUUGGCUCAUUUUCCAGGACCAACUAUCUUCCAUUUAGAAAUGCAUUGACAAACAGAUUAAUUGGUAAAAUGAUGGUUUCUAGAUAGAAUCUUUCCAAGUUGCACUAAACUCCUUUCCUCCAAGCUAAACAUUAAUUAAUUUGCAUUUGAUAAAAUUUUUCUUUCUAUUCUUUUUGCAUAACGAUUGGUCACCAAUCUUGAUUCAAUUUUUUGAAUGGCAACUUACUGCUGGAUUAAUUAGAGAAUCAGACAUCACUCAUAAGGCAUCAAUCGGGUAAAGUUAUUUUCAUACAAUUACUUUCUUCAUAUCACAUCAGUCUAUACAAAUUUAUUUAUACAAGAUAGUUGUUACUCUAUCAUUAUUCAUCAAGAGAUCUAAAGAGAUAUAUAUAUAUAUAUUGGGGAUGGAUCAACAGCCCCCUAAAAAUACUCUUAAUUUUACACUAAUUAAUAUUUAUUAGAUUUGAAUUGAAUCAAUGGAUGUGAUUAAUUGAAAUUAAAUCUUCAAGACCUUUUAAUAUUCUCUCUCUCAAUGUGGUUCCCACUUAAAAUUUUUCUCACUCUUUUAUUUUUUCCCUUCGUUCACGUGAUGUGCUCUCUCUCUCUUCUCUUCUCUUGUUCUUUUUAAUCUAUGAUUUUUCGUUUGCUUUUUUCUUUCUUCCUCAGUCAUAAAAAGUCUUAACUCUCUCUAGCAAAAAUUCUUUACUCUCUCCAACUUUUAACUCCACAACUCUUUUUUUCACUUUUUUUUCUCUCUCCACAUACCAUUUGAAAGCACAAAAUUAUUAAUUUUAACCAGCGGAACUAGUCCCCCAGCAAAACAAUCAUCAAACUCAAGUUUAACAAAAAAUUCUUGUGAAAAAGGAUGUCUAUUGACAACGACAUGGCAUUAGAAGUUUUUCUUCAAAUCUCAAGUAUAGAUUUGAUUGGUACAAAGAUUUACCACAUAUUAUGAAUAAAAAUAUUAUAAUCUUAAGUAUAUGAAAAAAAUAUGUGCGAAUGGGAAUAUGAUCUCUACUGUAUAUUAUGAAUAAAAAUAAAGAAAGAGAAAAUAAUAGCAAUUUUGAGCAAACAAAUAGAAACCUUGCCUUAUGCUAUUUAAAAUUAAUAGUAUUACGUCAUAAUUAAUUUGAGAAUUUGCUUUAAGUGGUCCAUAAAGUAAGUCCAAAAUGACUGAAUAAGACAAAAUUACAGAGACUUCUUUAACCAAUGAAACAAGUUGGUUGCUUCAAUAUUCCUCGUCAAUGAUUUUGGUGCCCAACUCCUUGAGUCCUCCUGGAAGGAUUUCAACAACAAUGCUACGCAAAACUGACAAUAAAAGAAAAUAAGAGGGGAAACGAAUGAAAACAACAAUGAAGAAAAAUAAGUACCAUCAAUGGUCUGCAGGAUACAACUUAAGCCUAUAGCUUGAGGCAAUCACUAUGCACAAUAAAACUCAAAUCACAUAUACAAGUGAAGAACUAAAAAUUGAAGAAGUUGGCUAUUAAACAUAUAAAUUUCAAUGAACAUAAUCAAUCAAAAUCUAAGCAUACUUACAACAAUUCUCUUCGUGAUUAUAUUGAUAUCAAUUUAACUCAUUUCUUCAUUCCGUAAUAUUUUUGCAAAUAAUCAAAAAUAAACUUUUUAGAGAGAUCUUUAAUAUUGAAAGGUAAUUAUUACAAGAUUUUAUUUACAAUUUACCUAGAUUUGAUAUUUCAAUGCUUUUUCUACUUGGAUUUAAAGGACAAAUACGCUUAUCAUGUCCAAGUUUGCCGCAUGAAUUGCACUUCCUCUUCUUCUUGCCAAGAGCCAACUCAAUACCACUUUUGAUUCUGCCAGUGUUGUUAACAUCUUUCUUCCGACCCUUGGUUUGUGAAAUAUUUGGAUCCAAAAGUAAUGGCUGAGAUGAACUAAUGCUAAAACAAGGAUCAUCUUUCUGUUGGCAAACAGUGGCUGGUUGGUUUGAAAUAUCUAACAACUUUUUUGCUAGCUCAUUUAUACCAUCCAUGUAAAUCAAGUAUGCCUCAUUUGAAGAUGCAACAGCACAUGCUAAUUUAGUAGUUUGGUGGCACAUAUGGCUUAGUCUCAAAGCCUCUAAUUCUUCUUUACCAUCAUUUUUCAAAAAAUCUCUCAAAUCAAUCUUUCUAAAUUUAUUUGCCUCUUGUCUCCAUCUUGGAAGAAUAAAAUGAUUCGGCAGCUUAUCAAUGUCUAAACGAACAAACACUUUCAGCAUAUGUCUGCAAAGUAUUCCAACGAACUCAAAUUUUUUACAAUCACAAGUACCCUCAUAAGUUUACGGAUUUAACUUCACCAUAAACUCUUCAGAUUCUCCAAACUUUGUUCUCACUAGGUACUUGAGAAAUUCAGCAUCACAUCCACUCUCUUCAACUUUGUAUCGAUUAACAUGGCUCCAUUCAUCCUUGAAUUUAUUAAAAACAUUUAUGGUAUACAAUUGGGAUGCAUGUUUCAAAAGAAAUUCUCCAUCAUUGACAAUUCGAUAUUUAUGUUAUGAUUCAAAAUCUUCAUCACUUUCUUUUUCAAUAAUCCUUUUCAACGCUCCUUCAUAUUUCACAACAAACUCUCUAAGAUUUGUCGAGGAUGUUACAAAACCAUUAAAGAAUGAAUUAAUGCCCUCACUCCGUCCUGUAGUAUUCAUUCCAGCAAAAACAAUACUACGAUUAUAAAUAGGUGCCCAAGAAGCUUGUAUUUCAUAUAGAUGAUUUAGCCAUUCAUUGUCUUCCAAUUUAUAUUCUAUAAUCAAACUCUUCGAAGUUUCUUCAAAUUCCUCUACUUUGUAAGUAGACAUAAUACAUUUUUUUCAAUCCGAUCUUGAAUCUUGACUUCUUGAAGUACACAUAUGACAACUUCUCGGCAAACUUCUUCUUAAUAUGCCAAAGGCAUAAUCGAUGGUGAGUAUUUGGAAAAACUGUCACAAUUGCUCUUUUCAUUGCCAAGUCUUGGUCAGUAAUGAUAGAAACUGGAGGAUGUCCUCCCAUAGCUUCAAGCCAUGUCUCAAAAAGUCACUGAAAUGUUACCUAUGUUUCAUCUUGUAGAAGUGCACAAUCGAAUUGUAUUAACUGUAAGUGGUGGUUCACUCUUGUGAAUGGUGCGAACGACAUAUCGUACUUGUUUGUUCUAUAAGUUGUGUCAAAUGAAACUACAUCCCCAAAACAGUGAUAUGCCAACCACGAUCGAGCAUCUACCCAAAAAAAUUUGGUUGCUUGCCCUUUUUCAUCACAUUGGAUUGCAUAAAAAAAUUUGAGGGUUCUCAGCUUGCUUUUUCCUGAAAUAUAUAAGGAUUGAUUGGGCAUCCCCUCCAUCCAAUUACCUAUGACACACAUUCCUUAAGUGAUUAUAGCAAUCUCUGUUGUUAAAGCCCAUUUACGAACCUCCUAGAAUUGAACAAACUUUUGCAAUAGGCAAAUUUUCUCUAUGAAAAGCUUCAGUCAAAUUCUUAGCAGCUUUAGGCAUGUGUUUGUUUGACUUCAUCUUUAUUCUUCUAGCAGGAGUAACUACUUUAUGAUUGUGAGAAUCCUUGAAAACCAUAAUCUUCCACUUAUUUGACCAUUUGUCAUACAUAACCCGCAUACUAGCUUCACACCCACAUUUGACAGUUGAACAAUUUCUACUUCUUUUUUUUUUUUUGUAUUUACCUCACUUGCAUCUUUUUCAUAGUGUUCUUCCAUAAAAUUAGGCUUAUUAAUCUUUGGCACAUGCUUCCCUUGAUGGGCAAAGUAAAUUGUCCACUAGUCACCUCAUUGCAGCCUACUCUACUCUUGGAAGAAGAUCGAGUUCGAAUCCAAAACCCCUCCUAUCUACCAUAAUCUUCAUAGUAGUUUCUAGCUUGCUCUAAUGUUUCAAAAAGCAUCCCCACAUAUGGUGCCUCUAAUUGUUCAAGAUUGUUUUCAACCUCUUCGCCAUUGUUCCCCUGUAAUGUGUCAAACAAUUGAAAGAAAAAUAAAUAAUAUAUAAAAAGAUAAAAAUAUUGAAAAAAUUACGAGUUAGAAAAGUUAGGUAAAAUUAAUUGUAAAAAAAAAUAAAUAAAUUAUAAAAGCAUGACACAUACCAAAUAUUCAUUAUUUUCAGGCAUUUUCACGAAGAGUUGUGGAGUUAAAAGUUGGAGAGAGUAAAAAAAUUUUGCUAGAGAGAGUUAAGACUUUUUAUGAUUGAGGAAGAAAGAAAAAAGCAAAUGAAAAGUCAUAGGUUAAAAAGAACAAGAGAAGAGAAGAGAGAACACAUCACGUGAAGGAAGGAAAAAAAUAAAAGAGUGAGAAAAUUUUAGGUGGGGAUUACAUGCAGAGAGAGAAUAUUAAAAGAUUUUAAAGAUUUAAUUUCAAUUAAUCUCAUCGAUUGAUUCAAUUCAAAUCUAAUGGAUAUCAAUUAGUGUAAAAUUAAGAGUAUUUUGAGGGGGCUGCUGAUCCAUCCCUAUAUAUAUAUAUAUAUAUAUAUAUUUUAUCAUGAUGUCUUUUAAUUAUUCAUUGAUUUGCAUGCUAGGACUACCACGUGAUGAGAGGGGAAGGGAAGGAGUCACGUUGCCCGAGGCAGCUAAACAACAUAUUCAAAACCUUCACGCAGAGAUACGAAAUCGUUACUUCUUUGUUGAGUGCCUGUGGAAACAACACAGCUUGGAUUAUGCUGCGAUCAAAUGCUGAAAAAGAUCAAAAUUGAUAGAGAAUUAGAAAAAGAUCUUCAGCCCAUUAUUGAAUUAGACUGUUAGCUCUCUCAAAUAGACUUGCUCACAUCGUUCCAACUGAAAAAUGGAGAGAACAUUGGGCUUAAUUUAAUGCCUGCAGGAGUACCACUAAAAGUUACCGAUGGCCUUUUCUCAUCUUAUACCAUGGAAUUGUGUCAUUAGAAAAGAAUUGACUAGAUACUUGGCAUAUCUCCAGUGGGUAUUAAAUGUUCGCAUAUUCCACAUUUUAGGAUUCUAUACCGAUCUGACCUACUACAAUUAUGUAAUUAUGUGUUAUUAUAUGAAAUAAAAUAAUGUAAAUCUUGACUGUAUAUAAAUAAAAAUACACAUAUAUCAGAAGAUUCUUCAAAACCCAGAUAAGUUCAAAUUAAAAGAGGAUUUAAUACCAUCUCACAUUACCUUUUUUCUUGAAACCUUAUUUUCUCUACACGUCUGUCUUUCGUUUUUAUUUCGAGAUAUCAAACAGGCAACUGUAUCAAUUGUGGGUAGCUGAAGGUUUCAGUUCAAACAAUAAUGAGUCAACUGCUGAGAAGUUCUUGGAACAACUUGUAACGCCACAAAUUCCCAUACAUAUUAAAUUAUGGAAAUUGGGCUUUCAUUGAGAAUUAUGGGUGGCCUAUAACCCUUAUUUAGAAAGGGGUACUAAUUAAAUAGAGGUUAUUUAUGAGAUCAUUUUGGAAAAGGGCUAGUUUUCCUUAUUGAAUAGGGUUUCUUAAGAUCCCCUAUAAAUACAUACUUUUCCCCCUUCCAUAACCCUAAGUUCACAACGUUUAUCCUUCUUCUCUGCUGCUCUUUACGCUCCUACCCAAAUCUUAGGAUUCAAACCUUUGUUUAGGAGAGACUCAAAGCGACGGGUAAGUUCACAACGUUUAUUCUGAACAGCAUGAGUAUCUCGAAUUUUUAAAGCUAUAUUUUCUGAACGAAUUUUCUUAUAAAAUUUAUAUUUCUGGAAACUAGACAUGUAGGGCUUCUUGAUUAAAUUUUAUUUCAUUAAAUUCAACUUCGUUUUCAAUUUUAUACGUAUUUUGGAAAUAGAAACCACUGCACUGGAAAUCCACGAUUCCAGUAUUGUGAUCAGAUUCAAAAGACUAUUUGUACCACCAAAUGAACUCAAAAAAUUCUGAAAGUUUAUAUGUAUGUUAAUAUAUGUGUCUAGGAUUCGCAGUUUUAAUUUCAUAAUUUUCUGAUUAGUAUUUUAUUUUAUAAAAAUCACGGAACCCAUUCUGUUUGGUUUAGAUUAUGUGAAAACAGUUUCGAAUUUGCUGAGAAGUAAAUAGUUUUUAAAAUGUUUUUGAUAUCGGAUUCUCUUGUAAAUUUUACAUGGGGUACUCAUGGAUGUCCAGAAUGGUUCCAUAGGAUUUUAUAUCAUUCUGAGACUUGGAUUAAGAGUUAAAAUUCUGAGAAUCAGACCUGUACGGGUAUGAAUUAGAAAAUCAAAUUCUUAGAAUACGUUAUUGAUUGUCAUAUCUUGUAUUUGUUUAAGGUUUUGAAGGUGUUUGAGGCUCUUAGAAGCUUAGAGGUGUGUUAAUCCAAGUUCAUUUGUCGAGGUAAGUAACUUCAUUCCUAGUAUACUGGAUAUGUAUAAGUAUUUUGAUAUUAUUGUUAUAAGUAUAAAUGUUUUUAUACUACUUAAAGGAUUAAUUGAUUUUGAUAACAAAAUUAGCUUUAUGUAAAUGUUUUCAAACCAUUCUUUUUAACAAAGUAUUUUAUAAAUGCUUUUUAAUAUGUAAAUGAUUUUAUGACAUGACAACCUUUUAUGAUUUUAUCUUUAAAAUGUUAUGCAAGCCUAAAUUAUUGUUAUGAACUUUUAUGAAACUGAUAUGAAUGUUUUGUACCUAUGUUUGAUUUCAAUUAUUGAUGAUUGUAUGAGAUUCUUAAUGCUUUGGCUCAUUGUCCAUAGUUAGUCUGAUUCUGAUUCUGAUUCUGAUCGUAAUAUACGAUAUAUCCGUCUGGACCAGUACUGGGUUUUUGUUCUGAAUGUACACACGAUAUUCUAAUUAUGUUUCUGGCCGGGUCACCGGGACUAUAGGUGACACUAUGUGACAUGAGCUAACCUGUUUGUUUUCUGUAUACGUAUUACAUGAGUUGAUUCGUAAGUAAAUAUGCUUUUGAAUAUUCUGAAUUAUUAAGAAUUUAUCUUAUGUUAUUGUGAUAUAUCGUUUUAUGAAAAUUAUGGAUUAUGAUAUAUGCUUUAAACAAAAGAAGGCUUGCAAUAUUUUUGGUAUCAAUAGGCCUAGUGUGUUAGGAAUGGUUUUACUUACCGAGUUGACGGCUCACCCCUCGUCAUUACUUUUUUGCAGAUUAAGUUUCUUUUGAGAGGUGCACUUAGCUUUGGAGUUAAUGAUUUCCAGUUUCCGUUUGCUAUUGAAUAAGAGGAGGAAUAGACUUGUGUUUCUAUUUAGUUACUUUUAUUAUGAACGUGUAAUUUGGAGUUUGAGACUUUUGUUAUUAUUUUUAUAUGUCCUCGAGAGAGAUUAUUUAGUAUUUGACGUUUGGAUUUAUGGAUUUAUUUGAAUAAGAAUUGGAGGAAUUUCAGUUUGAAACUUAUGAGUAAAGAUUAUGAUUUGUGAGUAACCUCCUUCUUCACGUGCUCCGCACGUGUUAGAUUUGGGGUGUUACAAUUGUGGUAUCAGAGCAACUAGGUUAGGAUUCUGUAGACUUUCUUUUACGGUUUAAUUAGAUUGUCUAAUUAAAUCGAUUACAUUUGUUUUGUAGACAUGAAGAAGGACAAUAUGGGUAUGAAAAGUGUCAAGAAUAAGGGAUGGACAGAAAUUGAUAGGACCGAACAAUUUAUCUUAGGAGGAGUUCUUGUCAAAGAUCUUAGGAGACUUCAUAAGCAGUGAAUGGAUGAUAGACUAAGACGGACUAUAGAGGUCUACAUCGAUACUCCUCCAGGACCUGGAGCUUCAAGAAAGAAGCUCAAUGAGGCUAUACGUGGACUACGUGUUUAUGGCAAGGGAGCUAACAAGAAUAAGCUUGUAAUACGUCGCCUAUUUUGGACAGGACCUCGAUUUAAGCCUUACUAUAGCAAAGGAUGGGUAUCUCCAGGUCUAAAUAAACUACCUUAUAGAACUCCUAAGGAAAUCGAGACAGAUGGAGUCACGACUAAGGAAAGGAAAGUAAAGAUAGAUCCUUUUCCUAUCCGGUUGAGUACACCUAUGAACUUUGUGGCUGUAGGACAUGAAACUCUGUAGACUUUAUUAAGGUUAAUAGAGUGAUUAAAUAUUUUAAGGCAAGGAGUAACUAGUAAUUCUAUUUUGGUCUUUUUGGCUUUCUAUGUUGCUUGUGACUUUGUAAUAACUCUUGUUAUAUGAUCUUUGGUAUUAACGUAGAAUGAAAUAUUUAUUGCUCUUGUUUACAAUAUCAAAUUUUCUUAGCUACACUACUUAUUCAGUACUCUGCGCGCUUGCACGACCUUUAGCUAUGAAUUAUUUACCCCUUUUUAAUUAUUUAUUUAUUCUCCGUGUUAUAGUCAAGAGAUGUCACGUAAGGGAGGUGCUAGGCAUGCCUCUAGCUCGAGAGAUGUUUUAGGUAUCGCUGACGACGCUGACCCAACCUUGCACGAGAUGGCUAACGAAGGAAAUCCUAUGAUGCGCGCAAUGCUUAGAUUGAUGGAACAACAAAGUAAGUUAAUUCAAGAUAUGGCUAGAGGCAGAGUUGGGGCACAAGAGAAUGUGCCAGUUGAAAGGCAAGGUGGCGCAAGAGAUCAUGGGGCUAUGGUGAACUUAGAACGAUUUAAGAAAUUGGGACCACCUACCUUUCAGGGGACUGCCGAUUCCAUGGUUGCAGAGGCAUGGCUAAAACAGAUGGAGAAGAUAUUUGUGGCUAUGGGUUGUAAUGAUGAUCAAAGGGUAAUAUUAGCCUCAUUUGUCCUUCAGGGUGAGGCAGACCACUGGUGGGAUGCCAAAUCUCGUCUCAUAAGGGCUGGCUUGCAAGAUGCACCCAUUACUUGGGAGUUAUUUUUGGAGGCUUUUCAUGAAAAGUAUUUUCCUGAACGAGUUCGACAUCAGAUGGAGGCUGAUUUCUUGAGGUUAACUCAAGGAACAAAGUCUGUUGCGGAGUAUGAGGAACAAUUUACUGCCCUCUCUCGUUUUGCUCAUACCUUGGUUGCUAAUGAAGGUAGUAAGUGUAGGAAGUUCCUGGAAGGGUUACGUCCUAACAUUAAAGGGCGAUUGACCAUCCUUAAGAUUAACAAUUAUGCCGAUUUGGUGGACCGAGCAAUUCUUGCGGAGAAGGAUAUUCUUGAAGCCCAAGUUACAAAGGAUCAGAGAAAUAAGAAGAAUCAACAAGGUGGACCGCGAAAUGGAAGUUCCUUUAGGCAGGGCACUCACUCCCAGAAGUAUAAUGGUGGAGGUAACAAAUGGGAUAACAAGGGUGUUACUGGUGACACCGCUCGGAGGAACUACCCCAUUUGUCGACAUUGUGAAAGGAGGCACCCUGGUGAAUGCCAUUGGAAAACUGGAGCUUGUUUUGCUUGUGGAGAAUCUGGGCAUAGGAUUAUGGAUUGCCCAAAGAGACGUAGCGAGACUACAAAUACUCAGACUAACGAAGGGCAGAGGAAGAAACCGAGGGUACAAGGGCGUGUUUUUGCACUAACAGAAAAAGAUGCUGAGGUGUCCAAUGAUGUAGUAUCAGGUACAUUGUCUUUAUUCUCUAGAGAAGCCAAAGUUCUUUUUGAUCCUGGUGCUACACAUUCAUUUGUAUCUUGUGUGUUUGCCCGUUAUGCUAAUGUGCCUAUCACACCACUGGAUGUUCACGUGACAAUUAGUACCCCUAUGGGGGAUUGCUAGUUUAUAGAUCAUGUCUAUAAGUCAUGUGUGAUCAGAUUGUGUGAUAAAGAAUUCCUUGUGGAUCUCCUACCUUUAGAGAUGCACGAUUUUGAUUUGAUUUUGGGGAUGGAUUGGUUAGGACCUUACCAUGUUUCAAUAGAUUGUUUUGCUAAUUAAAUUAUUUUUCGCCUACCUGGCGAGGAAAAAUUUCAUUUUCAAGGGAAUCAUAAGAGUCAUAAAGCUUUGAUUUCUAUGGUUAAGGCAAUGAAAAUGCUAAAGAAGGGGUGUGAAGGAUUUUUAGCGUAUAUAGUUGCUGACCAUCCCGAUGGGGCGUGCCUUGAAGACAUACCUAUUGUAAGGGAGUUUAUUGAUGUAUUUCCUGAAGAUCUUCCGGGACUACCCCCAGAUCGAGAGGUUGAGUUUACUAUAGAAUUAGUUCCUGGUACUACACCUAUAUCCAAGGCACCAUAUCGGAUGGCACCCAUUGAAUUAAAAGAACUAAAGGUCCAGCUACAAGAAUUACUAGAUAAGGGUUUCAUUCGUCCUAGUGUGUCGCCUUGGGGUGCUCCCGUUUUGUUCGUAAAGAAGAAAGAUGGUUCAAUGAGGUUGUGUAUAGACUACCGGCAGUUGAAUAUGGUUACCGUCAAGAAUAAAUACCCUCUUCCCCGAAUUGAUGACCUCUUUGAUCAAUUACGAGGUGCAGCGGUAUUCUCUAAAAUUGAUUUACGAUCUGGCUACCAUCAAUUGAAAAUAAGAAGUGAGGAUGUAUCGAAGACAGCUUUUCGAACUCGUUAUGGACACUAUGAGUUCUUAGUUAUGCCUUUUGGAUUAACUAAUGCUCCUGCAGUGUUCAUGGAUUUGAUGAAUAGGAUCUUCCAACCUUAUCUUGACCAGUUUGUCAUCGUCUUUAUUGAUGACAUAUUAAUUUACUCUAAGAGUAAGAAGGAGCAUGAGUCGCACCUGAGGAUUGUAUUAGAAACAUUGCGGAAGAAGAAGUUGUAUGGAAAAUUUAAGAAAUGUGAGUUUUGGCUUGAUCGUGUGAUGUUUUUGGGACAUAUAGUGACGAAGGAUGGUAUUUCAGCAGAUCCAGCCAAAGUGGAGGUAAUUGUGAAUUGGGAAAGGCCUGCUAGUGUGACUGAAGUAAGGAGUUUCUUAGGAUUGGCAGGUUAUUAUAGGCGCUUUGUCAAAGGAUUUUCUAGCAUAGCAGCACCAUUGACUAAUUUGACUAAGAAGAAUGUGAAGUUCAAUUGGGAUGAGGCAUGUGAAAAGAGCUUUUAAGAGCUCAAGAGUCAUUUGGUGACUGCCCCCGUUUUAACUCUCCCUUCUGAAGGUGGAGGUUUUGUGAUUUACAGUGAUGCUUCCAGAAAAGGUUUGGGUUGCGUUUUAAUGCAACAUGGUAAGGUUAUAGCAUAUGCUUCUAGGCAGCUAAAGAAUCAUGAACAAAACUACCCAACACAUGAUUUGGAAUUGGCUGCUAUAAUGUUUGCUCUAAAAAUCUGGAGACACUAUUUGUAUGGGGAGACUUGUGAGAUCUUCACCGAUCAUAAGAGUUUGAAGUACUUGUUUACUCAAAAGGAAUUGAAUUUGAGGCAAAGAAGAUGGUUGGAGUUGGUAAAGGAUUUUGAUUGUUCUAUUAAUUACCAUCCAGGUAAGGCAAACGUAGUAGCGGAUGUCUUGAGUAGGAAAUCAUCUGGGUGCAUGGCUCAUCUUAUCACCAUGCAAUCUCAUUUGGUAAAAGACUUGAGGAGAUGUGGGAUUGAGGUAGUUACUCAUGGGCAAGCAGACGUGUUAGCACAUUUGACAGUCCAACCCACUCUAAUUGAUAGAGUUAAGGUAGCUCAGAAGAACGACAUAGAACUCAAUAAAAUCCGUGAAGAUGUGAGCAAAGGACAUAAGCCCGGAUUUAGACUUGAUAAUGGGGAUGGAUUAUGUUUGGGACAAAGGUUAUGCGUGCCAGCAGACGAAGAGUUGAAGGCGGAGAUCUUAAGAGAAGCUCAUGAAUCAUCUUACAGUAUGCAUCCUGGUAGUACUAAGAUGUAUCGUGAUCUAAAGCAAAGUUUUUGGUGGAGGAAUAUGAAGAGAGAUAUUGCUGCUUUUGUGUCUCGGUGUUUAGUCUGCCAACAAGUAAAGAUUGAGCAUUAAAGACCAGCAGGAACUUUACAAACGCUUCCUAUUCCUCAGUGGAAAUGGGAACACAUAACAAUGGAUUUCGUUUCUGGAUUACCUCGUUCUAGGAGGGGAUGUGAUUGCAUUUGGGUAAUUGUUGAUCGAUUGACGAAAUCAGCUCAUUUCUUGGCAAGGAAGAGUACAGACAAUGUAGGGCAACUAGCUAAGUUGUUCAUUAAGGAGAUAGUGAGGCUUCAUGGGGUUCCAGUGUCAAUAGUGUCUGAUAGAGAUCCACUGUUCACUUCAAGAUUUUGGGCUAGCUUACAUAAAGAGUUGGGGACGAAAUUGAGAUUUAGCACUGCUUUUCAUCCACAGACAGAUGGGCAAUCCGAAAGGACUAUUCAAACCCUUGAGGAUAUGCUUCGAGCUUGCGUCCUAGACUUGAGUGGUGGUUGGGAAGAGCACCUAAUGUUGAUCGAAUUUGCUUAUAACAAUAGCUUCCAUUCGAGUAUUGGCAUGGCACCAUUUGAGGCAUUAUAUGGAAGAAAGUGUAGGUCCCCAAUCUGCUGGGAUGAAGUUGGUGAAAGAAAACUUUUGGGUCCAGAAUUAAUACAGAUUACUGUUGAUAAAAUCAAGUUGAUUAGAGGACGUCUUCAAACAGCUCAGAGCAGACAGAAGAGUUAUGCAGAUCGUCGUAGACGUGAGUUGGAAUUCGAAAAAGGAGAUUUUGUUUUCUUGAAAGUAUCGCCAUGGAAAGGGGUGUUUCGGUUCGGGAAGACAGGAAAGCUUAGCCCUAGAUUUAUUGGACCAUUUGAGAUUUUAGAGAGAAUUGGUCCGGUGGCCUAUCGCAUAGCUUUACCACCAAGUCUGUCUAGGCUUCACAAUGUAUUUCAUGUGUCUGUGUUAAGAAAGUACAUUGCAGACCCUUUACAUGUGCUAGACUAUCAACCGAUUCAGAUAAAUGAAGACAUGUCGUAUGAGGAACAGCCUAUUGAGAUUGUCGAUCGAGACGAACAAGUAUUAAGGAAUAGAGUUAUUCCCCUAGUGAAGGUACGAUGGAUGAAUCAUUCUAUUGAGGAAGCCACUUGGGAGAGAAGCAGAAAUGUUGGAGAAGUAUCCUCAACUCUUCCAUGCAUAAGGUAACCUUUUAAUUUCGAGGACGAAAUUUUUGUUAGGAGGGGAGAAAUUGUAACGCCACAAAUUCCCAUACAUAUUAAAUUAUGGAAAUUGGGCUUUCAUUGAGAAUUAUGGGUGGCCUAUAACCCUUAUUUAGAAAGGGGUACUAAUUAAAUAGAGGUUAUUUAUGAGAUCAUUUUGGAAAAGGGCUAUUUUUCCUUAUUGAAUAGGGUUUCUUAAGAUCCCCUAUAAAUACAUACUUUUCCCCCUUCCAUAACCCUAAGUUCACAACGUUUAUCCUUCUUCUCUGCUGCUCUUUACGCUCCUACCCAAAUCUUAGGAUUCAAACCUUUGUUUAGGAGAGACUCAAAGCGACGGGUAAGUUCACAACGUUUAUUCUGAACAGCAUGAGUAUCUCGAAUUUUUAAAGCUAUAUUUUCUGAACGAAUUUUCUUAUAAAAUUUAUAUUUCUGGAAACUAGACAUGUAGGGCUUCUUGAUUAAAUUUUAUUUCAUUAAAUUCAACUUCGUUUUCAAUUUUAUACGUAUUUUGGAAAUAGAAACCACUGCACUGGAAAUCCACGAUUCCAGUAUUGUGAUCAGAUUCAAAAGACUAUUUGUACCACCAAAUGAACUCAAAAAAUUCUGAAAGUUUAUAUGUAUGUUAAUAUAUGUGUCUAGGAUUCGCAGUUUUAAUUUCAUAAUUUUCUGAUUAGUAUUUUAUUUUAUAAAAAUCACGGAACCCAUUCUGUUUGGUUUAGAUUAUGUGAAAACAGUUUCGAAUUUGCUGAGAAGUAAAUAGUUUUUAAAAUGUUUUUGAUAUCGGAUUCUCUUGUAAAUUUUACAUGGGGUACUCAUGGAUGUCCAGAAUGGUUCCAUAGGAUUUUAUAUCAUUCUGAGACUUGGAUUAAGAGUUAAAAUUCUGAGAAUCAGACCUGUACGGGUAUGAAUUAGAAAAUCAAAUUCUUAGAAUACGUUAUUGAUUGUCAUAUCUUGUAUUUGUUUAAGGUUUUGAAGGUGUUUGAGGCUCUUAGAAGCUUAGAGGUGUGUUAAUCCAAGUUCAUUUGUCGAGGUAAGUAACUUCAUUCCUAGUAUACUGGAUAUGUAUAAGUAUUUUGAUAUUAUUGUUAUAAGUAUAAAUGUUUUUAUACUACUUAAAGGAUUAAUUGAUUUUGAUAACAAAAUUAGCUUUAUGUAAAUGUUUUCAAACCAUUCUUUUUAACAAAGUAUUUUAUAAAUGCUUUUUAAUAUGUAAAUGAUUUUAUGACAUGACAACCUUUUAUGAUUUUAUCUUUAAAAUGUUAUGCAAGCCUAAAUUAUUGUUAUGAACUUUUAUGAAACUGAUACGAAUGUUUUGUACCUAUGUUUGAUUUCAAUUAUUGAUGAUUGUAUGAGAUUCUUAAUGCUUUGGCUCAUUGUCCAUAGUUAGUCUGAUUCUGAUUCUGAUUCUGAUCGUAAUAUACGAUAUAUCCGUCUGGACCAGUACUGGGUUUCUGUUCUGAAUGUACACACGAUAUUCUGAUUAUGUUUCUGGCCGGGUCACCGGGACUAUAGGUGACACUAUGUGACAUGAGCUAACCUGUUUGUUUUCUGUAUACGUAUUACAUGAGUUGAUUCGUAAGUAAAUAUGCUUUUGAAUAUUCUGAAUUAUUAAGAAUUUAUCUUAUGUUAUUGUGAUAUAUCGUUUUAUGAAAAUUAUGGAUUAUGAUAUAUGCUUUAAACAAAAGAAGGCUUGCAAUAUUUUUGGUAUCAAUAGGCCUAGUGUGUUAGGAAUGAUUUUACUUACCGAGUUGACGGCUCACCCCUCGUCAUUACUUUUUUGCAGAUUAAGUUUCUUUUGAGAGGUGCACUUAGCUUUGGAGUUAAUGAUUUCCAGUUUCCGUUUGCUAUUGAAUAAGAGGAGGAAUAGACUUGUGUUUCUAUUUAGUUACUUUUAUUAUGAACGUGUAAUUUGGAGUUUGAGACUUUUGUUAUUAUUUUUAUAUGUCCUCGAGAGAGAUUAUUUAGUAUUUGACGUUUGGAUUUAUGGAUUUAUUUGAAUAAGAAUUGGAGGAAUUUCAGUUUGAAACUUAUGAGUAAAGAUUAUGAUUUGUGAGUAACCUCCUUCUUCACGUGCUCCGCACGUGUUAGAUUUGGGGUGUUACACCACCCGUUUUUGUGGCCUUUUCCCGCUGGACGAACUUGGCGCCCCGGCCUUCAGGCACUUGCUCAAUUCCUUCUCUGCAAAUUUGAACGCUUGAACACGCACCGUCAUCCCAGUUCCUUGCAGUCGUCUCGAAGCCCCUGCUUUCAGUAGAGGAAAGACGAUUCUGUAUAGCCAUCAAACAGAUAAGAAAAUUUGAAACAAUCCAAGGUUUCUCAGAUCAAAUGAAACCCCAAGAUCAAUCAAGACCAAUGGAUGAUCUUGUACUUAGCUCUAAAACAAACAAGUAAAACCAUCGAAGAAAUUGGAUCAAAACCAGCAGGUUUAGAUUGAUUAUUUAUAAACAUCAUACUUGCCACACUCUUGGCGUGUAAAUCCUUAGAUUCACAGGUCUUAUAUCACAUGAAUGAAGAUGCUAGUGGUGUGCCUCCAUGGAUCUCUUAGUUUUCAAGUUGUUUUAUUUGACUGACCACCUAAGUUUGAAUCGUGGUGAGGGAAGAAGAUAAAAAUUAAUUUGAUCUUUGCACCUCACUACUUUUAAAAGAGCUCAAACUUCAGACUCAGUUUUGAAUUUUAAUUAUUUUAAAUUGAAACGCUAAUUCCAUAUAUUAUAUAUAUGAGUUUUUUUUCCCAAGGUUGAAUUAAAAUAUAUAUUUACAAAAUUCUCGAGAUAUGUGAUUUUUCAAGAUUUAAUAGAAUCAUAAGUACUAGUUAUAUAUACAUCUUAAUAAAUGUUUGCCAGACCUUUAUUUGUACUAAAAUUAUAUAUAUAUCUAGACUCCCAUUACACUUUAGAUUGUAACAAUUUAAAUAAAAAUAUUUUUUUUGGUGGAAGUCGUCUAGAAUUCUAAGAUUGAAAGUCAAAUUUCAAUAAAAAAAAAAUUAAUUUAAUAUAUAUAUAUAUAUAGAGAGAGAGAGAGAGAGAGAGAGAGAGAGAGCUUCUUAAGUGCAUAUACUUAAGGGAGUCCCUAUGUUACAUUUAAUGUACCAUACACAACCCACAAGAACCACAUAAAUUGUGGGAUCCACAUAAUUGUGUGGUUCUUGUGGGUUGUGUAUGGUACAUUAAAUGUACAUUAAUAUUAUGUGGUGUUAUAGCGAAUCUACACAAAAUCUGCAUUUAGUGCAUCCACACUUGAGAAUUUCUAUAUAUCAAAACUUUCAAAUGCAGAAGUCCAAAUAUAGAUUUCGUGCGGAUUCACUACAAAAUCAUAUGAUGUUAACAUGUUUUUACAAUUGACUAUAAUACCACAUGAUGUUAACAUGUUUUUACAAUUGACUAUAAUACCACAUGAUGUUAUAGAAAAUCCACACGAAAUCUAUAUUAUAUAAAGAGAGAGAUCUCGCUUUGCUUUAUAAUUGCGGUGAUAUUCCCACCCCUCAAAUGUUGUAAACUUACCUCACCUUAAAAAAUUAAAUCAUAAAAAAUUCACAUUAUUUUUAACGAUUUCAAAUUAGUAAGAAUAAAAUUAAGCAAUUGACUAAUUAAAUCCUCAUUAAAUAAUUAAAAUACAUUUAUGAUAUGAUAUUUCAAAAAAUUUAUGCUAUUUUUCUCAUGAAAUUUAUUAAAUAUAAGAAGGAUCUGAUUGAUUAAUUGUUUAAAAUUUUAUUUAUUUUAAAUUAAAAAAUGUGAAUUAUUUUUUAAAUAAUUCUUUGAAAUGAUUUAAAUGCGGCACGUGUCCCAUCAAGUUAAAACCUAAAGUUGAUUUAAAAACGGAAACCAAGUAGCGAGGCCCCGUUCUUCAGGAAAUUCCGAGCUAAGUUAAUCAACAUUUCCACUAAUUAUUUUUAUUUUCUUCCAAAGUUUAUUUAAUUAGAUCAAUUUCUGGCUUCCUACUUAAAUUGCAUAUCCAAUUUGGGGGUUGAUUUUUGGAGAUGGAGAUAAACUGAAACAUUAAUUGAAAUCGAUUGAGAAAAAAAAAAUCGAUUGAGAUUGAAAGUUCUUUAUUACCCAACAUACAGAAUACAUAUGCAAUUAAUUCAAAUUUCUAAAAUUACUGUAAUUGUUGGCAAUGUGGGUUUUUUUUUUCGUUGGGGGGGGGGGUGUCUGAAAUUUGCAUGCAUGCCUUAAUUGAGUUUUAUCACUUUAAAUCCUAAUUACUAAUGUUUUUUCUGUUAAUGGUUGAAAAUAAGAUAAGAAGAGAGAAGGUGAACUUGAAGAAGUAUAAGAAGACAAGACAUGUAAUGAUGUUGAUGUGUUUAUGUGAAUAAAGAGAACAACGGAGGUGGAACCAUUGGACAAAUGGAAAUGGAAUCUUUGUCCAAGUUUUUCCCUUGAUGUUCUAAAGUUUGCAUAUAUAUGUUUCAAGAAACAAAUGGAAAUUAAAUAGUACUUAAAGGUGAACUCACAUCGUCAACUAGAGGUUACACUACCAUUUGCCCAAUGGUUCCAUUUCUAUUAUCAUUUUCUUUAUUCACAGAAAUAUCAUCGGCCUCAUAUUCAUCAGUAUAAGAAGAGGGACAAGGACAAGGACAAGGACAGGGUGAGUCUAUUGUAAGACUACAGCAAAUCUACAAUUUAGUUUUAUUUUUGCUGCUACACCCAGGAAUCACUAGCAUCAACCACCUCCUUUAUUGCCCUUGAUUCAUUUUUCUCCUGAAGAUUGUUGACCUGAUGAAAUAACACUUAAAAUGAGGCUGCCUUAGACGAAGCAUAUAUGUUAAUCACCUGUUGUAAUCUCAUGCCAAAACAUUUCAGUUCCUGCUCAUAAAAUUAGUUACUUCAACCUUUGUCAUAUGUAUUCUCCACUGCUUCAAGAUACUUAGAUAGUGAAUGUGUCUAAAGUCCAACUCAAAAGAUUCAUUUGAGAAAAAAUUCUUCAGAUGGUCAUGUAGAGUUCUAAUUUAUCUCCGCAUCAUACACAAAAUACUUGAAACCUACACAUCAAUGAUCAAUGUUCAUCUUUUAUUGACAAUCCCAAUUCUCAAGUGUGUUUGGAAAGAAAUUAGAUUCACAGGCAUUCUAGAAAUAUCUGGUGUAUGUCAAUGACAAUGAUGCCAAGUCAUGUCUCAUGGCGUCCAAAAAAAAAAAAUGGUGAUGUAUGUGGAGGAAGAUCGUCAGCUCAAUUAAAACUACACCUCGGUCAUUUCUGGACUCGUCAACAAGAGGUAAUUUCUUACUUUGUGAACAAAUUUUGUGUCUUAUAAUUUUUUCCGUAUUUAUAUACUUACAUGCUGUUUUGUAAUUAUAUAGCCACCAAAGCCUGGACAUGGAGAUGUGUGUUUUGUUAUGUUUAGUCCAUUUAUAAGAUCACGUGUCAUGUGAUUUAUAAGUCUACUUAAUGGUUGCAAUCAAAUGAGUUCAUGUCCAGAUUUUGAAGUUAGUUAAUUUCAACAUAUAGCAAUGAUUGUAUCCAUUGCUUUUAUGAAGUUGCUAUGUUAUUGCUUCUUUAAUAAGUGGCAGGCAUGAUUUUCUAUUUUUCCACAGCUUAAAUUGUUAAAUAAUUGAUAAUGCUCUUGUGCUUACUCUGUUCUUUUCUUUUUAGAUAAGCUUUAUGGUCCCAGUGGAAUUGUUUUCACCCUUUCUUUAUUGACAGUGGAUGUAUAAAACAAAUUGGUCUUGAUUGAUACUUGAUGAUGUUGUAGUUAUUUCUCUUUGCUUUAUUCUUUUUGCAACAUAUGGAAGACUGAGUAUCGUGAGAUUCAUUUCCCGCACUGCUCUGCCUUGAUCUGUUCUAAUUUGAGAGUCAGCAAUCUUGAUUCAACUUCUUGGGUGGAGUACUAGCUAAGAGAAGGGAGGCAUGGGAGCCAGCACUAAUUUUUGAAUUGAGGAGAUAUGGGCAUCAACUUCAGACUAUUUUCAGAGAGGCUGAGAAGGGCGUUAGCUGGCGAAGAAGUCACAUUGCCUGAUGCUGCAAAACAACCUAUUCAGAACCUUUGUGCCGAGGUUGAAAUCGUUACUCCUUGGCUGAGGGACUUUGAAUAUGAUAUGUCCUGGCUUCUGUUGCAAAAAAAUAGGAGAAGAUGAAAUUGACAACCCAGACCUUGGGACCAGAAAUCAAUUGCUUUACAUAUGAAUCUGAGAAGGUCAUUGACACAUUCUCAACAGCAUCACUCAACAGAAGAGUCAAAGCAGGUGCAACAAGGACAUUUGUAAUGCUCUGCUAGGACUCCAGAGCAUAAUCAAUGAUAUAAAACAGCGGGUGCAACAACUUCAGUACAUCGUUUCCGGAAUCAUUGAUGAUUUCAAAAGUAUUGAAGAUGAAGCCGAUUAUUUUCCUGCAUCAUCAUCUUAUAAGAAUAGGGGCAUGGUGGGUCUAGAAGACAGAAUGGAGGAGUUGUUAGAUAUAUUGAUAGAGGGACCACCUCAGCUUUCAGUGGUGGCCAUCUUGAUAGCAUUGGGUUGGGCAAGGUGGCUUUCGCUGUAGAGGCUUACAGCAGCAGUGAUGUGAAGCAUUAUUUUAAUUGUCACACUUGGGUUCCAGAGCCUUACAGCUAUGAUGCUGAUGAUGACCAAAUAUUAGAUAUCAUUAUUAAGUUUCUAAUGCCUUCAUCUAGGUUGAGUGUAAUAAAGGAUAAAAUUUAUGAAAUGAAAAAAAAAUCUUCAUGAAUAUCUAAUGAUAAAGCGGCAUUUAAUUGUGGUUGAUGAUGUGUGGAGAAUUGAAGUGUGGGAUUUUAUUCGAGAAAUACUUCCGGAUAAUCGGAAUGGAAAUGGGGUACUAAUAACACUCAUUCAAAUUGAUGUCGUCAUCUCAUUUCAGUUCAAAAUCGGACAGAAUAUUUGGCUUGAUUUAUUGUCCACUAGAGGACCAUUGAGAGUUGUUUACCUUUUUGCUUAAAACUUUGUUUUUCUUACUUAUCUGUGUUUCCUGUACAACUGGAGGCAUCCACCAGGUAGUUUUAUCAGUUGUGGAUAUCUGAAGGUUUCAUUCCAGACAAUAGCGAGGCAACUACUGAGAAGUACUUGGAACAACUAAUGAAUAGAGUCUUUGUUGAUGCAAGGAAGAGAAGCGAUGGAGGCAGAAUCAACGCAUGCCCUAUUCGUACUCGUUGCUGGCCUUCAUUGUUGCAAAUGGCUCUCAAAGCAGAAUUUAUCUUUUCCCCUAUCCUGGAUCAAAAAGGUAAAUCAGAAAAAAAUGUCAAACGUGUCUAUGUUUUUUUUUUAAAACAGAGUGAUUUUGCUUACUUAGAUGAUUGUGACUUGCACCUGCAUUCUUUGUUGUACUUCAGAAAGCGACCACCUUGACCCCAUAGAUUGGGUGAAAAUCGGUUGAGUAAUGGACUUGGGAUCUCUUGUUCUCAGCCAAUUUCCAUCCAAAAUUGAAACUUUAUUUCUUUUGAUAUUUGAAGCUGGAUAUCCCUUCCCUCACAAGCCUGGCUUCAUCAUUAUUAAUAAAUCUCUGAAUCUGUACCCCAUAGCCAUGCCCUUUAGCUACAUAGUGUAAAUAUUUAGAGUCUGAAAAUACUAUUUUCUUCUUUCAUUCAUUCUACAAGUUACACUUAAAUAGAAUGUAGAAAACAAACUCCUAAUAGAUAUCCCUUAAUUGUAGGAUACUUAUCUAAGCUUGAAUUUUAAAAAAUGAUUAUCUAAAACUUUAUUUCGAUAAGACUUUAAAACUAAACUAAUUAUCUAAAACUUUAUUCUGAUAAGACUUUCAAACUAACUGAAAAAUCCUAACUUCUUAACACUCCCCCUCAAGUUGGUGCGUAGAUGUCAAUCAUUCCCAACUUGCUGACAAGAUGUCCAAAGUUAGUUUUGAGGAGUCCCUUGGUUAGGAUAUCAGCUAUUUAUUGUUUUGUUGGAAAAAAUAAUAGGCAGAUAAUCUUAUUCUCAAGUUUCUCCUUGAUGAAGUGACGGUCAAUUUCAACAUGCUUGGUCCUAUCAUGUUGUACUGGGUUAUGUGCAAUGUUGAUUGCUGCUUUGUUGUCGCAGUAUAACCUCAUAGGUAAAACUAUAGGUCUUUUCAAAUCCUCGAGAACUUGUUUCAGCCACAAUACUUCACAAAGCCCAUGUGCCAUAGCUCUAAAUUCAGCUUCAGCAGUACUUCGUGCAACCACAUUUUGUUUCUUACUCCUCCAAGUCACUAAAUUACCCUAUACAAAAGUGCAAUAGCCAGUAGUAGACUUCCUGUCUGUAACUGAACCUGCCCAAUCAGCAUCAGUGUAUACCUCAAUACCUCUCUAUUCUCUGUUUUUCUAAACAAAAGUCCCUUUCCUGGAGUACUUUUUAGAUAUAUGAGAAUUCUGUAAACAGCUUCGAGAUGUUCUUCCCGAGGAUGAUGCAUGAAGCGACUUACUAUACUGACUGCAAAAGCGACGUCUGGUCUAGUUUUAGAUAUCGUCGUGCAUCCACUAAGGCUUUUUCUCCUUCACAUAGUUUUAGAUUGUACUCCACAAGCGUAUCAAUUGGUUUGCAGCCACUCAUUCCAGUUUCCUUCAAUAAAUCAAGGAUGUAUUUCCUUUGUGAGACAACUAUACCUUUCUUGGAACGAGCAACUUCCAUUCCAAGAAAGUAUUUCAAGGCACCUAAGUCCUUGAUUUCAAAAUCAGUGGCUAGGCUUUGCUUCAAUCUGUCCAUUUCAACUAAAUCAUCUCCAGUGAGAAUAAUGUCAUCCACAUACACUAUAAGCACAAUGGUUUUACCUUUAGCUGAAACUCUAGUGAACAUUGUGUGAUCAGCCUGACUUUUUUUGUAACAUUGUCUAUUCACAGAUGUAGUAAAUUUCUCAAACCAAGCCCUAGGCGAUUGUUUGAGACCAUAUAAGGACUUUUGCAACUUGCACACAUUUGACCUAAAUUUUUCAGAGAAACUAGGAGGAGGAUCCAUGUAUACUUCCUCUUUUAAAUCCCCGUUGAGAAAUGCAUUCUUCACAUCCCAUUGUUGUAAUGGCCAAUUUAGGUUUGUAGCAAUAGACAAGAGAACUCAUACAGUGUUUAACUUUGCUACUGGUGCAAAUGUCUCUGAAUAGUCAAUCCCAUAGGUUUGAGUAAACUCCUUUGCCACUAGGCGAGCCUUGUAUCUCUCAAGUGAACCAUCUGAAUUGUAUUUGAUAGUAAAUACCCACUUGCAGCCAACUGUUGACUUCCCUUUAGGCAAAUUGACCACCUUCCAAGUCUGAUUCUUCUCAAGAGCAUUCAUCUCUUCAAGGAUAGCUGCCUUCUGUUGAGUGUUAGAAAAUGCAUAUUUAUAAAGGAGAAAACCAUCGUUUUACAUUUCAAGUCUUACUAACAACCCUUACUUUUAUGUAUUUAACCUUUUUGUGAUUUAAUUACAUGUGUUUUAUUUUAAUUAAGUAUUUUAUGUAUUUUAGGGGCAUCAUAGUCAUUUCACAAUAAACGAGAAAUCAGAUGGCAAAACGGACAUCACUUUUGAACUCAGGACGGUCGAAAACCUUAGGAUAAGCAUAAAAGGAAAAAUGGCACUGUUCACUUGUACGGUACUAUUCACGUGUACGGUACUGUAUACGUUACUGUUCAUGACACUGUUCACAUAGACGGAUGAUGACGUGGCAUUGACCGAUGAUGUGGCAUUGACUGAUGAGGUGUCACGAUCCUGUUGGACUAAAAUUCUUAUGUACUGUUGAUGGUGACGUGGCAGCAUAUCAGUGGACGAAAAAUCUCGCGUACGGUGCAUGCAUCACACAGGAUUAUUUUCAACCAAACCGCGUUACUGUUCAAAGUCGGGUCAAACCGUGUUACUGUUCAUCCGCGUGGUCAAACCGUGGACUGUUGACUGAUGACGUGGCGCAAUCCUGAGCGUCCAAACUAUUUUUAAUCCGAUGGCCAUGAUUUACACCAUGUAUCUAUAAAAAGGGGGCCUCUCCCCCCUAAUUUGAUAUCUCUGAAUCCAUUUUUGGGAUCCAUUUUCUGUAAUUCUCUCUCCAUCUUGUAUUUUCUAUGUAUUUUAAUAAAUUCCGAUUUUGCCCCUAGUUCAAUUAUGAGUGGCUAAUUUUCUUUCAAGCUUGGGUUGAAGGUGAAGUCUCAACAUGUGUCAUGGGCUUAAUUUGGUAAAUUUACUUUCUCUUCCCCUCUAGUUUUUGUGGAUGUUUUGACUUCUCGUCGACAAAUAAUACUAAUCUUGUCUAGUACCGCCUUGGUUUCACCGGCCCUCUAGUAUAAGGUUAUUAUUAUUUGGCACGAUAAGCCCUUAGCACCAUAUUGAUUAGAGCGUGGUUCAUGAGGUGUGGAUUCCCCCCUCAUGAUUUAAUUAGCAUUAAUACGGAUUAUUUAGCCCAUGAUGCAUGUUGAUACGGAUCCAGAUACCCAAGUACGUCAUUUCAAUAGAAUUAUCUUUAAUUUAUUCUCGCCAUUGCAAUUCCAAUUUUAGAAUUUAUUCUCGCCAUUUUAAUUUAAGUUUUAGCAUAUACCAAAUCAUUUCCACCAUAAAUCCAACAACCCAUUUACAAAAUUAAUUCUAUACACAAUUAAAAUCCACCUCCUCGUGGGAUCGACACUCGUCACCAUAGAUCUAUACUACAAUAGAUUCGUGCGCUUGCGAGUACAUUAAAAUUUGCACAACACCUUCCAUUCAGGUACACUUAGAGCAUCCUGUACAUUUUUUAGAAUUUCUACACUAGAAUGCUGUGAGGUAAAUGCAUAGAAAGGAGGUGAUAGGUUGUGAUAUGAAACAAAGUUAGACAAUGGGUAUUUGGCACACACUAUUAAAAAAAUGACUUUUACUGACACUUUGGAAAAAGUGUCAAUAAUUACCUAAUUAUGCAUCAUUUUCCGCUUUUUACAAAUAGAUGUCACAAAUUAUUAAUAUUAAUGUAUCAAUAAAUUAAAUAUCAGAGAUCGCUGAUACUUCAGUAUCAGAGAUUUAAAAAAAAUCAUUAAAAUUUGUUUUGAUUUUUACUCGAACCUGGACUUCUAAAACUCAAAACUUUUACGUUUAGAUCGCAAACCGCUGGACGCCAUAAAAUUGAAUUGGAAUUACAAUGUUAUAUAAAAUGUUGACAUAUAAAAAACCAAACCCUAAUUCCCCUUCUCCAUUGUGCAAUAGAGCCCAUGCCGCAGCCGCUGUGUAAUUUCCUUGUCUUUCUUGACUUCUUCUCUAUCGUGAAAGAUGGAGAAUGACCAAGCCCAAACGCCCACAUCCACGGCCGCGCCCAACCUCCACGGCCACGCCCAACCUCCACGGCCACGCCCACCCCCACGUCGUUGCCUCUAUCACUUUCGUUCAAGUGGUUCGACACUGCAGGUACUAAAUUAAGAAUUUAAAGCAUGUAAAACGAAAGUAAAACAUAUCCCAAACUUAGCAAUUGUCCCCAUCUCGCUGUCUUUUAUACACACAAAUCUCUAACCCAAACUCAAACCCAAAAUUGUCUCUUGCCUUUCUCUUUCUCUUUCCUUUUUCUCUUCUCGAUCUCUUCCUUUUUUUUUUUUGGUCCAUUCACAAACUCGUUCAUUUAACUCAAAUAGAUAAUAUAAAGCUAAAACCUAAAGUGAGGCUUUUCUUUCCUUUUUCCUUUUUUUCCCAAAUUGAAAAAUGGAUCAAAACAAUAAUCGGGGCUUCUUUCAGCAAAUUAUUUUUCUUUUUAUGGUCAAAUUUCACUUUUUUUUGUUCAAUAUUCGAAACCCAUUUGCUUGAAUUUGAAUAAAAUUAUUGAGAAAUUAGUUAAUUUUCUUGCUAUGGAAGAGAUACCGCACCUUAUACGUAGACAUGUGAAGGAGAUUUUCAAUGACUCUAAGGGCAAACAGGUUGCCUUGAUUAAGGCUUUAACUGUUGGUAAUGGCUUAAUAUUUUAUUUUCUUUGUCAAAUUAAUUAACAGGUUUUUUUAUUUUAGCUUAUGAUUAUUAGGGUUUUUUGUUAAUUUUAAUUUUCUGGGUUGUUGCAGAUGUUGAGAAACUCUACCAGUGUGCAGUCUUGGUAGGAUUUCUUUUCCAUAUCUAUUUUUUGUUUAUUUAAUUGUAAUUUGAAUUUUUUUCUUUUUUUCCUAUAUUUCUAUAUUAUAAAGAUUGAAUGGUUGUGUAUUUAGUAAUUAUUACAUGUUAUUUACUGCUCUGUUUCAUGUAAAGAGAAGCAAAUUAUGUUAUAGAAACCAACAUGUUUAUUUAUUUAUUUUUUUCGGUUGGAAGAUUUUUAAUAGAGUCAAUGACUAUGAUAUGAAUUACCUAAGUUCAUGCUUGUCUGAAUGUUUUGAGAUUGCACAAAGUUCAUGAUUUGUCUUUAAUUCAAGAAGAAAAUGCUUGUUUUUAGGUAGUUUUGCUUGUUGUAGCACUUGGAGACUUACAUUUUCUUUCUUCAUUUGCACGGUUAGUUUCGCUCUUAUUCAAAAGUUUAUGUGUUUCCUCACUUGCAUGGUCAUUAAUUCAUUCCAUGAUUUUUCUUCUAUAAACACACUUUUAUUUGCCUUUCACUAGUUUGAAGGACUUUAUUUUUUUUAAUUAAAAAAUUCCAAAGAUUGAAAUGAAUUGAAAUUGCUGCUAUAAUGUACUUUCUUUGCUGCUGAAGUUCAAGGAAUGUCUAUUUAAAUGAACUAGAACUUGAAAAAUCUUGUAGUGUUGUUGUACCCAUAGACUUCAUUUUUUUUCUUGCACAUUACACUUAUUUUGUUCAUCUUCUUACCUUCAAUUUGUCGUAGAGGUAAACAAUGCUUGACGGGAAAUGGAGGUUUGCAUUUACAGCGGCUGAAUCUCAUGAACAAGAAGUUGGCAAACUGAGGUCUAUAUUUUUUCCUCAAAUUCAUAGUUGAAUUCAUAGUAAGCUCAAAGCAAUUGAUUGAGGGAGAAAGUAAAUUGAGUUUUAUUUAUUAGUACAAUUUUUGUUAUUCAGUGCUUUACACUCUUCAUGACAACUUCUGCGAUCUUGUCCUAUUACCUUAAGGUACUACUGGAUAUUUGAGAAAAAAUUAAAAAUGAUUAAGCUUAUCUUUCUUUGAUGGUAGAAUUACAGUAUGUCUCCUCACUUAUUGUAGUUCAUCCAAUUUUAUUUUUGUUGCGCAGUCUGUGGAAAUCAGAGUACCACAUUUAAGAGUUUUUAUAAAAUGUCUCCUUUACCUUUCCUAUUAUUUAAACUAAUUUCAUGUGUUUUUCUUUAGUUAAUGAUUGAUUUUCAAGCAAUUGAAGGAAAGUAACUUGUAGAACCUCCUUCUAAAAUUGGUCUGGAACCUUUGUGUGCAAUGGUUAGUGAAAUCAUAAUCCGUGGCUUGUGUUAAUAUGCAUCGAUUGUGUGAAAACUAUUGUUUACUAUUUUCUGUGGCUGGUUAUUAACAUGAUUCACAGAUAAACAACAAUAGACUCAUACCCAUAUGCUUGCUUGCUUUCAACAUGCACUUUCUUUCUUUUUUUCUGUAGUUUUUUUUAUGCGUCUCUCUUUGAAGAAUAAUAUUAUUAGCUUACACGAAAAGGGGGAAAUUGCCGUUAUCUUGCUGCAAGUUUUGUCCCGGUUCUAUAGUUCUACUAUUUUGUAUCACCUUGGAUGACAUGUCGAGUGAAUCCUGAAACAUCAUUUGUCAACCUUUUGAUUCAGUAAUAAUUUAUUAAUUUUGAGAAAUUAGUUUCAUUUUAUCUUGUUUGUACCUAUAAUGCAUUGUGUUCAAUGUUCUUGAAAUUUUUGGGCAUGGCUGCAAACAAAUUUAGCAGUUUUUAAUAGCCAACUAUAGAGACACUUUAAAAUUUGUUUGGGUGAUGAGUUUUUAUGGUUUUGUAAUUGGGGUGAAGGGUAGCAAAUAUCAAUCUUGUCUAAAGAGCACUUGUGUAAGAUUACUUUUGAGUAUAGUGGGGCAGCCUAUAUUAGUAUUUUUAUGAAAUAAGCAGAAAAAGGAAUCCCUUUCUGCUGUUAGCAAUAAAAAUAAUUUUCAAAAAUGUAAAUACCAAGCUUUCUAGUUGUCACCGUUAUUUGCAAAGAUCUUUUCAAUGUAUUUGUAGAUCCCAACAUAUCUUGAUGCAUGAUCAAUUAGUAUAUGAUAGCAUGGGUGAUGAUCUUUCCAUUUGCUUCUCUUUUUCUAUUUUUUUUGGGCAUCAUCGUCUAACGUAAGCAGGCCUCCUCCAUGUUGAUUUUUUUUAAAGAGUUUGGAGCUUAUGCAUUCGCAAUUCUAAAACAUGGGCCAAUAUGCUUUCUACUUGUUAAUCUAUUUACUUAUUGUCAAUUUUGCAGGUUAAUUUUGAAGAUGCGCAGAGAGGUUUUGUAGAGGUUGGGAAGGUAUUUAAAACUUAAAGCUUUUAAUUCUUCUUUCCCCUGCUUAAUAUAUGUUUUCCCUAUAUAGUGUUUCAACAUGACCUGAUUUCAUGCCGCCUCAUUUAUUCCAACAUCCAUAAACACUGAAAUUGACCUGAUUAGUUUUUCUCCCAAAAAUCCAAGAAUUAUUUUUUUGUGGUAUACUAAUUGAUUUUAUGUACUUGUAGGUGGAAAAAGAAAAAUGAAGCCGCUUGUGGAUGUUCAGUGACAUUAUGUGCUUCUUUUUGUUGGUUAAUAUUUGUUGAAUCUUAGCUUAGUACUUUGUAGUUCAGAGCUUGUCCAAGACUUAAUUUAGUACUUAUAUUUGUCUUUUCCAAACAAUGAUGUAGUUGAAUUAUAUGAAUUUAAGUGAUGGAUUUGAGAUAUUUCUUAUGUAAUUGUGUUGCGAGAUUUUGUAUAUUUUAAUAUACUUUGAGUUUUCCUUUGGUUGUAAAACGAACAAGAAAAUAUAAUUAAAAUAAAAGUAUACUAUUAACCAAAAGAAUCAUAACAUCAUUGAAUACUGACACUAAAUGUUUAAAAUGACAUUAAUAAUUUUUGAUGUUAUUGAGUCAGUGUGUUCUUGAUAUUGUAGUCUCAUAAAUUAUUGACAUAAAUAGUAUCAUUAAAUACUAAUGCUAUCGUGUCAUUAUUUUAGUGAUACCAUAAUGACAUGAAUUACUGACACAAAAAUCAUUGACACUAAAAAUUAGUGUCAGUGUGUUUUGGCUGGAGCAUUAUUGACACAAUUAACAAGUGUCAGGAAAAGUAAUUACUGACACUAAAUUAGUGUCAGUAAAGUCCAUUUUUCUAGUAGUGACAACUUCUAGUACCUUUCCUAAGAGCAAUAGGUAUGUCCAGAUCACUAAGAACCUGAGAAUUUAAAUUUAACUCACAAGAAGGAUUAGAAUUACAAUUACCUGAGGAAGAAGAAGUUUGAUUUGACCUUGGAUUGGAAUCAUGGCCUUGCUGCAAAGUAGGGUUUUCUCUUCUUUGAUUAGUACCCUUUCUUGAGUAAACAAUAAACUCAGAUUGUUUAUUACCCUGUCUUGCACACAAAUCUGGUUCUAAUGGCACAUUAGAGGGCUGUCCAGGUUGAUUAGCAUUUACAUUAUCAGAUUUAGUGAGGUUUUCUUGUGGUUCGGGUGCAUUAGGUUCUAAUAUGGGAUCAAGAAUGGUAUAACCAGGUAUAGCAAUGUUAGGAACAUGUACAACAGUAUUAGGUUCAGGUAUGGCAGCCUCGAGACUUUUUUCUGGACGGAGGGAGUCUAGCACAGAAGAAAUAGAAGGGUUUUCUAGGUGAAUAGUGUUAAAGAUAGAAGGGGUUUCUAGGUGAGUAGUGUUAAAGAUAGAAUCUUCACUCCUAUUCUCCCCCUGAAGAUGACUAUCUACAUAAUAUCUUCGUUUUUCAAAAAAUGUAACAUCCAUGGUAACAAACAUUUUUUUUUAAAAUAGGAUCAAAACAUUUAUAACCCUUUUGUGUUGGAGAAUAUCCAACAAAAAUGCAUUUUCUAGCCUUUAGAGCAAGUUUGCCCCGAUUCUGGUUGUGAAUAUGAACAAAAGCAACACAACCGAAUAUUUUGGGCGGAAGUGUGACUGAAAUUCGUGAGGUAGAGAAACAUUGAUUAAAGAAAUCAGAUAGAGUUUAAAAUUGUGGAACUUUUAAAGGCAUUCGAUUUAUCAAAUAGGCAGCGGUGAGUACAGCUUCCCCCCAUAAAUACAUAGGAACUUGAUUUAUAACAAGUAAGGAUCUAGCAACUUCAAGAAGAUGCUUAUUUUUGCGUUCAGCAAUUCCAUUUUGUUGGGGGCUAUCCGUACAUGAACUUUGAUGAAAUAUGCCAUUUUCCACAAAAAAAUCUCCCAAAAACUUGUUAAAGUAUUCUUUCCCAUUGUCAGUUCGGAAAACUUGAAUUUUAGUUUGAAACUGAGUUUGUACCAUGUUGUUAAAAGUUAAAAAUAAUUCACACCUAUGAUUUUUCCUUCAUUAAAUAUACCCAAGAAAUAUGGGUAUGAUCAUCAAUGAAGGUAAUAAACCAUCUUUUUCCUGUUAAUGUAGAAAUUCUAUUAGGUCCCCAAACAUCACUAUGAAUCACAGAAAAAGGUUUUGAGGCUUUGUAGGGUUGGGAAGGAAAUAAUGCACGAUGAUGUUUUGCUAAUUCACAAAUUUCACAUUUAAAGGAAGAAGAACUUUUAUUAGCAAACAAGUUGGGAAAUAAAUAUUGCAAAUACUGAAAACUAGGAUGGCCUAACCUAAAGUGCCACAACAAAACUUCAUUGUCAUUAUUAACAACAGAAACAGAAUUGAAACAAAUACGUGGAGGUUGUUGUCUCAAACUUGGUACUUCUUCAAAGAAAUACAGCCCCCCACUUUGUCUAGCACUGCCAAUCAUCUUCCCCGAGGUCAAAUCCUGAAAUUCGCAAUGAUUUUGGAAGAAACUAGCACAACAGUUCAGGUCAAGAGUUAAUUUGCUAAGGGACAAAAGAUUGCAAGAUAGGUUAGGAACAUGCAGAACAUUAUGAAGAGUGAGAGUGGAAGAAAGAAUGAUAGACCCUUUUCUAGCAAUAACCGAAAGGGAUCCGUCAGCGAUCUUAAUUUUUUGAUUUCCUGCACAUGGCUUAUAGGCAGAAAACAAAGAUGGAGAGCCUGUAAUGUGAUCGGUUGCUCCUGAAUCGAUAAUCCAAGAACAAGGAUUCGAAUGAUGAGAAACAAGGGCAGCAGAAAGAUAAUUACCUUUUUGAGUUAAUGAGCAAGAGGGAGUAGAUGAAUUGAAGGAUGAGGAUUGAAACAAUUUAUACAAGUGCUCUAAUUGAUCCUUGGUGAAAGGUGAUGACUCUGAAGAACCUAAUUUCUCUUUAUCUGAAGUAGCUUGGAAGGCUCGUCCAUCACCUCCUUGUUUCUUCUUCACAUGAGGAGGCUUGCCAUGUAACUUCCAGCAAGUUUCUCUUGUAUGCCAAGCCCUUUUACAGAAGUUGCACCAAGGUUUCUUUGAAUUCCUUCGAUCUCCAUCAGGUUCAGGUGCCUUUAAAAUAAGAGCAGAACUCUCUGAACUCUCUACUUCACUGGUGGCUUUAACAUCAUUAAGCAUGACAUUCCGUCGCGCUUCUUCUCUUCUUACCUCAGAAAACACUUCUCAAAUAGAUGGAAGGGGUUUCCUGCUCAGAAUUAUGCCUCUCACUUUGUCCAAAUCACGGUUUAGCCCAGCUAAGAACACAUAUACUUUGUCAUUUUCCAACAUCUUUUUAUACCUUACACUAUCACUCGAACAGUCCCACUGCUCAUCAUAGCAAAGAUCUAAUUCCUGCCAAAGGAUCAACAGUUCAUUAUAGUAAGUUGUGACCAACCAAUUACCUUGCUUGGAUUGGCACAAUCGAGUUUUCAACUCAAAUAUCUGAGAUGAAUUUUCUAAAUCAGAAUAGGUAUCUCGGACUGCAUCCCACACCGCCUUGGCUGUCGGUAAGAACAGAUAAGGCUUACCAAUCCUAGGCUCCAUUGAGUUUAUCAACUACGCAAUAACCAUCGAAUUUGUUGAUCCCCAGGUCGAAAGAGAAGGAUCUCCAGUAAUUGGUUUUGUUACUUCACCAGUCAAAUGCCCCAGCUUUCCCUUUCCAUCAAUUACCAACUUAACGCACUGUGCCCACUCUAAGUAAUUUUUUCCAUUCAAUUUAUGAACAAUUAGUUGCAAAGAAAAGCUAUCCUGGUUAUAUUCAGACUGCUGCAACAGCGGCUGAGGAGUUCUGGUGUUACUAUCAUCAUCUUCGGCGGUAGAUGCCGAUGAGCUCUUUGUAGCUCCAGUCAUGGCAGUUUUCACCAUUGAAAAAUAGACCUCUAAAUAUUCAUUGCUCUGAUACCAUGUAAAUAUUUAGAGUCUGAAAAUACUAUUUUUCUUCUUUCAUUCAUUCAACAAGUUACACUUAAAUAGAAUAUAGAAAACAAACUCCUAAUAGAUAUCCCCUAAUUGUAGGAUACUUAUCUAAACUUGAAUUUAAAAAAAUGAUUAUCUAAAACUUUAUUCCGAUAAGACUUUAAAACUAAACUAAUUAUCUAAAACUUUAUUCUGAUAAGACUUUCAAACAAACUGAAAAAUCCUAACUUCUUGACACAUAGAUCAUACUGCAGAUGAAUUUUGGAAGAUGAACAAACUCAGGCAUCUAGUCAUUGAAGAUGGUGAAUGAAAGCACGAUGCCAAGGCUCUCCAAAAUCGUCCUUGCCAAAUACCUACUUCCUCAAAGUCUAAUCCCCUUGAGUUUCUCUAAUACUGAACAAAUGGAUGAUCCCAUGCCUGUGCUAGAAAAGUUGCCACUUCUUCAAAUGCUCAAACUGAAGCAAAAAUCAUAUUCAGGUAGAUAGCUGACUUGUGGGUCUGAUGGUUUCCCAAAGCUCAACAUAGUGCACUUGAAUUCAAUGCCAUGCCAUUUAAACAAAUUCGAGUGUUGGUGGCCUCAGCCGGAGCUGAGACAAAAGCUACGGGACUUUGAGGAUAAGGCGCAGUAUGACAAUCAAGUAUAUCAUUAUGGAAUUUGAUUUGCAUGGAUUUAAUUAGAUGUAAGUUUUUCAUUUUAUACAAUAUCAUCAACCUUUAAUUAUUAAUCUAAUUUCAUACAUAUGUUUUUUCUUCUCCUCAAUAUAUUUGAUAGUACGCAGCUUCCUAAUGCUAUCAAGUGUUUUCUAAUUGUAGUUGCUUCUAAUUUUUGUCUCAACAUUAGAGAUGAAGUGUUCAUCACAGUUCCUGAUGCUGACCCCGACCAUUUUCCCUUGUCUAUUGAUUGUUGAACAGUCAGGAAAAACUAUAAUUUCAUUUCAGAACCCUUGUGUAUUGAUCGUUGAGCAGUGAGGAAAAACUAUAAUUUCAUAUCUUAAAUUACUUGCGCCGGUGAAAUCAGAGCGGGAAAUAUGUCAACUGUAGUGCAGCAAAAGUUUCAAUUUCAACUAGAAUCCGGCCUUGAUCCUUUUAGUAUUCACUUCUGCUAUCUACACAUUAAUGAGUCCUUAGGAUUGAUGCAGGAUAUUAUUGGGUUUCUUUGUUUUCAAGGAUCUGCUACAAGCAAUAAUGUCAAGUUUUUGGAUUCACUGUGUAUAUUUUAUUCAUGUGUCUUCAUUCUUGUAAUGUGCUUGAAACUCCACCUUAGUGUGGACGUGUGUGGUUUGGUCGUACCAUGUGCAAUACAUGUAAAUUGUCAUAAUUGUCUUAAGGGAAUUCUGCAUCACUUCCAUUAGAAGAAAACUUUGGAUGUAGGCACCAUUGCCGCUGAAUCUACUUUUGAUUUGCUCCAUGUUUUCUAUAUUUUUUUAAUUCAAUUUUGGAGAUAGGGUUUCUAGCAUUGAUUGUUGAUACAUCAGAGGACUAAAUACAAGAAAUAAAAACUGGGGCAUAUUGCCUAAUCUUCAGAAUCUCCAAUUUUAUGGAGAUUUAAGCCCUUAUCAUUCAUAAAUAACUUGAGUGUUGGAUUGUUAUUAUCUUAGAUUCUCUAAAUAAUAAUCCGAAUAAGAAUGUUGGAAAAAUAUUGAUUAUAAAUACUUGUUUUGAACAAAUACUACCUAUUAUUUUAAAUUUUGGACUUAGAAAUUAUAAAUAGUAUUAGCAUGUGAAUUUUAAGGUAUUAGCUGAUUCUGUCCAAUUUUAGAGGUUGAUCCAUCAUGCUAAACUUAGUCAUUGGUUUUUGCUGAACAAAUGAAUGUGUAUCAUUUUUUUUUCCUCUUUUUUUUCUGUUAUACUUUGAUUCCCCUGCUUCUAGCUGAUUCUGUUCUCCUUUAUAACGAGAAAGAAGUUGUCUUUUGUGCUCUUAUAUAUACAUGUUAAGCCUGGAUAUGUGUGGUUUUGUUUGUUUUAAUAAUAUGAUUGUGUGGUGUCAUCUGUAAUACUUUUUAAGGGUGCAAAUCAAAUGAGUUUAUACCUUAUAGUGAAUUUGGUUAAUUUCAAGAUAUCAUUUUUUGGGAUCUUCGGCUCUAGUUGCUAAUACAAAAUUCCUCAAAUCUCGUUUGGAAUUUGGGAGUCCGUCCUAAAUGAUACAAGAUUUGAUAAAAAUUUCUCAUUCUGAUUUAUUAAUCGAGUUGAGAUUCAAGAUCUAGUUUUCUUCUAAUUUAAUAUUCAAGACGGGAUUUGAGACGUCUGAAAAUCUCAUUCGAGAUCCCUUAGGCAAUCAAAUGAGUUCAUAUCCUUAUAAUGAAUUUGGUUAAUUUCAAGAUACCCUUUUUUGGAAUCUUCCGCUCUAACUGUUAAUACGUGAACCUAGGCUGGCAAAAUUAUCCAGAUACCAAUCGAGAUACAAACCCUAUAUAAGAUUUGUUACAAAUUUCUUAUCCCUAUUUUCAAUGUAGGUCAGGAUUUGGGACCCCAUUUUAUACCGAUUGAUAAAUUUCUUUAUUUAGACAAUAACUGAUGACAGAUUAUUAGUUUAAAGCUCAUGGAGUAAAGGUUGAAUUAUUGGUUCAAUCAUCCGUAAUUUUCUGCAAGCAUGCAAUAUAUUAAACAAGAGAUUAUUUAAUUAUUUUUUGGGUUCUGUUAUUAACAAUAAUGAUUUUGAAGAUAUUAGUGGGAGAAAAAUGGUUCUUUUAAAUCAUUUUCAAUCUUGAGAAAAAGUUUUCUUGCUGCCAUACACUGUCCUUUCUCUAUAUUUAUAUUUAAUUCAUAUGUACAUAUAUCAUACAUACAUUAAAUGAGUGUAAUUCAAUAAAAACAUUCUAUGAUCUUUCUGCUAUAUGAAAAAUAACCUAAAAAAUAUAUAUAUACAAUUACACAAGCUCUAUUAAUACUCUACCAAUUAAAUUGAGCACGUGUUCUUUUUAAUAUCCUCAUUUCAGCUAAUUGUAUCCAGCCCAGUGGCCGCAUUUUUUUUUUCUCUUUUUGUGUGUGUGUGUAACCAAAGCUUUUUAUCUUUCAUUUGCAAUUUGAGAACCCAUUAGCCAGACAAUUAAAUGCAGAUUCCAUGAAUUUUGCACCGUUGACUUAACUCGAAGAGUAAGACUUCGAUGUAACUACGGAGUCAACAAAUAUGCUUGUCAUGGAAAAUCUCAUAACGCGUACAUUUACUUUUUCAUAUAUUGUGUCUCUAUUCUACCUCUCCAACUUAAAAUUCCUUGCUCGUGUUUUAAACAUGACAUAGAAGUUCUGGUUUGGAAAUGGUAGAGAUAGUUAGAUGUCACAGUUGCAUACAAGUGUACACAAUUUCUUUGUCAAAUAAAAUCUAGUCACAUAUUUAUUCUAAAACUUAAUUAUAAACUAUGAAUAAAUAAAAAACAGUGGACAUAAUUUUAUUGACUGUCCCAUUAAAUCCGUCGCACCUAAUUUUAUUUGCUUGCAGUGGGACGACUUUAAAUGUUGUCAUGUGGCUGCACAAAUGGACUAAUUCCUGUCACAACUUGAUAGUCUAUAUUAGCGCGGACUGUUGUGACAAAUGAACCUCUAUUUCGAUUGCGUACUCCAAUAUGUUAAAAAAAAGAAAAAAGAAAAUAAAAAGAAAAUAGGACAUCAUCAAGUAUCAAUCAAAGAUCAAUUUGUUUUAUCCACUUUCAAGAAAGAAAAGGUAAAAACAAUCCCACUGGGGACCAUAAAGUUUAUCUCAAAAGAAAAAGCACUACAAUAGUCGAACACAAAGAAGAGUAAUAAUGAGAAAGGAGUUGCAUAUAAAUUGAAGAUUUUUAUUUUUUUUAAAGAAGGGCCCGACAUCAUGAUUGCUUUCAUUUAGGAAAGGAUAUAUGAAAAAGAGAUGAAUAUUGCACUUUAGAUUUGGAUAAUUCCGAUUGGAUUUUGAAUUGUUUGGAUUAGGAAAAACAAAUCAUUCGAAUCCAACCUGAAUCUCAAAUACAAUCGAUCGGAUUUAAAAUAAAUCAGAUCUGAUAAAUAUUUCAGAUACAUUUAGUUUCAGAUUGUUUCGGAUUUAAAUGAUAUUUUAGAUUCAAAUGGUAUUUUAAGUUCAGAUUGAAUUUGUAUUUGGGUCUUUUUGAUAAUUUUUACAUAAAAUUCAUAAAAUCUAUAUAUAUAUAUAUGAGUAGUGCUAAAUGUCGGGAAGGCUGAGAUAACCCUGAGAGAAAUGGUAGCUUGUGCUGCCAUUUCGCGCGUGUUCUCUUGGCCCCGCCCCCCAUGUUUCUUUCUCUUUUCUUUUUAACUUAACGUUUGCUGUAGUCAGCCUUUUGCUGCAGUCAACUCAUCUCUCCAGCACCAAAAACUACCGUAUCUUCUCCCUCCCCUCAAUUUCAUCGGCACUCUCUCUCAUCAACGGCAUCGUUACCGACAGCCACCUCUUUCUCUUCAGCUCGUCACGACAGACACCACCAGUUUGGUUCGUCACUUCGUCCGGAUCUCUCCAUUAUUCCAAGUGUGUUUCCCCUAUUUUUUGUUCUAAAAAACCCAAAAAAAUGAAGAACAACACCUGUAUUGAUUUCGAUUUUUUGAUUCCAAGUCAAAGGGGUGCUUGACUUUUAAUUAUACAAGAUAGAAGAUGAAACCAAAUUUUGAUGUUGAUGAAGAAGAAGAAACAAAACUGACAGGAGGAAGAAGAAGAUAAUUGUGAUGAUGUUGUUGAUGAAGAAGAUGAAAUUGACGAUGGAGAGAAGUAACGAAGAAAUUGGAGAAGAGAGAGAAAGAAAAAAGAGAAGAAGAAGAAGGUAAAAGAAGAAAAAAAUAUAAGAGAGAUAAAAUAAUAUAAAAAAAAGAGGAAAUGUUUAAAGUAAAGUGGGGGUGGGGCCAAGAGAACACGCGUAAAAUGGCAGCACAAGCUGCCGUUUCUCUCAGGGUUCUCUCAGCUUUCUCGACGUUAAGUAUUUUCCUAUAUAUAUAUAGUAGUGCAAUCUAAUCGAAUUGUUUAAAUUAAAAUGGAUCCAAUCCAUCGAAUGCACAAAUUUUAUCCAAUCGGAUAUAAAUGGCAACAUCCAAAUCCAAAUCAGAUCGAAUCAUAUCUAUCCGAAUCUGAUCCAUGCACACCUUUAGCCCUAUUGGAAUGAUUAUCUAACGAUUCAAACUAUAACGUAUUUUGUUGUAGUUUGUAGAGCGCUUGAAAAGAAAAUCUCUAAACAAUAGUGACUAUUAUGAAUUAGAUGCAUCAAUCAAUUGUUGAAAAUUGAUUAAAAACAAAAAAAGAAAGGUUGUUGACCAAAAUUUGUUGAUCAAAUUUGAUGGCUAAGCCACCAAUUUUGAUCAAAAUUGGUGGGCAUAGUUAGGCAAGUUUUUGCCUAUAAAUAGGAGGGUGCUCCUCCUCACUUUUGUAUCCAAUUGAGAGCAUUCAAUUGGUGAAUGCAAGAAAAGCAUUGAGAGCUUCUAAUGGGAGAGAAAUAAUCUUAAGCAUGUAGAUGUAUUAUAGGAGUAUUUGGCUCCUCAAUGUGGGUAUUACGGGUUUGCUCUGUUAAAGAAUAUUUUUCGGGAUCAUGUAUUUGGGGCUUGGGUGAGAAAAAUUAUUUCUGAAAGUGUGGUUGUAAUAAUUUUUCACAUAAUGAAUAUUUUUUUCUCUGGUUGUCUUUUGAUAACGGCCGUAGUUUUUUUUCUGGAUUUAGAGUUUUCCAUGUAAAUCUUGUAUUGUGUGACUAAUGUAUUCUCCGUUUAAUUUUUUCUGUUAAUUUAUUGUUUGACAAAUUGUUUGUAGUGAUCUUGGGAGAAAACUCAAUUUCCUAACACGAAUCAGAUUCUAAGGAGAUGUUUUUUCUCUCUAUACAAGCUUUAUGGUCCCAGCGGAAUUAUUUUUAAUCUUUCAGUCUUUUGAGAGGGCAAAAAAGAAACUAGUCUUGAUAGCCUAUUUUACUUUCUUCAUACACAUAUAUAUAAAACACAAAUUAUAAGACACCCUUUUAUCUUCUUGCAUAAAGAAUAUUUUAUAUACACGUGCAUUAUACCUCAGGUUUUGUGCAGAAAAUCAUUAUUGUAAUGUUUUGGGAGAGAUUAUUUAGUGUUAGACAUUGGAAUUUGUGGGUUUGUUUGAAUAAGAAUUUGAGGUAUUUUAGUUUAGAAUCUAUGAGUAAGGAUUACGAUUUGUAAGUAACAUCCUUCUUCACGUGCUCCGCACGUGUUAGUUUUGGGGUGUAACAUAACUAGAUCCUAAGAUCUCGAUCCACAGCUUAGUAAUCUGCAGAUACUUCAUACGAAGCCGAAUCCGCUGAAUCAGGAGUAAGAAUCUUAUAUACGUGUAAGAAUAAAAAUAAAAAGUUGGAAAAAGAAGCUCAAAGAAUUUUAAAUUGAAAAGUUGAUUUUCAUGUGCGGAACAAGGGCUUCAGAUUAAAUUGUUGAAAAAGUUUUGUAGUAAAAUAUUUUUGUUUUCAUAUGAUUUUUUAAGAAAAAAGAAUAUAUAAGGUUUUUUGUGGAAUUAACAUAGGUGUUGUUAAAAGUAGUGUGAUUUACAUAUAGGGGCGGGCAAAAAAAUCGUGCACUAGAGAAAACAAAACUGAACUGAUCCGAACCGUUCCAUUCGGAUCAGUUUUAAUUUUAAAAAAUAAACGAAAUAUAUGGUUUGUAAAAAGAAUCGAAAUGUAGGUUUGGUAUUUGGUUCACUUAGCUGAACCAAAAAACCGAACUAAAAAACCAGAUUGUUCUUGGAAUUUUAUUUAAAUAGACAUGUGUUAAAUUUUAAUUGGUUGCGUAAGAUAACUAAAAUAGGCAUGCACACACACGAUUAUGGGUAUAUAUAUAUGUUACAAUUUCUGCACCCAAAACAAACCUAAAGGCUAAAAUCAAAAACGAAAUCAACUCGCAAGCCAAAUCCUUUUAGGAGUUCUUUAACUCAUAAAACAGUCAAGUCAUUAAUCUGUACUCAAAAUUGGUUUUACUCAACUCUCUUAGGAGAGCAUACAAUACAACCAAGUCAGGAGGAAGCUGAAUUCUAUGAAUUAGUUGAAACAUGUAAUAUUGUAAUUUAUUAUGUUAUUUUUUGUUACUUAUAACAUUUUGUAUAUUAGAAUUAAUGAUUUUAAUAUAAUUGUUUCAAUUUCUUGAAGAAUUGUUUAGGCUAAUGCAAUCUCAACAACAACAAGUAGCUGAGGAGUAAAUGACAGUUGACUGAUGUUGCUGACCAGUAAGUUUUCUUUAUUUUUUUUUAAAAAAUAGUAUCUUAUUUAUAUAGAUUUUUAUUUAAUUAUUUAUUUUUUUAAAUUUUUUUUAUAGAUCCAAAUAUUGAGUUGGAAAAUGCCUAAAGUUGAUACUGAUAUUGAUGGGGAUAGGAGAAUGUUGUUGUCAUUUGUUUGCAAUUUAAAAAAAAAAAAUUUUGUGAAGAUGGGAGAAUGUUGUUGGUGUUUGUUUCCAAAUUUUCUUUUUAUUUUGUGUUGUAAGUUUUAAUUGUUGUUAUUUUUAUUUGUCUUUACAACAUUAUGUUUAUGUAAAUGGAGUAUUGGAGUUUAAUUAUGUAUUUUGAACUCUUAAUAUUUCAUAUUUUGUAAGUAUCUUAUUAGUAGUUAGUAAGAUAUUAGUGAUAAAAUAUGUUUUGAAUAUUUUGUAUUUAUUGUUAAUAUUUGUAAUGAAAUUAGGAUAAAUUAAUUGUUGAAAAAAAUAAUUACAUUCAUGAGGCCUAAUGAGCUAAAAAUUUAGAAAUUCAAAAUAGGCCCAAUAGGCCCAAAACCGAAAAAAUCGAACCGGACCGAACCGAUCUGAGAAGAUCCGUUUAUAUUCGAUUUUUAUUGUGUUCGGUUCUUAUUUGGUUCUUUUAAUAAAAUAACCUAUUUAAAUCGAUUUUGCUUAAUUUCGAUUCGAACCAAACCAGACUGAACCAUGCCCACCCCUAUUUACAUAUGUUUUUAAUCGUGUACUUUUAGAAGAGAGGCUUUACGAGGAGUUUAAAGUGGUGCUAAUAGUUUCACUUAUUGACAAAUGGGUCAAAAAACAUCCAAAAGCUUCAAAGACCUUUCAUAAUACUUGGAACACAAAAUAGUUAAUUAUACUUUACAAAAAAAUUUGUUUUUUAACAUUUUACAACUCAAAACACGCUAGAAGAUCUUUAAUAUUUCUUAGUUUACUAUAAGAUACUAUAAGUAUAUAUAACAAAACAAGAAUAUAUUGAUUGAUACCAUAUAUUUGAUACAAGUGAAUAGAAAAUCUCUCACUUGAUAGAAUAUAUAUAGCAUAUGACAAGUUACAUACAUCUAAUUUUCUGCAUGCAUAUGGAAAAAAAAUUAAUUGUUUAAAUUUCUAAUUUGUCAAAUCAAGGUUUGAUUUCUGAAUUUUUUUAGUUGUUAAGUGGAUUAAAUUUCCCCCCAUAUACACUGUCUAGAGAAACUCAUGAAUCUAAAUAAACCAAACCCAUAUUAAAUUUAAUGAUAUCAUUAUCCUCAGACUCUCAGUUUUGCACUUUUGCUUACAUAAACAUUAUGGAACUUAAACUUAAAUCCACUUUUUUCAUCAUUCUCUUGGUGGCCUCAUGUUUGUUCCUUAAUCUUAUUUUCCUCAUCUUUUUAAUGCAUCCAUAAUUAACUAUAAUAUGACAACUAAUUGGCUGGCAUUUAUAUAUGCAGGCGUGUUAUUAGCAUUAGGCUAAUUAAUUGAUUGCCAUUUAUAUAUGCAGGUGUGUUGUUUGAUAUUUUCAUGCCGGCAGUUGAUGCUCAACCGGAAUCAAAAGCAGUCACUUGUAAAAGCAAUGCCGACUGUGACAAUCCCUGUCAGUCGUUUCGAAUGCGAUCUUGAUACCCAUCUCUGCGUUUGUGUUCCUGGCCGCAAUUCGAUGGGUUGCUGAAGAGAUUAAAGCUUGUAUUGCAAGUUCUAGUGAUAUUUUGGAUGCUGAAUUGCAAAAUUUGUAACGUUACAAUCUUUGUUCCGUUUCUUACGUCAUGUGUCAAAUAAAAGUAUCAACUAAGAUUGCUGCCUCUCUUCUGAUAUGCAUACUAAAAUUGUGUACAAAAAUUUACAAAUCAUCUCCAUGUGAUUGGUCCUAUUAUACAAUGUUGUACCAUUCAUUUGGAGAAGUCUUUAAGGCUUGGAAUUAUACAAUUUUUAAAAUUUUCAGUAUUUUUUUUGGCUUUCGAGCUGGGUUCGGACUUUUAACCGGAGCCCAAGACCAGCCAGAAUACUUAGAAAACAUGCUCUAGCUACACUUGAUUUUUCUGCCAUUCCUACUUAGAAUUCCAUUAUCAUUGAUUUCAUUGAUGGAUUGUUAUAUUUUUCACACUAAGUGCUCAAAUGAAAAUAAUUAUAAAUAGUGUCUUAUGAUGUAAUCCUUUCAAAAAGGUGAGAGUUCAUAUAAUACUGAUAUUUGAAUAAAAAAAUGAUACAGUGGUGAGAAAACAACUAUAAAUUUUAUUUAUAAUGUUAAAUAAAAAAUUAUAACUAUUUUUCAAUUAAUAUUGUAACAUUGCACAAUUUACUAUUAUUUUUGUCACCUGUUGUUAGAACUCUUUAUCAUUUUUCAUUUCUUAGAAAAGAAUGCUAAAAAGAAAAUUUAACAUAUAUUAACUAUAAAAUUUUACAAACGAUUUAGUACUUUCUCUAAAUCUAGUUGAAGAAAUAAGACAGCAUCACACAUGAUUAAGAAUGCAUAUUUAUUUGAGUAAUUUUACAUUUAUAACCCUGGGAUACAAAUUUUAUUUGUGAUAUAGAUACAUGCAAGUCUCGCAAUAAAUUUAACAAUUAACACCAGACAUGAUUUUGCAUUUUUCCACAGCUUAAUUAUUAAUUAUUAAAUAAUUGAUAACGCUCUUGUGCUUGCUCCGUUCUUUUCUUUUCAGACAAGCUUUUAUAGUCCCAGUGGAAUUGUUUUUACCCUUCCUUUCUUAAAAGUGGAUGUAUAAAACAAAUUGGUCUUGAUCGAUACUUGACAAUGUCCUGUUUAUUUUUCGCUGCUUUAUUCUUUUUUCAUCAUAUGGAAGACGAGAUUAUUGUAAGAUUCUGCCUUGAUAUGUUCUAAUUUGAGAGUCAACGAUCUUGAUUUAACUUCUUGACUGGAGAACUAGCUAAGAGAAGGGAGGUAUGGGAGCCAGCACUAAUGUUUGAAUUGAGAGCUUUAAAGCAUAUUUUCCUUUUCCCCUCUCUCUUUUAAUUAUUUCUUUGCAUGCUCUUAGACAGAUUUCAGGGUGGAUUUGAGGGAGGAGGAGAUAUGGACAUCAACAUCAGACUAUUUUCAGAGAGGCUGAGAAGGGUGUUAGCUGGUGAAGAAGUCACGUUGCCUGAUGCUGCAAAACAACCUAUUCACAACUUUCAUGCCGAGAUUGAAAUCGUUACUUCUUUGCUGAGGGACUUUGAAGAUGAUAUCUCCUGCCUUCUGGUGCAAAAAAUAGGAGACCUUGAAAUUGACAACCCAGAUCUGGCGACCGUUAUGGACGAAAUCAACUGUUUUGCGUAUGAAUCUGAGAAGGUUAUUGGCACAUUCAUCAACAGCAUCGCUCAACAGAAGAGUCAAAGCAGGUACAACAAGGAUGUUUGUGAUGCUCUGCAAGGACUCCAAAGCAGAAUCACUGAGAUUAAGCAACGGGUUCAACAACUUAAGCACAUCGAUUUUGAAAUCAUGGAUGGGUUAAGAAGUGUUGAAGCUGAAUCCAGUUAUUUUCCUGCAUCUUCAUCUUAGAAGAAUCGGAACACGGUGGGUCUAGAUGAUAGAAUGGAGGAGUUGUUAGAUCUAUUGAUCGAGGGACCACCUCAGCUGUCAGUGGUGGUCAUACUUGAUAGCAUUGGGUUGGACAAGACGGCUUUCGCCGGAGAGGCUUACAACAGCAGUUAUGUGAAGCAUUAUUUUGAUUGCCACGCUUGGGUUCCAGGGACUUAUCCGUAUGAUGCUGACCAAAUGUUAGAUAUCGUUAUUAAGUUUCUGAUGCCUUCAUCUAGGUUGAGUGAAAUAAUGGAUAAAAAUUAUGAAAUGAAAAAAAUAAUUCUUCAUGAAUAUCUAAUGACCAAGCGGUAUUUGAUUGUGAUUGAAGAUGUAUAGACCAUUGGUGUGUGGGAUGUUAUUCGAGAAAUACUUCUGGAUAAUCAAAAUAGAAGUAGAGUAUUAAUCACACUCAGCCGAAUUGAGAUUGUCACCUCAUUUCAGUUCGAAGACGGAGAGAACAUUGGGCUUGAUUUUGUGCCCACUGGAGGACCAUUGAGAGCUACAUACCAAGGAUGGCCUUUCCUCAUCUUAUAUCAUGGAAGCAUCUCAUUAGAAGAAAAUAUAGGGGAAGCAGUGGCGAUACCCCUUGGGCUUUGGUACUUCAAAUAUUGCAGGUUACCUUUUUGCUUGAAACUUUGUUUUCUCUACUUAUCUGUGUUUCCUGCACACCUAGAGAUAUCCACCAGGCAGUUAUAUCAGUUGUGGAUAGCUGAAGGUUUCAUCCCAGACAAUAGUGAGGCAACUGCUGAGAAUUACUUGGAACAACUAAUCAAGGGAGGCUUUGUUGAAGCAAAUAAGAGAAAAGCUGCAGGCACUAUCAACACAUGCUCUAUUCGUAGCCGUUGCCAUCCUGUGUUGUUGUCAGUUCCUUAUAGGGUGGAAUUUAUCUCUUCCCCUUUCCUGGAUCCAAAAGGUAAAUCACCAAAACAAGUCAAACGGUUAAACGCUGUUAAAAGACAGGAAGAUUUUGCUUGCUUAGAUUAUUAUGACUCGCAACUGCAUUCUUUGUUGUGCUGCUCUCCAGAAAGCCGCCACUUUGACCCCAUGGAUUGGGAGAAAAUUUGUGGAAUGUUCCAACUUCUCAGAGUAUUGGACUUGGGAUCUCUUGUUCUCAUCCAAUAUCCAUCCGGAAUUGAAAAUUUAUUUCUUUUGAGAUAUUUGAAGUUGAAUAUCCCUUCCCUUAAAAGCCUGCCUUCAUCGUUAUUAAGCAAUCUUAUGAACCUCUAUACCCUAGACAUGCCCUUUAGCUAUAUAGAUCACAUGGCAGAUGAAUUUUGGAAGAUGAAAAAACUCAGGCAUCUAAAUUUUGGGUCAAUCACACUUCUUGCGCAUCCAGGAAAAUAUUGUGGCUCUCUGGAAAAUCUCAAUUUCAUUUCAGCCUUGCAUCCUUGCUGUUGUACUGAAGAUAUAUUGGGCAGACUACCUAAUCUUCGAAAUCUCCGGAUUCGGGGAGAUUUAAGUUAUAAUCAAUCUUUGUUGUCUAAAAGUCUCUGCAGAUUGAGCUGUCUCGAGUCAUUGAAGCUGGCGAAUGAAAGCAAGAUGCCACGGCUCUCCAAAAUCGUCCUUGCUGAAUACCUAUUUCCUCAUGGUCUAACCCACUUGAGUUUUUCUAAUACUGACCUAAUGGAUGAUCCCAUGCCGGCACUAGAAAAGCUGCCGCUUCUUCAAGUGCUCAAACUGAAGCAAAAUUCGUAUUCAGGUAGAAAGCUGAAUUGUGGCUCUGAUGGUUUUCCAAAUCUCAAGGUAUUGCACCUGAAAUCAAUGCUAGAGGAGUGGACUAUGGGGAUUGGAGCCAUGCCAAAACUAGAAUGCUUGAUUAUCAACCCCUGUGCUUACUUGAAAAAGAUGCCUGAACAGCUCCGGUGCAUAAAGAGCUUAAACAAGUUCGAUUGCUGGUGGCCUCAGCCGGAGCUGAGGCAAAAGCUACGGGAAUUUGAGGAUAAGGAACAGUGCGGCAUUCAACUAUUUCCCUACGGAAUUUGAUUAGCCCCUAUUGAAUUUGAUGUAAGUUUUUUCUUCUUCCCCGAUUACUUCAACCUUUAAUUAUUGAUCUAAUUUCAUAUAAAUGUUUUCUUCUCUACAAUAGAUUUGAUAGUACGCAGUGCCUAAACUAUAAUCAUACUAUAAAGUUUUUUCUACUAAUUGUGAUUGCUUCUAAUUUUUGUCUCAACAUAAACUUAAAGUGUCUACCACAGUUCUUGAUGCUGACAGCAUUCAUUAAAAACUGUAUGAUGCGAUCUUCAAUUAGUUGUAUGUGUAGGUAAAAGCAGAGCGGAAACUAUCUUAACUGCACUGCAGCCAAAGUUUCAAUUACAACCAGAAUUGAGCCUUCAUCCUUUCAGUGUUCACUUCUGCUGGGUUGUCUACACGUUGUUUGGUUUCUUCAUUUUCAAGGAUUUGCAUGCUAACAGUAAUAAUGUCAUGUUCGGAUUAAUAUAUUGAACAAAAGUCUGAUUAAUUGUUUUACUUUCUAUUUUCAGUUGCACUGGUGUGUAUUCAAUUUGUCAACAUUCAAAUUGAUAUAUGUUAUUGUUUUUUUUUAUUUUAUUUCUUCCUCUAGUUUUUAAGUAGCGGUAUAGUUCAACUUCAAGCUUAGUACUUCAGUUAGAAGAAAAGUAUUUGUGCGGUGAUCUCAUCUCAUCAUGUCAACACUGGCAGAACGACAUUGUUGUUCGGUUUUUUGGAAUUUCACCGACAUGUCGGUCAUCAUAAGGGUGAGAGUGCUGGUCAAAAGUGAGUUGGGGUUAGGUAAAAAAGUACAGGAAAAUUCUAGGAUUGUUAGAGAUAGCCUUUAUCGUAGUUUAUAAGGCUGGUUGAUGGGCCAUCUUCUCAGAUCUCAUCAAAGCUAUGGAGAGAGAGAGAGAGAGAGAGAGAGAGAGAGAGAGUUGAAAUAGAAAGUUGUAUAUUCUUGUUCUCUAUAACAAGCUCUACAUCCUGGUAACCUUGAUUUGUGAAAUAGUGAAAGCUUGAAAGCUUGAAAGCUUGUAUCCUUGUUCUUCACUGGAUUUACGCACUUUGAUUCAAUUUUUAGUUUGGAUUUCUGAGAAUGAGUCUUCAUACAUCAAAUCAAAGAUGGUCUAAGGUGUUUGAUCUUGGUACUGUUAGAGGAUUAAACACAACAAAAAGAAACUGGGGCAUGGAGAUUAAGCCCUAGUCAAUUUGGGUUGUCCAACAGCCCUUGUAAAAUCGAAAACCAGCACUAAUCCUUGGUGAUUUGGAGCAGAAGUUUAACGAGUAAAGUUCUGAAAGUGGAAGAUUUAAUCGAUAGUGCUGCACGUUUUGGAAGCUCUGUUAGAAUUGAUGACUGAAUUCUUUCUCUAUUGAUUGAUUAGCAGCCCCAUAGCAUGCUAAUGGUUUUCACAUUUUUCCCUCCACAGCAUGCAGAGGGUGUCUGUAGUGCAAAGAAGUUGAUGGCACGCAAAUAAGUUGCUUGUGUUGUUUUUAAUCUCAAUAAGAUAUAUAUCAUCGGCAUAUUGAAGUUUGUGAUUAUUCUAAGAAAAAAUAGGUGCUUUAUUAUUUGAAUUAUCGACAAAAUAAUUCCAUUUCAUUAUUUUGUUAGAUCCACUAUAUGUACAUGUUUGAAUCUUAUUCAUAAGUUUUGAUUUCACUCUCACGUUUCAUAUGAUGUCAAAUCAGAUAAAAAGAAAAAAAAAAUGAAAGCUAGCUUGUCGGUAGCAAUUACAUUAGCAUUUAGCAAAUGUUAUUUUGAGUACAAGCACAAUUUGGCUCAUUUUCCAGGACCAACAAUCUUCCAUUUAGAAAUGCAUUGACAAACAGGUUAAUUCGUAAAAUGAUGGUUUCUAGAUAGAAUCUUUCCAAGUUGCACUAACCUCCUUUCCUUAAAGCUAAACAUUAAUUAAUUUGCAUUUUAUUAAAUUUUUCUUUCUAUUCCUUUUACAUAAUGAUUGGUCACCAAUCUUGAUUCAAUUUUUUGAAUAGCAACUUACUGCUGGAUUAGUUAGAGAAUUAGAUAUCACUCAUAGUGUGUCAAUCGGAGUUGAGUUUCAUCAACAACUAAAGUUAUUUUUAUACAAUUAAUCUUUUCAUAUCACAUUAAUCUGUACAAAUUUAUUUAUGCAACCCCAGCUGAGGUUGGCAUGGAGACACACCGCACAAAAUAUUAUGAUGAGACAGUAAACAUGGAACAUAUGUUGUUGGAUUUAGAUUUGCUUGAUGAGAAGAGAAAGGCGACAAGAAGUCGAGCAACAAUUUACCAGUAAAAAGUGGCUAAGUUCUACAACAAGAAUGUCAGGCUACGACAAUUUCAGGAGGGGGACUUGGUGCUCCGUAAAGUCAACCAAUCAACCAAAAAGCCAGCUGAUGGAGUUUUAGGGCUGAGCUGGGAAGGACCAUACAAAGUACUACACUCAUUUGGUAAUGGCUCAUAUAAGUUAGGUUAUCCAGAUGGCAGGGUCGUCGGCAAGGCAUGGAAUGCAGAGCACCUACGAAAAUACUAUCAGUAGGCCAAUCCUAUUUAUGAUGUUCUUGUUUGUUUGUUUUCUUUAAAUAUGUUAUGAUAGUUUGUUUCUUUGUUAUUUUAAUUCGUUAUGUGUUCAAUUUUGUAAUUUCUGCUAUAUUAAUAUCAAUAAGGUUAUUGAAAAGUGUGACUCUAUUUCUUACCUACUUGUGACCGGUCUUAUUUGAGAUCGGCAUAUUUGGGCCUUAUUGAGGUCUAACAUAAAAAUUUUGAUAAAAUCUUAUUGAGAUUGAGAUCAACAUUUGGGCCUUGUUGAAGCCGAAUGUGAAAAUUUAUCCAAUCUUAUUGAGAUUGAGAUAGGCAUUUUGGCCUUAUUGAGGUCCAACGUGAAAAAAUUUAUCCAAUCUUAUUGAGAUUAAGAUCGGCAUAUUUGGGCCUUAUUGAGGUCCAACGUGAAAAACUUGAUCAAAUCUUAUUGAGAUUGAGAUCGAUAUUUAGGCCUUGUUGAGGUCGAACAUGAAAAAUUUAUCCAAGCUUAUUGAGAUUGAGAUCAACAUUUUGGCCUUGUUAAGGUCCAACGUGAAAACUUGUUGAGGUCGACCAUAGCCAUAACAUUUAAGUUCUACAAUUUUCAACUUGUUGAGGUCGGUCGUACCCAUAACAUUUAAGUUCUAUAAUUUUCAACUUGUUAAGGUCGGCCAUAGCCAUAACAUUUCAGUUCUACAAUUUUUAAUUUAUUGAGGUCGACACUUUAGAUUUGUAAGGCCUAUGGUUGGGGUCGACAGUUUAGUUUUGUGAGGUCUACAAUUGAGGUCGACACUUUUGCGUUGUGAGCUCUACAACUGGGUCGACAUUUUAGUUUUGUAAAGCCAACGGUUGAGGUCGACACUUGCUUUGUGAGCUCUAUGGUUGAGGUCGACAUUUUAGUUUUGUAAAGCCAACAGUUGAGGUCGACACUUGCUUUGUAAGCUUUACAUUUGAGGUUGACAUUUUAGUUUUGCAAAGCCUACGAUUGAGGUUGACACUUGCUUUGUGAGCUUUACGGCUGAGGUCGACAUUUUAGCUUGGUAGGAUCUAAAACUGAGGUCGACACUUUAGAUUUGUAAGGCCUACGGUUGAGGUCAAUAUUUUAGCUUGGUAAGAUUUAUGAUCGAGGUUGACACUUUUGCUUUGUGAGCUCUACAUUUGAGGUCGACAUUUUAGUUUUGUAAAGUCUACGGUUGAGGUCGACAUUUUAGUUUGGUAAGAUCUACAACUGAGGUCGACAUUUUAGUUUUGUUAAGCCUACGGUGAAGGUCGACACUUGCUUUGUGAGCUCUACAUUUGAGGUCGACAUUUUAGUUUUGCAAAGCCUACAGUUGAAGUCGACACUUGCUUUGUGAGCUCUACGGUUGAGGUCGACAUUUUAGCUUGGAAAGAUUUAUGGUCGAGGCUGACACUUUUGAGUUGUGAGCUCUAUGAUUGAGGUCAACAUUUUAGUUUUGUGAGGUUUACAAUUGAGGUUGACACUUUAGAUUUGUAAGGCCUACGGUUGAGGUCAACAUUUUAGCUUGGUAAGAUCCAUGGUUGAGGUUGACGAUUUUGCUUUGUAAGCUCUACGGUUGAGGUCGACAGUUUAGUUUCUUGAGGUCUACGAUUGAGGUCGACACUUUAGAUUUGUAAGGCCUACGGUGGAGGUCAACAUUUUAACCUUGUAAUAAUUUAUAAUGAAGUCAGCUUCGCGCUUCUUAAGGUCGACUUUCCAGCCUAGUUACAAUCGGCAAUAGCCUAAACAUCUUCAGUCUUGUUGUGGUCGACAUUAGCUUUGUUAAAAAUUAGCGUCUAGGCUAUGUAACAAUUAUCCGAAUACAAAAACAAAAUGAAAGCUCAACAAGAGUUAUCAGUUUGUAACACUACAAAAAGGAAAGCCUUAUAACAACUUUUCAAAUCUACUUAGGAAGCAUUCUCCUCGUCUUCAACAACUCUGCUAGUUAAAGAUGUCUCACCCUUAACUCUAAUCUCAUCACCCUUAAGAACUCGAUUUGCUUUUUGAUCCGUACUCGAUGACUUCUUUUUAGCCUUUUCUUUGCUCACAUAAGCAGUCAACAUCCAUUGAAAGUCCAUGUCCGGGUGUUUCUCUUGGAACAAUUCGAUACAUGUCUGAAUGACAUCCGCCUUCAGUUGCCUUUUCUCCAGUCGAAUGCAUUGAUCAACAUCAGACUUAACUUUUUCCAACUCAUAGCUAAGAUCGGCAAUCUUGGAGUCUUUGCCCGCAUUAGAUUUCUUUUCGGCUACUAAGUCUUCUGCCAAGUGAGUAUUUUCAUCGUUGCGAGCAUUGAGGUCACGCUUGAGCCGAUCUCGCUCGCUUGCCGUCUUUUCAUUCGUGAGGUUUUCUUUUAUCAAAGUGCGCUCGAGUUCUUCUAUUUUUGCAUGGCCUUUCAAUGACUUUGCAAACAUCUCAAUAUGCGCGGCCAUGAUCAAGGAUUGCUGGGAAAGAAAGCAUGACGGUUAAGAUGAAAAGUAUAAACAUCAAAGAAAUAAAGAUUGUGAAUUAAUACCCACCUCAGCUUGGUUUUGAGCAAGCGCUUCAAGGGCAUGAGUAGCUGACAAGUGGGAAAAAUUCUUGAGGGUAUCCUGGCUCACAAAUCAAGUAGCUAAGUUCACCAUGGGUAGUAAGUCUUCUUCUCUUCCUUGCUUUGACUCUAUGAUGUCACUGCUUUCAAGCAAGCUUCCUUUUGGACAUAUCGGGGAAGGGGUAGAUGGUAAAAUGCACAAGGGACGAGAGUCGCUAGCUCGGUCACUUUUGCUCUGAGGUAGCAUGUUGCAAGCAGAAACAGCGGGUUAUUUUUCUUUUUUCUCAUCAGCUUUGUUUUUAUAUGAUGCCUACCGUGGUUUCUUACUAUGUGGUUCGCCUUCCUCGUCUGAUAUCUCCUCGAUCAAGGCUUUUGCAAUUUCUGCAGGGGUACACUUGGUGGUAGACAUGUUUCCUGCAUUUAGCAAUCCUUUCUCAACUCUAGCACUCAGCUUGUCACUUAUAUUAAUUUCUUCUUCCAAGUCACUAUAGUAAAAACAUGUGUUAGAUUGUAUCCUUAUUUUGACCUCAACCUGAACAAAACUUGAAUUACCUGGUCUACUAAAAUGAGUGGGAACUUUAAACCAAUCCUUGGUCAGCUCUACACCCCUACCCUAAUUUCCACCCACCACGAAAUACUUAUUUUUCGAACCUCUACAUGAGCCUGGAAAGUCAAGUACUAUUCUUCUACUCGUUGAUUUUGACAUAAAAUAGUACCAUCCUUUGUGAUUGAUCCCAUGCUCAUUACAAAAAUAUAAGUGAGUAAACUCCUUAAAACACGGCUCGGUUCUAUUCUGCUCAGCCCAUACAACAUACAUACCACCUAAAACCUUCCAGCCAUUUGGGUCAAGUUGACUUGGACUGAAACCCACUCUCACCAACAUUCGAGCAAAAUAAGGUUGAAUGGGCAACCUAAAACCAAGUUCAAAAAUUUCCAGAUAAAUCGCAGUCUCUCUAUUACCCAAUUUACUUGCCACCUCAUCUUUGCCCAACAACUUAAGUGUAAUAUGGUCUGGAAUAAGAUAUUCCUUCCUCAACUCUUCAAUCUCUUUCUCUGUUGCAUCAAAGUUUAGUAUGUUCACGCCGUAUUCUUCAUGCUCAUCUCCCUCAUUUUCAAAUUGUGCACAACUCGAUUCCUCAUUCACCUUAUUUCCGCGUCUUAUUCCAUAUUACAAUUUAAUUCUACAUUAUCUUCCCUGACUUUUCCAUUAUCAUCUACACCCAAUGCAAUAUCACUGAGCCCAUCCAACAACUCCUUAUUCGCAUUUUACGAAUCGCUACAAAGUGACCCAUCUUCACUCCUUAAUUCUAUUACUGCCUAAUGUUACAUUUAACAAAACCUCAUUUCCAGCCAAUAUUAACACCCAGUAUGUAAACAGCAAAUUACAAGCAACCUUUCAUUGUCAACAUCACAUCCAACACAAUACAAAACACAGCAACAAGCAAAUGCGCUUGGGAUGAGACAACUCACCGAAUCUCCUUUAGCCAGAAUGGAUUCCAAUUUUGCUGAUGGUCAACAAUAGUAACAUCAUUCAACAUUGGUUCUACAUCAACAAAAUGCAACAUUAGCUAAGAGUAGUUUAAAAAAAAAGAAAAAGAGAAACACAGCAAAGAGAAGAAGAAGUUCGGGUUUCGACAAUAACAAAGAGAGAGGGAGAAUGCAAAAAAAAAAAGAGAGAGAGAGAGAAACACAACAAAGAGAAGAAGAGGUUGAGUUGUGACAAAAACAAAAAGAGAGGCGAGUUCUGUUUAUAUAAAAAAAAAAAGGCAUUUGGUUUCAAUACACAUAUAUAGAUAUGGUAUUUAUUAAAAAAAAAAGCACUCAAAAGAGAAGAUGGCGCGCGAGGUACUCACCAACAGGUUUGAUUAUGGCUCAGUAGCGUCGUUGCUCAAUUUGCCCAAAAAUUGCAUGACGACGACAGCUCAAUAUUUCACUUUUAUUGUGAAAAAGUGUGGAGGAUGAGGAAGAAAUGGAAGCCCAAACGAAACAGAAGCCAAAAGGUAUUGAGAAAAGACAAAAUGUAUGUUUUCAAUUUGCCUUUAUCAACUAUUCCACAAUUAUCAACUAUUCCCUCCCCCCAACCUGAAAAAGACAUUGUCCUCAAUGUUUUAAAAGGAAAGAGAAAGAGUGUAGAAGAAAUACAACAUAAACUCCAUAAGCAUUUUCCCUCUCUCCCUCAGAAUGCCCUCAGGAAAAUUUACAAAGCUCGUUGUGAACGAUUGCAUUUGUUAAUGAUCAAUGGCAUUCCUUCUGACAUUUGUUGGUUAAUUGAAGCAAAGGUCCGAUUAGCAGGUGAGUUUUUUGGUCAAUUUGUUUCUUACAUGCCUGGUUUUGGUAAAAGUACGUUUGCUAAGAAAAGGAGAGCUAAACGACUUGGCUCAAAAUGUCAUAACUGUGUAAGACUUGGUUGCAAACGACCAGAUUGUAAAUCUUUAGGAAUGGUUUCUGAUACUCGUGAAGAUAAAAUUAAAUUCGUUAAAGAUGGCAUGAGUAAAGAAUCGUUGGAUGAUAUCUUACGAUCUCUUGAGACGCAUCGAAGUGGAUUUGUGCAACGUGAGAUUUACAAUUUGUGGAUACUAUUCCAAAAACAAAGUGCACAGUUUAGUCUUGGGAAUCUGACUCAAAAAGACCCUGUUUGCCAGUUUAUAAGAAAACUGGAUAGGAAGCCGAUCCUCGACCCAUAGAGGGCGUUCAAGCCGUUACUGGACGUAAAACCAGAGGAAGAUGUGAGCCACAAUCACAACUACCAGUAAAUAUCCUUUCACUUCACUGUUAUUUUACUUUACUGUUAUUUUAUCAUUUGCAUUAUUGCAUUUAGCGAUGUGAUUUUGUAUUUAAUAAAUAUUUGGUUUUCUUUUACUGUUUGCUUUUUCUAAUCAUUACUUUCUUUUUACUGUUUGUUUUUGAAUUAUUGAGCCACGAGCUUUACUCGUCAUUUAACAAAUAUUGCCAACCCAUUUACAGCUGUUUCUCAUUAUUUAUGUUACCAAGAUCUUUAAAUAUGAGCUCAUUUUUCAAACACUCACAACUUGUUUUUGAAAAAUUAGUCCAAUGGCAUCAUCUUCGAGUAAACAAUUCAAAAACAUUUGUGUGCUUUCUGGGUUUCACUAUGGAAAGUACAAAGAGUUCGUUCAGGCAGCUGUAGAUCUUGGUCGUGUCAUAGCAGAGAGGAAACUGCAUCUUGUAUAUGGAGGAGGUGAACGAGGGUUAUCAAGACUUGUCUCAGAAGCUGUUUUUACCAAAGGAAGCCAAGUACUCGGCAUUAUCCCAAAACCCAUGAAACCGCUAGUGUGCAUGUCUGGCCCACCAAUUGGAGAAGAAUUAGUGGUAUCAAGUAUGCAAGAGAGAAUAUCUGAAAUGAUGAAUCAUGCUGAUGCUUUUAUUUUCUUGCCAGGAGAUCUUGCAACUUUUGAGGCACUAAUUACAUUUGCAUCUUGGGCCCACUUGAACAUUCAUCAAAAACCCAUCGGUUUGUUAAAUGUUAAUAAUUUUUAUGACGGCUUGCUAACUUUUAUUAACCAUGCAAUAAAGAAUCAUUUUGUUCCACAUUCUGUAAAAAAACUAUUUAUCUCUGCUUCUACUGCUAAUGAGUUACUUGAUCUUUUACAAGCUUAUACACCAGAGCCAGAUCCACAGACUGUUGCACUGAAUUGGUCGACUAAUGAUGGUAACGGUAACAGUAGCAGUAAUAAGAAGUGCGAUUUAGAUUUAACUCUCCGUUUGUAAAUAUUUUAUGUUGUAGUGUUCAUGUGAUGUCUUCUACACUCUUUCUCUUUCCUUUUAAAACAUUGAGGACUAUGUCUUUUUCAAGUUGGGGGGAGGGAAUAGUUGAUAAUUGUGGAAUGUCUUGGUCCUGGUUAUGUGUUUACAAGAAAAAAAAAACAUUUUUUUUUCUGUAAAGACUAACUUAGGACAAAUUUGAGUCGAAGAUGGCAGGAUAUAGAUAAUGUAGUUUCUCUAGAAACGCAUCUUCUUAAUCUUAAGAGUGUUGUUAAAAAAAAAAAUUGACUUUUUCUUCAUCUUUGUUAUCUACUUUUAAGCUUCUGCAUCAAGUUCAGGUGAGAUCUCCUCUUCUUCUUCUUUUAUUAUUCUCUUUUAUUUUUAUUUAUUUAUUUAUUUUUAUUUUUUGCAUAUCUGUAAAAUUAUAAAAUGUUAAGAUACUUUUUAGAUUAGGUUGUGGGGUGGGGAUAAUUGACGUAUGUUUUAAAUAUGUGUGUUGUAUUUCUCUUUUCUCUUUUCUUUUCUUUGUUAAAAAAAAACCAAAAAAAAAAUUGUUUUUUGUCUAGGAUGGCCGUGUAAAGAGUCACGACUUUUGAGACACAUCCUAAUAGUCUUGUUGUAUUAUAUUUUGAUUUUGAGAUUCAUAGUAAGUUGUUUUUGUUCCCUUUUCUUUGAAUUACUCAAAUUUGUGAACUCUCCACUUAGUUAUUAAGUUAUUUAAUUGUUUACUCAUUUAACAGGUAUUAUUGAAUCAUUCUUCACACACACAUUAUGACACAUACUAGUGGGUUGUAAGUUAAAAUUUUACAGCAUUUAGUUCUUUUGAUUUAUUAGGAAUAGUAUCUAAGGUGGUAGAAAGUGUAUAUUUCUAAAAAAAAAAAUUAAAAAAAAGAAAAAAAAUGUUUUUAAUUUUGUUAUAUCUAGAAACCCGAGUAAUUAAGUCCAUAGGGGUGCUUCAACACCUAGUGCCCUAAGGUCAACUGGUCUGGGAGUCACUGGCCUAAAGCUCGCUACAUGGGUAAUAGAUAUAUUGUUUGUUUAUUAGAAACCCGAGUAAUUAAGUCCGUAGGGGUGCUUCAACACCUAGUGCCCUAAGGCCAACUGGUUUGGGAGUCACUAACCUAAAGCUCGCUAAACGGGUUAGAAAUGUAAUAUAUAAAAAAAAAAGUGUGAAUAAUCUAUUGCCUAAAGAUAUAAUUUCUAAUGAAUUUUAGAACGAAAAUGUUGUUUUUCUUUUAAUGAAGCCCCAUAAGUAUUGUGUUAAUUACUUGAGCACAAAAGAAGGUUUGAUGAUAUUCUGGAUAAUGAGUGAACAUCAAUGUGGUGAAGGAAUUUGGGAGAGUUCAUUUAUUUGGUAAUUUAGAGGAUAGAUGAACAACUAUUAACUUGCAUGUGAAUUUUAUAAAUCUUAAUAUAACGCUUUAAUUGCUAGAGGGCUAGCAAUAAGCUGGUUGGGGGGUGUGAUUAGUAUUAAAAAUUGUUUAAUUAUCAAGCGAUAAUAUGUUAUUUUAUGCUUAUAUUAUAAUUUAUAUUUGUGUUUAUGUAAUAUAUUAUGAAUUAUUAAUUAUGUUUUAAAUAUAUUUAAUUUUGUGUAUUUUUAUGUGUUUAUUAGGAAAAUUAUUAAUUUCACGUACUUCGAGGCUCCAAACAAAUAAACAGAGGUCAAAUUUGGAUUCCAGAGGUCCGAAAACCUUAAGAUCAGUCAAGAUUGGCUUAAAAUUGGGCUUGUGUAAAAAAAAUUGACUUUUCCUGUUGACCGAGCACUGAUUGGAUGAUGAAAUGAGCUUACAAUAGAUAUGAGUGCAUGGGAUAACUGGCAAUCUUGACUAAAUCUCAACCGUUCAUGAUUCAAUGGCCAUGAUUGUGCCACGUGGCAAUGGUUGGUGAAGCAAGUUGGAGGAUCCGAAUCUUUGUAUUCGGGUCGACCCGAUCCACCCAUUAACCUGUCAAAUCUCAACCGUUCUUUGGGCAAAUCGGACGAGUCAAAUGAUGCCAUGUGUGAUGUUGACUUUUGAAGUUUGACCAGCCAUUGGAUCUUGAUCUAAGGGUUGUGAGGAGCACAUGCAUGAAGCCUAUGAUGGACCGCAAAGCACUGGAUUAUGAAUUUAUUUUUCUAUAAAUAGGGCCUCAUUUUUAUGUUUUAAUCAUCUCUCUACAACUCUCUUCUUCUCAAAUUCUCUCCAUCUCCUUGUAAUCUUGAUUUCCAGGUGUGUUUUUAAUAUUUUGUAUAAUUAUUUUCAUUAAUAAAAUUAGUUUUAUUUCCAAUUUUAGUUGUUUUUAUUUCUUUUAAUUAUAAGUAAUUCAAUUUUACUACUUCUUUUUAUUUUAAUUAUGCUUAACUAAAUAAUAUUAGUUAGGGGAAGGUGAAACUCUUAAGAAAUAAAUAUGAUUUAAUCAAAUUCUAUGUUUAAUUUUAUAGAUUAAAUUAUUUUCUAUUUAAUUUUAUACAUGUUUUAUAUUUUGAAAAUUUGAUUUAUUGUAGACAAACAAAUGAAUUUGGCACAAUAAAUUCUUAAGAUCUUAAUAUAAGGCUUGGUGAAAUGGUAUUUUGACUUAUUGUAGACAAAUUAAAUUUUGGCACAAUAAAUACUUAAUCCAUCAUAAAUUUAAAGGGAAAAUAAUAAUAAUUUGUAUAAUUAAUCUGUUUCCAAUACCGUUCAUAUCUUCUCAGUAUUGAAAAUUAGGGGACUGGUGUUCGGUUUGUAAGAAUUUUUCUAUUUUUCAUUAAUUAGUUUCUAACAUCGAAAAUAGCUUCCCGAUGUUGAAAACUAGGGGACUGGUGUUCGAGUUGGAUUUUUCUGAUAACCUCUAGAAAGAGUCAACAUUGUUCUGGUUGGAUUUUUCUAGUAAUGUUUAGAAAUAUAGUCGACCCCAAUCUACUCAGAACUCAUUGUCGUCGAGCUAACCUCGUAAAUAUAACUUGGAGCCUAAUUUGGCGGCCUGAUUUACAAGUACGACCUGAGAUUUAUGUAAAUGACCUAAUUUAAGAAUACAACCUUAAGCCUAUAUGAGCGACCAGGAAAUUCACCAGUCCGACCUUGAAAUUUAUUUGUCCGACCCGAGAAUUAGCUUGACAUAGAAAGCUAUCGGUUGAGAUAACAUGGCCUAGUUUCUAGGAAAGUUGUGAGCCACGAUCAAUUUAAACUAUUUCUAAUUGAUGACCACGUGCAACUGCUGAAGAAAGUGGGCAGAAGUUAAGGUGGUAACCACCCACGACCAAGGGCCUAUUUAAGCUGAAAAGGGCAACUGAGGAAGGGGUUAGAAAAAUGAACCAAAAUUUCUAUAAGUCACCUAUCUAAAAAUCUUAGGGUUCCCGAUAAUAUUUUUAGUUUUUUCUACCGAAAAAAUUCGUUAAUUUUCACUUUUCACAAUUCUCCCUCCUCGUUUACCUUUUUCUUAUACACAAUUUCUGACUUAAGAAUCAGAGAGUUUACGUCAGGACCCCACCGGCGUAUCCUAAUCGUGUUUUCUGGUUGUCAGGUAUAUAAAGCUGGGUUCAGACCGACGUUUGAGCUUGGAUUCGUGCUGUAAUUCCCCAAAAGAAAACAAAUUCAACUGUUGAGGUUGUUUUUCGGCAUCAACAACGAACAUCAUACUUGUCACACUCUUGGCCUAUAAAUCCUUAGAUUCACAAGUCUUAUAUCACUUGAACGAAGAUGCUAGUGGUGUGCCUCCAUGGAGCUCUGACUCAAUAGUUUUCAAGUAAUUUUAUUUAGCUAACCACCUAAGUUUGAAUCGUGGUGAGGAAAGAAGAUAAAAAUUAAUUUGGUCUUUGCACCUCACUACCUUUAAAAGAGUUCAAACUUCAGACUAGGUUUUGAAUUUUAAUUAUUUUAAAUUGAAAUGCUAAGUCCAUAUAUUAUAUAUGUGAGUUUUUUUUUUUUUUUUGCCUAAUGUUGAAUUAAACUAUAUAUUUAUGAAAUUCUUGAGAUACAUGGAUUUCAGGUUUUAAUAGAAUCAUAUGUACUAGCUAUAUAUACAUCUUAAUAAAUGUUUGCCAGACCUUUAUUUGUACUAAAAUUAUACAUAUCUAGACUCCCAUUACACUUUAGAUUGUAAGAAUUUAAAUAAUUUUUUUUUUCGUAGAAGUCGUUUGGAAUUCUAAGAUCGGAAGUCAAAUUUCAAUAACGAUUUUUAUUUAAAUAUAUAUAUAUAUAUAUAUAUAUAUAUAUAGGGAGAGAGAUUCUUGAGUGCAUAUACUUAACAUUAUAUAGUGUUAUAGCGAAUUUACACAAAAUUUGCAUAUCGACACUUGAGAAUUUCUAAAUAUCAAAGUUUUCAAAUGCAUAAGUCUAAACAUGGAUUUAGUACGGAUUCACUACAAAAUCAUAUGAUGUUAAAAUGAAUUUACAAUUGACUACAAUACCACAUGAUGUUAUAGAAAAUUCACACCAAAUUUGUAUUAUAUAAAGAGAGAGAUCUUGCUUUGCUUUAUAAUUGAAUAUAGGGUGAUGAUAUUCCCACCCCUCAAAUUUUGUAAACCUACCUCACUUUAAAAAAUUAAACCAUAAAAAAUUCACAUUAUUUUUGACGAUUUCAAAUUAUUAAGAAUAAAAUUAAGCAAUUGACUAAUUAAAUCCUCAUUAAAUAAUUAAAAUACAUUUAUGAUAUGAUAUCUCAAAACAUUUAUGCUAUUUUUCUCAUGAAAUUGACUAAUUAGAAGAAGGAUUUGAUUGAUUAACAGUUUAAAAUUUUAUUUAUUUUAAAUUGAAAAAAUGUGAAUUAUUUUUUAAAUAAUUCUUUGAAAUGAUUUAAAUGCGGCACGUGUCCCAUCAAGUUAAAACCUGAGAAGUUGAUUUAAAUUUUAUUUUGGAACAGAAACCGAGUAGCGAGGCCUCGUUGGUCAGGAAAUUCCGAGGUAAGUUAAUCAACAGUUCCACUAAUUAUUUUUAUUUUCUUCCAAAGUUUAUUUAAUUAGACCAAUUUCUGGCUUCCUACUUAUAUUGCAUAUCCAAUUUAGGGGUUGAUUUUUGGAGAUGGACUGAAACAUUAAUAAGCUCAGAGAAAAAAAAAAAAGAAAAAUAGAUUGAGAUUGAAAGUCAUUAUUAACCAACAUACAGAAUACAUAUGCAAUUAAUUCAAAUUUCUAAAAUUACUGUAAUUGUUGGCAAUGUGCUUUUUUGUUUUGGUUUUUUUUGGGGGGGGGGGGUUUCGGAAAUUUGCAUGCAUGCCUUAAUUGAGUUUUAUCACUUUAAAUCCUAAUUACUAAUGUUUUUUCUGUUAACGGUUGAAAAUAAGAUAAGAAGAGAGAAGGUGAACUUGAAGAAGUAUAAGAAGAAAAGACAUGUACUGAUGUUGAUGUGUUUAUGUGAAUAGAGAAAUGGAAUCUUUGUCCAAGUUUUUCCCUUGAUGUUCUAAAGUUUGCAUAUAUAUGUUUCAAGAAACAAAUGGAAAUUAAAUAGUACAUAAAGGUGAACUCACAUUGUCAACUAAAGGUUACACUACCAUUUGCCCAAUGGUUCCAUUACUAUUAUCAUUUUCUUUAUUCACAGAAAUAUCAUCGGCCUCAAAUUCAUCAGUAUAAGCAGAGGGACAAGGACAAGGACAAGGUGAGUCUAUUGUAUGACAACAACAAGUCUACAAUUUAGUUUUAUUUCUGCUGCUGCACUGAGGAAUCACUAGCAUCAACCACCUACUUUAUUACCGUUGCUUCGUUUUUCUCAUGAAGACAGUUGACUUGAUGAAAUAACACUUCUAAUGAGGCUGCCGUAGAGAAAGCAUAUAUGUUAAUCACCUGUUGUAAUCUCAUGCCAAAAUCAUUUCAGUUUCUGCUCAUACAAUUAGUUACUUCAACCUUUGUCAUAUGUAUUCUCCACUACUUUAAGAUACUUAGAUAGUGAAUGUGUCUAAAUUCCAACUCAAAAGAUUCAUUUGAGGAAAAGUUCUUCAGAUGGUCAUGUAGAGUUCUAAUUUAUCUCAGCGUCAUACUCUAAAUACUUGAAAACUACAUGUCAAUCAUCAAUGUUCAUCUUUUGUUGACAAUCUCAACGAUGUGUUUGGGAAAAAAUUAUCACAAUUAUGUUUAGUCCAUUUAUAAGACAAUGUGUCAUGUGAUCCAUUAGUCUAUUGAAAGGUUGCAAUCAAAUGAGUUCAUGUCCAGAUUGUGAAGUUGGUUAAUUUCAACAUAAUAGCAAUGAUUGUAUCCAUUGCUUUUAUCAAGUUGCUAUGUUAUUGUUUUUUUAAUAAGUGGCAGACAUGACUUUCUAUUUUUCCACAGCUUAAAUUGUUAAAUAAUUGAUAAUGCUCUUUCGCUUACUCUGUUCUUUUCUUUUUAGACAAGCUUUAUUGCUUUCGCCCUUUCUUUCUUGAGAGUGGAUGUAUAAAACAAAUUGGCCUUGACUGAUACUUGAUGAUGUUGUAAUUAUUUCUCCCUGCUUUAUUCUUCUUACAACAUAUGGAAGACAGAGUACUGUAAGAUUCAUUUCCCGUACUGCUCUGCCUUGAUCUGUUCUAAUUUGAGAGUCAGCAAUCUUGAUUUAACUUCUUGGAUGGAGUACUAGCUAAGAGAAGGGAGGUAUGGGAGCCAGCACUAAUUUUUCAAUGAGGAUAUAUGGGCAUCACCUUCAGACUAUUUUCGGAGAGGCUGAGAAGGGUGUUAGCUGGCCAAGAAGUCACAUUGCCUGAUGCUGCAAAAGAACCUAUUCAGAACCUUCAUGCCGAGGUUGAAAUCGUUACUCCUUGGCUGAGGGACUAUGAAUAUGAUAUGUCCUGGCUUCUGCUGCAAAAAAUAGGAGAAGAUGAAGUUGACAACCCAGACCUUGGGCGGAAAUCAAUUGCUUUACCUAUGAAUCUGAAAAGGUCAUUAACACAUUCUCAACAGCAUCACUCAACAAAAGAGUCAAAGCAGGCGCAACAAGGACAUUUGUGAUGCUCUGCUAGGACUCUAGAGCAGAAUCAAUGAUAUAAAACAGCGGAUGCAACAACUUCCGUACAUCGAUUCUGGAAUCAUUGAUGAUUUCAAAAAUAUUGAAGAUGAAGCUGGUUAUUUUCCUGCAUCUUUAUCUUCUAAGAAUAGCGGCAUGGUGGGUCUAGAAGACAGAAUGGAGAAGUUGUUAGAUAUUUUGAAAGAGGGACCACCUCAGCUUUCAGUGGUGACCAUCUUGAUAGCAUUGGGUUGGACAAGGUGGCUUUUGCUGCAGAGGCUUACAGCAGCAGUGAUGUGAAGCAUUAUUUUAAUUGUCACGCUUGGGUUCCAGAGCCUUACAACUAUGAUGCUGAUGAUGACCAAAUAUUAGAUAUGAUUAUGAAGUUUCUAAUGCCUUCAUCUAGGUUGAGUAUAAUAAAGGAUAAAAAUUAUGAAAUGAAAAAAAAAAUUCAACAAUAUCUAAUGAUCAAGCGGUAUUUGAUUGUGGUUGAUGAUGUGUGGCGCAUUGAAGUGUGGGAUGUUAUUCGAGAAAUUGUUCCGGAUAAUCAGAAUGGAUGUGGAGUACUAAUAACACUCAUUGAAAUUGAUAUCGUCAUCUCAUUUCAGUUCAAAAGCGGACAGAAUAUUUGGCUUGAUUUAGUGCCCACUAAGAGGACCAUUGAGAGUUGUUUACCUUUUGGAAGUACAUGGAACAACUAAUGAAUAGAGUCUUUGUUGAUGCAAAGAAGAGAAGCGUUGGAGGCAGAAUCAACGCAUGCCCUAUUCGUAGUCGUUGCUGGCCUUCAUUGUUGCAAAUGGCUCUCAAAGUGGAAUUUAUCUUUUCAUCCUAUCCUAGAUCAAAAAGGUAAAUCGCGAAAAAAAUGUCAAACAUGUCUACGUUUUUUAAAAACAGAGUGAUUUUGCUUACUUAGAUGAUUGUGACUCGUACCCGCAUUCUUUGUUGUACUUCAAAAAGCGACCACCUUGACCCCAUAGAUUGGGUGAAAAUCGUUUUGAGUAAUGGACUUGGGAUCUCUUGUUCUCAGCCAAUUUCCAUCCAAAAUUGAAACUUUAUUUCUUUUGAUAUGAAGCUGAACAUCCCUUCCCUCAAAAGCCUAGCUUCAUCAUUAUUAAGAAAUCUCUGAAUCUCUACACCAUAGCCAUUCCCUUUAGCUACAUAAAUCAUACAGCAGAUGAAUUUUGGAAGAUGAACAAACUCAGGCAUCUAAAUUUUGGCUCAAUCAUACUUCCUGCACAUCCAGGAAAAUAUUGCAGCUCUCUGGAAAAUCUCAAUUUCAUUACAGCCAUGCAUCCUUGCUGUUGUACUGAAGAUAUAUUGAACAUACUACCUAAUCCUCAAAAUCUCUGGAUAGGAGGAGAUUUAUAUUUUUAUCAAUUUUUGAUGUCCCAAAGUCUUUGCAGAUUCAGAUGCCUCAAGUCAUUGAAGAUGGUGAAUGAAAGCAAGAUGCCAAGGCUCUUCAAAAUUGUCCGUGCCAAAUACCUACUUCCUCAAAGUCUAAUCCACUUGAGUUUCUCUAAUAUUGAACAAAUGGAUGAUCCCAUGCCUGCACUAGAAAAGUUGCCACUUCUUCAAGUGCUCAAACUGAAGCAAAACACAUAUUCAGUUAGAUAGCUGACUUGUGGGUCUGAUGGUUUCCCAAAGCUCAAGAUAGUGCACCUGAAUUCAAUGCCAUGGCUAGAGGAGUGGACUAUGAGGCUUGGAGCCAUGCCAAAACUGCAAUGCUUGAUUCUCAAUUCUUGUGCUAACUGGAAAAAGAUUCCCGAACAGCUCUGGUGCAUAAAGAGCUUAAACAAAUUCGAGUGUUGGUGGCCUCAGCCGGAGCUGAGACAAAAGCUACGGGACUUCGAGGAUAAGGUGCAGUAUGACAAUCAAGUAUAUCCUUAUGGAAUUUGAUUUGCAUGGAUUUAAUUAGAUGUAAGUUUUUCAUUUUAUGUAAUAUCAUCAACCUUUAAUUAUUAAUAUAAUUUCAUACAUUUGUUUUUUCUUCUCCUCAAUAUAUUUGAUAGCACGCAGCUUCCUAAGGCUAUAAAGUGUUUUCUAAUUGUAGUUGCUUCUAAUUUUUGUCUCAACAUUAGACAUGAAGUGUUCUUCACAGUUCCUGUUGCUGACCCCGACCAUUUUCCCUUAAUUAUUUUUAGAAGAGGAAGAACCCUUGUUUAUUGAUUGUUGAACAGUCAGGAAAAACUAUAAUUUCAUAUCUUAAAUUACUUGCGCAGGUGAAAUCAGAGCGGGAAAUAUAUCAACUGUAGUGCGGCAAAAGUUUCAAUUUCAACCAGAAUCCGGCCUUGAUCCUUUCAGUAUUCACUUCUGUUGUCUACACAUUAUUAAGUCCUCAAGAUUAAUACAGGACAUUGUUGGGUUUCUUUGUUUUCAAGGAUCUGCUACAAGCAAUAAUGUCAAGUUUUUGGAUUCACUGUGUAUAUUCUAUUCAUGUGUCUUCAUUCUUGUAAUGUGCUUGAAACUCCAACUUAGUGUGGACGUGUGUGGUUUGGUUGUACCAUGUGUAAUACAUGUUGAUUGUCAUAAUUGUCUUAAGGGAAUUCUGCAUCACUUCCAUCAGAAGAAAAGUUUGGAUGUAGGCACCAUUGCUGCUGAAUCUACUAUUGAUUUGCUCUAUGUUUUCUAUUUUUUUUAAUUCAAUUUUGGGGAUUGGGUUUUUAGCAUUAAGUGUUGAUACAUCAGAGGACUAGAUAAAAUAAAUAGAAACUGGGGCAGAUUGCCUAAUCUUCAGAAUCUCCAAUUUUAUGGAGAUUUAAGGCCUUAUCAUUCAUAAAUAACUUGAAUGCUAGAUUGUUAUUAUCUUAGAUUCUCUAAAUAAUAAUCCGAAUAAGAAUGUAGGAAAAAUAUUGAUUACAAAUGCUUGUUUUGAACAAAUACUACCUAUUAUUUUAAAUUUUGGACAUAGAAAUUAUAAAUAGUAUUAGCAUGUGAAUUUUAAGGUAUUAGCUGAUUCUGUCCAAAAUUUAGUCGUUGGUUUUUGCUGAAAAAAUGAAUGUGUAUAAUUUUUUUUCCCUUUUAUUUUCUGUUAUACAUUGAUUCCCCUGCUUCUAGCUGAUUCUGUUCUCCUUUAUAACGAGAAAGAAGUUAUUUUUUGUGCUCUUAUAUAUACAUGUUAAGCUUGGAUAAGUGUGGUUUGGUUUGUUUUAAUAAUAUGAUUGUGUGGUGUCAUCUGUAAUACUUUUUAAGGGUGCAAUCAAAUGAGUUUAUACCUUAUAGUGAAUUUGGUUAAUUUCAAGAUAUCAUUUUUUGGGAUCUUCGACUUUGGUUGCUAAUACAAAAUUCCUCAAAUCUUGAUUGGAAUUUGGGAAUCUGUCCUAAAUGAUACAAGAUUUCAUAAAAAAAUUUCAUUCUGAUUUAUUAUUCGAGUUGAGAUUCAAGAUCUAAUUUUCUUCCAACUUAAUAUUCAAGACGGGAUUUGAGACGUCUGAAAAUCUCACUUGAGAUCCCUUAGGCGAUCAAAUGAGUUCAUAUCCUUAUAAUGAAUUUGGUUAAUUUCAAGAUACCCUUUUCUGGAAUCAUCCGCUCUAACUGCUAAUACGUGAACCUAGGCUGGCAAAAUUAUCCAGAUACCAAUCGAGAUAGAAACCCUACACAAGAUUUGUUACAAGUUUCUUAUCCCAAUUUUGAAUGUGGGUUAGGAUUUGAGACCCAUUUUACACCGAUUCAUAAAUUUCUUUAUUUAGACAAUAACUUAUGACAGAUUUUUAGUUCAAAGCUCACGGAGUAAAGGUUGAGUUAUUGGUGCAAUCAUCCGCAAUUUUAUGCAAGCAUGCAACAUAUUAAACAAGAGAAUAUUUAAUUAUUUUUUGGGUUCUGUUAUUACAAUAAUGAUUUUGAAGAUAUUAGUGGGAGAAAAUUCAUUUUUUUAAAUCAUUUUCAAGCUUGAGAAAAAGUUUUCUUGCUGGCAUACACUGUCCUUUAUCUAUAUUCCAGUCUUCCAUUAUGUUAAAAAAAAACAAAUAUGAAAAUAAAAAGAAAAUAGGACAUCAUCAAGUAUCAAUCAAAGAUCAAUUUGUUUUAUCCACUUUCAGGAAAGAAAAGGUAAAAACAAUCCCGCUGGGGACCAUAAAGUUGGUGUUUUUUUUGAGGGUUCGGCAUCAUGUUUGCCUUCAUUUAGCAAAGGAUAUAUGAAAAAGAGAUGAAUAUUGCACUUUAGAUUUGAAUAAUUCCAAUUGGAUUUUGAAUUAAUUAGAUUAGGAAAAAAAAAUCAUUCGAAUCCAACCUGAAUCUCAAAUAUAAUCAAUUCGAUUCAAAAUAAAUUGAUAUUUCAGAUGAAUUUGGUUUUAGAUUGUUUCGUAUUUAAAUGAAAUUUUAAAUUCAAAUAGUAUUUUAAACUCGGAUUGAAUUCGGAUUUAGGUCUUUUUGAUAAUUUUUACAAAAAAAUCAUGAACUCUGUAUAUAUAUGUAGAGUAGUGCAAUCCAAUCGGAUUGUUUAGAUUAAAACAUCCAAAUUCAAAUCAGAUCUAUUCGAAUCCAAUCCAAUGCACACCUUUAGCCCUAUUGGAAUGAUCAUCUAACCAUUCAAACUAUAACGUAUUAUGUUGUAGUCUGUAGAGCGCUUGAAAAGAAAAUCUCUAAACAAUAGCGACUAUUAUGCAUUUGAUGCAUCAAUGAAUCAAAUUCUAAGGUGAUGCUUUUUCUCUCUAGACAAGCUUUAUGGUCCCGGCGGAAUUAUUUUUAAUCUUUCAGUCUUUUGAGAGGGCUAAAAAGAAACUAGUCUUGAUAGCCUAUUUUACUUUCUUCAUACAUAUAUAUAUAUAUAUAUAUAUAACACAAAUUAUAAGACACCCUUUUAUCUUCUUGCAUAAAAAAUAUUUUAUAUACACGUACAUUAUACCUCAGGUUUUGUGCAGAAAAUCAUUAUUGUACAUCAAUAAUUUCUCAAUAUAAUUCCUCUUAUCAAUCAGUAUCCCCACGGCACCUGCAGCAUCUAGGUUUAAGAUUCAUUUUCCAGUACUGCUCUGCCUUGAUCUGUUCUACUUUGACAGCCACCUGAACUUGAUUCAACUUCUUGAGAGAAGGAGGUAUUGGUGCCAUCCUCAGUUGCUUAUGUUGACUAAUGUUGAAGUAAAAGGAGAGCUUUUAACCAUUUUUUUUAUAAUUGUUUUCUUUGCAUGCUAGGGCUGCUGGCUACUGACUACCGAGAGUGAAGGAGAUAUGGACAUCAACCUUGGACUAUUUUCAGAGAGACUAAGAAGGGUGCUAGCUGGUGAAGAAUUCACGGUGCCCGAUGCUGCUGAACAACCUAUUUAGAACCUUUACACUGAGACUGAAAUCGUUGCUUCUUGGUUGAGGGACUCUAGAUACAACACUGCUUGGUUUAUGUAGCAAGUCAAUGCAGAAGAGGGUCAAACUCUUGCAGAAUUAGAAGAUUUUAAGGCUAUCAUUGACAAAAUUCGUUGCUUUUCAUACAUAUCUGAGAAUGUGAUUGACACAUUUGCUAUCAGUAUCACUCAACAGAAGAGUCAAAGCGGAUGCAGCAAGGACAUUUGUGAUGCUCUGCUAGGACUCCAAAGCAAAAUCAUUGAUAUAAAACAACGGAUGCAGCAAGUUCAGCACAUCCACUCCAGAAUCGUUGAUGAGCUCAAAUCGUUUGAAGCAAAAGCUAGUAAUUUUCCUGCAUCCUCAUCUUUUAAGAAUAGGGACACGGUGGGUCUAGAUAAUAGAAUGGAGGAGUUAUUAGAUCUACUAAUAGAGGGACCGCCUCAACUUUCGGUAGUGGCUGUUGGAAAAUUUUCAAAAUAAAUGUGUCUUAUGGUAAAGACAUGUCCUAUUAAUUGUGCCUUAUAGAAAAGGUACCUUUCACUAAAGGCAUGUCUAAUUAAAUGAUGUCUUGUUGUAAGGACAUGUCCAUUUAAUUGUGUCUUGUAGAAAAUGUAUCUUUUUACUAAAUGAUAUAACUUUUCAUGGCAACAUUUCACUUAGAGAUGCAUCAUUUCAUGGUGACAUUUCAUUUGAAAUGGUGAUGAUUCAAUUUGGACCAUUGAUUAAAAUCAAAUCUAGAUCCAAUGGCCAUGAAUGAAGGGGUAUCAUGAAAUAUGACAACCCAAAUGAGGGGGCACAAGUAUAUCUAUAAAUAGGGGUCAUGUUUAAGCCAUUUAGACAUGAAAUUAAUGAUCCUACACCACUUUUUUCUUAGCAUUCCUUUCUAGUACGAAUUUCAACACAAAACACCCAUUUCUUUUGUGCAUUCACAUUCCAAUAUAUUGUUUUCUGCAGGAACAAUAUAUUGUUUCUUGGCAGGCUUGUAACAUUCAAGAGUAUUCUGGUUUGCUUUCAUCGAUGCACAACACAAGCAAACAAACAAGUGCUUCAUUGUAUCCUGGAGGCGUAUUUGCUUAACCCAUGUGCAUUACUCAAUCGGUGGGGGCAAAUAACAUCUUAAGGAAAGUGACAUUUGUAACGCGCCUUGAAGUACACAAAAUUUCUGCAGUUUACUUAUUACUAUUAUUUUUCUUCUUACAUAAGUUGUAAACACAUUACUUUAUGUAAUAAAGUUCCGUCAUUAUUGUUACAUUUGCCAUUCCCCACAAGUUCAACCUCCAACAGUGGCCGUACUUGAUAGCAUUGGAUUGGACAAGAUGGCUUUCGCCGCAGAGGCUUAUAGCAGCAACUAUGUGAAGCAUUAUUUUGAUUGUCACGCUUGGGUUGAAGAGUCUUUACCAUAUGAUGCUGACCAAAUAUUGUACGACAUUAUUAAGUUUGUGAUGCCUUCAAGCAGGUUGAGUGAAAUUAUGGAAGAAAGUUCGGAAAUGAAAAAAAUUAUUCUUCAUGAAUAUCUAAUGACCAAGCGUUAUUUGAUUGUGCUUGAUAAUGUGUGGAGAAUAUCAGUAUGGGAUGUUAUUUGAGAAAUACUUCCCGAUAAUCAGAAUGGAAGUAAAGUAUUGAUAACACUCAGUCGAAUUGAGAUCGUCGCCUCAUUUCAGUUCGAAAAUGGAGAGAACAUUGGGCUUGAUUUUGUGCCCACUGGAGGACCAUUGAGAGUUACAUACCAAGGAUGGCCUUUCCGCAUCUUAUAUCAUGAAAGCAUCUCACUGAAAGAGAAUAUAGAGGAAGCCCUUGAUGAACCCCUGGGGCUUCAAGUCGUUGCAUAUUGUAUGUUACCUUUUUACUUGAAACUUUGUUGUCUCUACUUAUCUGUGUUUCCCGUACACUUUGAGAUAUCCACCAAGCAAUUAUAUCAGUCGUGGAUAGCCGAAGGUUUCAUUACAGACAACAAUGAGGCAACUGCCGAGAAAUACUUAGAACAACUAAUCAAUGGAGGCUUUGUUAUCCUCAUUGAAGAAGCCAAGGGAUUAGUAUUUAUAUAUAAACACUUAACCAUGCAUGAACAAGAAUUUUAAGGAUAAAGACUCUCUCCACACGAGCGUACGUGGGGCGAGGGGGACAAAUCCAUGACCAAUUUGGUUGAACUUGUGUGCGCCCUUAAAUGUCAGCCCAAGCACCGAUGGAACGUGUUUUAUUUCCUUUUAAAUUUGUUCUAACAGUUUCACACCUUUUGAAUUCAGAAGAUUUGUAAUAGCUUCGCAAUUAUUUUGGGCUGGUAUGCAAUUCAAUUUUUGAAUUGAAUUGUUUAAAAUUCAAUGGCUAUUACAGCAAUUAAAUUGCAUAUAUUGAAUUCUGAAAUUCAAUUUUUAUGUUAUUGUUACGUACCCACAUGAGUAUAAAAAGGCACAUUCCUCUUCUGUUUUUACACACAUUGAAACUAGCACACAGAGCACUUACAAUUUUUCUUUCCUCCUUUCGUCUUGUUUUCUGAUUGAGUUUACCGCUGUUGUGGUUCGCCGAAAUUAUCUGUCUGUGCUUGACAGAAAAUUUGUGCCCGUUGUAUCCUGAGAAACAGUUACCAGCAAACUUAAAGCACUUCAGUAGGUAGUAAAUCUGUUUUAAGGACACUGUAUUACAGGCCUCAAGUUUAUUUUCUUCAGUUGCUAUUUUUCUUUUCCUGUUGUUUAUAAGUUGCUGUUUUGCUGUAGUCAAAUUAGCUACUAGUUUAUUUGUUUAACUCACUGUGAUUAUUUUUUAUAACAUUGAAAUCGUCGCCUCAUUUCAGUUCGAAAAUGGAGAGAACAUUGGGCUUGAUUUGUGCCCACUGGAGGACCAUUGAGAGUUACAUACCAAGGAUGGCCUUUCCACAUCUUAUAUCAUGGAAGCAUCUCACUGAAAGAAAAUAUAGAGGAAGCACUUGAUGAACCCCGAGGGCUUCAAGUCGUUGCAUAUUGUAUGUUACCUUUUUACUUGAAACUUUGUUGUCUCUACUUAUCUGUGUUUCUCGUACACUUUGAGAUAUCCACCAAGCAAUCAUAUCAGUUGUGGAUAGCUGAAGGUUUCAUUCCAAACAACAAUGAGGCAACUGCUGAGAGAUACUUAGAACAGCUAAUCAAUGGAGGCUUUGUUGAUGCAGGGAAGAGAGGUGACAGAGGCAGAAUCAACACAUGCUCUAUUCCUGGGCAUUGCAGUCCUGCGUUGUUGACUGUGGCUUUCGAGGGGGAAUUUUUCAUUUCCCCAAUCAUGGAUCAGGAAGUUAAAUUAUGGGAAAAUGUGAAACGCUUCACCGCUCAUGGAAAUUUGAAUGAUUUUUCAUUUUUAGAUCAUUUUGACUCGUUCCUCCAUUCCUUGUUGCACCUCACUUUAGGAAGCCACUACCUUGACUCCAAUUAUUGCGAGAAAAUCUAUAAAAUGUUCAAAUUUCUCAGAGUAUUGGACUUGGGAUCUCUUGUUCUCAUUCGAUAUCCUUCCGAAAUCGAAUAUGUAUUUCUUUUGAGAUAUUUGAACUUGAAUAUCCCUUCCCUGAAAAGCCUGCCUUCAUCGUUAUUAAACAGUCUUUUGAACUUGUACACCCUAGACAUGCCCUUUAGCUACAUAGAUCAUACAGCAGAUGAAUUUUGGAAGAUGAGCAAACUGAGGUAUCUAAAUUUUGGCUCAAUUACACUUUCUGCACAUCCAGGAAAAUAUUGCGGCUCUCUGGAAAAUCUCGAUUUCAUUUCAGCCUUGCAUCCUUGCUGCUGUCCUGAAGAUAUAUUGGGCAGACUACCUAAUCUUCGAAAUAUCCAAAUAUGGGGAGAUUUAAUUUAUUAUCAAUCUUUGUUGUCCAAAAUUCUCUAUAGAUUGAGCUGCCUCGAAUCAUUGAAGUUGGCAAAGGAAAGCAAGAUUCCACGGCGAUCCAAUAUCAUCCUUGCUAAAUACCAAUUUCCUCCAAGUCUAACCCACUUGAGUUUUUUGAAUAUUGAGCUAAUGGAUCAUCCCAUGCCGGCACUAGAAAAGCUGGCGGUUCUUCAGUUGCUCAAACUGAAGUAAAACUCGUAUUCAGGUAGAAAGCUGGCUUGUAGCUCUGAUGGCUUUCCAAAACUCAAGGUGCUGCACCUUAAAUCAAUGUUAUGGCUACAAGAAUGGACUAUGGGGAUUAGAGCCAUGCCGAAACUAGAAUGCUCGAUCCUCAACCCUUGUGCUCACUUGAAAAUGAUUCCUGAACAGCUUUGGUGCCUAAAGAGCUUAAACAAAUUAGAGUUGUGGUGGCCUGAGCUGGAGCUGAGACAACAGCUACGGGAAUUCGAGGAUAAGGAGCAGUAUGGCAUUCAGCUAUAUCCAUAUGGAAUUUGAUUAGCGUGGAUGGAAUUUGAUGUAAGUUUUUUUCCUUUUUAUCCAAUAACUUCAACCUCUAAUUAUUUAUCUAAUUUCAUGUAAACAUCUAUUCUGUAUGAUUGAUUCGAUAGUACGCAGCAGCCUAAAUAAUAAUGAUACCAUAAAGUGUUUUCUAUCUAAUUUUUGUCUCAACAAAGACUUGGAAGUGUCCAUCACAUUCCCUGAUGCUGACACUAAUCAUUAAUCUCUUAUUAAUAGAAGAGGCAGAACCCUUAUGUAUUGGUUAUUGAAAUAAUCAAGAAAAACUGUAAAAUAAGAUAUUCAAUUACUUGUAUGUGUAGCAGUGUAGGUCAAAGCAGAGCGGAAAAUAUCUUAACUAUACUGCAGCCAAAGUUUCAAUUUCAAUAAGAAUCCAGCCUUCACUGAAAUUGUGUGGUUUCUCUUUUUUUUUUUAUAAGAAUUGUUUGGUUUCUUUGUUUUCAAGGAUUAUGUCAUAUUCGGAUUAAUAUUUUGUACAAAAGUUUUAUUGAUUGUUUUACUUUCUAUUUUCACAUUCACUGGUGUGUAUUCAAUUUGUCAACAUUGAAGUUGCAUAUAUGUUAUUGUUUUUUAUUUUAUUUUAUUUUUCUAGUUUUUGAGUAGUGAUACAGUUCAAUCUCAUUACUUCAGUUAGACGAAAAAUGUUUGUGCUGUGAUCACACCUCAUUAUCUUAAAACUGACAGAACGAUUUUGUCGUUCGGUUUUUUGGAAUUUCGCCGACGUGUCGUCCAUUGUAAGGGCGACAAUGCUGGUCAAAAGUCAGUUGGGGUUCGUUAAAAUAGUGCGUGGAAAUUUCGGGUUUGUUGGAAAUAGCCUUUAUUGUAGUUUAUAAGGCUGGUUGUUGGGUCAUCUUCACAGGUCUCAUCAAAGCCAUAGAAAGAGAGAGAGUUAAAGGGAAAAAGUUGCAUAUUCUUGGAAUGAUUGUGAAAUGGUCCUUGUUCUUCAGUGGAUGUAGGCACUUUGAUUCAAUUUUGAGUUUCGGUUUCCGGAACGAUUCUUGAUACGUCAAAUAGGGUCUUAGGUGUGUGAUCUUGGUACUAACAGAGGAUUAAACACAACAAAAAAGAAACUGGGGCAUAUUGUCUAAUCUUCAUAGACUCCAAAUAUAUGGAGAUUUUAGCCCUCGUCAAUCUGGGUUGUCCAACAGCCCUUGUAAAAUAAAAAACCAUCACUAAUCCUUGGUGACUUUAGGGAUCCAGUAAGGACUAGGUAGAAUUGAAGAGGAGAUUUAACGAGUAAAGUUCUGAAAGUGGAAGAUUUAAAAUUUAAUCUGUAGCGUUGCAGGUUUUGGAAGCUUCGUUAGAAUUGAUGACUGAAUUCUUUCUCUGUUGGUUGAUUAGUAGCCCAAUUGCACUAAGAGAAUAAAGAGCAGCUGUAAUCGUUUUCACAUUUUCCGUUCCAGCAUCCAGAGGGUGCCUUGUAAUGCAGUGCAAUGAAGUUGAUGGCGUGAGGAUGUGCUGCUGCUCACUCAAUUCCUUACAGUCACAUCAAAGCCCUUGUUUGCAGCAGAGGAAUUCCCUUUUGUAUUCAAAUUAAUCCUUCUGCUUUGGUUGUCAUUGGAUUCUUUCCACUCUUUAGCCAGUAACAUAAUGUUGAGUUUAUUGAUUUUGCUAUCUUAAGAAUGUCCAAGACAUUUUGUAAUCAUGAUAUAUUGUCAUUUUAUUUUGAGACAAAAGACUUUUUUCCCAGUUAGCAAAUGCUUAUUGCUUUCAUUUUUUGGAUUGGAAAAACAAAAAUUGGAAGAAGAAAAAUGAAAAUUAAUAAACAAAAAAAAGAUUACAGGACAGCAGCAUCAUGUUCUUUUCUUUGAACUAAGUCUUUGUUUAACCUUUCACCUUUUCCAUUUUGUGAGUUUGGUAUCUCUUUCUUUUCUUGAACCAAGAUUUUUACUUUACUUACAAGUAAAGUUUAAAUGAUCUUGAUCGUUUAUUUUUCUCUGAACUUAUUUUUCUUUCACAUGCACGAUCAUUUUCAAUUCUAACAAAUCAUUCAUCUAUCAAUACCCAAUUUGAAUAAAAUUCAGCAUUCCUUUUCAUAUUCUUUCUAUGUAAUAAUUUGAUUGUGUUGUUUUUAAUCAAAAUAAGAUAUAUAUCGUCAGGAUAUUGAAGUUUGUGAUCACUUUAAGAAAAAACAGGUAGUUUAAUAUCUGAAUUAUCCACAAAAUAACUCCAUUUUAUUAUUUUUAUAUCAUGAAUGUGAGGUUCAUGAUUUAUUUGCGUUUGAUUCUUGUUUACAAGUUAUGUUUUUCCUCACACGUUUCAUAUGAUCACAAAUCAGAUAAAAAGGGGGAAAUUAAAAAAAAAAGAUUGAAAGCUAGCUUAUUUUGAGUACAAGCAAAAUCUUGCUCAUUUCCAGGGCGAAAGUAGCAGGGACGUUUUGAGGUGUUUUUAAAAAUACAGGGACUAAAUGGACACUAACCUCAUAAUAUAGGGACUAAACAAGCUUUUACCCCAUUUAGAAAUGCGUUGACAAAGAGAUUAAUUUGUCACAUGAUGGUUUCUAGGUAGAAUCUUUCCAAGCUAAUUUGCAUUUUAUAAAAUUUUUCUUUCUAUUCGUUUUACGUAAUGAUUAGUCACCAAUCUUGGUUUGAGAAUGCAUACUCAACAUGAGGUUAUAAGAUUCAUUUCCGGCACUCUACCUUUCAUCUCUUGUAAUUUGACUGUCAGCAAUCUUGAUUUAACUUUUUGAAUGGCAACACUCGGCAUGAUUAAUUAGAGAAGGAGGUAUCAGGCAUAGGGUUCUGAGUAGAGUUUCAUCAACAAUUAAUGCUGGUUAAUGUUUGAAUUGACAGACAUAAAAAUUUCUUAUUAUUAUUAUUUUUAAUCUUUUAAUAAUUGUCUCUCUCAAUUAUGUCUCAAUUUGCAUGUUAGGACCACUAGGCACAGAGAGAGGAGGAGAUAUGGACAUCAACUUCAGACUAUUUUCCGAGAGGCUGGGACGGGUGUUAGCUGGUGAAGAAGUCACGUUGCCUGAUGCUGUAAAACAACCUAUUCAGAACCUUCAUGCGGAGGUUGAAAUCGUUACUUCUUGGCUGAGUGAAUUUGAAGAUGAUAUCUCCUGGCUUCUGAUGCAAAAAAUAGGAGAAGUUGAAAUUGACAACCCAGAUCUUGGGACCGUUAUGGAUGAAAUCAAUUGCUUUACUUAUGAAUCUGAGAAGGUCAUUGACACAUUCAUCAGCAGCAUUACUCAACAGAAGAGACAAAGCGGGCGCAGCAAGGACAUUUGUGAUGCUCUGCUAGGACUCCAAAGCAAAAUCAUUGAUAUAAAACAACGGAUGCAACAAGUUCAGCACUUCGAUUCCGGAAUCAUUGAUGAAGUCAAAUCAAUUGAAGCUGAAGUCGGUAAUUUUCUUGCAUCUUCAUCGUCUAAGAAUAGGGAGACGGUGGGUCUAGAUGAUAGAAUGGAGGAAUUGUUAGAUCUAUUGAUAGAAGGACCACCUCAACUUUCAGCAGUGGCCAUACUUGAUAGCAUUGGAUUGGACAAGACGGCUUUCGCCGCAGAGGCUUACAGCAGCAACUAUGUGAAGCAUUAUUUUGAUUGUCACGCUUGGGUUCCGAGCCUCACAGCUAUGAUGCUCACCGAAUAUUAGAUCUCAUUAUUAAGUUUCUAAUGCCUUCAUCUAGACUGAGUGAAAUGAAGGAUAAAAAUUAUGAAAUGAAAAAAAAAUUCUUCGUGAAUAUUUAAUGACCAAGCGGUAUUUGAUUUUUUUUUAUAAUGUGUGGAGAAUAUCAGCAUGGGAUGUUAUUCGAAAAAUACUUCCCGAUAAUCAAAAUGGAAGUAGAGUAUUAAUAACACUCGCUCAAAUUGAGAUUGUCACCUCAUUUCAGUUUGAAAACGGAGAGAACAUUGGGCUUGAUUUUGUGCCCACUGGAGGAGCAUUGAGAGCUACAUACCAAGGAUGGCCUUUCCACAUCUUGUAUCAUGGAAGCAUCUCAUUGGAAGAAAAUAUAGAUGAAGUAUUGACCAUGUCCCUUGGGCUUCAAUGCAUCAUAUAUUGUAUGUUACCUUUUUGCUUGAAACCUUGUUUUCUCUACUUCUCCGUUUUUCCCGCACACCUAGAGAUAGCCACCAGGCAGUUAUAUCAGCUGUAGAUAGCUGAAGGUUUCAUUUCAGACAAUAAUGAGGCAACUGCUGAGAAGUACUUAGAGCAACUAAUCAACAGAGGCUUUGUCAAAGCAAAUAAGAGAAGAACUGGAGGCACAAUCAACACAUGCUCUAUUCCUGGUCGUUGCCAUCCUGUAUUGUUAGGAGUGGCUUCCGAGGUGGAAUUUAUCUUUUCCCCUUUCAUGGAUACAGAAGGUAAAUCACAAAAAAAUGUCAAAUGUUUCUACGCUUAAGAACAACAGAGUGAUUUUGCUUAGAUGAUUAUGACUCGCACCUGCAUUCUUUGUUGUACUUCACUUCAGAAAGCAACCACCAUGACCCCAUAGAUUGCCAGAAAAUUUGUGAAAUGUUUAAACUUCUCAGAGUAUUGGACUUGGGAUCUCUUGUUCUCAUCCAAUAUCCGUCCAGAAUUGAAAAUUUAUUUCUUUUACGAUAUUUGAAGUUGAAUAUCCCUUCCCUCAAAAGCCUGCCUCCAUCAUUAUUAAGUAAUCUUCGGAACCUCUACACCCUAGAGAUGCCCUUUAGCUAUAUAGAUCAUACAGCAGAUGAAUUUUGGAAGAUGAACAUACUCAGGCAUCUAAAUUUUGGGUCAAUCACACUUCCUGCGCAUCCAGGGAAAUACUGCGGCUCUCUGGAAAAUCUCAAUUUCAUUUAAGCCUUGCAUCCUUGCUGCUGUACUGAAGACAUAUUGGGCAGACUACCUAAUCUUCAAAAUCUCCGGAUAUGGGGAGAUUUAAGUUAUUAUCAAUUUUUAUUGUCCCCUCGAGUCAUUGAAGUUGGUGAACGAAAGCAAGAUGCCAGCUUUCUCCAAAAUUGUCCUAGUUGAGUACCAGUUUCCUCCAAGACUAACCCACUUAAGUUUCUCUAAUACGAAACUUAUGGAGGAUCCCAUGCCCGCACUAGAAAAGCUGCCACUUCUUCAAGUGCUCAAACUGAAGCAAAACCCGUAUUCAGGUAGGAAGCUGACUUGUGGCUCUGAUGGUUUUCCAAAUCUCAAGGUAUUGCACCUGAAAUCAAUGCUAUGGCUAGAGGAGUGGACUAUAGGGACGGGGGCCAUGCCGAAACUAGAAUGCUUGGUUAUCAACCCUUGUGCUUACUUGAAAAAGAUGCCCGAACAGCUCUGGUGCAUAAAGAGCUUAAACAAGUUCGAUUGCUGGUGGCGGCUGAGACAAAAGCUACGGGAAUUUGAGGAUAAGGAACAGUGCGGCAUUCAACUAUAUCCUUACGGAAUUUGAUUAGCCCCCAUUGAAUUUGAUGUAUGUUUCUCAUUUUAACCAAUUUCUUCAACUUUUAAUUAUUUAUCCAAUUUCACAUAUAUUUUUUUCCCUUCUCUUCAAUAUAAAGAUGGUUAUACAAAGUGUUUUCUUUUAAUUUGUCUCAAUAUUGAGUACAUUGAGUACCUUUUAGAGUUUCCGAUACUCACCCCAAUCAUCAAGCCCUCUUUAGCAGCAGUGGAGACUUAAGUACCCUUGUAUAUUCAACCAUGAGCCUAGCAGACAUCGCGUUCAUUUGCUUUAAUAGUUAAGACAAAAAAUGUAAUUAAAAAUUCUUAUUUUUCACAAUUUCUUCAAUAACUUGUGUAGGUGAAAUCAAAGCAGAAAACAACAUAACUGCAGCCCGAGCUUCAAUUCCAACCAGAAUCCUUUCUGUCUUCACUCUGCUGUCUACACAAAUAAAUCCUGAUCCUACGGUGGUGGACUUUUUUUUGGUUUCUUUGUUUCAGCUGUCUAUCCAUAAAUAAGAAAUCUCGCUUAGGAUUUUCAGUUGAGAGUUCAUUGAUUUGUGCUUCGGCCAUGGUUUCGUUAAUUGUGUACAAAAAAUAAAUAAUAUUUGUGAUGCUUUCUGGUGUUGGGUUCAGUUGAAUGUAUUUUCUGUCUUUGUUCUGUUGCUUGCUCUGAAAUCCUAUUUCAAAGGCUGGGCAAGUUUGGCACUCGAUAUGCUUCGUUUACUUCCAGAAAAGAUUGAUUAUUGAUGAACUUCAUACUUGGCUGAAUAUCUUAGUAAACGUUCUUGUGAAGAAAUCCUAAUACCCACUGAGGCACUACAAUAAGGCAGAAAUACUAAUAUUGCUUUACAUGUGUUGAUUGAUUAACAGUUUUGUUCUCUGCUGCUCUUUCUUUAUCUGUUGCAGAAAAUUCCUUCAAUAUGAUUGAUAGUUGCUACUAAUUAUAGAAGCAUUCCUCCUUUGGCUCAUUUCAUGGAAUAUGAAAGACAGAUUACUGAGACAGAGCCACGCUUCUUUACCUUCCCAGAGAAAGUUGAAGUUUGGGCUGCGUACUUGGGAGUGGAAUGAAGAGCGGCAGCAAAAUGAUUACAAGGAUUGCCAUUUACAGGGGCAUUUUUGUGACUACUGAUGUGUCCCUCUAAUGGUUCAAUAAAUUGAAACCACGUCUAGUAAAAGGCUAGAAAAACGCCGUGUUAUAGUAAGCAUCGACUUUCAAUAAUAGAAUUUUGUGUGCAAGUGUGAAGUUCAUCAAUAAUCAAUCUUUAUAACUAUUGCCUACGGUAUAAAAAUAUUUAUAAAAGAGCAAGUAAUUGCAAUCCCUCGUUCAAAUUUAUAACAAAUCAACUAUAAAAAUAUUCAGAGCAAAAUUCAAGAUUAAAUUAUGUUCUAUAUUGGAUCACACGUUAAAAUAGUUAUCAAGAUAUGCAUGUAUAUAAUUAAAUAAAUGUAGAAAUUUAAUUUGGUUUGUUAGCAUUCCAUUAAGAAUAAAUUUAAACAAUUAACUAAUUAAAUCCUCGUUGAAUAAUUAUUAAGCUUCAUUUAAACUAAUAAAAUAUGUUUGUGAUAUGAUAUCUCAUAACAAAUUAACUAACGACUUUGAAAUUUAUGCUAUCUAUCUCAUGAAAUUUAUCAAACUCAUACUUGAUUCUUAGAUCAAGUUACAAAAAUCGUGUGAGGUGAAUCAGUAGAUUAAGGGCUAGCUCAAGUGAAGCUUUGAGGCAGCAGAAUCAACACAUGCCACAUUUUAAUAUUGUCAUUAUUAUUAGCAGUGUAUCAAAUUUGAAAAGUAAUUCCAGUUGUCUUUGUUUCAGCUGUGUACUCAUUAAGUAAGAGAUUUCAUUUCAGCAGAGAGUUGACUGUGUAUAAAAAUAAAGAAUGUUUGUGAUGCUUUCUAGUCUUGGAUUAAGUGGGAUUAAUGUAUUUUCUAUAAAAACUGAUCAAAAAUUUCCUCCCAUGGAUGCAUGCUAAUGCAAAUUAGCUGAACCACGUUGAAUCGAUUUGUCCUCUGUUGGUUCUUUCAAUUCUUUGAUUCAAUUUGAUCUUAAUUGCUUUAUAUCCAUUCAUCAUCAUCUUGUUUCAAUUCCAUUUUCAAUUGAGCUUCAAAUCAGUUCAUUCUUGGUAGCAUCUUGAUUGAUUGGAUUGUGAUAUUGGGCAGCAACUGAGGUAUCUCUGGUUUUAAGCACUCCAGUUGCUACAGUUAGGCACUCAAUCAAUAUGCUUUGUUCAUUUACAGAAGAGAUUUGAUUACUGAUGAACUUCAUGCUUGCCUGACUCUGAUCCCGUGUAGUGGGUUGAGAGGAUUACAUGGAGGUGCUGUUAAAGCUAAGGCAUAAGGCAGAGAAGCAAGCUAUGGAAGCCAAUUAGGUUGAAGACUGUCAAUAAACAAACAUAAUUCGAUUAGCAGUAGGUCGUUAAUACUUAAUAUUUAACGUGAGGAACAAGUUUUUCAGCCUCGCCUCAGAGUGAUAACUACUUCGACUUUGUCUGUUACUUGGAAACUUUGGUGCCUUCCAUGACAAUCAUUUUGUGGCAGCACAGUGAACGAUUCUGUUGCUUUUGCUUUCAAUGAACAGGGCUACCUUACCAGAUAGGGUUAGCAUUUUAUUAAUUGCAAGUGGUAGCUUAUUUAUUCAUUACUUUUGUCUUCUGUGAAUAUAAAACACUGACUAUGUAAUCAUAAUACUUUUUUAAUAAGGAGUAUGAUGAAAAUUAAAAACAAAUAAUGAUUUUGUAAUUAUUUAUUAUGCUCCAAGUCAAUAAAUAUCACAUCAACCCCCAAUAUUUUCUCUGCUACUACUUUCUUAUUGUACUCAUUAUCAAAAUUCUAUAAUAAACAUCAUUUAUGUGUAGGAGAAACUAUUGACUAAACUGACUUUCUUGCGCUACUGGAGUACUAAGAGAAAGAGUUGUGUAGGUCAACCUAAGAUCAAUUUCAUUCAUCAGACUAUUUUCAGAGAGGCUGAGAAGGGUGUUAGCUGAUGAAGAAGUCACGUUGCCUUGUUGAUGCCAAAAUCUGGAUAAGUUGGUCAGAUCUCAGAUUCCUGCAUCAUCAUUAAAUUUGUUUGAUGGGAAGCUGCUGAUUAGUUAGCACCAUGAGCAGAUUUUCUAUGAGCAGACAACCCAUGAGCAGAUAAUCCAUAAGCAGACGAUCCAUGAGCAGAGAACCUAUGAGCAGACAAUCCUUGAGCAGACGAUUCAUGAGCAUACAAACCAUGAGCAGACAACCCAUGAGAAGACAGUCCAUGAGCAGACAAUCCUUGAGCAGACGAUUCAUGAGCAUACAACUCAUGAGCAGACAAUCCAUGAGCAGACAACCCAUGAGCAGACAAUCCAUGAGCAGACGAUCCAUGAGCAGACGAUCCAUGAGCAGACAACCCAUGAGCAGACGAUCCAUGAGCAGAUAACCUGUGAGCCUGUGAACACAACCAACAGUCAAGAGGUGCCGGAUGUUUUUCCGGCGAGAACCCUCCGACACUCAAGUCAGCGAUUUGGGUCUUACUUGGAAAAACUCAUACCACAAUUCAUGUGGUUUAAUUAUGAUUGCUUUAAACAAAAAGCUUUUAAGUAAAUUUAAAGGAAAAGAAUUCGAAAUAAUCAAUCUUAAAGAAAUCACAGGCGAAAGAGAAAUUUCUCAGUUGUAGAGAGAGAAAAAGGUCCAAUGGGUUCAGUUACCCAAAGAGAGAGAGAGAGAGAGAGAGAGAGCUAGAAGAAUCCCCCUUUUUUCCUUCCCCUUCCUAGCGUUUUUAUAGGAAACUAUAGCGGUUUUCAUCCACUCUCCUAAAAUUAUUAAGAAAACUACUAAUUUUUAGCCCACUAAGAAUAUGGUCCCUAAUAUUUCGAAGAAAAUAUUUUGACUGAAUCGUGCUUUUUGGUAACUUCCUGGUCGAGGUGACCAAUAACAUCCUGGCCGAGGUGAUGUGCUCGAGGUCACCACAUAUUAUUCUGGUCGAGGUCACCACAUAUUAUUCUGGUCGAGGUCACCACAUAUUAUUCUGGUCGAGGUGACUAAUAAUAUCCUGGUCGAGGUGAUCUGGUCGAGGUCACCACAUAUUAUUCUGGUCGAGGUGACCAAUAACAUCCUGGUCGAGGUGAUCUGCUCGAGGUCACCACAUAUUAUUCUGGUCGAGGUGACCAAUAACAUCCUGGUCGAGGUGAUCUGCUCGAGGUCACCACAUAUUAUUCUGGUCGAGAUGACCAAUAAUAUCCUGGUCGAGGUGAUGUGCUCGAGGUCACCACAUAUUAUUCUGGUCGAGGUGACCAAUAAUAUCCUGGUCGAGGUGAUAUGCUCAAGGUGACCAAUAACAUCCUGGUCGAGGUGAUAUGCUCAAGGUCACCACAUAUUAUUCUGGUCGAGGUGACCAAUAAUAUCCUAGUCGAGGUGAUCUGCUCAAGGUGACCAAUAACAUCCUGGUCGAGAUGAUCUGCUCAACCAUUGCUCGCUUUUACUCUGGAGGAGAGCACGAUAAUGUAUGAGCAAACACCUUUAUCUUGGUCACCCUAUUUCAUUCCCUAAACACCCCUGAUGCUGCAAAACAACCUAUUCACAACCUUCUCGCCGAGAUUGAAAUCGUUACGUCUUGGCUGAGGGACUUUGAAUAUGAAACGACCUGGCUUCUGGUGGAAAAGAUAGGACACAGAGAAAUUGAAAACCAGAUCUGGCGACCGUUAUGGACGAAAUCAAUUGCUUUACGUAUGAAUCUGAGAAGGUCAUUGACACAUUCAUCAACAGCAUCACUCAACAGAAGAGUCAAAGCAGCUGCAGCAAGGACAUCUGUGAUGCUCUGCAAGGGCUCCAAAGCAGAAUCACUGAUAUUAAGCAACGAAUGCAACAACAUAAGCACAUGGAUUCCGAAAUCAUUCAUGGCAUCAAAACUUUUGAAGCUAAAGCCGGUAUAUCUUCAUCUUCUAAAAGUAGGGACACGGUGGGUCUAGAUGAUAGAAUGGAGGAGUUGUUAGAUCUAUUGAUCGAGGGACCACCUCAGCGUUCAAUGGUGGCCAUACUUGAUAGCAUUGGGUUGGACAAGACGGCUUUCGCCACAGAGGCUUACAACAGUAGUUAUGUGAAGCAUUAUUUUGAUUGUCACGCUUGGAUUACAGAACCUUACAGCAAUGAAUAUGAUGCUGACCAAAUAUUAGAUAUCGUUAUUAAGUUUCUGAUGCCUUCAUCUAGGUUGAGUGAAAUAAUGGAUAAAAAUUAUGAAAUGAAAAAAAUAAUUCUUCAUGAAUAUCUAAUGACCAAGCGGUAUUUAAUUGUGAUUGAUGAUGUAUGGAGCAUUGGUAUGUGCGGAUGUUAUUUAAGAGAUACUUCCUGAUAAUCAGCAUUGGUAUUAAUAACACUCACCGACAUUGAGAUUGUCACCUCAUUUCAGUUCGAAGACGGAGAGAACAUUCGGCUUGAUUUAGUGCCCACUGGAGGACCAUUGAGAGCUAUAUAUAAAGGAUGUCCAUUCCUCCUCUUAUAUCAUGGAAGCAUCUCAUUAGAAGAAAAUAUAGGGGAAGCAGUGCAGAUACCCCUUGUGCUUAGGUAUUUCGAAUAUUGCAUGUCACCUUUUUGCUUGAAACUUUGUUUUCUCUACUUAUCUGUGUUUCCUGCACACCUAGAGAUAUCCACCAGGCAGUUAUAUCAGUUGUGGAUAGCUGAAGGUUUCAUUCUAGACAAUAGUGAGGCAACUGCUGAGAGUUACUUAGAACAACUAAUCAAGGAAGGCUUUGCUGAAGCAAAGAAGAGAAAAGCCGGAGGCACUAUCAACACAUGCUCCAUUCCUGGUCGUUGGGGUCCCCUGUUGUUCUUAGUUCCUUCUCAGGUGGAAUUCAUCUUUUCCCCUUUCGUGGAUGGUAAAUCAGGAAAAAAAGCCUUAUUGUUCUUGACUUCUUGUGCUUACUUGAAAAAGAUGCCUGAACAGCUCUGGUGCAUAAAGAGCUUAAACAAUGUCAAGUGUUGGUGGCCUCAGCCGGUGCUGAGACAAAAGCUACGGGAAUUCGAGGAUAAGGAGCAGUAUGGCGUUCAGCUAUAUCCUUACGGAAUUUGAGUAGCCCCUAUUGAAUUUGAUGUAUGUUUCUCGCUUUACCCAAUUUGUUCAACUUUUGAUUAUUUAUCCAAUUUCAUAUACUUUUUUUCCCCUUCUCUUCAAUAUAAAAAUGGUUAUACAAAGUGUUUUCUUCUAAUUUGUCUCAGCAUUAAGUACCCUUUAGAGUUUUCGAUGCUCACCCCAAUCAUCAAUCCCUCUUUAGCAGCAGUGGAGACUUAUGUACUCUUCCAUAUUCAACCAUGAACCUAGCAGACAUCGGUGUUCAUUUGUUUUAGUAGUUAAGAAAAAAAAAUGUAAUUUAAAAUUCUUAUUUUUCACAAUUUCUCAAUGACUUGUGUAGGUGAAAUCAGAGCAGAAAACAUCAUGACUGCAGCCCGAGCUUUAAUUUUCAACAAGAAUCCUUUUCGUCUUCACUUCUGUUGUCUACACAAAUAAAUCCUGAUCCUACGGUGGUGGACAUUUUUAGGUUUCUUUGUUUCCGCUGUCUGUUCAUAAAUAAGAAGUUUCGUUUCAGAUUUUCAGUUGAGAGUUGAUUGAUUGGUGCUUCAGCCACGGUUGGCUAAUUGUGUACAAAAAAAUAAAUAAUAUUUGUGAUGCCUUUCUAAUCUUGGAUUUAGUGGAAUGUAUUGUCUGUCUUUGUUCUGUUGCUUGCUUUGAAAUCCUGUUUUAAAGGCAUGUUUGACACUCAAUAUGUUUGGUUUAUUUUUAGAAAAGAUUGAUUAUUCACGGACUUGAUACUUGGUUGACUCUCUUAGUAAAUGUUCUUGUAAAGAAAUCCUAAGAUUCUCUUAGGCCUUUUUCUUUUUUUUCCUAUGAUGAAUUGUGCUCACUACGGUAGGCAUAUCCACCUAGGCAGUAAAUAGAUUCUAGAAAUAUUCCUUCUUUGUCUCUUUUUUCUUUUCUUUCCCUUUUGUUUUUUUGAAAAUGGUUUAUUAUGAUGUUAAAGAGGUGUCUAGACAUUGAGUGGAAAAAGAAAAUACUACCGAAUGCUAGAGGCUUAUUUGAACUUGGUAAAACCAGCGUCAUAGAUGUGAUAUUUUUCUCAUUCCAAGGAAUAUGAAAAAUAUAUUACAACAUUGCACAAUUCACUAUUUUUUUGGCACCCUUAUGUCGCUGUUAGAACUCUUUAUCAUUUUUCGUUUCUUAAAAAAGAAUGUUAAAAAGAUCCCCAAAUUUAUGCGGGAUAUGUAUGUAGUUUUAAAAUGAAGAUAUAUUAAAUAUAAAAUUUUACAAAGGAUUUAGUACUUUCUCUAAAUCUCGUUGAAAAAAUAAGAUAGUAUCGUACAUGAUUAAUAGUGCAUAUAUAUUUGAGUAAUUUUACAUUUAUAACCUUGGGAUACAAAUUUUAUCUGUGAUAUACAUACAUGCAAGUCUCGCAAUAAAUUUAACACACCAGGCAUGAUUUUGCGGAGAAGUCUAUGUUGCGGAGAAGCCCAUGUCCUAAUUUUGCAUUUUUCCACAGCAUAAAUUAUUAAAUAAGUCUCGCAAUAAAUUUGACCUUUCCUUUCUUAAAAGUGGAUGUAUAAAACAAAUUGGUCUUGAUCGAUGCUUGACGAUGUCCUGUUCAUUUUUCUCUACUUUAUGCUUUUUACAACAUAUAGAAGAUAAGAGUAUUGUAAGAUUCUGCCUUGAUCUGUUCGAUCAAAAGAAAAAGCCAUUUUGGAGUUUUAUCAACAAUUUCCUUGUGUAGGCGGAGAUCCCGGAGUACUCCUAUGGUCGAUCUGUCACCCAACCUACUUAAGGCUUGGCCCCGUCCCGUUUGGAGAAUGACCCUUAUGGCAUGGCUUAGUUAGUUAUUCUCGCAGUUCAGAUAAGAUUCGGGCCCCCAUCCUGAUUUGUCUCUGGGCAUCCUUAGCCAAAUACAUUCUACUUUCGUUGUGGCAAUGUUAUGGUACGGUAAAGAUAAUGGAUGACAUUGAUGAAAGGCAUCCUUAAAUUCAAGUUGUCUACACCACAUUGUUUCCAUUCAGGGACUGGUCUUAGAAAUGAAGAUAGAAGGCCAUUUCUGCAUUGGCAGGUUACGGUUUUGAGAGUCAACGAUCUUGAUUCAGCUUCUUGACUGAAGAACUAGCUAAGCAAAGGGAGGUAUGAGAGUGUUGUGAAAAUUUUAAUAUACUCGCAAGCGCACGAAUCUAGAAAUAGAAUAGUGGUAACGAGGUCGAUCCCACAGGGAUUGUUAUAAAUUGGAAAGUCUAAUUUAAAUCUAAAAGUAAUAUUAAUUCUAACCUAGUUGAGCAAAUUGAGUUUUAAGAGAAAUUAAACUAAUUAAACUAAGAAAACAAUUAAAGUAAAUGAGAAUUCAAUGAGAUAAAAAUUACCAAGGUUUCAGAAUCCACCACUAUUCAACUAGUAAUUAUCUAAAUAUUCAUUAAUCCCCAAUUUUAGAGUAACAACUCGAAAUCAAUCUAUGUCAUCUCAUUGAUAUAACAAUUAAGCCCAAAUAAAAUUAAUCUUGUGUAGGUUCUUUUUCUGCUUAAUAAUAUGACAUCUAAGAAUCUCAUGUAAACAUAUUGAAUAACAAAGAGUCAAAGUUUCCCUAAGCACUCUAUGUAAACAAUUUAAUGAAAGACAUAAAAUCAAAGAUAAUCAUGUAUAAACUUUAAAGAUCCAAGCAUAGAUUUCAUCGAAUAUUAAUCCUAACAAUCAAUAAUGCAUGACAGAAUUGAUGAAAAGAUUUUAAUAACAUCCAAUUAAUUAUGUGAAAUAAAAACCAUAAUCAUUAAAGAAUAUAUAUAGGGAAUUAAUUAAAUAAAAAGAGAUAAUUAUUUCAUUGAAUAGGGUUUCAUCCUUAACCUCAGUGUAAGAAAAUUAGUUAGACAUACUUGAAUUGGAAGCAACAAAAUAAAUAAAUUCAGCCAUGGGGAAGCCGAAUUGCUGCAGAUUUUCUUCUCUAUCUUGAAUCCUUGCGUCUGCAGUUCUCUUCUUCCUCUCGUGGCCCUCCUCUCACAAAAGCCAAAGUUCAGCUUUUAUAUUGUAACACCCUCCAAAAUCCUCAAAUCAAAAGGAUUUAAAACAAGCCAAGCACAACCGACUUUGAGCCCAUGCACUUGGAGCCCACUUGGAAUUUUCAUUCUUUUUGUAAUGCCAUGCAAUUGCUUCUCACGUGCAGGCCACUUUAGCUUUAAAUUUCUUCUUUGUUUGCACCAGCAUGGAAAAUUCAAUUUAUUGGCUUUUUUUUCAGAUUGAAUUUCAUAUACAUUUACUUAACUGCUUCUACAAAUUGACUUGAUCUUCAAUGUUGUUCAGUUGUUAUUCUUUAUGCACUUUUUAUCCAUAAUCUCCAAUUAAUUCCCUAUUCAAUAAAACAAUUCAACUAAUUAAAAAUAACAAAUAAAUAUAACUAGUAUGCUCAUCAGGGAGCCAGCACAAAGCUUUGAAUUGAGAGUUUUAAAGCAUAUUUUCCUUUUCCCCUCUCUUUUAAUUAUUUCUUUGCAUGCUACAGGACUGAUUUCAGGGUGAAUAUGAGAGAGGAGGAGAUAUGGACAUCAAGUUCAGACUAUUUUCAGAGAGGCUGAGAAGCGUUUUAGCUGGUGAAGAAGUCACGUUGCCUGAUGCUGCAAAACAACCUAUUCAUAACCUUCAUGCCGAGAUUGAAAUUGUUACUUCUUGGCUGAGUGAAUUUGAAGACGACAUGUCCUGGCUUCUGCUGCAAAAAAAAAGGAAAAGAUGAAAUUGACAACCCAGAUCUGGCGACCGUUAUGGACGAAAUCAAUUGCUUUACCUGUGAAUUUGAGAAGGUGAUUGACACAUUCAUCAACAGCAUCACUCAACAGAAGAGUCAAAGCAGCUGUAGGAAGGACAUUUGUGAUGCUCUGCAAGGACUCCAAAGCAGAAUCACCGAGAUUAAUCAACGGGUUCAACAACUUAAGCACAUCGAUUCCGAAAUCAUUGAUGAGUUCAGAAGGGCUGAAGUUGAAUCCAGUUAUUUUCUUGCAUCUUCAUCUUCUAAGAAUCGGAACACGGUGGGUCUAGAUGAUAGAAUGGAGGAGUUGUUAGAUCUAUUGAUCGAGGGACCAAAUCAGCUUUCAGUGGUGGCCAUACUCGAUAGCAUUGGGUUGGACAAGACGGCUUUCACUGCAGAGGCUUACAACAGUAGUUAUGUGAAGCAUUAUUUUGAUCAUCUAGCUUGGAUUCCAGCGCCUUAUCACUAUGACGCUUACCAAAUAUUAGAUAUCGUUACUAUGUUUCUAUUGCCUUUUUCUAUGUUGAGUAAAAUAAAGGAUAAAGAUUAUGAAAUGAAAAAAAUUAAUCUUGGUGAAUAUCUAAUGACUAAGUGGUAUUUGAUUGUGCUUGAUGAUGUGUGGAGCACAAAUGUAUUGGAUGUUGUUCGGGAAAUACUUCUGGAUAAUCAGAAUGGAAGUAGAGUGCUAAUCACACUCACUCGAAUUAAGAUGGUCACCAGAUUUCAAUUUGAAAACGGAGAGAGCGUACGGCUUGAUUUAGUGCCUACUGGAGGACCAUUGAGAGUUACUUAUCAAGGAUGGCCUUUCCUCAUCUUAUAUCAUGGAAGCAUCUCAUUAGAAGAAAAUAUAAGGGAAGUAUUCGAGACACCCUUAGGGCUUCUAAUUGUAAUAUGUUGCAAGCUACCUUUUCACUUGAAACUUUGUUUUCUCUACUUAUCUGUGUUUCCCGCACACCUAGAGAUAUCCACCAGGCAGUU
rnacentral:lncRNA from 1 species